CCUUUUUUGAGUUUUUCUUUGUUUAAGAGUCAAAUUUAUAUACAAGGACCCUAGACUUUUUUUUUGUCGGUCGAUCUUCAUAUUUAUUCAUUUUCACUAUCAUCCAAAAAUGUCUUAUACAUGUACAACAACCAUCUAGAGAGAUGUGAUCGCGAUACGUAAUAUUUUUUUUUUUUGGAUAUAUUACAAUUAGAUAUUUUGAGUUUGAAUUCUUAAUAAUAAUAUUUUUCUUAAUAUCAAUUAUUAUUGUAUACUAAUUUAAAAUCCUCGUAUAAAUUUAAGUAUAGAUGUCUCGAAAUAAUCGGAUACCACAUAAUAAACUUUUAUGUAGAUAAAUGACUAAAGUCGUCCCAAUGCAUUAAAUUUCCUUUUAUUUCACCUUGCGUAACGUCUUUCUUCAAGUUUGAAAAAACUUGUUCAUUUUCCUAUCGAAAAAAAUGGUCCCAGAAGAUAAAGUAUUUCUUCCUUUUUAUUCAAUAAAAAAAAAUGUGAUACUGAAUCUUUUAGAAGAAAAAAAAAGUGUCAAAUAAAAACAAGAAAUGGUCCAAAUAUAAUCUCUCUAGCUAUAUCCUAUAGUAGUAUUGUUUGUGAAAUAAAUUGAUCCUAGUCUAGUAAGUAGUAACACUAACAAAACUCAAUCAUAAUAGACAAAUUCCUUAGAAAGACGGAUUUCAAAUUUAAAAUUUGUAUAUUUAAUUUAAUGUUCAUGAGUCGUGAAAUUUUGUUAUACGUGUUGUAUUUAGUGAUUUUUUUUCAAUAAAUAUAUAAGAUUUGAAAUAAAGUUAUAAAAUCUUUUGCGUAUGAUUCAAAAUAACGAGAGACAGAUGAUUUUGUAGUCGUUUAGUUGGUUAUUAAAAGAUAAAGCUUGUAUUUAGAAACAGAUGUAAUGUUGUAACAUCAAAUUCAUUUUGAACUCAGUAUUUUCAACACGAAGUAUAAAUAUAUUUAAAGAAGUUUAUUAAAAUUGUAAUGUAUAAUCGGUUCAAUGCUAACAUUUUAAACUCGUAAAACUUAAAUCUUGAAUUCAAAACUUGCAUUUGCUUUUCCUAUUAUAAAAUUGAUCCCAUAUCUCUCUCUAUGUCCCAAUAAUUAGUGAAAUGUAAAGGUAGUCGGGUGUGUAAACAAAGUCCUAUAUUAACGGCCGAUAAAAUUAAUAAGAUACGAUAUAAGAUGUAAGACUUGUUAAUGAUGUGAGAAAAUCGCGAAGACAGACAAUCUAUAGUACUUUAGCUUCUUCUUCCUCUUUUUUUUUUUUCCCUUGAAAGUUCAAAUAAUUAUAAAGACCCCAAUGAUAUCUUAAUAUACAAUCCAAAAGGUCAUCACCAAAUUUGCGUAAAAGCCACUUAAUUGCCUCACCUAGCUUCUCUUCUCUCUAGCUCUUUAACCUUAAAUUCCAUCUUUUUUCUUCACUCCACUCCACACUUGUUGAAAUUAUAUAUAUUUCUUGGUGAAAGUAAUAACCUUUGUAAUUAGCCUGAAUAUGAUCUACUACUAUUAUUUCUUGUUAGAUCAUUAAUUUUUUUGAAAACCCCUAGUCCAAUGGGGCGUCACUCUGUUUUUGUUAAAGAAAAAACAAGGAAAGGAUUGUGGUCACCAGAAGAAGAUGAAAAAUUGUACAAUUAUAUCACUAGAUUUGGUGUUGGAUGUUGGAGUUCAGUCCCUAAACUAGCUGGUAUUAUAUUCUUACCAUUUCAUUAAUUUCAUUUAGGUCACAGGUUCGAGUCGUAGAAGCAGUGAGCCACUAAUGUUUGUAUUAGGAUGGACCGUACGGGGUGCAACCCUUCAUUGGACCUUGCUAAUGCGGGAUGCUUAGUGUAUUACACUGACUUCUUUGUUGGUAUAUAUAUAGUAAUGGAAUUGGAAUGAUGACAUUUUGAUAGUGUGAGAGAUCCUUGUAGGUUUACAAAGAUGUGGAAAGAGUUGCAGAUUGAGAUGGAUAAAUUACUUGAGGCCUGAUCUAAAAAGAGGAAUGUUUUCACAGGAAGAAGAGGAUAUGAUCAUUACUCUACACAAAGUUCUUGGGAACAGGUCAUUAAUACUUGUUUCUUAUUAGAUAAAUGUAACUUACUCAUAUGCUAUCUUUUCAUAUGAAUUCAUUAUGCUUUACUUGAACCGCUGGUCUAUUAGAUCCAUGAUCUCGUAAUGGUAAUGGUAAGAUUGCAUACAUACCACCUUCCUCAUACCCUUACAUUGUUGUUGUUGUUUGUAUAAAGACCAAAGAAGAAUUUUGAACUAAAGAUGAGGUUCUUUCACUUGUUUAAUUUCCUCACCCUUUUGGGUUGUUUUGACAAGUGUUUAUUUGUUAAUUCUUUUGUUUCCAGAUGGGCACAAAUUGCAGCAAAAUUACCGGGAAGAACAGAUAACGAGAUAAAGAAUUUCUGGAAUUCAAAUUUGAAGAGGAAGCUAAUAAAGCAAGGCAUAGAUCCAAAUACCCACAAGCCACUAAGUGAAAAUCAUCAAGUAAGAAAUGAGCCGAAUUGUACAGAUAAGACCUCAAGUUUGCUGAUGCCCAAGCUCCCAAAUAUGUCAGAUUCAGCUGAAAUACAGCAACCAUUUCAUUUUUUCAAUAGUAAAAGAAAUUUCAACAGCCAAGCAGUUACUAGAGAGUUAACAGAAGUUUCAAAAAACCAACUUGUGAGUAAACAGGUCUUUGAUCCUCUGUUUCUGUAUGAGUUCCAAGCAAGUGUGAAUCCAAUUGGACCUUAUGCUCAUCAUCACAACCAAAUUGAAGGGAAUCAAGAUUUUGGGUUUUGCUCAAAUUUUCAACAUGUACACAUGACAACAGAGAGCGAUAUUUCUGAUAGCUCAACUUCAAGAAUGAGUACAAGUAACAGUUCAAAUACUAUGAUUAGCCAUUACAAUUCUGUUGGAAUUCAGAUGAAUGAAAUGUUGGAAUGGGAUGCUGACAACAAAAUUGAUUCUCUUAUUCAGUAUCCUUAUGUUGGUAUCAAGAAUGAAGAAAAUUACAGUAAUAAUAAUAAUACAUUGAGUGGGGAAAAUCUUGAUGUGUUCCACCAUAUCUAAAAUUUUGUAAAAUUUCAUCUUCUUAUAUAUACCUAGAAAUGUACAAAACUUGCAUCUUCUUUGAGAUGUUUUGGCCAGAAGUGCAGUUCCUUAUUAAAAAUGGAUUUGUUGUUGCAUUUUUGUUUAGUGAUUAAUAUGUUUAUUUGGUCAAAUAUUACUGCAUGCUAUCUGUCAAACAGAACAUAGUGUCCUUAACAUACUUUUUAACUAAGUUGUCAGUAGAAGCUACUAAGGCUUUUGCAUUUUUCAAAGUUCAGUUAGUCUGACUUUGAUAUCUCUUGUAUUCACAUACAAUCAAAAGUUAAAAACACACCAAAUUCAACAGCUAUUAUCAACACGCGUGUAGAAAAGUUGGUUGUGCAUUGAAUACGUAGAAAUAUUAGUUUUCCGAAAUAAGAAUGAGCAAGGUCAAUGAACAGUACAUGCUUUGCUAAAACAUGUCAUUUACAGUAGCAAUAUCCAUGUGGAAGCACCAAUUCUCAGGACUCUAUUGAAAGAAAACAGAAAUUGAAGUUUACGUUUUCUGUGUAUGCGCAGCAGAUAAUACGGAAGGACUACUUUAUGAACCAAAAAUCCUUCAAAGCUUGGCAGUCAAACCAGUGGUAGUGGGCUUUGAUUCACCAUUUUCUGAAGCAUCGCUGUCUUUGCUUUCUGAGUCACAUCCCCGUGGUGGAGGUACAUCUACAGCUGGAGAGCAGUUAAAGAAUCCAUGCGGCUGCACCAAACAGAAUUAAGCAUUACUUAAACUAGAGAGGAGUCAUAAAUCCAUAUUUCCAGCAUUUUAUUUGAUUCAUCAAUCAGACAUGUUUCAGUCCAGAAUUAAUUAGGGAGAUCGGUCCGUCAAUUUUCACAACUCUUUUAGAUUUAACACAAUACAUAACCAGAAGCUAGAUGAUGACAAAGAUACAAACAUAAGCACAUAACAUCUGACACCGGAAUACCUGAAGCAUAAAGCCGAUAUGUUCAACGGGCAUAACAGGCCAGUCCUCCAAUCUAGGAACAUGCGUGAUUCCAAAAACAUACCUGUGAUAAACUAUGUAUAGAUCAGAACAUCAAGGAAUAGGUAACUUCCCAAACACAUAUUUAAACAAAGGAUUAUCCUAGGAACAUGAAGUUCCAGAUCUGGAGUGUUACAAAAAUUAAGCGUGGAUAAUUUUCAAAACAAUUGAAGCCUGCACCUCCAAUGUAAUAAGAUAAUUUGAGGGUUGCCAAGAAACUAACCAGAGAACAAUAUCACUUUCUUCCAGAGAGCGAUCUUCCUUGACCCAAGAAGCUAGUCCCUCGCCAACACGUGGAUUUUGAUUAGGGAACUCUCCCCCUGGAAAAUCUUCUCCGGGUGCAUAUUGUGUAACCCACAGAUUGUGCUUCAGAAAUGCCGCUCUUCUCAAGAACUUAGCCUCAGGACCAGCCAAUGGCAAACAGUUCUGACCAGGUACCAGCUUGUACCCUGUUAGCUGACCUGUUCUGUUGGAUGUUCUUGUGUUCCUAACCUACAAAUCAAAUGUUCACAGUCAAAUUGAUGGCUCCAGCUCUAGGGAGAGGGAAUGCUCGUAAUAGAAUUUUUCCAUCCUAAAAAGGACACAACGAUUGGUCAUAUGACCAUGACAAAGGACUUUAGCUCUCUCAACAAUCAGUAGUCAUUUUUAAGGAUCACAUUCUACUAUGAACAUAAUGUCUCAGCAGACUGUGCUAGGAAAGCAACAUGAAAUGAUGUUUCUGUCAAAAGAAAGGAGGAUACAGGUGAGGCUUCUUACAAUCCAAUGACGAGCAGAUAAAGGAUCACAGUCUCGCAUUGCUUGCAAUUCAGACCUAAGUUGUGUUUCUUCGGCAUAGAAUGCGUUAUUGUGAACAUUUUCCUUCCCAGGUUCUUCAACUUUGAGAUUUACUUCAACAACCUGGAGAAAUACUCAGAAUAAAGAAGUUAAGAACUGGAAACUGGAGGUGAAAUUACUUGGACAUUUUUUGUUUGAAGACAGAAAUUGCUUAACUUUCAGAUGCACAAGAAAACUCGUUAAAAAUACCUGAUUGUGUGCUUCUCCUGGCUUACAAUCAACUGCCAUAUUCAUACGAGCAACAAAGAAGUGCUGAUGAACAGGUGCAUACAAUCCUGGUGAUAUUGUGGUGCCAUAUUUUCGAGACUCUCCAGGUUGCAAUGCUCCCAAACUGAGAAUUCCUGUGAGUUUGACUUCUGCUUCAAUUUUCCCAUCCUGCAGCCACAAAGAGUAUGUAUCAUUUCAAAAUGGUCAGUAGAGCUAAACAUAAUAGAUGAGAACAAAUCAAGAAAGUUCUGGUGGAUGGAUGAAAACUUCUGCCACUCAUCAUUGUCUCUGGCUAAGCCCUCCAACUCUCCCCCACCCCCCACUCCCAUAAAAGAAAUAAAGAUAUAAAAGCACAAGCAAGUAGCCCAAAUAACAGUGCCAUUAUUUGAAUCUAGAUUAAUCAAGCAAAUUGGAUAAAUAGAUUCUCUUAGAAAGCAUAAGAGAAUCAUACUUCUACUUGCUUUCUAUUCUUUGAAAUGGUCUAAAUAAAAUGUGAUAACAUUUAAAUGUCACCUGAUUUCUUUAGAACAUGUAAACAAAUGAACAUUUCCUGAUAAAUGAUUUUCUUAUUCUUGCCUGGUAAAAGUGCCAGUAGAAUCCAUAUUCAUAAUUGGCCACAGUGCAAAUAAAAGAAACAGUCAGUCGUCUAGACCGUCUAACUUCAGCAAGGCCAGUUCUCCAAUCCUGAUGCUUCCAAAGCAUCCCGUGAUCUUCCUCAUGCAAACAUACACAAUUUUUGAUGGUUUCUACUCCUCCAGUAAAAUUUGUAAAAUUGGCAUCAAAGUACUUUAUGUAUCCUAAACAAUCGCAUCCCUGCAGUGGUGUUUUAGUUAUAUUAGAUUUACAGUUAAGAAGUCGAAUGCACAACUAAACCAUAGAAUUGUCAAUUACCCUCUUAAGUGAAUGGGCAUUCUUUCCAAGGCCAUCUUCUCCUGCAUCAAAUGCAUUUUUUCUGUAAUGUGGAUCAUUUGGAUCCCCAUAGGGGACAACCAUCUCCACAAAACUCAACCUAUGGGCUAUGGAUCUUCGUCCCCUGCUACCAUCAAGAUAUGCCACAGAGUGUAUAACCAAACCCUCCCUAGGGGUGAAACCUACUCGGAAAUUCCACUGUCAUACAUAAAGUGAAAGAACGGCCACAUUAGUAUACAGGCAGAAUCCUUCAUUGCAUAUGAGACUGGAAAAAGAAUUUACCUUUUGCCAUUGAACAUAGUUCCCAUCGACGCGAAAGCUUGGACCCUCUGGCUGAAUAAUUUGUAGGGGUUUCACAUCACUUCGGUCAACCCCUCCUCUUGUCUCACCCGCAGUGUAAUUCCUCAGUGGAUCAGCUGGAAGUAAAGGUACAAGUUUGCGGUCUUCGAACUCUAUCACCUGCAUGAUUUGCACAUCAACAAGCACAUGUAUACCUUCAACUGGUCUUGCAUAUCCAUUUUCCAUUGGGCAGUAGCUCUCUGUUCUGCAGAAUAUUAGUGGUUUGGCAAGCCUGCGGCUAGGAGCAUCAGCUUCACUGUGAUAACCAACGCACCUGUAGAAAACAUAUUCAGGUAAAAAUGCAAUUAUAUUAAAAAAACAGUUCUUAAAGAAGAAGGAAUGGGAAAAUUCAAGAACAUUUCAACUAACCAGGGGUCAACCAUUACAAGGUCCAUGUCAUCAAUACCCCUUCUCUUCAUUGCUUCAAUAAAUGGAGGAUAAUUUUUAACCACAGAUUCACAGUCAGCAUACUCUUGUGCAUCCUACAAUCAGAAUAAAGUUGAGAUAAUUUGUAAAAACGGAUUACUGAAAUCUACAUAGAUUACAUAUAUACAACAUAGAAUUUGUAAAUUUUAACAUUCUUUUGGGUUAACUAAAGCAGAACAUUUUAUGCAAAUUUUGUUCUCCUUUUGGUUAAGCUCUAUGUUCCAUAUGACGGGAAAGAAAGCACAGUACAUUAAGAAGAGAGAAUAUGUGAAUUAAUAUAUGAAAAUAAAAAUAUACAUAGGAUAGGCAAAUACAGGAAUAGGUAAAUGCAUUACGAAUAAAAUAUGAUUAGCUCCCGUUAUAUAUUGAUUGAAUCAAUUGCUCAACUUGCAUGUAUAGACGCACUUGAUUAGCUUCUGGAAUCAGAAUAGAAUGUUCAAUUGGCUCAUAUGGUCUCUCCCAAUUGCCUAAAAUCCUUUAGGCCAAUACAAGAAAAGACAAAUUCUACAGUUCUACUGACUAUUUUGUUUUCAUGUGCUGUUUAGAAUCUCUAGGACAUCAGUAUCACAAGGCCACUUGAUAGUACCACAACAACAUAUCCAAUGUACUUGAUAUAAACUAAAGAAACAAAAAUUAACACAAGGAAAUUCAAUUAAAUGUUCCAUUUGGAUGGUGGAGGUAUUCACUACAUCAUUUUUUUCUUAAAUUACUUGGUGGAUCUUGCCAACUGAACAUUCUAAAGAAUACCAAAAGAUGACAUCACAAAUAUGCUUGAAAUUCAUGUGUAAUUAUUAGAGCUUAGGGUGAAAGCAUUUAGCUUGAAACAUAAAUAAGAACUUUGUAUUGCUCUUACUUUGAGUCCCGCAUCAUUUCUUUGGUAACCUAAUUGCAUCUUCUGUUCAUGUACUUCUAAUCUUUUGAAGUUCUAAGCAUGAGAAGUGCAUACCAUAGGUGGCUGAACAUCUGGAAUAACUUUUGAUGAGAUCACUUUUCCCCUGUGUUGUCCACCUCGAACAGCAGCAUGUACUUCAGUUAGCCGAACAAUCCAUACGCUUGUCUCAUUUGUUUUCUUAUUGUAAACAAUAAGUCUAGCAUGCCUUGGAGGUAGUUUAGAAGGAACAAGAAGUCCUCCUUUGGUUCUGGGCAUCAAUGAUGAUUGGAAAGGUGGGUAGAAAUAGGCAUCUGCCAGUGCAACAAAAGUUUUAUCUGGUUCCAACAGAACCACCUCAACAAACCGCAUGCCAUCUCUGACCUAAAAUGUUUUUGCAAAAAGUUAGAAAGACACAAAAAGAGUUGGUGGAAAUUUAGAGCAAAAGAUGUCCUGUUGUUCAACUGAUGGAUUUUUUGGUUGUUCUACACAACAAAUGGAUGUAAAAGAGAUGGUGAUUAUUUAAAAACCUCAGGCGUAUCACCGGCAGCUCUAACGGUUGCCACAGCCACAGAGAUCUCAGCAGCAGUUAAAGGGUCCAAAGGAUGACAAGUAUGAGCUCUAUGCAUGAUUUGAAUCCCUGCAUAAACAUGGAAUCAUCAAGCAUUCAACAUCUUACUAACUACUCCAAUAACAAUAACAAGAUCCUUCCAUUAGCAUUUUCUUCUUAUCUGUUCAUGAUAUUUUCUGAAGUUACUUCAUCUAUAUAUGCGUUUUGCAACAAAAAUAAGAAAAUCGGUCACAUCUGCACAAAACAGAGGACGGACAUCGUAGAUUGACAGUCCAUAUAUAUAUAGUUCAAUAAAUGCACUAAAGUGGAACAAAUGGAUAUACAAAAUAGGUCUCAUAUAAUUUGAAAUUUAGGCAUAGUUGAUUGAUUCAUUUUCAAUUUGAUAGAAUAACACUCUACGUCAAUAAUCUCAGGGUAAAAUACAAUACAUAUAAAUACAUAAAUACAUACAUAUAUAUACAUAAAUAUAUACAUAAAUACAUACAUAUAUAUAUAUAUAUAUAUAUAUAUAUAUAUAUAUAUAUAUUGGACCAUGCAAUUGUACACUUAAACUGGCUAAGUUUCAAAAGUAGACCCAACUAUUGACUAAACAAAACUUACUUCUCCAAUACCAAAAUCAACCCCGUGAGCACAAAAAUCACAUGAAAUUUCUCGAUAGCUAUGAUAAAUAAUUGAAUAUAAAUGCAACGCAACCAACUCAGUGAAUCGGUUACCGAGAAAAUCAUAAAUCAUAAACAGAAAAAGAAACUAAUACAUCUGAAUGGUCAUUUGCAUUCGUAAACCUCACGGAAAAUGCAGGGCAAUCAACUCAGUGAUGUGAAGCCGUUAUCGAGAAAUCAUAAAUCACAAACAGAAAAGAAACUAAUGUAUCUGAAUCGCCAUUUCCAUCCGUAAACCUCAAGAAAAAUGAAGCUCAAUCAACUCUUUAAAUCAGUUACCGAGAAAAUCAUAAAUCAAAAACAGAAAAGAAGCUAAUGCAUCUGAAUCGCCAUUUCCAUCUGUAAACCUCACAAAAAAUGAAGCACAAUCAACUUAAUGAAGCGGUUAUGCAGAAUAUCAUAAAUCACAAACAGAGAAAGCAUCUGAAUCGCCAUUUCCAUCCUAAAACCUCACGAAAUUCAUACAUGCAAAUAGUCAAACAACAAACAGAUACAAUACAAUGCUAUAUACUCCGAAUUCCUAUCGUCAAAAUUCAAAUUACACACAAAACACUCGCAUUAAUGAUUCAUUACCUUUGCUAGACGCAGUUGCCGGUGUUUGUUCCUUCUGAUUGUCGACGACAACGGAGUCAACAGCGGAAUCGGAAACGGACACGGCAGUAUUCUCACGACGGACAACAGAAACAGAGGUCGGAGGGAUGAAAGAAGCAGCAGCAGCAGCAGUAGUAUUAGUAGGAGUAGGAAUCACGUUUUGUGAGGUUUCAGCCAUUGCGACUACUACUUAUACUGUGAUGAUCACGGUGUACUGAAGGUUUAAUUAUUCACGCGCUUCGACACUCAAAAUCAGUGACUGAUCGAUCAGCAAAUACUCUGUUGUGCUUUUUCUCGCCACUCUGCUUCUGCGAAUAGUUUGUUACGUCUGUGCUAUGGCACUAUGCUCAGAGCUUAAAGUUUGUGACAGUUUAUUUUGUUUAGAUUUCCAAAUUAUUUAGGAGUGCUAAUAAUCUGAGAAAACAGUUAUUUAAGCCUAUCUAUUCUCUAUUUUUAUGUAUUAUUUGACUUGGUAUCAUAUUUUUAAAAUAUAUAAAUAUAGAAUUUGAUAUUUUUAUAAUAUUAUUUGACUUAGUAUGAUAUAAUUUAGAUAAUUAUGAUAACUUCAUCGAUUCUCCAGUAACUAAAUAUAUGAUUAAUUAAUAAGAUUGUAAAUUAUUUAUUUACUUUAAAAUAAAAUAUUUUUAAUUAAGUUUAUUUGUUUGAAUGGAGUAGAGAGAUAAAUAUGUCUCACAUGCAUGUUAUGUCAUAUUUCUUUGUUUGACUAGUGAAAUUAAGGAGUUAUAAUCCCCACUUUAAUUUUCUAAUUUUCAAGUACCCAAUUUUCAACUAAAGAUUUAUUUUUUAAAAAAAUAUUUGAUCUUUAUAAUCAAACAUCUAUUAUAGGUUUACAUAUGAAUUGAGAGAAUUUUUUUUUGUGUAUACAACAAUGUGCCUCUCAUUAUUUAUUUUUUUGGAUUGAUAAGUUGAAUUAAUGAGUUGAUCACAUGUUAUCAUGAGGUAGAAAAUGAUUGAGUCAAAUGUUAAGGGGAGAAAAAUAAGAGAAAUAUGGCAAAGUCAAAUAUAUAUAAAUCAAAUAAAUAUAACAUGGCAAAGUCAAAUGUGAAACACAUUUUUGUUACAUAAUUUCAACGAAAAAGGGUUUUGAUAUAUUCUCUCAAUUUUGUCACUUGGAGUUAAUAUACUCUUUAUUAUGAAAGUAUCUUAUAUAUGUCCUUAUCGUUAUAUAAACGGCUCACAUAUACCCCUAUUGUUACAAAAUAGCUCACAUAUACCCUUCAUUUAAAGAAGUUAAAAAAAUUAGUUUAAAUUAUAUUUAAUACUUUUAAUUUGUGUAAAAAAUUGUUUAGGGGUAUAAAUGAUUAUUCGAUCAAAGUUUAAGGUAUAUUUUAAUUUUUUUUCAUACAUAAAUUAUUUUUUGACUUCUUUUAUUAUAAUUAUUUGAGUUUCUUAUUUUUAUUUUAUUUUUUUCUUUCAUUCCUUAGUUUAAAGGAAAAAAAUUAAACUAUUUUUUUUGUCUAUAUUGUAAUUUGAUUUUUGUACUAGAGGAAAAAAAUUUGGUCAUCUACAAUAAGUUUUACAAGUAUAUUAGUGAAACAUAAAUAAAUUUGAUUAUCAAAAUAAUAAUUCUAAAUUAGUCAUUGAAAUACAAAAAAGUCAAAAUAAAAUAAAAUAUGUUUGACGAGGAUUAAAUUUACUCAUAAAGAAUUAUGAUUUUUAGAAAAAAAUAAUAAAAAGUUAGAUUAUUUUUUUUUUUCAUUUCCGUUAGAGGAAAAGGAUAUAUGUAAGUCAUUUGUUUAUAAGUAGGGAUAUAUAUGAGUCAUUUUCAUAACAAGGGAUAUAUCAACUCUAAAUGACAAAGUUGAGGAGUAUAUGAUGUCCUUUUUCCUAAUUUCUAUUUUGAUUAGCUUUUUGGGAAGUUUUUUUUGUUUUGUUUUUUUGACCUAGCACCGAUUUCACCAAGUUAGGCACAUUAGGUGUACAGACAAAUUGGUUAUUUAUCUUGUUUUAGAGCUAACUAAAAUGUUUUUAAUAUUGAUUUUUGUCUAAAGUUGUAACUUUGAUAAGGCCAAAAGUAUAUUGUAUAUAUCCCCUAUUCUUUUUACUCUCUUCAUUUAUAUUUACUUAUAUUCAGUAUAUAUACUAAGAAUAAUUAUUCAAAGUUUAUUUAUUCAGCUUAGUUAACUAGUAUAGUUUCGAACUAUAUCAUUACACAAUUAUAACAUUGUAUAUAUAGGUUCGUGUGAGAUACAACCACCAUAUUUAUUUAUUUACUAGAUAUCAGAUGUCCGCGCUAAUGCAGAUUCAACGUAUGUUAGUUUCUUUUUUAAUUUAUAUGACAUAAAUGAUAUUUAAAAAAGUGAAUUAAAUUUUUUAUAUGUAUUUUUUUAAAAAAUAUUUUAAAUUAUUAAUUUAUGUACGUUUUGUGUCAUUUUUAAAUAAUAUACGUUAUUGUAUUUAUUUUAUUUUAUAUGAUACUGAUUUUAGGAAAGUCAAUAAAAUUUCUAAUAUGAUACCCACAUAUUAAAAAUAUAUAUAUGAGAGCCCAUUUUAAUAAUAAUAAUAAUAAUAAUAUAUAUAUAUAUAUAUAUAUAUAUAUAUAUAUAUAUAUAUAUAUAUUAUUUUUUCAUUUUAAAAAUAUUUUGAAUCCAUCCUUUUCGAUUUAUAUAAAUUUACUUUUUUAUUUUGUUUCAAAAAAGAAAAUGACUUCUGAAUUUUAAUUUUUUUUAUAAAGCAUAUUUAAGAUCACAAAAUUAAAAAAUAUUUCAAUACACAAAAGUUAAAUAUAAAUAUAAAUUUUAAUUUUAAUUUUGAUUGAUUCCACCUAAUAUUAUAUUUGAUAUAUUAUUAUUAAGAGCUAAGCAUAAUCAUUAUUUAUUUACUUUCAUAUAAUAAAUAGAUAUCGCAAUAACUCUUUAAAAAAUAAAGAAAUAACAAAAAUAAGGUAAUAGUAAUAAUAAUCACUAAAGAUGUUUCUAGAACGAGUCUGGAGCCUAACUUUUGUUAACAUUUUUCAUCCUUUAGGCUCCGAAUUCUUUUUAGAACUAUUCAAUUUUCUUGUUAUCAUUCAUGGUAGAAUUUUUGCUUGCAUUAAAUUACAUUUUUACCUUCGAUCUUCAUUCACUUUAUAUAUAAAAAGAUGUUUCUCCAAUUAUUUAUUUUUGAUAGAUUUUUGUUAAAAUGAAACUAUAUUUUAUUCUAAGUCGACUUUAAUAUAAAAUAUCAUCCUAUUCAUUUUUAUUUGUCAAGUUACUUUUUAACAUAUUUUUCUUUAAUUCCAAUCUAAUAUAUAUUAUCCACUUUAUCACACUUAUUUAUUUUCAAGUAUAUUAUUAGAGUUAAAAUUAAGAUGAAAAUUUAAUUCAUGAUAAAUUUUUAUACAAAAAAUAGGCAUUUUUUAUAAGCAUAAUGAAUAGAAAAAAAUAUCAAGAAUGAAUUUAAAAAUAGUAAAAUAAAGUAGUAAUAAAAUAGAUAUCACAAUAACUCAAAAAGAAAAGAAAGUGAAGCAAUAACAAAAUAAGUUAAUGAUAAUAACAAUAACUUAAGAUAUUUCUAAAACUAUUUAAUUUUUUUAUUAUCAUUUUUAAUAUAUUUUUAUAAACGUAAAAUUACAUUUUAUCCUUAAUCAUUGUUCACUUUAUAUAUAAAAAAUAUUUCUAGAAUUAUUAAUUAUCUUUCUUAAUAAAUUUUUGUUAAUAUAAAUUUACCCUUAAUAGUGCUCCCACUUCACACUUUAUAUAAUAGAAAUUAUUAAAAAAAAAGUGAUAUACGUAGUGGACAAAUUGCUGGAUAUAAUUGCCAGCUGUUUUUGUUUGCUUAUUUGAUUAUAAAGAAUUUACAUUUAUUUAGUGUUUUAGUAAUGGUCACUAUAAAAAAAAUAAUUUUAACGGUAUUAAAUAUUAAUAUUAAUAAAGAGUGUUAAAGUCUUUAUUGGCAUUAGUUAAAUGUCAUUAGAAUUAAUGUCAUAUAAAGACUUUAGGGACAUAUACAAAAAGUGUUAGUUAUUUAACAAUAAUUAAAAAUUAAUUACCGUUAAUAAUCAUUUUUGAUGUAGUAGGUGAACAACUAGAUCAAUUCAUAGGCUAAGAAUAAUGAGAAAUAAUAUGAUCUCAAUACAGUUCUCAAUUCAUAGGCUAAGAAUAAUGAGAAAUUGAGAAUUGUAUUGAGAUCAUAUUAUUAUUAUUAUUAUAGUUAUUAUCACUGACUUAACUCCUUAAGAAACUACUUAAAUUAAUUUAACCAUAACUAACUAUAAUUAACUAUGUUACAAGAUAUAACUAACUUUUUUAUUUCAUUAUUCACCGUAACCAACUCUAAACUCCUACGGGUCAUAACAACAUUAUAAUUGUUGAUGUUGCAUUUUUAAUUUUAGAGAAAUUACUAAUUAGUUGUCAUUAAUAAAUUAAAACUUAGGAGAAAAUUUCAGAUAAUUUUCAAAUUAUUCCGAAUUAGUUCUACACAACAUUAGAUAAAUUAAAAGGCACCGAACGAACAUUUUCUUCAAAAUUAUCUAAAAUUGUGAUGGACAUAGCAUGGUUACCACUAGCUAGCAAUAUCCAUGCCUUUGAAUGUAAAUAAAGUUUAAUAUUUGUAUUAAUCAUAAACAAAUGCUAGUUUCACAUUCAAAUAUUAAUUUUAAAAUAAUAAUUUAAUAUGAUUAUAAUUUUUUUUAUGUUUUAGAAUAGUAAGACAUCAAUUUAUUUAAAAUAAUGCUUCAUAUCCAUUUCAUUUGGCUCAUAUUUUAUAGUAUAGAGUGGUUGAUUCUCGGCUUAACUACUCAUAUUUUAACGUGAACCCAUUUUUGUUCACUCCUUUUAUAUUAUACAAUUAUAUUAUUAUGAUAUUCUAAUUAUUAUUUUUGUCCUCACAUGUUUAAUCCUAUUCGUUUUAUUCUAUUUAUUAAUAAUCACUUCAUACUUAAAUACUUUAUAUCAUUCUCAAUGUCUAAUUAAUUAAUUAAUACUACCAACAUUCUUACAUCACCAAUAUAUAUAGUAAUGAUAAUUAAUAUAAUAUAAAUGAAUCACCUGGUGCCAAUAGUCCAUGACACACCAAGAUUCCCUUGUCUUUACAAAUUGAGAUUAUUUAGCAAUAUUCUUGUCAUUUACUUGAUAAAUUUAUUAAGAAAAUAAUUAUUCAUAUGAAUAUUUAUCUUAUUAUUCCUACUAAUAAAUGUUUAGUACUGAAUCUUGAAAAAUGAUAGGUAGAAUAUUAUAUAAUGCAAGGAUAAAAUAUAAAGAAUUUUUUUUUUAUCUCUUCUUAUUAUGUUAAAGGAGACGAGUAAAUGAAAAAGUAUCUGACUGACGCUUUAAUUUGAAAGUUAAUAUAAUAUCGUCUAAAAGUGUGGUUUAGUAAUUAAUAACACACAUUGAGGAUAAUGAGGUCUCAGAGUUUAAUUUUCAGCAAACGCAAAAAUACAUAAGUGAUUUUUUUUAAAUAUGCGUCUAAGUUUAUCCUCUACCAAAUCGCUCUUCCUUUUUUAAGUGCAAGGACAAUGGAGGAUUACGUGCUUUAAUCUGUCUGAUUAAUCUUUUGUUUAAUUUUUUUUCCAUGCAGUAUAUUCUUGAAUCAUUCUGAUUAUUAUACAAAAUGUUAAGAAUUUUAAUUAUAAUUUGUUCAACAACCAUAGAUUAGCACCAUAUCUUAUUGAUCCACCUCCCUUGAUUAAUGAAAUAAUUAGAGUGACCAUUAUGGGAUAUCUAUGACACGAUCGAAUGUCACCAAAUCCAAUAAUUAAAAGAUACUUAAUAUAUAUAAUCACAUUUCUUGUUUAUUUCUUUGUUCUUUUUGGUAUUUGUUUUAGGAAAGCUACUAGCUAGGUUAACUGGUUAAGUACUAAUUGUGUUGCUAAAAGAUUUAGGAGGUGUGUGGUAUAGAUUAACUAAAUUUUUUUUAGAAGAUAGGUUUCACUUUUCUUAUAUAUAGUUGGUUAAUUUUUUUUUAAAAUAUUUUUUUAUUAAAAAAUAUUUUUUUUAAAUAAUAAAAAAAAUGACCUUUUAUUGAAAAAAAAAAUAUAUUGUAACAUUUCACUCUUCUCCAUCCUCGCACCCCACUUUCAUAGCCUCCAUGUCCACAUUCACAUACAUCUCCAAACAUAUAUGUAAAUUGAAUAUGUUAUUUUUGAGUUCGUUUUCGCAUUCAUUUAGUAAUGCUACUGUUAAAGAAUGACAAAAGUCUCACAUCGGUAAUUAAUGAGAUGAGUGGACUAUUUAUAAGGCUUGGGCAAUCCUCCUCCCUUUGAGCUAGCUUUUGAGAUUUGAGUUAGGCCUAAGACCUAAUUUCACACCUACUUUCACUUUUACUUGUAUAUCUACUAAAAUAUAAAUAUUUAUUUUUAUUUAUUCAGUUUAAAAAAUUAAAAAAUAGUUCAUCGCUUAGUUCAUAAGUUACCUUUAUUAUCAACUAUAAUCUUUUUCAAAUAUUUCCUAAGCCAUUGAAUCUAUUAUAUUCAAAAAUAAUAAUAUAGUAAAAAAUUAUCAUUUUAUUUAUUACUCCUCCUGAUUAAGAGACGUAUCUGUUAAAUAAAAAGAUAUUUUCCAUUAAUUAGUUAGUUGUAUCUUGUUAGUUAUAUUGUUAGAGAGGUAGUUAGAGUUUGUUAGAGUUGUUAAUGAAAUGUAUAAAUAUAAUAUGUACAGAUUGUUGAAUACAAGUUGAAUAUACACAAACAUUAUAUUUCCUCUCUUCUCUUCUCUUCUCUCAUCUUGAAGGUCCUCACAUGGUGAAGAUCAAGGAUCUUAACAUGGUAUCAGAGCUUGAGUAAUUGAUCUCAUAUUCUUUCGAUCUUCUCUGCUUCUGGUUCACGUUUCAUCUCUUUUCUUUACUGUUUCUGUUUUCUCCUGUUCGACACCUCAACAAUGGUGAAUGCUAGCUCACCUGCAGAUCUGGAAAUUGGAGUUGGAGUUGUACCUACUAUGGUAACAAUCGAUCAACAUCAUCCUUUGUUUCUUAAGCCCAAUGAUACGCCAGGUAGUUCCUUAAUUUCGAUUAAACUAACAGGCCCUGAGAAUUAUGCAUUAUGGAGUAGUUCAAUGCGAAUUAAUCUGUUAGGUAAAAGCAAGUUAGGAUUUGUGGAUGGUCGAUAUCCUAAGGAGAAAUAUUAUGCUUCUCUUCAUGAUUUGUUGGGAAAAUGUAAUGCUAUAGUCCUUUCAUUGAUUAUGAACUCUGUAUGUACUGAAUUACUUAGUGGAAUUGUAUAUGCUACAAGUGCAUAUAAGGUGUGGACUGAUCUACAAGAACGAUUUGACAAGGUUAAUGGAUCUCGAGUCUUCUUCCUUCAUUCACAAAUUUCUACUCUUAACCAAGGAAUUUCUUCUGUUUCAACCUAUUUCUCAAAACUAAGGGAACUAUGGGCAGAAUUUGAUGCAUUGAUGCCAUGUCCUGGAUGUAAUUGUGCUGAGUCUAGGAAAUAUGUGGAACACUUUGAGUAUCAACGCCUUCUUCAAUUUCUUAUGGGUUUAAAUGAGUCUUACUCACAGUCUAUAAAUCACAUCAUGAUGAUGCUUCCUACUCCAUCGAUUAAUAAGGCAUAUGCCAUGAUCAUUUCUGAGGAAAGUAGAAGAUCUCUGGGUUCUUCUUCUUACAGCUCUGAAAUUGCUGAAGGGACAACCUUGUUUAGUAGUAAAAGCAACUCCAGUGUACGCACUAAUCAUCAGGGGAAUAAUUCCUCUUACAAGGGCAGAAGCAGAAGGAGUGAUCUCUACUGUGAUCAUUGUCAUCUCACAGGUCAUACAAAAGCAGUUUGUUACAAGUUAAUUGGAUAUCCUCCAGAUUAUAAAUUCAAGAAGAAAACAGGGUCAUAUAUCAAAGACGAUGAAACUAGUAAGGGCAAUCCUAAUCCUAGUGAUAUUGGAAAUCAGUUUGGGGGUCAAUCUGCCAAUUUUGCAGGAUCUUCUCACAUGUCUAAAGGUUCUACUGAUGCAUUUGGUGUUAUUCCUCAAUUUACUGAGCAACAAUACAAACAGAUCUUAACCAUGCUUGAUUCAGAAAAGUCUGAAGCUGAUCAUGUAGCCUCGACAACAGGUAUGAUCCCUCAUAGGCUCAUACUACUAUCACUUCAGAUGAUGUUAAGUGGAUAGUGGAUUCUGGUGCUUGUAGUCAUAUGGUUAGUUCUGUUGAGCUGUUAUCCCACACUACAACAGUAAACAAGAAUGGUCUAGGCAAAGUUUAUUUGCCUACUAGUAAUGUAGUCAAUGUAACUCACACAGGAUCAUCUUGUCUCUUUCCUGGUCAAGAGAUAACCAAUGUCAUGCAUAUUCCUGAGUUCAAAUACAAUUUGUUGUCUGUUUCUCAACUGACAAAGGAGCUUCAGUGUGCUGUAUUAUUCUAUCCUGAUUUUCGUAUUCUUCAGGAUCUCUCAAGUGGCAAGGUGAAGGGGAUUGGUAAAGAAGAAAAUGGCUUGUAUGUGUUCCAAUCAGGUCAUAAGAAAGCAUUUACAGCAAAUGUUGCUGCUGCAGCUACUAAUGUUUGUUCUUCAUCACUUGGAGUGUCUUCUGAUAGCUAUAGUAUGAGUAUGAAUCUUUGGCACAAGAGGUUGGGUUACACCUCUUCUGUUACUAUAAGCCAGUUGUUUGGUCCUACUUCUACACAUUGGGACAAAUGUAUCAAGAGUUGUAAUGUGUGUCCUUUAGCAAAACAAACUAGACUGUCUUUUCCAUUAAGCACUACUACAUCUGAGUGUUGUUUUCAAUUUGUUCAUGGUGAUGUAUGGGGUCCUUAUAGAGUUCCUACUCAUAAUGGAAAAAAAUACUUUCUUACACUUGUUGAUGACUAUUCUCGAUAUACUUGGUUGUUUCUACUACCUUCUAAAGCUGAUGUUGUUGUUGUGAUUAAGGAAUUUCUGCUUAUGGUUCAGACUAUUUAUUCUUCUGUAGUGAAGUGUCUUAGGACUGAUAAUGGGUGUGAGUUCUUUAACUCACAAAUGAAUGGAUUGCUAAAGUCUUUUGGUACUGUUCAUCAAAGUUCUUGCUCUUACAGUCCACAACAAAAUGGAGUGGCAGAGAGGAAAUAUAGACACAUUUUAGAAGUAGCAAGAACUAUCAGAUUUCAGGUUGGUGUACCAUUGAAAUUUUGGGGUUAUUAUGUGACCACUGCAGUAUAUAUAAUUAAUAGACUGCCUUCUGCAAUCAUUCAAGAUAAAUCUCCUUUUGCGAGACUUCAUAGACACUCACCUUCUCUAGCUCACAUGAAAGUAUUUGGCUGUUUGGGGUAUGUAACUCAGGUGAGAAAGGUGGACAAAUUUUCUCCAAGGGCUAUUCCUGCAGUAUUUCUUGGUUACUCGGUGUCAAAAAAGGGCUAUACUAUGUAUGAUUUGGAGUCCAAAGUAUUUUUGACAAGUAGCGAUGUCUUAUUUCAGGAAGAUUCUUUUCCUUUCAAGACAACUUCCAUUUCUCCUUCUCAUUUGUUUUCCCCGAAGGAAGAUGAACUGCAGCCAUCCUAUAUAGAGAAUAAUGCUUAGUCAUCCUUCAAUGUUCCUGCUCCUUCCUCUUCUGCAUAUGUUCCUUCUAUGGAUAUUACUUCAAUAGGUGAUGCUUCUGUUUCUGAAUCUUCAGCACUACAAUCUCCAGCAGUACCUGUUAGUAGAAAAUCUUCUAGGACUACUAAGCCUCCUAUUUGGAUGCAUGACUAUGUCCCACAAGCAAAGGAAGUGUAAAUUGUUGUUAUCCAGUAUCUGAUGUGGUUAGUUUUGAUCACUUAUCACCUGUGUUUAGGGCUGCUUUAGCAUCUUAUUCUGUCAUCAAAGAACCUACUUCUUAUACUGAGGCUAUUAAAGAUCCAAAUUGGGUUGCUGCUAUGCAAUUUGAAAUUCAAGCAUUACAAGAUAAUAACACUUGGAGUUUAGUUGAACUACCAGCUGGAAAGAAACCUAUUGGGUGUAAAUGGGUGUUCAAAGUUAAAUACACAUCUUCUGGAGCUGUGGAAAGGUACAAGGCUCGACUUGUAGCAAAGAGUUAUUGCCAACAAGAGGGGUUAGAUUACACUGAGACCUUCUCUCCAAUUGCUAAGAUGGUUACUGUCAGGUCAGUUGUGGCUGUGGCAGCAGCUAAAUAUUGGUCUAUUUUUCAAAUGGAUGUUCAUAAUGCUUUUCUUCAAGGAGAUUUAGUGGAGGAAGUGUAUUUGGAGGUUUCUUCUGGUUUUGGUAGCCAGGAGGGGAAGCAUGUUAUCUGCAAAUUACAUAAGUCUCUUUAUGGACUCAAACAGGCACCUAGGCAAUGGAAUAAGCUUUCUUGGAAUUGAAUUUGUGAGAUCACAAAAGGGAAUAGUGAUGAGCCAAAGGAAGUAUGUAUUGGAACUAAUUAGUGAGUUGGGAUUGAGUGGCACUAAACCAGUUAACACACCUUUGGAGACGAAUCUAAAACUUACAUCAGUUGACUAUGAUGAUUUUAUAACUAAGGAAGCAGGUUCUACAAAUGAAGAUAUAUUACUUGUUGAUCCUACUCAAUAUCAACGGCUAGUAGGAAAGUUAUUAUAUCUUACUAUGACUAGAGUUGACAUUGCACAUGUAGUGCAAGUGCUAAGUCAAUUCAUGCACAGUCCCAAACAAUCUCACAUGAAUGUUGCCUUAAGAGUAGUGAAAUAUAUAAAAAAUGCUCCAGGUCUUGGUCUUCUAAUGCCCUCAGAUAGUUCUGGAAAAUUUGUAGCAUAUUGUGACUCUGACUGGGGUGGUUGUUUACAGACUAGGAGGUCUGUCACAGGAUACUUAGUGAAGUUUGGCAAUGCUAUAGUGUCUUGGAAGUCAAAGAAACAAGAAACAGUAGCUAGAAGCUCUGCUGAAGCAGAGUUUAGAAGCAUGGCUUCUGUUGUGGCUGAAGUAACUUGAUUGAUUGGUUUGUAUAAAGAGUUGGGAAUCAGUAUUGAGGUUCCAAUUUGUCUCUAUUGUGAUAGCAAAGCUGCUAUUCAGAUUGCAGCAAAUCCCAUUUUUCAUGAAAGAACUAAGCACAUUGACAUUGAUUGUCAUUUUGUGAGAGACAAGAUUAUACAAGGUAUUAUCAAAACUCAUUAUGUUUCUACUAAGGAACAGCAGGCUGAUCUAUUAACCAAGAGUCUUGGCAGGCAACAACAUGAACACUUAAUGACCAAACUGUGCUUGAAGGAUUUAUUCAAAUCAUCAAUUUGAGGGAGGAUGUUAAAUAAAAAGAUAUUUUCCAUUAAUUAGUUAGUUGUAUCUUGUUAGUUAUAUUGUUAGAGAGGUAGUUAGAGUUUGUUAGAGUUGUUAAUGAAAUGUAUAAAUACAAUAUGUACAGAUUGUUGAAUACAAGUUGAAUAUACACAAACAUUAUAUUUCCUCUCUUCUCUUCUCUUCUCUUCUCUUCUCUCAUCUUGAAGGUCCUCACAUGGUGAAGAUCAAGGAUCUUAACAGUGUCAAGUUAAUAUUAUUGACGAAAUAAAAAAUAGUAAAUAGUCAGGGGGUAUAUAAGCUAUAUGGAUCUUUUAUAGGUAAGUGCUCAUUCAUUUCAAUCUUUGGUGAUAGGUGAUCGCCCAAUAUUGAUAUCAUAUAUGAUUAGGACAACCACAUUUACAACCUAUAUCACCAACUCUCCCACUAAAUAGGCCAUUAUAUUUUGGCUUAACAUAGUAGUAAUUAUAUUAAGUUUGUCUAGUCUAAUAGUUAUGAUUAAGACCUUGAAUUUUAUUAUUGUUUUCCUCAUUUUGUUUAAUUUGUGGAAAUUUUUGUAUUCAAGAAUUGUUUUAAAUACAAUUAACUUAAAAGUUUAGACGUAAUUUAUUUAUUCUUCCUAUAAAAUGUAAAAGUAUGUAUCUGUUUUGUCACUACAUGGACGUCCAUAAGCCAUGAGAGAGUAAAAGUGGUUGAACACAAGUCUUUCUGGUUAAGUUAAAUUUUAAAUUUUAAACAUCACAAUUUUAAAUUCGUUACCCUCCACCGAAUGAAGAGUUAUAAACUAAUAAAAUCAAUUAUGGAUCAAUCCGUUUAACGAGGGAUAAAUUUGAUAAAAUUAAUAAAAGAAAGAUUAUAACUUCAUUUUAACGACAAAGAUAAAAUUUAAAUAAUAGAUCAAAGUUGAAGGAUAUUUUUGACCCUCUUUCCCUUUAUUUCUUCUUCCUAUAAAAUAAAGGCGUUAUCAGUUUUCCUUUAAUGAGUAUCCGGUUUGUCACUUCAUGGACGUCCAUAAGCCAUGAGACAAUGAGUGGUUGAACGCAGUGUCUCUCUAGUUAAGUUAGAUUUUAGUCUUUUCGACUUAACACAUAUGUCAUUUAAUUUGAUCUAAAUAAAAUCAAAUAAAUAAAAAAACAUGCAUCCUCCUAAGCUACUUACUCAAAUCAUUGAUGAUACAGAAAUGGGGCUGCAUUUGGAAAAUUAAUAUUAAAUUAAGUCGAUACAAGAAUAUAUCGUAAUGGUAUCAUAUAGAAAAUUAAUAAAUAAUAAAGUUUUGUUUAAUUGUUUUUCUUUUUGCAUCUUUAACAUAUUAAUUCUGUUAACAUGACUUUCUUAUUUGUAGCACACUUUUUAUAUAUUUUACUCAUGUCAAGAACCUCUUUUGCGUACCAUACACACAGUGCACUUGAAAUGGUGCUAUUUCUUUUAUAUUAUUAUCCUCUCCAAAAAAAAUGUCACUUGCUUGGCUCAGGAAGAAGAAUAGAAUGUGUAUAGUUAAAUAAUAAAAGUAUACUCUUAGAUAAAAUGGUCACACACCUCAAUCAAAAGUUUCUCAAAUGAAGAGUUAUAAACUAAUACAACACCAUAAAUAACCACUAGCAAAAAAAAAAAGGAGGGGAAAGUCAAAUAUUUGAGAGAAUGGGUAAAUGCAUUAAGGUUAUUUGGGAGAAUGGAGUCGGGUUAUUGAGGUUUAAAUAAGGAAUAUAAUUUAUUUUUUUUUUUUAAAAUGAGAUCAAUUUGGGUCAAUCCAUCUAAUGAGGGGUAAAUUUGGUGAAAUUAAUAAAAGAAAGGAUAAAAUUAACUUCAUUUUAAUGAUGAGGGUAAAAUUUAAAAAAAUAAAUCAAAGUUAGAAGGAUAUUUUUGUCCCUCUUUCCCUUUAUUUGUUCUUCCUAUAAUAUAAAGGCGUCAUCAGUUUUCCUUUAAUGAGUAUCCGGUUUGUCACUUCAUGGACGUCCAUAAGCCAUGAGACAACGAGUGGUUGAACACAAUGUCACUGUAGUUAAGUUAGAUUUUAGACCUUCCCACUUUAACACAUAAAUAUGUUAUUUAGUUUGAUCUGAAUAAAAUCGAAUAAAUAAAUAUAUGCACUUACUCAAAUCAUAGAUGAUACAGAAAUGGGGCUGCAUUUGGAAAAUUAAUAUAAAAUUAAGUCGAUACCUUCAACUCGGUGCACAAGAAUAUAUCGUAAUGGUAUCAUAUAAAAAAUUAAUAAAUAAUCAAGUUUUGUUUAAUUGUUUUACUUUUUGCAUCUUUAACAUAUUAAUUCUGUUAACAUGACUUCCUUAUUUGUUGCACACUUUUUUAUAUAUUUUACUCAUGUCGAGAACCUCUUUUGCUUACCCCACACACAUUGCACUUGAAAUGGUGCUAUUUCUUUCCUUAUCACAAAAUAAGUCAUCCUUUUCGACUUACAGCCAUGAGCUAACACUUUUAAAAUGGCAAUCCAAACAGGCUCUUGCCAGUCAACAACGACGAAUUGGUCGAUGAAAGUUAGAAACAUGGCAAGUUAAAUUCACCAAUAUACAUAAUUCACGCAAGUAAAACGUCACUGAUAUAGAAAUCCCCGAUAGACGAAACAUACGAGAGAUCAAAGGGAGUAUAGUACAGAGGUAGAAGAAAUGUAACAAUAAGUAAACAAGCACAUCCAAGUCCUCCCAUUGCUAAACUUCAUUCAUGUAUAGAGGAUUUUGCAGAAGAACAGAGAUCCAAGGUGAACAACAGAUCAAACUAUGAGAGGAAAAAGUCUGGGGGAAAACGAGAAGACCAAAAUCCAUAUAUAAGAUCAUGAAAACCUGAAAGUUUCGACCCAAUCCAAAAGUAAACAAACUGAAGGGGACGGGCAGACGCUUUACGUUGCACACAAUCCUCAUCGAUUUUCGCAUCAAAUGAACAACAUUCUUUUGCUAAUCAACUGGAAAACAAGUAAUCCACUACAUCCUUCUCUUAUCUUCUUCAUGGCCAAACUCUCUUUCCUUUCACUCUCAAAACAUCCUAGAAACUUCACACACAACCAUUACAGAUAUGGCUUGGACACAACAUCCUAGUUUUAAACUUUCUACAACCUCUAUGUUUUACAGCAAUAGAUGCAAAACUCAUUCUUAUCAAAACAAAGAACCACAAAAAAAAGGAAUCCCACUCAACCCAACACUACUCGCUCUAGUUGAUUCUAUCCCCAUAACUUGUCACUCCAUAAAAGAUAACUAGUUCCAAUUACUACUACAAAUGGGGAGCAAGAAAUGUCUAUACAAUGUCUAUUUGAUUUUAGUUGCAAAUACUAAACUAAAUAAUUACUCAAUUCAGACAUCAUAAUAAUAUAUGAUACCAAAAGUUCUAUACAACAAAUUACUUGUGAAUGUCUAAUUGACAAAAGACAAUGCAAGAGAAUCACAUUUGAAUAGGCUAGUCUAAUUAGUUCAUAACAAUCGAAUCUAUAUCAGAACGACAACCAAGAGGAUAAUCUGUUAGAACAUCAAUUCUAUUUGACAUAGAAUCACCUAACAUCUGUUGAACUUAAGCAGCAGGCGCAUAAUUGACACAAACUCUGAUAAUAAUGUCAAAACAUUAUCAAUCAUUUGAAAAUGUCGAAGGCAGAGAGUCAAGGAUCCAGAAAAAAUUAUACGCCAAUUUGUUGUAAAAAGUAUUUCAAACAAUUCCAAGUUCAAAUCUCCAUUAACUAAUCCAAAAACAGUAACUUUAACACAAAAAAAAGUAACUAACAACUCAAAUCAAAUCUAGGCGGUAAGAACAACAGCACCACCAUUUUCCUUGAUCUUCUUCUCUGCAUUCUUUGAGACCAACUUAGCCUUAACAACAACAGGCUGUCCCGUAGGCAAAACACCUUUACCCAAAACCUUGAAAUACCCAAAUUGGGUAACAUCAAUCAACGGGGCAGUACCCUUAUUGGCAGCAGCCUUGUCUUUCACCUCUUGAGGAAGGAGAGACCAUAGAGUGUCGAUGUUGACAGUAGGGCAAUAGAAUUUGUUACGAAGCUUGUGGAAAUAACGCAUACCUACUUUACCGAAGUAACCAGGAUGGUACUUGUCGAAAAGGAUCCUGUGAUGGUGCAUACCUCCGGCGUUACCUCUUCCUCCUGGAUGCUUCCUGUGCUUUCCGAUACGACCAUGUCCGGCGCUGACGUGACCACGCUUCUUCCUGUUCUUCUUGAAUCUGGUAGUCAUUUUCUCCUCGGCUGCGGCGGCAAAAUGGGGAAAAGGGAAAGUGCGGCAGUGAGAGAAUGGUAAGUCUAGGGUUUUCAGACAUUUAUAGAUGGAAGAUCGAUGGAUUGGGCCCAAUAGCAAUUUUUGCCAUUAGGGUUUUGACAGGGCUGUUAGUAGUUAGAUAUGGGCUUGGGUGAAAUUUGGAUAAUUGUAGCGAGAAUAUGAAGGAGAGAGCGACUGACAAACAGUUUGCUAUAGAAUACAAAUAAAUUAAGCGGUAGCUAUUUAUUUAUUUUAUAUUGUUAGUCUGUGAUUGUAUACAAUUAUCCCAAUUUUUGUAUUUGGUGGUAAAUAUAAGGGAAACUUUUACAUAUAGCCAGUUAAAAAUAAUUAAUUACUCUCCAUAGCUAUAGUUUAAUAAUUACAAUUCGUAAUUACAUGUUAUAUGGAGGAGAGAGGUGAGCGAGACUGGAAGAGAGAGGAGAGAGGCGAGAGGGGGGGGGGGAAGAGUGGGAGAAAGGUGAAUAUAUUGGUUAGAUAAUUGUAUAUUAUACAUAGGUAUUUGUAUAUAUGGAAACAGAGAUUGAGAGAGGGAGGAGAGAGGCAAGCGAGACUGGAAGAGAGAGGGUGGAGAGAGGCGAGCGAGAUUGAUAGAGGGGGAGAAUAGCGAGCGAGAGAAGGCAGAGAGUGGGAGAGAGGUGAAUUGUAUAUGUAUAUAAUUGUAUAUUAUACAUAUACAUUUGUAUAAAUGGCAAGCGAGAUUCGGAGAGGGAGGAGAGAGGUGAGCGAAAUUGAGAUAGGGAGGAGAGAGACGAGUGAGAUUGAGAGUGGGAAAAGAGAAGCGAGCGAGAGAGGGCAGAGAUGGGGAGAGGUGAAUUAUAUAUGUAUAUUGGUUUAAAAAUUGUAUAUGAUACAUAUUUAUUUGUAUACCCUGGCGAAUUAUACAUAUACAAACAUGAUUAAUUAUAUAAACUCGAAGUUAUCGCACGUAAUGAAUGUAUAAUGUUAGUCGCGAGUGAUAAUUAUAGCAAAUUAUAGCUAUGAUGAGUAAUUAAAUAGUAUAAGUUUGUUUAGCCGCGUAAUUUCCCCUGAAUAUAAGUGAAAAGAAAAAAUAAUUUUUUCGUGUUUUUCAAAUUUCUUAAAAAUAAUUCGAUGAAAGUUUUUCACUAGACUGCGAAAAACACAUUUAGCCAUAAAAUUCUAAAAAUUAACUUCAAGUUAAAUUUCUUAAUUUUUCAAAAAUUUAAAAAAGCAACAAAAAAAUAUUUCUACUUCUAUUUUUCACUCCAUUUAACUUACAAAAAAAAUUAAAAUAACUCCAAUUUAUAUUCGUGAUCGAACACAAUUGCAUGCAAAUUUUAACUAUCAUUUUUUCACUUUGAAGAUAAUCAAUCACCAAUUAAUAAUUGAUUUUAUUUCAGAUGAAAUAGCAUAUAAGGGACAACAAACAAACAACACAUCAAAUUGGUGAUGAAGUUGAGGUUGCAAGUCAAGAGUUGUUAGGCUUUAUAGGUUCUUACUUGCGUGCAACUAUUCUUUACCCCGUUGGCGCUUUACAUUACAAAGUCCAAUACAAGACUCUUGUGAUUGAUGAUGAAAUCGCGCCACUAGAAGAGACUGUAUGUGUCUCUGAGGUCCGUCCUGUUCCACCUACUCUUGCAUCUGAAACAAGGUAAAUGGUAAAAUAUGAUAUUGUAGAUUUGAAGAAAUUUUUUUGUUAUUGUAGUCUCUACAUGUUUAAGAACUUUGUUACAUUCUUUUUUUCCCAAUAUUUUGAUUGAAUUUGCCUGUUAAUAUGCAUUUUGCAUUUUCAUGUUGCCUUUGAUUAAAACUCUGUUUUGGCUGCCAACCACUCUACACACUUAUAAUUCUAUAUCUAUUUAGUACCUGGUGUAGGUAUGUACUUAAUGGUAAGAAAAAUAUGCACGAGGCAGACGCGAAAUCCAGGGGAAAUAGGAGAUCAUAAAUGCUUAAAGAAUUAGCAAAUUAUAAUGGUUGUUACUAUCAAAGACACCAAUUUGUCAAGAUCUACAGGGUUCUUGGACAUGUCACAUUCUAAGUAAAAACUAUACCUUUAAUGUAAAAGAAACUUUGUAUUUCUCUUUGGACAUGAACCUUUUUCUCACAUGGAAAGUUUUGGACCAUAUCAUAAUGUUCUGAUAUUACAAUUCAAUUUGAAGGAUCAAAAUGUAUGGUGUAUUCAACAUGUUGGAAUACCAGUGUUUAUCAUGUAGAACUGAGUGUUAAACACGCAUGAAAAUUGACUUUUUAGUGAAAAGUGCUAGUUAAGUUCAGUCAAGUGUAAACCAUUCAUUUUGCCUUUAGACUCAUUUAGGAUUCUUAAGAAGCAAAUACUGUUGUCUGUGUUGCAGUAGAAAUGAUUCCUUUAUGAAGUAAACAUCGUCGAGUUAUAUGCAAGAGAACUUAAUAACAGAAACUUAAUAUUUACUAUUAUAGUAAGCUAAAGUACUGGGAAGAAAACUUGUUACAUUGUUUUCUCAAUCGAAUUUUCUGGAAAAGCAUAUGCAUUCAAGGAAAUUCCUUGUAAUCUCAGGCUGCCUUAGAUUACAACUCUGUUUUGGCUGCUGCACUUGGCUAACCACUUUAACCUCUCAGAACUCUGGUGCAUUUUUUUGAACAUAUUCUCCUAUAUCUUGUCCAUUCUUUACUAGCCUGAAAUGGACAAAUAAUAGCAUUAUAGCAUGCUUGAACUUUGAUAAUUUCAUGUUGUGGUGGAGAACUAUGUUUACCUCGUGGAACGCGGUGGCCUGUUUCCAAUAAUAAGGCUUGUAAUGUUGACAACAGGUAUAAGGUCAAGUAAUGCUUUAGCUGGUGAAUUGCUUUCCACAAGCAUAGUAUCAACUGGUACCUAGCAGCCAAAGUAAAAUCAAGAACUGUCCUGUAACAAUGUUUUCGAAUAUUGGAUGUGAAGAUUCUGAUUGAUAUAGACUUGAACCUACUUUGGCAUCGUUGCAUAGGCGAAUGUAUUUCACCAAGAGACUCUUCCUCCUAUUAUUCUCUUCAUUGAUGUAGACUUGCACUUGCUCUUUGCUCAAUUGGCUUCUUGAUAAGUUCCCAACUAUCAUACAAAAUUCAACUUAGCUGUCAAAUUUUCCUCAGUUUCUAUAUAAAAAAAUAGCUUGGUGCUCAAAGCAUCUCGCGUUUCACGCAGGAGCAAGGUAAACAUCGCGCCCAUAGGGGUGUGUAAUGUAAGCAAUCUAUCCUAAUGCAAGUAUCGGUGCAAGGCAUCCUGCAUUCAUGUAAGGUACGUGGAAGGGCUUCACCCUGAGGGGGUUUAAUAUAAGCACCCUGCCCUGAUGCACUUGUUAGUGGCUGAUUAUCCACGUCAUGAACCUAUAAUCUAUAUGUCACAAGUUCGAGUCAAUUUUACCAGUGAUCCAAGCAGUCGUGUAGCCACAUUGGACACCCUUCGUCGGAAUAUUAUAUCGUAUAUACAAGUAAAAUGACACAACAAUAUGAUGUAGCCUAGUGGUUUCAGGCACCUUGAAAUAGUAAAGAUACAAAAAAUUAAAGUGUUUGUGUGUUUAGAUUUCACUACUAGCAAAAAAAAUUCACUUUUUAAGAAGAGCAGAUUCACUUUAGCAUUUCGACACCCUUCGUGAAAAUCCUGGAUCGAAGGCUCCACAUCCCUUUGUUCCUAGAAAGUAUUCACCUAUUAACUAACUUUUAUCUGACUUAAGACAAGAUAUAUGAUGAAAAAUCCUAGGAUUCUUGUCACUAUUGAGAUAGCAGCAGCAACAAGAAAAUUGAACCAUUAUAUUCAAUAUACUCUUGAAUUUCCUGAUUAUUGAAUGAAUCGCUGACGUGAUAUAUCGAAUAUAGAGAUAUGUAUGUACAAGAACAAUAGUUACCUGGUGUUGGAAUGUACUUGAUAGUAGGAAAAAUAUGCACGAGGCAGACGCGAAAUCCAGGGGAAACAGCAUGAUCAAGUGCCCAUUGAACAACAUACAAGUCAUUUUUUCCAACAACUACAUAAACAUCAUUAGUUUCUGCAUCUUUUAUUGUACUACUCUUGCUAUCUUCUCCAAUCUCUUCGAUUUCCCUAGACAUCUCUUUCGACAAAUCUUGAAUAUAGCCGAUAACAACGAUGCUAGUUGUGGUGCUCAAUUCUGGUCCCUCAUUUGAUGGUGGUUUCUAGCGAAGACACCAACAAUGUAAUUUUUUUGUCAAGUUGUGGAGUGUUUCUUGGAUAUGUCACAGUCUAUGUAACAACUGUUCCUUUGAUGUAAAAAGAAACUUUUUUUAAUGCUUAUAGAAAAGAAUGAUGGUGGUUGCUAACAAAGACACCAAUAAAAUGAAAAAAAAAAGGAGAGUUUUAUGUGAAUUUUUUUUUCAUGUCUAACAUCUGUAGCCUGUAGGGUUCUUGGACAUGCCAUAUUCUAAGUAAAAAUUGUUCCUUUUUUAUGUAAAAGAAACAUUUUUUUUUUCACAUGGGCAAGUUUUAUUGGACCAUAUCACAAUUUUAUGAUAGUGCAAGUCAAUUUCUAAUGCUUUGAUUUUUCUCUUUUUCCUUUACUUGUGAUCUGUUUUUUCCAGAAUUGUCUCUUUCCAUGCUUAAAGGAUCAAAAUGUUAUAGUCUAUGCAACAAAUCUAACUAUUAUUAUAACCAUACAACAUUAAAGUAUCCGAUUGAGUCAGACAUUUUAUUAAGGAGUGUUAAAAUGUAAGUAUGUAAACAUAUCCUAACAAAAAAGAUCAAAAUGUAUAGUCUAUGCAACACAUCUAACUAUUACUAUGACAAUAAAAGAUUAAAGUAUGUGAUAGAGUCAGAUAUUUUAUUAAGGAGUCUUAAAACGUAAGUAUGACAUACCUGAAGAAAAAAGAAAAAAGAAGAUCCGAUGAAGUCAGACAUUUUAUUAAGGAAUGUUAAAAUGUAAGUAUGUAAACAUACCCCAACAAAAAAGAACAAAAUGUAUAGUCUAUGCAACACAUCUAACCAUUACUAUAACAACAAAAGAUUAAAGUAUCAUACCCCAACAAAAAAGAUCAAAAUGUGUAGUCUAUGCGCGAAGACAAAAGAAAAAGAAGGGAGUCUGUCAGACAGCCAUGAGACCAUCUUAGUAUGCCCGAUGACAAAAGAAAAAGAAGGGAGUGUGUCAGACAGCCAUGAGACCAUCUUAGUAUGCCCGAAGAAAAAAGAAAAAAAAGGAAGUCUGUCAGACAGCCAUGAGACCAUCUUAGUAUGCCCGAAGAAAAAAGAAAAAGAAGAGAGUCUGUCAGACAGCCAUGAGACCAUCUUAGACCCGAGAUCUCCGGUCUAAGAACGAUCAUCUACUGCAUCCACAGCUCGAGGAGCUAUGGAAGGCUGUUAAUCACGCUCUAGUCACCAUUACUAUAACAACAAAAGAUUAAAGUAUCAUACCCCAACAAAAAAGAUCAAAAUGUGUAGUCUAUGCGCGAAGACAAAAGAAAAAGAAGGGAGUCUGUCAGACAGCCAUGAGACCAUCUUAGUAUGCCCGAAGAUAAAAGAAAAAGAAGGGAGUGUGUCAGACAGCCAUGAGACCAUCUUAGUAUGCCCGAAGAAAAAAGAAAAAGAAGAGAGUCUGUCAGACAGCCAUGAGACCAUCUUAGACCCGAGAUCUCAGGUCUAAGAACGAUCAUCUACUGCAUCCACAGCUCGAGGAGCUAUGGAAGGCUGUUAAUCACGCUCUAGUCACCAUUACUAUAACAACAAAAGAUUAAAGUAUCAUACCCCAACAAAAAAGAUCAAAAUGUGUAGUCUAUGCGCGAAGACAAAAGAAAAAGAAGGGAGUCUGUCAGACAGCCAUGAGACCAUCUUAGUAUGCCCGAAGAUAAAAGAAAAAGAAGGGAGUGUGUCAGACAGCCAUGAGACCAUCUUAGUAUGCCCGAAGAAAAAAAAAAAAGUCUGUCAGACAGCCAUGAGACCAUCUUAGACCCGAGAUCUCAGGUCUAAGAACGAUCAUCUACUGCAUCCACAGCUCGAGGAGCUAUGGAAGGCUGUUAAUCACGCUCUAGUCACCAUUACUAUAACAACAAAAGAUUAAAGUAUCAUACCCCAACAAAAAAGAUCAAAAUGUGUAGUCUAUGCGCGAAGACAAAAGAAAAAGAAGGGAGUGUGUCAGACAGCCAUGAGACCAUCUUAGUAUGCCCGAAGACAAAAGAAAAAGAAGGGAGUGUGUCAGACAGCCAUGAGACCAUCUUAGACCCGAGAUCUCCGGUCUAAGAACGAUCAUCUACUGCAUCCACAGCUCGAGGAGCUAUGGAAGGCUGUUAAUCACGCUCUAGUCACCAUUACUAUAACAACAAAAGAUUAAAGUAUCAUACCCCAACAAAAAAGAUCAAAAUGUGUAGUCUAUGCGCGAAGACAAAAGAAAAAGAAGGGAGUCUGUCAGACAGCCAUGAGACCAUCUUAGUAUGCCCGAAGACAAAAGAAAAAGAAGGGAGUGUGUCAGACAGCCAUAAGACCAUCUUAGUAUGCCCGAAGAAAAAAGAAAAAAAGGGAGUCUGUCAGACAGCCAUGAGACCAUCUUAGUAUGCCCGAAGACAAAAGAAAAAGAAGGGAGUCUAUGCGCGAAGACAAAAGAAAAAGAAGGGAGUGUGUCAGACAGCCAUGAGACCAUCUUAGUAUGCCCGAAGACAAAAGAAAAAGAAGGGAGUGUGUCAGACAGCCAUGAGACCAUCUUAGUAUGCCCGAAGAAAAAAAAAAAGUCUGUCAGACAGCCAUGAGACCAUCUUAGACCCGAGAUCUCAGGUCUAAGAACGAUCAUCUACUGCAUCCACAGCUCGAGGAGCUAUGGAAGGCUGUUAAUCACGCUCUAGUCACCAUUACUAUAACAACAAAAGAUUAAAGUAUCAUACCCCAACAAAAAAGAUCAAAAUGUGUAGUCUAUGCGCGAAGACAAAAGAAAAAGAAGGGAGUCUGUCAGACAGCCAUGAGACCAUCUUAGUAUGCCCGAAGACAAAAGAAAAAGAAGGGAGUGUGUCAGACAGCCAUAAGACCAUCUUAGUAUGCCCGAAGAAAAAAGAAAAAAAGGGAGUCUGUCAGACAGCCAUGAGACCAUCUUAGUAUGCCCGAAGACAAAAGAAAAAGAAGGGAGUCUAUGCGCGAAGACAAAAGAAAAAGAAGGGAGUGUGUCAGACAGCCAUGAGACCAUCUUAGUAUGCCCGAAGACAAAAGAAAAAGAAGGGAGUGUGUCAGACAGCCAUGAGACCAUCUUAGUAUGCCCGAAGAAAAAAAAAAAAAGUCUGUCAGACAGCCAUGAGACCAUCUUAGACCCGAGAUCUCAGGUCUAAGAACGAUCAUCUACUGCAUCCACAGCUCGAGGAGCUAUGGAAGGCUGUUAAUCACGCUCUAGUCACCAUUACUAUAACAACAAAAGAUUAAAGUAUCAUACCCCAACAAAAAAGAUCAAAAUGUGUAGUCUAUGCGCGAAGACAAAAGAAAAAGAAGGGAGUGUGUCAGACAGCCAUGAGACCAUCUUAGUAUGCCCGAAGACAAAAGAAAAAGAAGGGAGUGUGUCAGACAGCCAUGAGACCAUCUUAGACCCGAGAUCUCCGGUCUAAGAACGAUCAUCUACUGCAUCCACAGCUCGAGGAGCUAUGGAAGGCUGUUAAUCACGCUCUAGUCACCAUUACUAUAACAACAAAAGAUUAAAGUAUCAUACCCCAACAAAAAAGAUCAAAAUGUGUAGUCUAUGCGCGAAGACAAAAGAAAAAGAAGGGAGUCUGUCAGACAGCCAUGAGACCAUCUUAGUAUGCCCGAAGACAAAAGAAAAAGAAGGGAGUGUGUCAGUCAGCCAUAAGACCAUCUUAGUAUGCCCGAAGAAAAAAGAAAAAAAGGGAGUCUGUCAGACAGCCAUGAGACCAACUUAGACCCAAGAUCUCCAGGUCUAAGAACGAUCAUCUACGGCAUCCACAUCAAGGAGCUAUGGAAGGCUGUUAAUCACGCUCUAGUCACAUGGCCAUGCUUCAUCAACCAGACUUGGAUUCCUGUCUUCUUAGAAUUUAAGAAUACGGUGGUACGAGCCUAUAGAACAGAUCCUGUUCAAGUAAGGUCGUGACAUAGGCUGUUGGAAUGGAGAAUAUAAUGCUGUAGCUUUUGUGUUCCGCUUCCGAUGUGGGAGUAGUAUAUCGGCCCGUCUCGCAGUCAACUGAAAUACAAAUUAAUAAAUAGACCUUACUCUUUUUUUUAAUUAUUGUUUUAUAGAAAAAAUAAUUAAGUACUAAUAAUUUUAUUGUAAGGUCAUCAAUCUUGUAAAAAUUAUCAUUCCUAAAACUCUCUGUUCUCUAAAGAAUCAUAAAUCAGUUAUUAUAGAUGAACUUGUGUUCACCAUAUGCAAUAUUAUAUAAAAUAAGAUUAUAUAUGACAAGGCUCGUGAGAUGGGUUGGGUUGGCAACAAAAGAGAUAAACAAAGAGAAUAUAUUUGUCGAUUUCAAAAGCUAUAAGAAAAGUUAAAUAUUAUCGACUCAUCUACGUCUCAUAUUAACAGAGGAGAAAACUUUAAUUUUACAGAUAGUUAUAUUGAAAUGGUAUUGCAAAAAUUUUGUUUAACCGUUCGGGCGAUAUAUGGGUGGCAAAAUUAAGUCCAAACCCACCCAACUUUACUCAAUCCAUUAAGGUUUGGGUUGGUUAUUAACUCUACAAUCUCAAUCCGACCCAUUAAAAAUUGAAUUGAUAUUUCAUCCAAAUUAUUUUUUGAGAAAUCUUAUCAAAAUAUUGUUAAAAAACUAUUUUUUGAUUUAUAUGUUAUAUAUAGUUAUAAUAAUGAAAAGAAUAAUUUUAUUUGAUACUAAAAGCUUGCAAAAUAACAAAUAAAGUUAUUCAAUUUAGUAAAAAUUGGGAUUUGAUUAUUGACCCGUUACUAAUUCGUUCUGAUCCAAUCCAUUUUGGCCCAAACAAAUUUAAUUGGAUUGAAUCUUAACCCAUUUUGAUCCAUUCAAAUUUAACAGAUGGAGUCCAAUUACCACCCUUACGGAGAUAUAAGUUAAAUGUUAAACCAACCAUAUAAUUUUAUGUUAGUAUUGUGCUCUCCAGAUGUGCUUGUUUCACCCUUUUUUUCUUAACUUAGACAAGAUUUUUUUUAAAACAACUCUGACCAAAAGAAAGAAAAAAGAGAAUAGCUCAAAUGGCGCGAUCUAAAUCUCAAUGUUAUUAAAAAUAGGCAUGAUAUUGGUCAAAUUUUUGUCUUUUUAACUCUAAAAAAAGUUAUGACAAUUAAAAAUAAAAGAAAAAAUUAUUAUAUAGUUCCAUAAUAAAAUCAUUUUAAUGAUUUAAAAUGUAUUUAUUGGUCUAUUCAUGUAAAAUCGUCUAAUAUAUGAAGUGCAAGUAUACAUUCCCCAAUUUUUUAAGCUUCCUUUCUGUUCACUAAAUUGUCUAUGGGGGGUUCAUUCACACACAAACAUCCAAAUAAAGCCAAAAAAAGAGUUACGUAUUCGAUUUGUUUUUAAGCAAAAUAAAACAAAUACGUGCAUUUUAAUGGUUGAUUAUUAUAUAUUUUAUUUUAGUAAGAAAAUUUAAUAUAUUUAAAUUUUAAUUGAAUUGCUAUAAUUAUUUUAAAUUUUGAGCAGGAUUUAUUAUCCUUGUAUUAUUUACUAGUGGGCAUAGUAUAUAUAUUGAAUUCUAAGAUUAGCUUCAAAUUUUAAUUUGACCUUCAACUUUUAUAGUGCACAAACAAAUACUUUAACUAUUCGACUUUUAAAUAAAUAACCAUGGGAUUUUUGGAGCCAGAGAGAGUGAAAUGUAAACGCUCUCACGUGUAUUAGUGAGUCACUCAAUAACUGUCAACUAAUUAAAUAUUUUACACGUCCAUCUUAGAAUUAAAAAUAAAUAAAUUAAAAUGAGAUUUUGAUUUGGAAAUAUAAAAAUAUAUAUAUAAGGGAUUCAUUAAGGGUAGAGUUGUCAUUUCAACAUUUUUUUACUGUUGUGGGCUUCAAAAAUUACUCCUAACUCGCGCGAAAUACGUGCACAUCACGCGUUUUGUCAGGUAGAAUUCGUGUGCUUAUUUAUUAAAAGGUUGGAUAGUUAAAGUCCAUAUUUGUGCACUAUAAAAGUUGGAGAUUGAAAUUAAAAUUUAAAACUAAUUUUAGUAUUUAAUAUAUGUAUUUUAUCUUUAGUGCAUUCGAGAUUGUUAUAACAUUUUUUAGCUCUAAAAAUUUCAAACAUAUUUACGACAUUUUUUCCCUAAUACUUUUGUCCAUCAACACUCCUUUAAAGAUAUCUUUUAUUUGAAUAAGACGCAAGAAUCUUUGAUAUUAUGGUAAAAUUAUGUAUAUGAAUUAUCAUAGAUUUUACCAAACAAACUUCAUAAAUAAUAUUUGAAACUCUAAAUUCUACUAUUGGUACUUCAUAUAUCUAUUUAAUUCUUCCUUGAUUUAAAAAACUAACUUAAAUCAAUUUAAAAGUAAUAGUUUACUUCUUUUCUUGAUAAUAUUAUUAUAUCAAUUUUCUAAUUGAUAUGACUGAUAUGUUUAAGGCUAAAAAAGGAUAAAAUUUAUUUGGGGGUUUACAUUAAAAUCAGAUCAAUAUAUGCAUAUUAUUUUUUAAAUUAGUAGUUUAUUUUACUUUAUUAGAUCACGUUAUAAUACAUUUUGUAUUGAUUUGAUGUAAACACUCAAUGUAUAUAAUUUUUUUUCGCUAGAAAAUUAAAGAGCAUUCUAAUAUAUUCGCUAUAAUUUAAAUUUAAAAUCAUAAAAUUGAUUAUUUUUUUAAAAUUCUGUGUUAAAUAAAAUGAAAUUAUUAUUUUUGAAACGGAAAAGGGUCAAAAUUGUCACUGAACUACCCUCCAUUAAAUUUUGGGAUCAAAAACACCCCAUGUUAUCCUAGGAGACCAUAAAUACCCUCAAGAGUUAACAUCCCAACUUUUUAGGGGUCGUUUGGUAUAAAAAAAUAAAAUAACGCGUGAAUUAGUAAUGCAGUGAUUAGUAAUGCAUGGAUUAGUAGUGCAGGGGUUAGUAAUGCAUGGUUUAUUUUUAUUUAGUGUUUGGUUCAUUGUUUCCAAUCCCAAUUUGUAUUUGAAAUUAAAUUCUUUAAAAAUCUCUUUUUCAAUUGUACCCUUAUAAUAUUAUGUAAGUGGGUCAAGGUAGAUAGUUAUCGGAAAAUAUUUCUUUUAUGACAUUCUAACUAGCUAUGAGAAGAAUAAUUUUGUUGUCAUGUUUUUAAUUUUCUACUUGAAUUAUUUGAGGAUAAAUAGCUUUCAUCUUAAUAAAUUGAUCACUAAUAAAAUGUUAAUUUUAAAUUUUAAAAAGAUAAACCAACUACUUUUAAAAUUAUAAAAGACGGUCAAUAAUUGGAAAAUUGAAUAAACCAUGUACAUUCACACAUAAAAAUUUUGCAAGUUAUAAUUUUAAAAUGUAUGUAAUUUUUUUAAAUAGUUCAAAAUACGAAUAAUUAGUGAUAUAUUUGUCUUUUAAUUAGUAAAUGUUAAAUAACUCACUUAUUAAAUUUGUAUUGAUUUGAAUUAGGUAUAUUUAGUUACAAAUAAGUCUCUCUAAAUAAUUUGUAAACUAAUUUAUUUAAAUAAUUUUAUUAGUACAAAUAUAAAACAUAAAAUUAAGAAAUUAAAAUAAAAAUUAAAAUGAUUUGAGGGAUAUUUUUUUCUUUAUGUGCUUAUCCCAUGGUAUUAUAUCCUAUGUAUUACUAAUACCUCCAAAUGGAAGGUAUUAGUAAAACAUCACAUAAUAUCAUGUAGGAUGUAUUAACUAAUCCAUGGAUUAGUUAUACAUAGGCUUACAUUCUCACCAAACACAGUAUUAAAUUAUACCACAUCUAAUACAUGGAUUAUUUCUUUUAAUACAGCCUACCAAACGCCCCCUUAGUGACAUGCCAUGCCAUGUGAGACUUAUCCCUCCAUCUAAAGGUUAUGAGUGACUUUUUGUGACGAUAAAAUCUAUUUUUUCAACAAAAAAAUAUGAUAAUUUAUUUUCGAUUGCAACCUAAUUUUCUAAAAUAAAUAACUUACAAUAUUAAUAUUAAAAACACCCAAUAUUAUUACGAAAAAUCAUGAAAUUCUUUCUCGAUUCAUAUCUCCUACUAGAUAAUGUAUCAUUGUACAUUUUAUAGAUUAACAUAUAACAUAAAAAUAAAACAUGCAAUGUCUUCAAAUUUCUACUUAAUCAAUAUCAUUUUUGUUUUUUUUUUUAAAUAAUAAAGAAAAAAACACAAAUCAAAAUUUAAUGUUAAAAACUUUUAGUGACAAUUUUUUGAGUUUUUGUGGCAACUAUUUUCGCCACUAAAAGUGUAGUUCUUUUGUAAUGAAUCCUAGUUGGCAAUGUUUAAGUGGAAGGAAUAGUCCACAUAGCUUUCCUAGUCAAUAAAAAUAUGAGGUGUUAACUCUUAAGGGUAUAUAUGGUCUCUUAGGUUAAUAGUAAGAGCAUUUCUGAUUUCAAAAUGUAACGAAGGGUAUAAGUUGUCUAUGUCACAUAGUUCAAAGACAAUUUUGAUCUUUUUUCGUUUUUGAAAAGAAGAAUAUCAAAUUACCAGCAGGCCCUUUCUUCUUCCACCAGGUGGUAUAUGCUGAGCCUAACACCUCAUCGACUCAGUCACUCGUCACACCUUAAGUGGACCCACCUUUAAUUUCCCAAAACGCCCUCGUCAGUCGUCGCGUUUUCCUCCCCCUAUAUAUAAGCUUUUCCCUCGGUCCCAAUUCAAAACCCUCGAAAUUUCAGAUUUCUCUAGAAGCUUCUUUUCAUUCUUCCGACCACAAUUUCCGAUUUCAAUUGCUCUUUUCGCACGAGCAUGAGUCAGUCUACACAAAUCGUCAAAUUCCUCUACAGUUACGGCGGUAGAAUCCUUCCUCGUCCCUCCGACGGCACACUCCGUUACAUCGGCGGUUUUACUAGAGUCCUUUCCGUUGAUAGAUCUAUUUCAUUUGCAGGUUUGUUUAUACAUUCAUCACUUCGAUUUUGUUUAGUUAGAAACUGAUUGAAAUUUGACUGAUGCAGAGUUGAUGGUGAAGUUUGGAGAAUUGUAUGGAUCGUCUAUGCGUUUAAAAUGUAAGAUGCCGACAGAGGAUUUGGAUGUUUUGGUAUCGAUUACCUGUGACGAAGACCUGGCUAAUGUGAUUGAAGAGUACGAUCGAGUUUCAGCAAUGACGAAUACAGAGAUGAAGAUUAGGGCGUUAUUAUCUCCAAUAAAUUUGCCGAAAAAGGACUCUCGUCCGUCUUCGCCAAUGUCUUGCUUUGAUUUUGCUGCGUCGAGCUUGAAGCCCGGAAAAUUCGUCCAGUUCAAUUCGCCUCCGUCGUAUGCGGCGGCGCGUAGACUGUUCUCACCAGUUGUGGGUUACCCGACCGGGAGACGAACAGACGGCGAGGAGCUUUACUAUCCGUACUGUGGACAGGCAGGCGUCAAGCCUCUGUAUAACGUUGUUCCUAUCCAUUGCCAAUAGAAAAAAGAUACCCGAGAGGUAGAGGUAGUUACAGUAUUGCCGGAGAGUUGUUUACAUAGAUGAAACGAAUCUCCUUCCCACCCACAAAAAAGGGUCAGAUAAACAAAAUAUUCAUCAUCACAUCAAAUAACAAAAAGACUCAUUCAAUAUAAUAUUUUGAUGCUUGAUUCAAAUUGUAUAUUGCUUGAGAUUAUUGCUUAUUCAAUUGUGAGCUCGAUUUAGGAUUCGAGCUGAUAUAUUGUUAUCUAAAUUCUAUGAUUGGCGUUUUGUUGCUCUGGGUUGUCUAUAUGGCACAAUCCCUCCAUCGUUGAGCUUUACCCAUGGUGAGCAAGUGGUAAGAUCUGAGUACAUCUAUUAUAGUUAUUCACUUGUUCUUGUUUUCUUGAGUGUUAAAACUUAGAACGAAGGGUGAAGAUAUAUACUUCAUUUAUGUGAGGGCUUGAAAUAGAUUAUGGGGUUGUAAUCCAUAUUAUAAAUAUAUCUUCACCUCUCAUUAGAUGAUUUGAAUGCACGUUUUAUGUAUGAAAUUUAUUUUGUCGAGAAAUCAUCUUUCGAUGCAUAUUUUAGGGUAUAAAUUGAUUUAAUUAAAUUUCAAUAUGAAUAACGAUAGUGAAAAACAAAAAAAUAAACGGGAUUUUGAAAAUCAAGAAUUCAUGAGCCAUUUGUUUUUAUUGGGACAAAUUUGGUUUAUAAGUGCUAUAAAUUAUUUGUUUUUGAUUUAUAUGGCAUAUCUUGAUUUAAAAACAAGCUUUAAGAAGUGAUAUUUUUUAUAAUUAUGAUAUUAAUAUAAUUACAAAAGCAUGUGAUGGGAUAUAUUAUGAAAAAUUUGCAACUAUCAUUUACACGAAGAUGCAUGUCUGCUUAUUUUCUAAGUAGUCCGCAGUGAGUAUAGUAUAUACUAAUGACUUGAUGGAGUGGCUGUGUUACGAUACAUAGAACCUUGGGAAUAUAAAUAACGUAUGGAGAGGAUGAAUCUAACAAAAUGACAAAGUGAAUUUUAUUUCACCGCAAUUCAAGUGUUAAAAGUGUGGGUUUUUCUUUUUGGGGGAAAGAGAGGGAUACACAUGCUUCUUAAUUAUUUCAUAUUUUCAAUCAAUCAAAUUUACCCAUCCUUUGUGUUUUUUACUCACUUUACCAACUCUUGAUAUAAAAUAAGAAAAAAAAAUUAGUUAAGCUAAUUUAAUUUUAAAAAUUAAUUAAAUUAAUAUUGAAGAAAUGAAUUCUUUUUUGACUAAUAACUUUAUAAGAUAGAAAAAAUUGUUAAGUCGCACGUCCAUGAAUAAAAUAAUUAUAUUUUUUAUAUGGAUUUAAUCAAUCUUCUUAUUACCAGAAUUUUGAGGUGAACGUGAGAUGAAGUGUUACGAUGAACAUACACAAUACUUUUAUUACAAAUUAAUUUUUAGAUUGAAUUUGACUUAACGAUUAAUUUUUUACAAACAUAAAUUAUAAACUUACACAAUGUUUUCAUAUGAAUUAAUUUUUAGAUUGAGUUUGACUUACUAAUUCAUUUCUUUUACGAACAUCAUCAAUAGUAAAUAGUAAAAAAGUAAGUAAUUAGCCAACCCAGCCAUGUGCAGCCACAUGCCCUACGCUUCCCUAAUUCCACAAACUCCACAUCUUUCAUGAUUAAAUUCAGUAAAUACAGCCAUACACAGCUUCACUCUUCUUCUUCUUCUUCAAAAAAAAAAAUCAAACAUUUUCAUAAUCUCUCCAUCAAAUUAAGUCAAAUCUCAAGUAAAACAAAAGAUGAAGGUCACAAUAACCACAAAAUCUUUCUUAAUUUUGAUCCUAAUAUUGAUAUCUUUCUUAGAUUCAAUUCCAUUUCUUGUUAUUAGCACUGUCGUUCUAGUGGGAACAACAGUACUAAUUGUUCUAGCAGUACGAACCACCAUAAUAACAUGGAUUAUGGUGCUCGUACUGCUAGCAUUCACUCGUAAACGCCGUAGGGGCGUAGUGAAGGAUGGUAAGUCGAUCACGUCUGAGGUGGCAAUGUAUGCGGCCAACGUUGUGUUUAAAGAGAGGGGAUUAUUUGCUAUCACCGGUACUGCUAUCAUUCUCGGUUUCACUUCUAUGGCAUUAUAUUGUUAACAACAAUUAUUAAAUCUUCGUUUCAUUUUAAGAGACACUUUUAUCUUAGUUUAUCUUUCAAAAAAAAAAGUGAUUGAAAUAUCACAGUUGCUGUAAAAUCUAACAUCCACAAUUUGUAAAUAUUUGGAUACAAUGAGUACUCACUUUCAACACAUUUUGAACUUAAAAAGCACAAAAUUUUAUGGUUCAUUUUUGUCAUUUUCUCCACGAAAAUAUUAAUGUCGUAUUUUGUAUUUAAAUUUCAUGUUUAAAUAUAUAUGAUCAUCGUAUAAAAUGAGACGAAGAAAGCAUAUAUCAACGCUUUUAUUGUUUUCUCUUUUGGUCCUGGCUGACUGCACGCAGUGGCAUGGUAUGGUUUAUAUUAAUCCUACGUCUUGUGCGGUGAAAUUAUUUUAUUUUUAAUUUAAAUUUAAAUUCGAACUUUAUAUAUAAAGUAAGUUUUAUUUGAAGUACGAUCCCAAAAUAAACCAAACAGUGUACUAUAUAAAUUUAGUCUGGCUUUACUAUGAAAUUCGAACUGUAAAUUUGAUAUUUUUCAGUUCUCUUUUUUUGCUAAUGAAGUAAACUGGACUGUAAAUUUAAAUAUAUGACAUAUAUGUAUUGACUUGACGUAAACCGUACGAAUAAUUAUUAUCAAUAUAUUUCCUUACUCGUCUCAUUUCUCACUUUAUGAACCUCUUUUUUCCUUUUUAUUAUAGUAGCUAAAACUCGAAGUACAUUAUUAAUUUAUUAUACUAAUAAAUUAUAGUUUAAAAAAUUAAAUUUAUAUGUCUAAUUUUAACUUGAUAAAAUGUUUAAGAAAUUAGAGUAAUUUUUUGAAUUAUUGAAUUUUAAACAUGCUAGGUUGAAAAUUAAUUUUAAAAUAGAAUAUUAUAUAAAAAAUAUUAAUAUCUUUUAACUGGCUAAAAAGAAAAUAAGUGAAAUAAAUUGAAGUAUUAUAUAGAGUAUUAAAUAAGGCUAUUAAAUAACAAUAGUUGAGUGUAAGAGGAUUAAGCAAAAGUAUAGGUUACUCCUCUCGUUUCAAAUGAUCUAUUGUGAAUUUCAUAAUUAGUUGUCCCAGAAUAAAAACUCUUGAAUAUAGUAAAUAUAUUUGAUAUUUGAUAGAUAUAGAUUAUAUUUUAAGACAAAAAUGAGGUCGAAUAGUUUUUAUAUUUUAUUUUAUAUUUUUUGAAAAAGAAAUGCACAAAAAAGAACACAAUAAAUAAUUUGAGAAUAUAGCAGUAUGCAUUUAAAAUAAGUUGAUGCCAUAAAAUAUUUAAAAUAAGGUGGUAUUUUUAAAUUUUGAAUAAUGAAAUUUAAAUAAAAUUCUUUUAUCAUAAUUUUUAAAUAUAUUUUAAAUUACCAAUUAUUUUGAGUGUAACCUAAUAUGAGUUUAGUGCAAAACUGCAAAUAGUAGAUGGAGUAUUUUUUGUGGGAAAAUGUUAGCAUUAUAAUGUUUGUCUUUGAGAAAAAACUUACCUCGAAUUAUAACUUGAUACCCAAAGACAUUUAAAUUAAGGUGGUAUCUUUUGAAUUUCAAAUUAUGAAAUUUAAAUAAGAUUCUUUUAUCAUAAUUUUCAAUAAAUUUUGAAUUACAAAUUAUUGUGAGUGUAACUUAUAAUAUUCUUAUAAAAUUUUUAUAUAUGUAAAUUUUAUUUUAAAAUACUUCAAGAUUACAUAUUUAAUUUUUUUUUAAUAAAUUAAAUUAUUGACUUUUAACGUUAGAACUAUACCAUACUAAUUAUGAUAGAAAUUAAAUAUCUUUUUGAUAUUUUAAAUUUACUAAUUCGAUGGACUAACUAAGAAAAAGAAAAAGAAAAGAUGGAAUAUAUCUCUACAUUUGCUUUAAAGAAAAUCAUAAAAGACCGUUUCAACUUUGUAUUUUUGUAGUGUCAAAUUAGCAAUAUACUAUUAAAUAAUUUUAUUAGUUAGCAAAAUUAUUUAACAUACAAAUUAACAUAAAGUUUAUAGUUAAUUUCAAUUGUUUCUAAGGUGGCCAUUGAGGGUUAUUAGCAACAAGAACUGUUAAUUAAUAUAAAGUAAUAUACUUAGUUAUAUCUUUUUCACCUUUCAACAUAUUUUAUUUUCAUUCCCACUUUUGUUGCACCCUCACCUAAUAAUAUUUGUUUAGAAAAUUUAUAUAUAAAUAAAAUAAUUUUUUACUUAUACACAAAAUAUAUGUAUAGUUUAUUUUCUUGAAAAACUAUUUCGUAUCUCACCCAAAAAAUGACUUUUUGGUUUCCUUAGGCCUGUAGUUUUCUUCAAAACCAAAAAAUAAAAUAAAUUAAAAUAGAGCCCACAAUAUUUUAUUUUUAUUUUUAUAUAUAUGCCGAAUUAUACAAUAAAAAUAAUAAAAUGCGAUAUACAUGACAACCGAAUAGACACCCUUCGCUUAAGGAGUCUCUUCCUCUACUGCUAUUUCAUCGCUAAAUUUUUCUCUACAAAUUCUAUUUCUAGGGUUAGGGUUUUCAAAUUCUUAGCAAAUUCAUAGUACAAUCGCUACUGUUUUUUGUGCUUUACCUGGAACGCUACCCUCAUGGAAUCUUCUAUUGUGAUCAAGGUUUGAUCUUUUACUCUUUCAAAAAAAGUCUGUUUUUUUUUGGUUUUGUUCAAUUGGAUUGCAUGUUGUUUUUCUACUUUGAAAUGUUGAAUAAUAUCGUGGUUUGAGGGAUUUUGUUGUUUCUGUACUCUGAGAUACGAUCAAAUUGUGAAAUAAAUUCGUAAGGAUAGCACCGACCACGUAUCUAGCUAGCUUUGUUAAUCAUCAUGCAUGUAAGAAUUGGGUGUUUUUUUCCCUUUGCUUAAUCUGUGUUGAGAUGUGGUAAUACCAAAAUCAAGCAAAUGUUGGACCGUAAAGAUGUUUGCUUUACUGUAAGAUGUACAAUAACAGAGUUUGCAAUGUGAUGAUGCUUCCUAGUGUUUUGGUUUUUCGAAUUUAUUUCCCUUCGUUUGAUGGAUUUUCUUGUUUUCGUACUCUUGAGAUAUGAUUGAAUUGCGAAAUAAAUUUGUAAGGAUAGCACUGACCACAUAUCUAGCUAGCUUUGUUAAUCAUCAUGAUUGUAAGAAUUGGGUGUUUGUUUUUCAUUUUUGCUUAGUUGGUGUUGUUAUGUGGUAAUAACAAAAUCAAGCAAAUGUUUUACACUGUAAAGAUGUUGUCAUUACUGCAAGAUGUACAAUAGCAGAGUUCCGAUGCGAUCUAAUUUAAACUAUAGAUGCUUCCUAGUUCUGGUUUGUGGAUUUUUUUCCCGUAUAUUUGAAAAUAAUGUAUGUUUUUAUGUUCCAGUGAUAUGUUUUUUUAAAGAGUGUUUUGUGGAAUUCCACUUUUAGAAUUUGUUUGCCCUUAACGGGAAGUUGUUUUCCUCAUGUCUAAGCAACUUAAUUUUUCUUCAUACUGAACAUACCCUAGGAGUACGGGAUUUGUGAGCUGAUUGGGGCAUACUUGAUUACUUGAUUGUUAUAAUUGCUCUGAUGUUUUCUCUCACCAGAUAAUCUUAACUUUCUUAUGAUCCUUGUUUGCAACAUGUGCUAUCUGCUAUGCAAUCUUGUCAAUAUGCAGUUUUCUGUUUCCAUGAUAACAUAAACUCAUGGACUCUUGAAAAGAAUUAUCUGUUGAGCCAGUAAAGGUUCCGUUUCUUAUUUUGGUUAGUUUUCUUAUGACCAUGGAUAUAUGUUGGGACUAACUUAUGUACCCUCUGAUGGAUGAUUUUGUCUGUAUUUAUGGGAUGUCUGCUUCCACUGUAUACUGUGUAGGUCAAGUAUGGAGAGACACUUAGACGAUUCAAUGCCCGUGUUGCUGAUGAUAAACUUGGUCUUAACAUAGAUGGAUUAAAAGACAAGAUCUUUAAACUUUUCAACUUUCCUCCCGACAGUGAACUUACACUGACAUACAUUGAUGAGGAUGGUGAUGUUGUAACACUUGUUGAUGACGAUGAUCUGCAGGAUAUCACGAGGCAGGACCUGGAUCCCCUGCGAAUAUCUGUGACAUUAAACUCUGAAAAACUUAGUAUAUCUUCAGGUACAUCAAGUGGAAAUUCUACUUCCGUCAGGGCCCCACCUACAUUUCCGAACAUAAAUUCGAGUGUUUCGGAUCUUCUCAAGUCAUUGCCAAAGUCAAAAAGCAAAAAAAUCCUAAAGCACUCUGCAGAUAUGGCGUCUAAAGCCUCAUCAGCUGCCCGAGAAAUUGCUGAGCUUUCCAAAGCUCUCUCUGUGACUAGCUUAUCCUACUUAAAGCAGGCUUGUCCAGUAUCGGGAGUCCCUAUGGGUAGUGUUAAAAGUGGAGAGCCAUCUCAAGCAGCGAAUCCUGAGGAGCUGACCGUUAAAACUGCAGGACGACCCAAAAGUCAUACUGUAUCCAUAAAUGCAUCAGAAUUGAAAUCCUCCCAACCAGAUCAAAACGGAAUUCAGUGUGAACCAUUAUCAAAAAGUCCUAAGCGUAACUCAUCUCUGGUAGACGGUAAGAAGGAAGAGGGUAACAAAUUUGGUGAUUCCCAUCUUGUUGGGAAGGCUCUUGGUAAUUCAGAUCCUAGUGCCUCAACCACUGGCCCAAAAAAGACAGCUGAUAAACAGCAAACUGAGAAUCACCCUGGUGCUGAGCCUGUUGGUGUUGUUGGUUUAUCUGGGAAGCUUUCUGGUGGUUUUAGAUCCCCAAUUUCAUAUUGGAUGCCUAUGGUGCCCGUGUCAAAUGACACUAUCCAACCUCAAUACUCUACUUUCCGGAUCCCAGUUAAAAGGAGCCAUAAUCACAGUGAUGGGACUGGCUCUAUUUUCCACAGAGGCGUUCGCUGUGAUGGUUGUGGGGUUCAUCCAAUAACUGGACCUAGGUUCAAAUCUAAAGUGUAAGAAACGUGAACCUUUUGUAUAAUUGGUAUUUGACUAAUCAAUGUUAAGGACUGAUCCUCAUAUUCUCAUGCAGAAAGGAGGACUAUGAUCUCUGCAGCAUAUGCUUUGCACAAAUGGGAAUUGAUGCUGAUUACGUCAGAAUGGAUCGUCCUGUUUCUUACCAUCAUCCCAUAGCUUUCAAGGCUUUACAUGAACCUGUAUAAGGAGUUAACUUUUUUCUUUCAAUUUUCUGCAAGUACUCUCUGUGUUGAUAAACUCUUGUCAACUUGUUGUGUAUGUAGCAUGACAUCUUUCGAGGCUGCGGUGUAAAAUCGCCUAAGCUGGACAGCCGCUUCAAACAUGAUGUCAAUGUACUUGAUGGUACUAUGAUGGCUCCAUCGACUCCAUUUACCAAGGUCUGGAGGAUGAGGAACAAUGGUAAUAUUUUCUGGCCACAAGGAACACAACUUGUUUGGAUUGGGGGAGAUCGAUUAGGUGAUGCUGUUUCUGUUGAAUUACAGGUCAGAGUUAUGGGCAUGUACUUUUUUUUUUUUGCUGAACAUCCAUGCCUACAGUCCUGUGAUGUGAUGAUACAUCGUCCCUAUCUGCAGAUUCCUUCGUUUGGCUUGGCUGUAGACCAUGAAUUUGAUGUGGCAGUUGAUUUUAGAGCUCCUAAGCUUCCUGGCAGGUACAUCUCCUUCUGGAGGAUGGCCUUGCCUUCAGGGGAGAAGUUUGGGCAGCGUGUAUGGGUGCUUAUCCAGGUCAGGAUUGUUCGCAUGCAAAAUUAUUUCUCGUCUUGAUAAUAAGAGGUAGCUUCGAUGCUGAUUUGAAUAUUUGUAACUCAUUUUUUCAGGUUGAUUUUUCAAUGAUCCCGAAAAAGGAGUUCUCUUAUGAAGCCUCUCAGGUCCUGGACUUGAAUCUUCCUCCAGCCGGCUAUGAUAUAGCUGGUUCUGAAUAUAUUAAUGUGAAUGCAGACAUGACAAUAGAGGAUAUCAUUGCUGACCCUAAAAUUUCAAACCCUGCCACUGGAUCAGUUGAGCCGGUGGUUGAUGGAAACCGUAACAAUGAGGAGUUCAAGUCGUGCAUUUCUCCUUCUGCAGCUGGUUCGUCAAUUUCAUACCCCAUUGAUUUAUCCGAGGCAGCACCAGAAGUUACUUCUGUUGCACCACCAUCUGUUGUAGAGGUGCAAGCAUCUCCACAGGAAGAUGUCGAGAUGUCCCUCCUCAAGGAACUGGAUGACAUGGGUUUCACUCAGGUUAACUUAAACAAAGAAGUCUUGAGGAUGAACGAGUAUAACCUGGAACAAUCAGUAGCUGAUCUUUGUGGUGUUUCUGAGUGGGAUCCUAUCCUUGAAGAGCUGGAGGAGAUGGUAGGUUGUUACUGUUGUGGUCAUUAAAAUUAGUGUAGUUAGUGUUUGACAUUUAUACCUUCCUUUUCUGCAUGUUGAGCAAAACAAUAACUUCUAGCUUUUGACCAUUUUAUAUUUCGUCUCUGCAGGGUUUCCACAACAAAGAGAUUAACAAGACGUUGCUCAAGAAGAACAAUGGCAGCAUUAAGCGUGUUGUGAUGGAUCUUAUUGCCGGAGAGAAUUAGAAUCUAGUUAUCAGUAUUUCUUGCAAUAUAUUAUGCUUUCAGUAGAUUAUGCUAUCUAUAACUUGCUAGACUGAGUUUGAUGUUUUGGUGACUGUGUCUUAUGUGGUUUUGCACAAUUGAUAGAUGCACUGUAACUUGGAUGUUUUGUUGACUUUGUGUCCUUGUGUGGUUUUGCACAAUUGAUAGAUGCACUGAAACUUCUUUAAGUGUCAUACUGAGCUUGCAGUGUUUUAUGAUAACGAUGGCUCCCAAAGUUUUUGCAUGCACCCAAAUUUUCUAGGUACUGUGAUGCACCUUUCUCAUAGCUUCAAGCUCUUGAAUCUUAAUGGUUCUGAUUGUGAGUGUCGAAUUCAAUUUUGAUUCUUUGGUUUGCACUGUUUUGAUCCCUUUUAUUACUAGUUAGUUGGAUUAUUUUGAGUUGAAUCCGUUAAAUCACGUUAUAAACAGUAUACACAGUAAAGCAAAUACUGUAACAAUAUUAACUUCUUUUGGCACCAUAUUAUUAAGUUGCUCUAAAGAAUCAACCCACAAAGCAACUUGCAAGAAAGAAUAUUAAUAGGUUAUCAAUUAAGGUUGUCACAAAUUACUUCUUCAUUCUUAAUAGAUGAGAUGUUUCGUUCGAGUCUUUCUGGGCAUGAGUCACCUUUUUUGUUACUUCCAACUAUGUCAUCUCCAAUGAAGUUCGGGUCACUUUGGAUAUAGAGUUCGUUUAGUUAAGGAGCGCUUGACUCGAUGUGAAUUCAGCAUUUUAUCUCACAUUAAUCUGAGAUUUUUUGACGUGAAUUCAAAGUUAAGUCGAACUUUAAUAUGAAUAUCGAACAUCAGGUGAAAAGCUAAAAAAAUCUAAAAAAAUGAAAUAUAUCAAGGCUAAAAAAGUUUGUUAGGUUAAUGAAUAAAUUGCUAGAUAAUCUAACCAAGUCGAACUCCAUUAAAAAAUAUCUGACAUCGGGUAAAAAAUUAAAAAAAAUUGAAUUUAAUCCAGCUCAAAUAUGAAUAUCAGGGCCAAAAAAGUUUGUUAGGUUGAUGAAUAAAUUGCUAGAUAAUCUGACCAGCUUUUCCUAUUUUAUAGAUUAGGAAAAUCUAACCACAUAGAAAUAAUUAAAUACUUGACUUAAUUGGAGAGGAAAGUGUCAUUGGUGAAGAAAUUUGUCAGUGAAAAGAAGCCAGUCUAUUUUACCAUUUGUAAAGGGGUCACAUGUCAAUAGCUCUAUUAUUCUGCUUUUGUGCGUAAGAAAAGCUUUCCACAAUAUUUUUUUAACAAAAAAAACAAAUAUACUCUCAAACUAUUAUAAAUGAUACAUAGGUAUAUUUUGUCAUACUUUUGAAAUGUUGGUACUUCUGUCGUUUAAAAAUUAGAACGUAUGUGUCCUUCACUCUAACAUAAGACUAAGUAGGGACACGUGACACAAUCUCAUCCAUCGACAUGGAUAAGAUUAUGACACGUGUAUUUCCGUUAGUAUAAAAGGUAUAAAUAUUUUAAUUUUUAAAUUGCAGGAAUACCAAUAUUCCAAAAAUAUGACGAAGGAUAUUUGCAAAAUAUUUAUGAUAAUUUGAGAGUAUAUUUAUCUUUUUCCCCUUUUUUUUAUACUACUAUAAAUAAAACUUUCUACCCACUAAAAUACAAAUGAGUACAACACAACAUCCCAUCAGACUUGAAUAAAGUAUCGAUACUAUUUUUUUCCUAAAGAAUAUGUUACUUAUAAAAAUUCAAAACAAGUUUAAUUUUUAUUCGUGAUCAAAUAUAACUUUAAUUUUUUUUUAAAAUCCUGUACUUUACUUUUUGAAAAUAAAAUAAUUUUUUAAAUAUUUCAUUAUAAAACAUGAUCAAACGUCCGGUUUACGUAGAAGCUAGAAUGAAACAUCAUCAGCAAGCACUCACUACUUUCUUUGAUCCUCUUGUUAUAAAAACCUCACUCUCACUAUUUUGUUUUCAUAGGUUUAUGUAUUUACUCAAAAUAAAGAAAACCAAAUUUUUCUUUCUUUGUCCAAAAAUAAUAAUUAGAAGAUGGAUGUGGAAUUUUGGACUACAAGAGAAAACUCAGCCAAUAAUCUUUCUACCUUUCAAUGUACCAAUUUAAGCAAUUCUGGUAAAUAUCAAUUGCAGCACAUGCAUUUGUCUAGUCUAACUUUUCUAGCACUGUUUCUGCUUCUUUUUCUUCAUCUUUUUUUUUUAUAUAUAUAAAUUAAAUAUAAAUUUUAUGGUAGGCAAUUUAGGUCUCUGUCUCAGGGGAGUUUUAAAUGGUGAAUGAAGCUUUUGUUUUUGACAUAGAUAUUGAUAAUUUUGGCCAUGGCUUUUCCACUAAUUGGUAAUUUUAUCUACUCUAGUUCCUCCCUUUUUUUAGGCUAUGUUGGUCGGAUUUUUCAAAAAUGUUGUUUCACUCGUGUUAGAUUCUUAAAAAAUGCAUCACUUUUGGACGGAUCCGAUACUCACUUGAAUAUAUUUUUGAAGAGUUUGAGCAACAUAGUUCUCGAGUUUUGGAGUUUCAUCUUCAUUUUCUAUUAUAUUUUAAUUGUUUACUUUCUUGGAUGAUAUGAGUUUUUCAUUAUUUGUGUAUUGUGCUUCUUCCAGUUUUAUGCAGUUACCUAUUUAACUAGUAUUUCAUUUGGACAAGAAAUUCAAUCUAAGAUUGAUAGAUUUGUGUAGUGGUGUCAAAUGAUCGUGUUGGGCUGAAUUUGGACGGGUCAAAUAGGCCGAAUCAAUAAAUGAUUGGGUCAUUUUUUUCAUAGUAUGGCUCAAAAUUCUGUAUUUACUUUAAAAAUUCACUUAAUAUGUAUAAAUAAUUUAUUCAGAACCGAAAGUUGUAUUUUCUACCACCUGUAACACAUAAAGAUGUGAUCAGAGACUUUUUUUGGACAAGAAAAAGAAAGAGAACACCUCUAAAUGAAACCUUAUGUUUGCUUAUUUUGGAAAUCAAACAGAUUCUUUCUUGAAUGAAGCUGAAGAAGCCAUUAGAGCUUGGUUCCCUUGCCCUUUCUGUUAUGGCGAAAUAGAAGUGCCAAUGCUUUGCAGCCAUUUGCAAGAAGAACAUUGUUUUGACUUAAAAAACGCGGUAAUUUCCCACUCAUGAUGCUUCCUUAUAUCACAUUCUUAUAUGCAAAAAAUGACUACAGUAACAUACUGGAAACUUUUCAAUCUUUGUAUUUGUACUGAAGAAAUUGUAUGAGUUGAUCAAUCUACUCGACGUUUCUAUUACAGGUCUGUCCCAUAUGUGCUGCAACUCUGGGCAAAGAUCCUACUGGACAUUUUUCUGUGCAACAUGCACACUCAGUAAAGGUAGACAUAUCCGCGUCAAAAAUAUUAAUUUUGAGUAUAUAGGAUGAUUUAUAAGUGAUCAGCUGAACCUCACACGCCUACUCCUUUUACAGAGGAGAAGAAAUUACCUAAAACCAGGCUUCUGGAAUAAUGCAACAGCUAUGAUCGGAAAGGAUCCUCGAGAAAUAGCUUCAUUUUUUGGCACAGAUUCAGUAUUUGGUCGAUAUAAGGUUCAAGAAUCUGCUCCUGAUCCACUUUUAUUGCCAUUUCUCUGCAAUUUUCCUCCUUCUGAUCUGAAAUGCAGGCAGCAAGAUAAGUCCUCUGUUUGUGAUACUGCUAUUCCUGAAAUAGAAAGGUAAGUUUAUUCAUUCGUUCUCUUUGUUUUCGUGAAAUUUUCUGAUAAAACAAACUGAACUAAAUACUAAACCUGACAGUUAAGCAUCAGUGUUUAAGUUUGUACCUUUCUGUAUUUGUCCUUCCGUUGCCAAUAUAACCAGCAAAAAGUGUCCACCUAGAGUGUAGUUUCACCAAUUCCCAACCCAAAACCUACCCACGUUUAGAGGCAGAUUCAGGAUUUAGAGUUAUAGAUUCAAUCUUCAAUAUUGUUAAACUUACUGUUCUAUUAAAAUUAUGAGUUCAGAUGAAGCCAUAGCCAAGAGGCUACAUCCGCCUAUCCUAUUUAGAGUUUAUUCCUCAACACUUUAUGUGGUGUAUGUAUUACUUUCAGUAAUCGGUUAUCUAAAGAACUCGAGCUUCUAGACAUGUCUUGAAGUUCUUGACGGAACUGGUGCAAUACGAGCUGUUACCAUACUGAACAUGUGGUAAAGCUGUAGAUAUGAUAAACUGACUAAGACGUUACAAUGUGUUACUACGCUGAAGGAAUGAUAUUUAUCAUAGAUCAUAUAGAUAAACUGUCUAAGAGUUCGAUAUUUUUCAUCAGCACAUACCAGGAAUGAGUCUAUUGUUGCAGCAAUGGACGACCUAGGAGUUGGUCAUGAAACUCGAUGUUUAUUACAGAACACAAUUCUGCUUCAAAAAUUUCAAUAUGAUAACAAUAUUAGGUGUCUUAACAGACCUGAUAACCUCCAGUUUGUUGAGUUUGAAAUGUUUAGCUGAUCCUUGUAGAGGAACUUUUAGUUCAUGGGUUGAAACACGAUCUGUUUCGUUCAGUAGGUUAUGUAUAGAUUGUUCAUACAUUUUAAAUAAAUGUAUGCGCCAAAACUAUUGGGUUGUACCAAACUUGUAAGUCUAUAAUGGUGGCUCCUAAUAAGCAUUGAUUGGUAAACUAGAAUACAUGACAAGUGACCUGCUAUAAUAGGUUAGAAUUAUAUGUAUAACAAUUUAUAUACUGUCAGUAUAUACCGAAUCGGCGUAGGAUGACAGAAAUCUACUGUUGUCUCUUGUGCAGCAGCAAGCUAGCUGUAUCUGAUCCAGAACUAGAAGAGGAUUUUGAAGAGAAAAGGCAGAGAGCUACAUUUCUUCAAGAGCUGGUUGCUUCAACUAUCUUAUAGAAAAUCAACCAACUUUUGCUUUCAUAAAUUAAGCAAGAGACAAUCGUUCCAAAUUACUAGCAAAAGUCAUGUAACACAAGAAAGCAUCUCAAAAACUUCUAAUAUCUAUACAUCAAUGUUACAAUUUCAAGUAUAUUAAUGUAAUCUCAUUUAUCCUUGACGACCAACAUGUUACUGUUUGCUAGUUUUCUUCUUUUCUAUCAUGUCUUGACAAGAUUGUUAAACAAUUCCCAGCGUAUGAUGGAGUCCAAAGGUUGAUUAGUAAAAUGCUGUGCACGCCAUAAGUCACAAGGUUGGUUUCUCUAUAUAUCAGAUUUGUGAUUCAUACUCGGGCUUAAGAUAUCACUGGCAAACAGCGUUGCAGUUUAGACUUAAGAUAUAACAGGCCAAAGGCGUUGAAGCCUGAAAAGCCUGUAGACUAAUGUAACUAAAGUUGUUGAUUUGAGUAGAGAGUUUAUGGUAAUGAUAAUUGGCAGUUACCUAAUUGAAGUACCCAGCAACUUCACAAGUUCCAUACAUCAAAAAAGCUAAAUCAGACACGUUCAUGAAGAACAGUACAGAGAAAAGAAUCAUAGUGACACUUCACAACAGUGAUCCUUUGCCAAUUUAGUAACAAAAGGUCUCUCAUUGACAUAUAUUUCUUGCUCAAAUACUUCUAUUAAACAGAAUGAUCGUAUUUUCUCCUCUUUUAUUUGACUCAGGCAGUAUCAUUUCAUUGUAAACUUAAUACCAUCCAAGCAAGGUAAAUAAAAGGAUAACAAGGUUACAGAUACAUUCGAACUAAUCAGAGCCUGUGGAAAGAUGAAGGUCUUGUGUUCUUUUCCCCACUUUUAAUCGGCACAUUGCAAUAACAUUCUGAAUGUCAUUGCAAAGAACUGCUCUGAGGUUUAGAGAAGAACAGGUGACAGUCAUGACUAACAUGUCACCUUGACAAUGAGCUCACAUUAAAAGUAACAUUUCCGAUAGGGAUCCCAACUUUUACUUAGCCAAGCACAAGGAAUAGAUAGAUAUACUCUUGAAAAUGCACAUUCACUACUCACUAGUGACAUACAAAAGGUGCAGUUGGGAACCAGAGGUAGUUGGACUUGAGAAGAUCUAUGGAAAAGUAAACUCAGACUUAACAAGACUUAUUAUCAUAAAUGAUCGUCAAUAAAAGUGUAUUCAAGUAAACUUGCUCUAUCAUUGGUAGCAACCAGUGCUUUGGUUAAUUCAGCACAAGGGGAUUACAAAGUGUCCAGUUCAAGGCAAACUCACUUCACAAUUCACAGAACUGGACUUAUAAUGAUCUAUAUAGCAACUUUUUUUUCAUUUUUCAUGAGAAUGAACCAGCGAUUUAAAACCACAUUGCUGGUUGAAACAAAGCUCCAAUAAUGGUAAAGAAAGGUAAAACCAGUUUCAAAGCAUCGAAUCCAGAAAGAUCAAACAUAUUCUCAAUAAUCUUAGCUUAGGACGACUUACUUCCUAAACAAAGAAAUCAAAAGCGACCAGUUGGCUACCUAUGCCACAUUAGCUCGAGAAUAAAGACAAACACCGAGGUCAAAGAGUGAUAGGGUGAACAAGACUGAAAGAUGAGAAAAUGGACCAUUCAAUUCUGAAUAUACCAAUGAAAAGUGUAUGUGAUAUCCAAGAUAUUUGUGUUAGUCAAUGAAGAAAAACAUUCCUCAUCAUGUCAACAUGACAUACAACAUAUUUUUCACUGCUUUUGUAUUCUAACGCCAGUGAGUCCUUUUCCUAUCCAAGAUGAACCCGUCAGUAUUCUGCUCAAAGAUGCUAAACUAAAUGAUUCUGAAUAUCAAUUAUAAGCAAUGCAAAUAUACUCAAAUCUGUCUCUCGUACUAUAUUUCACCUAUACGGGCAUAAAGAAGUUCAGAUGUCUUACUUGUAGUUAUCCAACAGAAUACAGUGGUUAAGAAAGCAUAUUACUUUUUCUUUUGUGUUCUUCUAUCAACAAUCAAUUUGUUGAAAAAUGAUGGUCCAACCCGUGAAUCUCAAAUAUUAGCAAUCUGGGCUUUUGUUUCAAAAGAAAGUGUGCAUUUAUCUAGAGGAAAAUAAAGUGCAUGAGAGCAAAUGAUAUCAUUUCUUUCAAGCAAAUGAUAAGUGAAACAAGAGACGGGAAAAAUUAUCAAAAGUUCAGUAGAAUUGGGCGAUAAAACAGGAUACUUCAACUAAAGUAAGAUUCUAAGACAUAACAAAAGUAACCAAAAAGUCGCAUAUAUGACAAUGGAUUAAUAAACUUCAAUGGAAAAAUCCGACCAUAUGUGAAAAGGGAUGCUCAGCUGCAAGUUCAUCAUUCUAAGAUUUUCUGAAUAACACCAGCUCCGACAGUCUUUCCUCCUUCCCUAAUAGCGAACCUCAUACCCUGCUCACAAGCCACUGGCAUAAUGAGCUCGACCACCAUGUUUACGCGAUCACCAGGCAUGACCAUCUUAGAUUCUUCUCCCUUGUCAGUCAUAAUAGCAGUAACCUUUCCGGUCACAUCAGUUGUUCUCAUGUAAAACUGUGGCCUAUAACCAGCAAAGAAAGGGGAAUGCCUGCCACCCUCUUCCUUCUUCAACACAUACACCAAAGCUUCAAACUUGGUGUGUGGAGUAAUUGAUCCAGGUUUUGCCAACACCAUUCCUCUUUGAAUAUCGAUCUUUUGAAUACCUCUCAACAACAACCCCACAUUAUCUCCUGCCAUUGCUUCAUCCAAUAUCUUCUGAAACAUCUCAACUCCUGUUACUGUAGUGUUCCUAGUGUCCUUCAAUCCAACUAUAUCAACAAUUUCCCCUGUCUUAACAGUCCCUCUUUCCACUCUCCCUGUAGCCACUGUACCUCUACCAGUAAUAGAAAACACAUCUUCAAUAGCCAUCAAGAAAGGUAAUUCAGUUUGUCUUUGUGGAAUAGGAAUAUAUUCAUCAACAGAGUCCAUCAAUUUAUAAAUCUUAUCAACCCAUUGAUCAUCACCCCUUUUAAUAGUAGGAUUAGCCAUUAAAGCCUCUAAAGCCAAAAGGGCAGACCCACAAUGAAUAGGAAUAUCAUCACCAGGAAACUCAUAACUUGACAAUAACUCUCUUACCUCCAGCUCAACAAGCUCAAGCAACUCUUCAUCAUCAACUUGGUCCUCUUUGUUCAAGAAAACAACCAUAUUAGGGACACCCACUUGCUUAGCAAGCAAAAUAUGUUCCUUAGUCUGCGGCAUUGGACCAUCAGCUCCUGAAACAACAAGUAUAGCUCCAUCCAUUUGAGCAGCACCAGUAAUCAUAUUCUUCACAUAAUCAGCGUGACCAGGGCAAUCCACAUGAGCGUAAUGCCGAUUUUCAGUUUCAUACUCCACUGUGGCAGUAUUAAUCGUAAUACCACGAGCCCUUUCUUCAGGGGCAGCAUCAAUUUCAUCAUACUUCUUCGGGGCGGAGUUACCCAGAGAAGCAAGCGCCAUUGUCAAAGCAGCUGUAAGUGUGGUUUUCCCAUGGUCAACAUGGCCAAUUGUACCAAUAUUGACAUGGGGUUUCUUCCUUUCGAAUUUACCACGCGCAGCUCGGACAGUAAACCGGCGGUGGCGGGAGGAAGAAGAAGAAGGUGCAGUAGUGGCGGGUGAAUGGAGGAAAAGGGUUGAUGGGUUUGGUGUAAAAGAAGAUGAAAGGAUAAGCUUAGAGGAUUUUGAAGGAAGAACAGUACCACUGGUAUUAAUCUUUGUAGAAGCAGCAGCAGCAGCAGUUGCAGAAGCUGCUGAAAUUGAAGCCAUGGAAGAAGCUUUUGCUGAGGAUUGAAGAUUUUGGAGAAAGAGAGUGAAAUGAAUUGUGGUAGAAGGAAGAGAGGAUAAUGAAGUUAUCUUUUUUUGGUAGGGAGAAAGAGAGCCUCUCAUAUAUUAGCCAUUUGGGCACCUCUCUUGUAUGACAUACUGACACAGCAGUGGGCUGCAACUUGCAACUAUGGGAAUUAAGAGUAUGGGAUAUACGUAAAACUAAUUACUCCAAAAAUAAUGGUCACGUUUCCUUAGUCAAUUUAACUCAUUUUUAGUGAUCAUAUUAUAAAAUGACACGAGAGUUUUUUUAUUGUAAUUUGACGGCAGGACAGAUGACAUACAUGCUAAAUCUGUGAAUCGGUAACAACAGUUACAUUUUGCGUGGUAUGCUUUAGAAAAAUAGUGGAGCUUGUUAUUGAGCUGUUUACUGAUAUUAUGUUAAUUGAUGAAAAUUAUUGAAAGAACAAGAAGUUGGAACCAUAGAGAAACACUAUAGAGAGUCGAGCUUUAGGAUAAGAUGAGAUUACACAAAAUUGUGGCAUCUAAAUUGUAGUGACAAGUUAGAUACUUAAAGACUCAGACAACAGCAAGCAGUAGAAUAGAAUUCAUUUUAAAAAAAUAAAAAUUUCUUUACAGAUUCAAGGAACACCAACGACAAAAAGAAGUAUAAAAAAAAAACCUGCAUAUUUUCAACCAAGUGACAUUUCGAAUAGCUAAGUACUCAGGUAAAUAUGUACAAGUAUACAAUUCAAUGAAAUUGAAGGUCCUGUUUUAAGCUGCAACAUGACUUGCAAGACGCAUUAUACAUAAGCGUGCAAGCAAGCAAAUGCGAAUAACUAACAUAGCAAAUGGAGUCGCCAACAAUCUCAGAAGCAUCGCUUCCUCUGUCUCCUCUUUCAGAUUUACCUCAAUUCCUGACCCUGAACUGAUUUUAAACUUGAUAGAAAUGAAUCUGUAUCUAAACAUACGGUCCAUGAUUAUCCCCUCGAACUUUUGAAUUUUGGAUGUGAAAAUUGUCAGCAACAGCGAAUAAUUUCGGCAUACCGGGACAACUCUGGGACUUUUCAGGGACAGUCAGGUCAUUGGGACAAUCAAAGAAUGGCUCAACAGUUGAGUAGCAAAAGACAAAACAGCAACUUACAUCUUUACAGAGGAACUUGAGUUUUCAGGACAUCAGCAAUGCAAAUUAUCGGAAGAUACUUUGUGACCAUAAAUGCCACGGAUCUCAGGAGGAAGCUUGCUUAGAAGAUCUGAGAUAGCGGAGUCAUGUUUCUUCUUCAGAUCAUUUAGCUCCUUUUGCUGCAAUCCGCGCAGUUUCUCCAGUUCCUUGGUGAUUUGUCUGAUAUCAGCUGAGUAGUUGUUGCUGAUCAUGUUAUUUCUUUCCUCUGAUGAAUGAGGCCUGCUUGCAUAACUAAAAUCCGCAGAAUGAGCAUUGUCACCAAAGUCAAAAUCACGGUGAACACUGGCAUCAUCAUCCACGUGAGUCUCAGAUUUAUAAUCUUCGUGUCCGAGUAAGGCAGCAACAUGUGAACUCCCUCCCUCUCUCAGGAUAACAGGUGAUUCUUCAAAUUCUUCCGUCCAACUGUCUUCAUGAGUUGGUGAAUCGGUCAGCGACGUGUAUGAAGGCCCCUGUCUGCGUGGAGAGCUGCCAUUACUGGUUGUUUUCGGUGAAACAGACCAGUACUUUCGACCUGAAGGAAGUCUUUCCAACACAAGACUACCCGAAUAAGCAGGAUCAAUUGUAAAGGGAGGAGCAUCAUCUCCGACUCCAGAAGUAAAGUUAUCAGAAGCAACUUCAUUGGUGAUGUGAUUGCUAGAGUUUUCUCUUGGUGCCCAAUCUGGGAUAUAUGACCGAAUUUCUGAAUCGAUCAUUUCUGCUAUUGCUGAAACAUCCUGAUCUGUCAGGUCCAGCUCUGCAACCAUUUCACUAGCAACAGCAUUCGCCGUAUCAACUUCAAUAUCAAAGGGGAAGUGAAUGUUUCUAAUAUGACCUGAUACCACAGUGCAAAUGUUAUACAACUAAUUAAUAGAUGCAUCUUAAGCUUGACAAAAGAAACAAGGAGCAAGCAGUAACCUGUUGAAUCAGUAAUUCGAAGUUUAAGAAAUAUUGUAUUUAGGUCCUUCCUUUGGCCCUGCACUGUGAAAUCUCUGCUUCCUUCAGGCAAUGGGUCCUUUGUACUCCUUUCACUAUCAGACUGAUCAUCACUCAUAUCUGUAAAGAUCCCACAAAAGUCAAUAAUAAAGGGACAUUUCAAAAGGCGUGAUCACAUAAUUACCUGCAUGUCUGGAAUUGAUGCUCAAAGAUCGACCUACGUUUCCAGAAUCCUCAUCAGAAAGGAGAAAGGGAUCAACCAAUAGUUUCUUAGCAGGCAACCGCUCAGAAGCUUUUGCAAUACAUUUUUCUAUAAAGGCUUUGACUCUUGGAUCCUUCACUUUUGCCAAUGAGGCAGGCUUGAUUCCCUUCAUAGAUGAAAUUGGCAAAAUCAGAAUAUUAGCAAAGUAGUAUUGUUGUUGUAAGAUGAAAUUAAAAUACCAAGAAAUACAAAGUCAACUAUCUCAUCAGAUUAAUCUGCUAAAAGGAAAAAAAAGUUGCAGAAAACUAAAGUUUGUAAUUUAUAGCUAUCAAAAACUGAAAACUGAUUGUAUAGGACUCGUGGAUUUGUUUGAGUAAGAAUUUAAAGUUGUAAAAUAAAGCACUCCUACAAUCACUCCCUCAAUCCCACUAAAUAGUGUCAUCACGACCUGGCACAACGUUGGUAGAAGAGUUAAAAAUUAAAGAGUAUUUCAACUAAAAAGUAAGCCCCACAAGUAGAGAUAAAUGUUUGCUGAUGAUAAGUUUUGAGAUUAGACAAGGAUCUAAGUUGGUCUCUUAUUACAUGAUAUAAUAGUCCUCAAAAUGCAACAAGUAGUGAAGGGAAGAUAUUUCCCCUUCAAAGCAAGUGGACAACAUAUCAUGACGCAAAAACAACACAUUUGGAAUGGAUGCAACUAAUGUGCUAACUGCUAACUACUUUGAGUACCCCAUGUUCCCCUGAAAGAGAAGACAGCGGUACAUUACCAAAAAUUAGCCAUUUUGGUAUGCUUACCUUUUCUAGUAAAUCUCCAGCACCAGUACCCUCUAAAUCUGAACACAACCUUUUCUUCCCUCUUUUCACUACCACCUUUAUGACUUUCACAUUAAUCUGUCAACAAGAAAAUUACUCCUUACAAUACUGCCUUAAGUGUUAAAGUUAUUUAGCACCUUCAACAGUGAAGAACGCAUUUUACUGUCAUAGUUACCAACUACCACCUACACUACACCCCUCAUGAUCCUACUUGCGCAUUUCCAUUGUUAUUUCUUCAGCCAAACAACCACUACUCUAAUUACCUCUUAAAAUAGUGUGUGUUGGUGAAACUCCUUUUAACACUUCAAUGUCAUGCAAGCCAGUGGAUCUAGAUUAAGAUCUCCAUUACGUCGUUCGAACAACUGAUCAAGAAAAGUAUCCUUCAGUUUAAGUUGUCAAUUCUGCUAAAACCUAAAGAGAUGCUAGGCUUCUCCGCAGUGGUUCGCUUGACCACAUCAUUAGCAUGGUUUAAGUUAACUGCACGCCAAACAAUUAAGCCCUCAUUUGAUCAGCCGUACUCCUUCCACUUUAGCUAUGAGUCAUUUCAUAUAUAUUUCUUGUCAAUGUCACAUGAUCCCGAUAAAUGAACAAUAGGAACCAUGUACCCAAGAGAGCAAGUCCACAGAAGAUUGGACUCAGUUAUCUUGUUCAUCUUAACUAAACUAACCUAAAAAUAUAACACCUUAGAAAUACAUCAAGAUACAUACCACAUUGUUCGAAACAGAAGUCUGGAUUAGCUACAGUCUGAAUUAGCACUUAUAAGAGAAUAAGAAGGAUUAACUUAUUGGAGAGGGAGGGAGAGAGAGAGAGAAUGUGUGUACAAAAAAUUAUUUCAGUUGGAGUAAGGUCUAAAUGAAGUGGUUGAUGCUGCUAACUGAAGCAAUGCAAAACAGAAAAGAAAAAAAGAAGAAGAAAGAUUCACAUUCAGACACAAACUCCCCAAGGUGAGGAUGGUACAUGGAAGUAAACUGAUGAUUGGAAAUCCUAUGAAAAUUGCCUCCUGUGGUUCUUACUCAACGUUGACAAAGCACUCUUGACAAAUAAACCAAGAUGGUAUUAGGCAUUUACCUGAUAUUUUGAAUUUUAAUUGAUCAACUGGAAUGCAUUCCAUCAGGGAUAGAAAUCAUGUUUCUUAAUACCUAUAAUACAAUGACAAUGAACACGUCCAAUUAUGCAAGCAGGUAAGGACAAUAUCUUUUGGGUAGUUUGCUAGAACAAUUGAAUGACCAAUGAAAACAAACACGACAAACUGCAGGCAAUUGGAUGUAAAGUAGUUACUCAAGGAAUGCAUAAGUUCACAGGACCCUUUUUAGUUUUAUGAUAAAGAGCUUGACAACAUCAUAUGAAAUGAACUGUGAAUCCAAUAAUUCAGUAGGCUCACUUGGAUAAAAAAGUUAAGGACCAUAGAACAAAGGAUACAAGACUAAGAAAAUAAAGCCUAAGUCCCUACAAUCAGCACUUGGUUCAUGCAUGGUCACACUGUUUUUAAAAUGGUCAACAACAUCUCAUUCUAUGGUAAACCAUCAUGAGCUACUGAUUCCACCAAGUCAAGGACACUCAUUCAACAGAAGUCGUAAACAAUGUUGAUUUCUUAGGACUACUAAUGUUUGUUUCUUGGAAUAUCAUGUUAUUGUUCACUUCCUUAGCAAAUUGAACAUCUAUUGAAGUGAGGCCGAACACCCUUAUUGAUAAAGGAAAAGGUAUUGGGACUAAACUUACUUUUAUACUCAAGGAUAGAGAGAGAGAGGACACAGAAUUCGGUCUUAAGAACUCCUGAAUGGGCCCUACCCUUGCAAUAUCUAUUUUAUGCUGAAAAACUCAAGAAAAACGAAUAUAGAAAACUCCGAGCGAAAGUACGUUUAUCUUUGACAGUGCAAAAUAGAAAAAGCGGGUGUGGAAAUCAGAUUUCAGGCUAUGCAAAACUAAUACCCCUCCAGAGUGCACUGUUUUAACAGGAUAGCACUGAUGGAGCUUGCCUCACACAAGAUAACGUAUUGUAUCUCUAACAGAAUCUACCUGUGUGUGAAAAGGUCUUGGAGUCAGUAAACCACUCUUUCAUGCACUGUUCAGUAGCCUGGAUGGAGUUAAUUCUUACAUAAAAGCAACAUUAAAUGGGUGUUUCCAGGGGAUAUUAUACAAGUGUUUUGCAUCUGGAGGGAUUGGAAGGCACAAAAAACUACCAGAAAGAUAUGGAACUCGAUUCCUUUAACUAUAUUUUGGGUGUUAUGGAAUGAAAGAAACAAGAGAUGAGUUGAAGAAGAAAAAAGCUCCCUGCAGCAGCUGAAAAUAAAUUGCUUAUUUCUUUUAUUUGUUUGGUCCAAACUUGAAGUAUUAGAGUAUACCUACCAGUUGAUAAACUUCAGCAGUUCCCUAUCAAGUUAAGGAAAUACAGCCUUUUGUAAAUAACUUUUGUAACUAUGCACCUCCAGGGUGCUUUGUUAACUAAAUAGCUUUACUUUUUUCUCAUAAAGAAACGAGCAGAAUCAGUACGGUACAAAUGGAGUAUUCCUUUUCCUUUUUCUAACAGUAAAUUUAGGUCGGCGAAAUAAAGAUAACAGAAGGGGGAAACCUUAGUGGUUUACUGUGAACUCUUGCUAUAAAGUGCUGUUAAAAUCUGUGGAUUUUGUCCAUGGAAGUCAUUGCAGAAAAUAAAUGCCCCAACCGAAGUUGCUUGUUUUUAGUGGAUUACUGCUUAUGGUGCCUGUUUGACUCAGGACAACCUACAAAAAAAAAGUCUUAAGCUUGUGAAACAGAUAUUUCCUCUGUCAAAAUGCUACUGAAACAGUAAAAUCAUCUUCUGAUUCAUUGCAAAGACACAGUUAAUAUGGUCCUUUUUCUGAAUAUUUUUGUUGUUCAAUGGGUGAUACCACAAAGAAUUAAGGAUCUACUUGUGUGCUGGCAAGGUUAGAGAAUGAAGAGAAAGAGAAUGCUGAAGACAUGGCAAAUAAUUCCAUUAUGAAUUAGCUGGACAAUAUGGCUUGAGAGGAAGAGCAGAUGCUUUGAUGGAAGCAAGGAGUUGAUUGCUGUUUUAAAGUUUAGAUGUCUUCAGAAUUUGUUUUGUUGCCUCAAAGGAGAUGCUUAAUCAGAAUUUAUGAUUUUCUGGACUUCAUAGAUUCUCUCUUUGUGAAUGCCCGAGCAUACAACAGACUUGUUGAGUUGUUGGAUAAGAAGAGGGGGCAGCAAGAGCCAAAAGGCAUGGUGGAGGAUAAUUCCACAUUGCAUUUGGUAGACAGUACGGAAAGAAAGAAAUAGAAGAAACUUUGAAGAUAGGUCCAAUUCCAUUCAGAAGGUUAGAUGGGAUUGUAUUGCAUCCUUUUAUUUUUGGUGUAAAGAGGAAGGUUUAGAGGAAACAGAACAGAUUGUAGAAUUAUUAGGAUCCUUGUAGUAUUUUUUUUUCCUUCUAUUCUUUUAUUCCCCUCUGUUUGCAGGUCACCGGCAUAUCCUUAAUGCUGAAGAAUACAACAUUACCAUUUUAAAAAAUAAAUUAAAAAAUAGAUUCUCUCUUUCUGUAGCUUCUAUCCAAGGCCUCUCUUUUAUAAGCUUAUCAGGUACCUUUCUAGUACUAAUUUAACACUCUCCUUAUACAAAGAGGUUGGUGAAAUAAAGAGGAAAAUGCUUCAUACAGUUUCCAGUGUAGAAACAGCUUCGAACUGCAGCACAGUUGGUCCCUAAGAAAUGCCUUAAGCUUGAAGUUUUGUCACUUUAAGCAGGCCGAUGAACUUGAUACUAACAUAAAACCCCAACAAAUUACAAAAAACUGACUUUUUGUAUUUGUUCUGAUAACCAGCUUAAGUGCAUUAAAAUGUCGAAAUGCAAAUGCAACAUCACCUAUAGUUGUUAUUUUAUCAAAUUUAUUAUGAGGGUGGUGCACCCUGAGAAUACAAACUGAAGGAUGAGAUUCCAUCCUCCUCAUUAAUAGGGAAAAGGAGAGAGACAUAAGUCAACAAUCCCAGUAGAGAACAUCCUCCAAAGCAAGAUAACCCGUUUUGCUGCAUACAAGCCUUAAACUAGACUACAUGAAUCCUACAUGGAAAAAAUUCAAGUAUAUGACUAGGGAGCUAAUUAUUUAAACUAAAACCUAGAUGCUUAUUAACUAAAGUCACAUAAUUUAACUAUCAUUUAAGUUAUCAGUGUUUGAGUAUAAUUAUUGAAAUAGAAAUGGAGCAGUAUUCUUCUAUUAGAUACGGAAAUAAACUUAAAACUUAUUGGCUUUUAUUUCUCUAAAAUGCUUACAAUUUUUAUAUUUCUUUGUGAUCCCAAUUUGUAUGACACUCUUUGCACAUGAAGAUACCAAUGGAAAAUUAUGGAAUUACCUAAAGCUUAGUUAAUGAACAGUCAUGUAAAACCAUAAAUGUCAUAGUUCCUCGAGGGUUGAAGGCUUGAAGCCUAAGCUAUGCAAUGCAAGGAUAUUUACAAUUUUUAACCAAGAGUUGCACUCUCAAUAAAAAGAUUUUCCAUCACUCGUGCUGCUGCACAACCUUGAUCCCAAGAAAUGUAUCUCUAUGACUCUAUCAACAAUCGUGAACAUACAAUAACUUGAUAUGUAGAGCAUGAAGAGAGACAUAAAUUCUUACUGCUGUCACUUUCUUAUAUAUUUGAGCAGCGUUGGAACACUCAAUAUAAGGAUAUUCAAAUGUCACGAGCUCCAGCAGGCACAUGCCAAAGGCAUAGAUAUCUACUAGCUCAUCGUAUUCCUCUUCAUAAAGUUCUGGUGCCAUGAAUUCUGGUGUACCUGAGAUCAAAUAUAGAAGUGCACUUUUCAGAACCAUCUAAACUGCCAAUGAACAGCCAAUUACAACCUUUAGUACAGUUGCAAAACUGAGAAAAUCUGAGUAGGACCUUACCAAUGACACUAUGAGCAGCACGAGCCUUGCAAAGAAUUGCAGCGAGUCCCAAGUCACCAAUCUUAACCUCCCCUUGGUUACCAUUGAUAAAAAUGUUAUCACACUUGAGGUCCCGAUGAAUAAUUGGAGGGUCAUGACCAUGUAGAUAUGAGAGACCCUCUAAUAUCUGCCUAGACCAAUUCUUAAGUGCUCUGAUAUCAACCCUCUUAUGUUUUUUGCGGUACCUUCACGAGCAUACAGAAAAAGUAGUCCAUAAUCCAAUAUUUGAAAAAUAUGGGUAGUGGGGUUAAAGAAUUGAGCAAAGAAAAGCAAAAAAAAAAACAGAAGAAAAAAAAACGAAUAGCCAUACUGUCUUAAAGUCCCAGAAGUGAAAAUUUCAGUAAUGAUGUUGAUAUUCUCAUUCUUUGAGUCAACCCACGAGUUAUAGAAUUUGAUUAUAUUCUUGUGCUUGAGGGUUUUAAGCAAAUGAACUUCGGAAUAAAGACGCUCCAAGUCCACAGCAUUCCUCAAGAGAUCAGCCAAUUUAACCUGGUUCCAAGCUACUUCAAUCCCCUCCAAUUCAUCAAAUGCUCGGUAACUAUAUUACCGAUGGUAAGUCAAGAAUGGACAAUAGUUUCACUUGGCAACAUUCAUUAAUGAGGGGAAAGGCAGUAACGCAAUAGUUCAUCUCGGGUUAUAUGUCAAUCAUACAACUUUCACAAAUAUUAAGAAUUAAAACAUAUAAAUAUUCAAAUUUAAUACCUUUAUGUAAUGUCCUCUUAAUCAAUCUAAACUUUUUAACUAUCACUAUAAUAUUUUCUUCCCUUACUACAAAUAUAAUAUAUCCCCUCUGUUUCAUUUAUGUGACACUAAUUCCUUAACAGUGUGUUCCAGAAAAAAUGGCACAUAUUCUCACACUUGGAAACAAUUUAACGUGAACUUCUCAUUCCUCUCUUUUAUAGCCCAAAUUAAACUAACGACAUGGUUAAGACCAUAAGUUCAAAAGUCAUUUUUUCCUCAAAACCCAUGCACGACCAGCACAUAAAUUGGAACAAAGAGAGUACCAUUCAAAUUAACAUCUUAUAUUCCUUAUCCUGUCAAACACAUCAAUGAAAUAAACGGGCAUUAUGCACGUGAAGACAUUCAAAAUAGGAUACACUUUCUUGAAAGCUCCUUUUCCCAGAACCUCUUUGUACUGCAUAUAACAAGACAAUCAAUUCCUUAAUUACAAUGAAGAAUCAAAUAUAUGUAAUGACUAAUUUAAUAUACACCAACCUGAAAAAUAUUAGCCAGAAAUGUAACAACAGUAAUAGAAAAGCAGUCAGAAAGAAUAGAAUCCCAGGAAAAGUAAAAUACAAAAAGAAAUAUUACCCCCAUAGUCCCAAUUUAAAUGAUUCUCUUUCCAUUUUGAGAUUCCCGAAAUCUUUACACUAUUCAACUUGUUUGGGUGGUUGCAAUCGAUUGUAUUGUGUUGUUAGUUUAAAUACUGUGUUUGUUAUAAUUGUUACUCAUUUUAUUGAGCGUAUCCUUAAACUUAUUGUUAGAGGUAAUGACGAAAAUUCCCAUUUUGUGUAACAACAUUUGGUGUGAUCAAGUCGUUAACUUUUUUCCCUCAUUUUUUAUUUACUUAAAAUUAAAUAUACUUAUUUUAUCUUUUACCCAACCUUUUUAUAGCAACUCUAUCCCGUACCCUACUUCUUUUACAAGCUCAUCCUUCUUUUAUAAAUUUAUCCUUUAAAUUAUUGAUGUGUAACAUUAUGUUACGAUGAAAAACGACACAAGCUAUCUAGACGUUGUAUUCAUUAAAGACUACUGUACAUUACAAUACAAUACAGAAACAAUACCUAACAACCAUCCAACCAGUUCAAGCUUUCUCCUUCAUUAAAUUUUUAAUUUGAUAUGAUGAACUUUUCCCUACUCAAACUAACUUUUCAAAUGUUACUUCAACAAAUUUCACCUUAUGCAUUUCAGUCCGACCAUAUAAAAAUAAGCAGAAUAAAGUCAGUAGGCAGUUUCAAAAAUGUACUUCAAAACACUACUUAAGCGGUACAACAAGCCAAAAAAUAAGUUUUCAAAUGCAGAAGCGAGUGAGCGAGAAACUAACCCGGCCGUAUCGACCAGAAGGAUCGAGCUCAACGAACUCCGGUUCCGAUUCAGAAUCGUCCGGUUCCUGUUCAGACGUAGAUUCCUGCUGCAUUCUCUUUGUUCCAAUGAAUUGAGUAUCGAGUAGAAAAAGAAAAAAAAAUCCAAAACCUAGCUUUUUGACAAAACAAUAAACUCAAUUCAGAUCAAUAUGAAACAGCGUAAUUAAGUAUUUUGCCAAAAUAACAAUCAUACAAUUCGUCUGCGGAGAUUGUAAUUGGAAAGAAGACUCAGUUACACCAAACGAACAAGUAUGUAAGCGUAUUAAGGAUCAGUGAAAGAAGAGAAGAAUGAGAAACGUAAAAGGCAAAUGAAGGCGUAGAAAGGGCAAAAAGUUAAAAAAGAGUUGCGGUGGGUUGUGGGUACCGUUGGGUCAAUUGGCAGGUGUUUAUUGGGUGUUUACGCUGCGCAUGCGAACGGGAGCAGACUCAACCCUGACGCCAAAAUUUGGAGCGUCAUUUGCACGGAUGCCUCGUUUAGGUUUGAGGGUUUGAAAAGACUUAAAACUUAAACCUAAUCUAUUCAAGUUUAGUUUGUCAAGUAGAGAUAUAUUUUUAAGUUUGUUAAUAUUUUAUUUGAUAAAUCUAAUAGUUCACGUUAAGCUUAGAAUAGGAUAUUUAUUUUCUUAAAAAGAAGAUUGAAAAAAUGAAAAUGAAGCUAUAAUUAUAUGACAAAUCAAAUCUUUACCAAUAAGAUAAGAGUUGAAAUAAUCAAUCAAUAAGUUGAAUUUUAUUGUACUUUAUGAAUUGAUUUUAAUUUACUUUUACUAAAACUUUUAGUUAUAAAAGGUCUAACACCAUAAAUUCUUGCAUUGUUAUAUUUUUUCUCAUUUAAAUAAGAUUAUAGAAACGCAAUAGCAUAUUUGUUAAAGCUUUUUUUAUUUUUUCUUGUUUAAUUAGAAAGUGAUUGAAAAGUCAACCAUGGAUAAAUUUGAAAGUCAACGGGUUUGGCACAGGGCAACCAAACGUCAAGCUAGUUGAGAAUUUUUUAUUGUAUCUUUUUUUUCAAUCAUGACAACUCUUUGUUCUUUUUACUUUUUUUUUUAUAUCCUCACUUAAAUUAUUGUGGCAUUCGAUACUUCAUUUGAGAUUUUUAAAUUUUAAAUUUAGUAAUUGAUGGUCAAAAGUAGAUAUUAAAUAUCAAGUUUUAAAAUUUCGAUUCAAUACUUUAAUAAUUGAUAAAUGAAACUUCGGUCCGAUAUGAUAUUCAAUGAUACAAUAUUGAAUAUGCAGUCGAUUGUAUUACUAAUUUAACAUUACUGUUUUAAUUAUUUCUAUUCUUUAUGUGGAUGCAUAAGUAAUAGAAGAUCAAUAUGCAAGAAGACGAAAAGAUAUAUGUAUUUGAGUUGUUUAUGUUUAGUAAUACUCCACAUUUAACUUUCUGUUUGAACUUGUAUUAAUGAGUUAUGAAAUGUUUGAUAUAUGACAUUUAUUAACUAAUAAAUAUGGAAUAUCAAAUGAUUCUAAUGUCUCAUGCCAACCCAAAUCUAAAUAUCGUUAUUCUAAAAUUUUACUCUUAUAUAUAUACCUUACCAAAUAUCAAAUUACCAAAAAAAAUUAAUUCACUUCAAUAAUUCAAUUUUUGAUAUUUUACGUCCAAUUCUACUCUAAGUAUUUAUCUAAGUAACACUCCAUAUAAUUAUAAAUGGUAAGGAUAAAAUAAUACUUUUAAUGUUUUAAUUUUAUCUUGUAUUUGUCCUUUAUUCUAUUGAGUCAUAAGUACACCUCGCGAUAUCUUUUGUUAGUAUAUGUUCGUGUUGUGUAAUUUUCUCUUGUUUUUUUAAAGAAUUUUUAUAACUCAGUUGGUUGGCAACCCACCUUGUUGAUGAGAGUUUGACUCUCCACAGUAAUUCCCUCCCCAUUUCCCCCUUCCCUUACCCUCAAUUUUAUUUUAUUUCAUUUUUAAAGAAUCUACUUUUUCAAGUUUGAUUUGAUUUCUAUAUCUUACAAAAUUGAGUAAAUUUUAGGUUUGGUAAACAUAAAAGUCAUAUUUGUAUGCUAUAAUUAUAGUUUGCAUUAUUGCGCUUCAAAAUAAAUUUUAUGUUUGCUAUAUAUGGAACAUCAUAUCUGUAUAAAAAUUACAGGCAUCUAAUUUGUAUAAACGCAAUAAUUUAUAUAAAUCGGACGUCUGUAUCUAUGAAAAUUGUGUUCUAUAUGUAUAUGUUCUUUUAUGUUUGUAAAUCUGCAUAAAAUUUGAAAUUAUAUACAAUUGAAUCAAAAUAAAACAUUUGUAUAUCAAAUCUCUCUUUCACACUCCCUUUAUACAACACAAAUUAUAAAUUGUAAUUUGUAUAAUUUAUAUUUGUAUAAAGAGAAAAUUGCAUAAGAGAACUGGUAGCGCAAUAUAUGUUUUUGUAUAAUUAUAAGUGUAUAGGAUGAAUAUAUAUAUAUUUUUUAUUUGUAUAUAUAAUUUUCUCUCGCUUUAUACAAACAAAAAUACAAUUUAUACAUUUGUGUUGUAUAAAUUGAGAGAGGUGAAGGAGAGUGACAAGCGAGAUUUUUGCAGAGAGAGGCGAUGGUUAAAUAUUUGCUACGAGCUAGAAUGAAAUGAAACUAUAAUUAUAAUAUUUAUUUUGAAUUAAUAAUUUGUUAUUUUAUACCAUUAUUCCUAUAAAUUCCUUUCAACUUUGAACAAUAACCAGUAGCAGCCCAAAAGACAUCGCAUGGGCUUGGGUUGGAUAAAAAUAUGGGAAAUUUUUCAAAAUGUCAAUAUUUUAGCAUUUAAGAGGAUUCAUUAGCUACAACUUUAAUAUUUAGUAAAAAAGUCAUUUUAGUUUGUUAUGUAUGUUUUUAUUAUUUAUUUUUAUUUAAAGAAUAUAAUAUUCUAUUUAUAUUUAUUAUAGUUUUUUAUUAGUUUUUAUUCAUUCCAAUAGGUAUGCCGAAUUUAUCUAUACAGUCAUUUAAGAAAUAUAUUUGUAUUUUCAUAUAUUUUUUCCCUAUAUAGUUAUUUUUUUCUUCAAAAUCCUGUAUGUAUUCAUUUCAAUAUGUAUUUUAUUUGUAUUUCUAUUUAUUCUAGUUUUUAUUUAGGAUUUUGUAUAAUAAUAUAUAAAAUACAAAAAAUUAGUAUGAUGAAAAAGUGAAUGAAAUAUAAAAUUGAAAAAAAAAUUGAAUAUUUGGUGUACUCAUUCUUAAAUAAAACACAUAACUAGUUGACAUACCUUUAGAAUAAAUACAAAUUAUAAAAAAAUGUCAAAUUCAGUUGACAUACCUUUAUUAAUUUAUAUUCAUUCCAAUAUGUAUGUCAAAUAAAAUGUAGCUAUUUAAGAAAUACAUUUGUAUUCGUAUAUAUUUUUCACUGUGUAUUUAUUUUUCUUUUAAAAAUCUUGUUUCCUUUUCUAAGUCGUAUUCAUUCCAAUAUGUCUAUUAUUUGUAUUUGUAUUCGAAUACAAAUAAACUAAUAGAAAGUUCUUCUUAUAAAUAAAAUACAUAAAUAUUUGACAUACAUUUGGAUGAAUACAAAUUAGGGACAAAUACAAGAUUCAUAAACCAUACAACAUGAAAUUUUUAAUAAAUACAAAUAUUGAUAGUAUACAUAGUGAUUUGAAUACAAAUUAAGAAAGCAUGCCAAAUUCUAAAAAAGAAUUAUAAAUACAAAACAAACUAAUAGAAAAUUGUUCGCGAUCUUCGUCGUCUUUUUCAAGAUCCUCACGAGUAGACAAAGAUUCUACAUUUGCGUUUUGAAUUUGAGGAAGGUUUUGCACACCAAUGAGUCUUGUAAAUGUUCUUACCCUCUUUUUUCCCUCAUUUUAGCAGCGGAUCAUACAUUAUACACUAUUUGUUAAGUAAUAAAUAAAUUAAAGGAUGAAAAAUCACCAGAAAUUGGUUGAUUAAGAUGAAUACCUCUAGUAAGCCUCUUGGAUUCGGCCAUUGGAGAGUAAAUCAUAACGGAAAUUGAAAAAUACAAACAACAUUUUUUAAGAUUUAAACAAAAAUAAAAUUAGAAAAGAAAUCUGAAAAUAGGAUAAAGAUUAGAGAUACCUUAAUCAAAGGGAUUCUUAUUGAUUCAAUUUUGGAUUAAAAAAACAACCAAAAUAUAUGGCAAAAAAAUAUUUGCAACUUGAAUGUUGGAGGAAAAUCAGAAAAGAUAACCAUGAGAGAGAAAAAAAAUUAAAUGGGAGAGAAAAUUAACAAUUUGAAAAGAUAAAUAUGAGAGACUAUAAUUUUUUUUUUAAAAAAAAGAUAUAUAGAAUUAAUUGAAAAAGAGAGAUAAAAUAGGAAGAAAUUGGGACACAUACAUUUUUUAAAAUAAUGACAUUUUUGCUAAUAUUUAUAAAGUAUGAAUAUUUUUACUAAAUAUGUUAUUUAUUUUGACUAGUUUACUAAUUUUUCCUAAAAAUAUUUUGGGCCUAAGUUUGCUAUUUGUGACAGAGGCCUGCUAUGUUAUGUAAUAAAAGGUGGGAAAAUUGUAUAUAAUAGCAAACUAAUAACCUAAAUUAAAUGGAAUAGUUAGGGUUUGAUUUAAUUGUGCUCCAUAGCAAAUAUUAGCUAAAAUUUGCCAGCUUCUCUCUCCCAAAAAUCUCGCUCGCCUCCUCCAUUCUCGCUCGCCUCUCUAGCUUUAUACACAGAAGUAUAUAAUUCUGUUUCUGUUUUGUAGAAAGCGAGAGAAAAUUGUAUAUACACAUUCAAAAAUGUAUAUCUUCGUGUUAUACACUUAAUUAUACAAUUUACAAACAUUUUACUUCAAGUAUUGCAGAGAAAAAGGCCAACAAAUUAUACAAGUGCAGUGAGAUACAAUUUUCUCUAGUUUUAUACAACAGAAGUGUAUAUAUUGUGUUUCUGUUUUUGUAUAAAGCGAGAAAAACAUAUAUCUUCUUGCUAUACACUUAUAAUUAUGCAAUAUACAUACAUUUUAAUUCGAUUCAACUGUAUGCAAAACAAAUUAUACAAUUGCAGCGAAAUAGGCCAGCGAAUUUUUUAUUACGUAUCCCCCCCCCCAAAAAAAAAGAUUUUAUUCUCUUAAGAGACAUCUGGAAAGUUGAACCUGUUAAAUAGUAGUAUCAUAUUUGGCAAACAGCCAACUAAGGACUAAAUUAAUUAGUGAAUUAAUCAGAACAUAUUUAAUUAUAAUAAACUCCGACAUCUUCACAGAAAAUGUUUGAUACCCAGCAGAUUAGUGGACUGACCAUUACGUAUUUUAUUACUAAUAAUAUACAUGAAUCUUUUGACUUAACUAGCAAAAAUUGCGAUACAAUGAUAAAUAUAUUUUUUGUUCUUAAUAAAAAAUUUUGAAUUUGAAUCCCUCUUGCGAACAUCUUUGUUAGGAAGACCAAAAGAAAAAAUGUUUUGGAUGCACCAUUGAAAAAGUGUACCACUAAAGAUGCAAUAAGUAUUAACUAUGUAAGCUAAUUUAGUGGUAUGUUUGGUGAAGCUUUUGGAAAGCCAAAAUUAUCACAAUUUUAAUAAAAAGUACUUAUUUAGAAAGUAAAGAGUUAUGUCAUUUUAUUUAAAAAUCAAAUAGAGGGAGCUUUUAUAUAUAUAUAUAUAUAUAACAAAACGGAAAAUCACUAAUACUUUUGAAACUUUGAUCUUUUUUUCAUUAACUCAUACAUUUUAGACUUUUAGUUACAAUAACAUGCUAACUCUCCAUAUCAAAAAAAAAUUCCAUCACUAUCCAAAGCCAUCAACACUUUCAUCAUAUGGUAGCUAAUUAGAAUUAUAUAGAUAAUAGUUACAAGAAAUUUAUAUAUAUUAUCUAAUUAUAUAGGAAAUAAUUUAUUUACGUAUUAGUUAUUUAAUUUUUUAUUUUGUAUCAAUUAAUACGUAAAUAUCCUCAUAAGUAAUUGUAAUACAUGUAUUAAUUAGUAGAUUUCUAAAUUACAAACCACAUUAUAUCAAUAUUAUGAGAAAAGACAUAAAGUCAGCAUUGAAGUUGUGUCGAAUUUUCAAAAAGACACCUUAACUUUGUGGGUGUCCUAUUUCCUCAUUGAACAAUUUAAGAGUGUUAUAAAUAUCUCACUUUUUACUCAACCUCAAUUGUAAAAAAAGAUGUGCAAUUACGCAUCAAUAAUUGUUUGACACGUAUUAAAUUCUUUUAAUUUUUAAUUUUUAGUUUCAUUUUCAUUUUUAUUUUUAUUUUUCUAUUUUUAUUAACUUUAUUUAAAUUUUUCUCUCUUUCUUCUUAAAUCUUCAUUACUCAAAUCUUUUAUUCUUUGUUGUAAAUUCUCCAAAAGUAGCAGUCAUUGUCGCAUUCAACGUAGCCUCCAUGAUGCUUUCUUGUUACAACACUAUUUUUGUUACUAAAACAUCACUAAAUAAGAUCAAUUCAACUCUCAAGUUACUAAAGCAAGGUAAUAGGAUAAAAAAAAAAUAGAGUUUCCUAGUACUCUAUAAUCAAUGGAGUUCACAUUUCUUGUUUUAAAAGAAAAGGAUAAAAGAAGAAAAAGAAACAAAGAAAAGCAAGAGACAAGAAAAAAAGUGAUAAAAAUUGAUGAAGAAGAAAAAGUAAUUAAAUUUUUGAAUUUGGGUGAAAGAUAAUGGGAAGAUGAUAUAAAUUAAUUAAUAAUUAAUAACAAAGAAAUAAAAUGACACGUGACACUUUAUAGCUGGUUAUGACAGUGAAAAGACUGGGUCACACGCCUCAUUGGCGUGGUAACAACCCAGACGAGAAAAUGGGUCAAAAUGGCCCAUUUACAAAGAUAUUAAAUAGUUUCGUGGGAUGAUAGGAUACUUUCAAAGUUAAGAUGCUUUUAUGCAAAUACCGGACAACUUUACUGAUAAGUUUAUGUCUUUUCUCUAAUAUUAUAUAUACAUAGUAAAAGAAUUUUGUUUAUGUAGAAUUUGAUACAUAAAUAACUUACCUCCUAACCAGCUAUUAAACAACUAUUAUAAUAAUAUAUGAACCAACAAUUUAAUCGAGGACAACGUUAUUGUUAUACUUUUUCAAUAAUAUAAGGGCAAAUAUAACUACUACUACUUCUUAGAGGACGACCAUAAUAAUUGAUAACGUAUAUUAAGAAUUAUCACAAAUUAAGGCACAUUGGAGAAUAUUCUUCCUUGGCUAACAAAUAAACAUAAGGAAUAUAUAUAAUUUUGUAAACGUGUUAGAUUAAAUCAAUAUACCCUACUAGGGUUGUUUAAAUGUUGAAUUUGAACAUGCAAAAUUCUUAUACAAGACUUAGUCAAUUAUAAUCCAUCGCAUAACGAAGUAAUUAAUUAAGUAAAUGUUUUCUCACUCGUAAGAGACUUGUAUUUACUCCUUCCAAUUUUAGUAAAAAUGGUAAAAUCUUUCAUUUUUUGAAAAUAAGUAGUCAAGUCAAACUGGAAAACAAUGAUCUAAUUUUCUGUAGUUAUUUUGGGUAAUAUGUUACCUGUCAUUAUUUUAUAAAAAAAAUUCUGUAGUUAUUUUGGUAAUAUGUUACCUGUCAUUAUUUUAUAAAAAAUUAUCUUAAAUACAUAUCUUAUUUUAUCAUAAUCUCUAAAUUUUGCUGUUAUUUCUUUUAAAAAAAUAAAAAACCCUCUCUUAGAUAGAUCACUUCUCUCUUGCUGAUACUUCUAUAUUCCUCUCGGAUACAUCCCUCUCUUAUAUAUUCAGAUCCUAUUCCGUCUCUGAUACAUUAUUUGUUCUACGUAUUUGGAUGUCCUAUCCUCGAUAUGAUACAUCACUCUCCUCUUGAAUACCUCCCUCAUUUAUGUGAGGAAGUCAAAUAAUGUAUUCAAAAUUUAUAUUUUUUAAAGGAUUUUGGUAAUUUUAAAAAAAUAGAGAAAUUAUGUAAAUAAAUCUUAACACUAUGAAAUUUACAUAAAUUAUACUUUAUUUUAUUCGUCCAUUUGUCACAGUAGUCGGUCAAUAUAUAUUUUGAUUUGGAUGGGGUUGUUUUGUACUAAAAUAGAUACAAAUUUUUAAAGUUUGAAAUGUCUAAUAUGAGAAAAGUUUGCAUUUCUAUUUUGUGCCAAUUUUUAAUUUUGUGAAAAAGGCUUAAUAUACUAUUUAACUCUGUCAUUUAGAGAUGAUAUAACUUCAUUAUGAAAAUGACUCACAUGUACCUAUAUCAUGCAUUAUUAAGUAGAACUCUUUAUGAGAUGCAACAUGUACUAAUGGUUAUGUACUGACUACUCUACACUUAAUCAGACGUCUCGAAUUCGAGUUUUGGAUAUAAAAAAUGCCACUCAUGAAUGGAUCCUAUAGAGUGCAUCCAAAUUUAAUCGGGACUCUAAUGUAGACUUUGAACACCGAGUGAUGAAAAAAAUAAUUAAGUACUUACACCAUUUUCCUCUUUUUCUUAACCAAGUGGAUGUGGUGUGGGGCAGGUCGGGAAGAAAGAAACAAGCAAAUAGCAACAAGAGGAAGAAAAAAAAAAGAGUAGCUUUCAAUCAAUUAAGAUGAUGUGAAAAGAUAAUAUAUAGUAGAAUUAGUUUGUGACAAUUGACUGGUUCAAACGUCCUAGUUUAAUUAGAUGAAUUGACUAAAUAAUUCCAGAGAAAGAAUAGUUUAAUGUAUUAGGAAGAUAAAUACGAAUUAUUAUUUGCAAGUUUGAAUGGCUACGUGGUCCUGCUAAUAGUUUUAAAAAUAAAGUGUUCACACUCGAUAUUUUUAUUAAAUAAAAAAAAUUAAUUAAAUAAUCAUAAAUAAAAUGAAAAUUCAGAUAGUCAACCAAUCAAACAGUAAUUCAAAAUUUGCAGGUGCUAAUUCGUUUACAUAGGUGGUAUUCAAGUAAGAAAAUGCUACUUUAACAUUAUAUAACAUGUUACGUUACUAUAUUAAAAAUAAUUCACAUGUGUUUGUGUUAUUCAUGUGUAAGUAAGAAAGUUCCAUGUAUUACCUACCAUAUUAUUAUUAUUAUUAAAAUAAUGCACACGCAUUUGUGUUAUUCAUGUGUAACAGUGUAAGUAAGAAGUUCCAUCCAUUAUAAACCAAAUUUGGAAAAAUAAAAUGUUUUGACUAUUUUAACAGCACGGGACAGUAGGCUAUUAGAAUAUAAUGAUGAAUUUAGUCUUUGAUAUAAAUAAAUAUAAAAUGCUUGUGAUAAAUAUGAUUAGUUUAAUUGUGUUAAAGAAUGACAAAAGUCCCACAUAGGUGGUUAAUGAGAUGGUUGGACUCCUUAUAAAACUUGAAAAAAUCCUCCUUCAUUUGAGCUAGCUUAUGGGGUGUGAGUUAGGCCUAAGACUUAAUUUCACAUGGUAUCAGAGCAGGGCCCGUCUCACCCGAUGUUGUGAUCCCCAAAAUCAAAAUUGUCCACGCACCAUAUGAUAAGCACUGAGCGUGAGGUGGGGUGUUGAAGAAUGACAAAAGUUUUACAUCGGUGGUUAAUGAGAUAGAUAGAUUCGUUAUAAGGCUUGGGGCAAUCCUCCUCUCUUUGAGCUAACUUUUGGAAUUUGAGAUAGGCCGAAGACCUAAUUUUACACAUUGUUCAAACCAAUAACUUUUGGGAUUUGAGUUAGGCGUAAAAUCUAAUUUCACACAUUGUUCAAACCAAUAAAUGAUAUUAUACCCUACCAUCUCAAUUUAUUUGUCAUAAUUUGACUGAAUACAAAAUUUAAGAAAGUAAAAAAGAUUGUUAGGAAUUGUUUGUUAUGAGUGACAAAGAAUAAUAAUUUCAUAUUAAAAUGUAGAAUUAUUUUAUCUUAAUUUUGGUCAAGACUCAAGGGUAUUAGCUAAAUUGUCCCAAGAUUUGUUUGUUAUGAGUGACAAAGAAUAAUAAUUUCAUAUUAAAAUGUAGAAUUAUUUUAUCCUAAUUUUGGUCAAGAGGGUAUUAGCUAGAUUGUCCCGAGAUUAUUUAUCUCACCCUUUGUAGCAUAUUGAGAUAAGUUAUCUCAUAUAUAUGAUAGAAUAACUAAUCUUAUGAGGUAACUCCGUCGAUACCAUCACAUACCAAAUGACCCUUAAAUCUUGUGGUUGUAAGUUGUAACUAAAUGUGUAUAUAAUAUAUCAAAAUGUUCUUUAAUCUUAAGAUGUUAAACAUGUCACGUAAAAUAUUAAAAAUAACAAUAUUCCAAAUUAUGAAAAAGACAUUAUUUUCUAUAUCUUAAGUCUAAGAAUAAAGUUACCCUUAUUAUUAGCUAUAUCAUUUUUUUCAUGAUGAUAAGUGAUAAACUCUAACACCAACAAAAACAUGAUAACAUAUCGAUUUUGCAACUCGAAAGUUUGUAAAUCUUCAAUUUAAACCUUAAACCAUAAAUGUAAUCUGAUAAAAUGAAAGAGAAAAAAAAACCUUAUUAGACUCUACAAAAUAUGCUAUUAUAAAUUACUAAACUACUUAGAAUUUCAUAUCGAUAGAGAGAUGGAAAAUUAAUCAUUGAUCUUCCAAUAAAUUGUUUAUCGAUGCUGACCCCAUUUAUCAUUUAUUAUUGGUGUGUACAAAUUUCAAUAGUCCAUACAUGGAAAUAUUUAAAAAUAAUUUAUUUAAUACAAAAACAAUGUGGGACAUAAGGCAUUGGCAAGUUUUUUCCACACGGUCUCAACUUGACUUGUAAAGCUUAAGUCUACGCUCGUUUUUCUUACAAUGCAGCCAACCAUUUCUGAUUCAUAAAAACCGCCAAUACACGCUUAGAAAAAAAAAAAAUCCAUCAACCACCACAGUUUCCCUCGUUCACCUCUCUCCUCCCUCUCUGUCCGGUUUACCGGAAAAACAAGAAUCUCAAAUGACUUCGAAUAUCCACUUUUUUCUUUUAUACGUUGUGAGCCUUUUCCUUUUUGUUCAAGCAAGAUUGAAUCUUUAUCCACCAGAUCAUGCUGCACUCUUGCUUGUACAAAAGGACUUAGGCAUCAUUUCUGUUAACAACCCGUGUACGCUCGCAGGAAUAUCGUGCGAGCGUAGACCGGGUAACACAACACAAGUUGUGAGAGUUACCCGUAUUGUAUUCAGAUCCAACGGAUUAAAGGGAACUUUGUCUUCUGCUAUUGGCAAACUCACUGAGCUCAAAGAGCUUUCUCUUUCCGACAAUCAACUAUCUGAACAAAUCCCCGUUCAGAUUAUUGAUUGUCGGAAGUUAGAGAUUCUUCAACUUCAAAGGAACAGAUUUUCUGGGAAGAUUCCAUCCGAAUUGUCAGCUUUAAACCGUUUAAGGAUAGUUGACUUUUCAUCGAAUGAGUUUUCGGGGAAUCUUGAUUUCUUGAAGUACUUUCCUAAUCUGGAAAAACUGUCUCUGGCUGAUAAUAUGUUCACUGGAAAAAUACCAUUUUCAUUGAAAUCUUUCCGAAAUCUUCGUUUUCUCAACAUUUCAGGGAAUAGUUUCCUUGAAGGUCCAGUACCUGUCAUGAGCCAAAUUGAGCAUUUAUCAGCAGAUUUGAAUCGAAAAAAUGGCGUUCCUAAACGUUACAUUCUAGCUGAGAAUUCAACAAGGAUAUCUGCAAUGGGACCUGCUUCGGUUCCAGCUCCAGCUCCAGCACCUGUCAAUCGUGUUGUACCGGCGAUGCAUAAACGUAAGAACAAGAAAAGGAAGUUACGAUCUUGGUUUCUUGGUUUCCUAGCUGGAACUUUUGCUGGGGGUAUAUCUGCUGUGCUCUGUUCCUUGCUAUUCAAGAUGGUAAUGUUCUUCGUAAGAAGAGGGAAUAACGAUUCAAGUUUAACGAUAUACAGUCCACUGAUCAAGAAAGCCGAGGACUUGGCUUUCUUAGAGAAGGAAGAUGGAGUGGCAUCGCUUGAAAUGAUUGGAAAAGGUGGCUGUGGAGAAGUUUAUAGAGCAGAGCUACCGGGGAGUAAUGGGAAGAUUAUAGCUAUAAAGAAGAUUAUCCAAUCCCCAAUGGAUGCUGCAGAGAUCACGGAGGAAGAUACUAAGGCGUUGAACAAGAAAAUGCGUCAAGUUAAAUCAGAAAUUCAAAUUGUAGGUCAAAUCAGACACCGGAAUCUGCUUCCAUUACUCGCGCAUAUGCCAAGGCCAGACUGUCAUUACUUGGUCUACGAAUACAUGAAAAAUGGGAGUUUACAGGAUAUCCUGCAGCAAGUCACAGAAGGCACAAGGGAAUUAGAUUGGUUGGGACGACACAGAAUUGCAGCGGGGGUAGCUGCUGGUCUCGAGUAUCUCCAUAUAAACCAUACUCAACGCAUAAUUCACAGAGAUUUAAAGCCAGCAAAUAUCCUACUUGAUGAUGACAUGGAAGCUCGAGUUGCUGAUUUUGGCCUUGCAAAGGCAGUUCCAGAUGCUCAUACACAUAUCACCACUUCAAAUGUUGCAGGAACUGUUGGAUUUAUUGCACCAGAAUAUUAUCAGACACUGAAGUUUACAGAUAAGUGUGAUAUAUACAGCUUUGGUGUGGUGCUAGCUGUGUUGGUUAUCGGUAAGGGUCCAUCGGAUGAUUUUUUCCAACAUACUUCUGAGAUGAGUUUAGUUAAGUGGCUGAGGAAUGUAAUGACUUCUGACGAUCCUAAAAUAGCAAUUGAUCCUAAGCUUAUAGGAAAUGGAUACGACGAACAAAUGCUUUUGGUUCUCAAGAUAGCUUGCUUUUGUACUCUCGACAAUCCAAAGGAGAGGCCUAACAGUAAGGAUGUUAGGUGCAUGUUAACUCAGAUCAAGCAUUAGAUAACCAAUACACUGGUUAUGUAACUAAGAAUCUGUUCUGUAUUUUCAGUUUCGCAAGUUGAUAUUUUGUUGUAAUUGUGUUAUACAUGUCAAAUCAAUAUUCAUUCCACCUUGCUACUUAAAUAACUAAAACUCCAAAUGCAAUUAUCAUUUGCUUCUUUUCAAACUAGACAUAUCCCAAUGUGUUAUGUGUAUGAUCAAGUUUUUAACAUUAGUAUUGGAGUCUAGAUGAGUUAGCUUUUAUCAAGAUGACUCAUGUUUUGGAAUUUAGAAUACCUCUUUGGGCUGAUGAGGUCAUUACUCCAGUUUCAAAGGAGCAUCGAAUCAAUAGUUCAAUACUAAUCUCCCCAGUCAACUGACCUUUGAUUUCGGAGAUUAGUGCAAGAGUAACAACAAAGAGGGGUUGAAAUUCAUUUGAUUGUAAAGAGAGGGAUUUCGCUUCAAAUCUAAAUGAUUUAUCUUCUUCUCUUAAAGACAUUUCUAUUUAGGACUUGAUUGAGGGAUCAAUUUUCUCCAAAACAUAAAGUAGCACGAUCAUAACCCGUGUCCCCGCCCCUUUAAAGGUAUGGAAGUUCAUUGAUGAAUAUGUAUAACCAUAUGCUUAUAAUUAAAUCACAAGUUGGCUUACAAAUUUGAGAACUUACAGAGCAAGCUAAUUGCUGACUCAAUUGAAUCAAUAGAACGUUCCAAACAUUUGGUAGGAAGAAAAAAAAUGCAUAAAAUGUGAAAUAUCAUUGAGCCUAUCUCAUGUUGGGGUGGGUUUGGGCCAACCCAAAAUUCAAAUCAAAAUCCUGUAUACUUGGAUUAUGAAUUUAACUUUUAAAAAUUUAUGAAUUUUGGAAUUUAAUUCUAUGAAUCCAAUUUUUAGUCCAAUAUACAAUUACAUGAUAUGGCGGCUUGGAGUCUCAAUCUCGAUUAACUAUAGAAAGUUACUAUUAUAUUUGACCGAGAAAACUAUUAGAUGAAGUGAGGUUGUAUAUUAGAGCUUUUAAUAUGAGUUAGUCCAUCCGAUUCAGACUAAUUCAUACAGAUUUUGACAUCUUACCGGUCCGAUCGAGUUAGUCAAUUUUUGAUGUGGGCCAGAAAAUGAUAAAUCCAAUCCAUAAGUACGUAGGUUGCAGGUUUGCUGGGCUCGCCACUUUUUUAAAAAUGAUAUUUUUUUAUAAUUAUUAAAUUAAAUUAUAAAUUAUAAUUUAAAAAUAUUAUCAUGAAUAUCGACAAAAUCAUAUUACAUGAUAUAAUCAUAAAUAUCGAUAAAAUCAUAUUACAUGAUAUAAUCAUAAAUAUCGACAAAACCUUCAAUCCAAUUUAGAUAAAAUGCCAAAUAGUAGAAAAUUAAAGUGAAAUAAAUAAAGAGUAGGCAAUAUGAACAUAAGCCCUUAUAGCUCAGUGGUAGAGCGUCAGUCUUGUAAACUGAAGGUCCGUAGUUCGAUCCUGCGUGAGGGCAUUUUCUUAGUUUUGUACACAUUAAACAUUUCUGUUUUAUUACUCUAAUGUUUGUGUAUACAUAUUUAUAAUAUACAAUUAUCUAACUAAUAUACAUAUACAAAAAGUUUCCCUACUUUUAACUCUUGAAAUUAAGUUUUUGUAAGAAUACGUCUAUUUUUUUUUCCCGAAAACUUUGACAAAUAAGUGACAAUUCAUUCAAAUUAGGCUCAAAGUUUGAAAAUUAAUAAAAUUUAAUUUAGUUAAAUAGUUCUAUAAUUUUUCAACAAAGUUAUGUCAACUGAUACCCUUUACAUCAGGUGGCUCUCAUUUUUUACUCUGUAUAAAUUAAACACUUCUAUUUCAUUUUUUCCAAAAAAGAAACAAAAAAAAACAAACUAAAUCAAAUACUUUUGACUCUUGAAAGUAAGUUUUUGUACGAGUACAUUCUAAUUUUUCCCAAAAACUUUGACAAAUAAGUCACAAUUCAUUCAAAUUAGGUUUAAAGUUUGAAAAUUAAUAAAAUUUAAUUCAGUUAAAUAGUAUUAUAAUUUUUCAAUAAAUUAAAUUUAAUAGCCUUUACCUGAGGUGGCUCUGCCACAUACUACACCAAUCUUGAGUUAAAAAACACACACCAAGGAAUCUUCUUUUUGUACAAGUCUUCUAGAUCUAAGAUCCAAAUUCCAUGUACUAUGAAAAAGUUUUGGAACUUUUCCCUUCAAAACUUUACUCGUAUAUUCUUUUAUCUCAAUUUAUGUGUUAAAUUAUUUGUAAUCCAUGUUAAAAAGGAUGUUUUAUCUUCUUAUUUCGAUAUGAUUUUAAUUUUAAUAGAAUGCUUUAUAUCAUAUAAAUCUUAUCGUUCUUAAUUUAAUUCAAGGAUGAAUUUCUUCCCAAAUAACUUUUCUAAAAUUUAGAAGCUAUUUUAAAUGGACUAUUGGAGGAAAAUGUAAGUGAAAGAAGGUUAUUUUUGGGUUUUAGUAUUUGGUUGUCAUUAAAUUUGUUCGUGGAAUUAUAUUGCGUAUGUUAUUAUUAUUAUUGUUAUGAUAGUAUUUGGUUGCCAAAAAUGACUUUGAAAUAUCUUUUUGGUUAAAGUGAGAUGGUGGUAGAUGUAGAAAACAAAUUGAUAACAAUAAAAUAAAAUGUGUGUAUAGAAAUGAAGGGAAGAAUUAGUGUACCACUAGUGCACUCAAGUUGAGUAAUGAGUACCAAGUGUCCCACUUAGGAGUUCGAAUUUGAUUAGAUAGAAGAAAAAUAUCAAAAUAUUGUCCAUUUAAAUCACCAUGCCAUCAUUUCAAUUUUCACGAUAGAGAAAGUAAAAUUGGAUGUGUUCAAAGAUAUGAAUGGUGCAAAUCAAAUGAUCUUAAUUCGCCCUACUGUUUUUUGAAUUUAGGUUAUCGCAUUACUCUAUUAUCGUUAUUAUUUUCGUACAAGUUGAUUUACUUCUUUAUUUUUAUUUUCUCUUUUAAUAUUUAUUUUGAUAUUUGAGUCGAGAAUUCACUGAAAAUGUAUAUUUUAUCCUCUUUAUACUCACUCAUAAAAUUUUAAUAAAUAUGUUAUGGUUUGUACUAACGAACAUAAAUACAUAAAACUAUAUGUGUCCUCCACAAAAGGGUAAAAAACUAUUUUAGUUUCAAGUUCUCCAAUCCUAUUUAUGAGCAUUAAAUUAAAGGAACACUUGGACGAAAGAUGAUAAUCAAAGUAGGGUCAUUGGGAGUUUGCUGCUUUUGGGCCUUCUCUGCAGCUUAUCUGAUCUUUUUUUGGAAAUAUCAGUGUCUUUUCUCAAAUAAAUUGCGAUAAGGUUUUGGAGACAUCCAAAAAUCUCUCGACUCUUAUCACGCUCCAAUUUUCUUCAUUAGUUAAGCAGUUGGACGAUUCUUACUGUAAUACUAAAAUUUGUUUUUUCGUCGUCUCAUAAUAUCACACAUUAGCAAUUUAAAAAAUAAAAGCAACUUGCAAAUUUUAGGGAUCGACCACAUUUUUUUUUCUGUUUCUCCAGAGUAUUACAAAGCACAAUAAACAGUAGAAAGGCGCACAAAACAAGUAUAUGAAGCAUAUAGUUGGCUAAUUUUAUUACACAAAAUGAAGAUAUAUAUACAGAGACUACCACACAGUAGUUGUAGAAUUACUCUUUUUGUAUACAACUCUUUUGCUGAUACAACACUCUUCAUCUACUAAAAGACUGACUCAGAAAUAAUAAAUAAACAUAUAGAAUAGGUCUCUACAGUAGGAAAUAUGAAAUGGUAAAAACUAAAUUACAUUCUAUUGAUGGUCUAUUUACAAAGAUCGAGUUCGCCUUACGAUAUGAAACACACACUUUUGACACUAAGCUGCCAAUCUGAAGUUCAUCACUUGAUGAUGGUUAAAGUCCAUUUUCGGUUCCUCUUCUCUCUUUCUUUUGGGCAGAGAUAAAGAAGACAUUGCCCUGGCUGACACUACCUUUCUAACAAGUGAUUUCCACAGCUCGUCAUCACCCUUUUGUUGCACCUUCAAUUUGAAUUGUCUGAAAUGUAAAAUAUGGGGCUGUAAGAUACUCGAGAGUCGAUAUUGACCAAGAACAGAAAAAAAGAAAAAGAGGACGAUUAGUUACUGUUUCAAAUUGACCCCUACUGAUAAAGAAGGCAAACAUGUUCUUUUUAAGCUUGAUAGUUAUGAAGCGAUUUUGACCUUAACCAACCCAACGUGUUAAAAAGUUAUUCGAAAUCAUGGGAGAUAUUUUCUUGAGGAACUGGACAAAUGGAGAAAAUCCUGUCGCUGUCUACAUUUUGAUACCGUCUACGACAGGUGCAUCUGGGUAUUAGUCGAAAUGGGACCACGGAUCAAUUAUUACUACUUGGAUGGUUGUGUUUCACAUCAACAACAAUCUCAACCAUGCCGGCAUACAGUGAAAUUUGGAGAAAAUAUCUUCAUGAUUAGACUAAUCAUCACACAAAAUUGAACAAAAUCACAUCCCAGCUGACAAUAAUUUUGUGUAAGCCGUAACUAAGUGUUGAUUUAUCUUCACUAGCUUAUAAGACAGUUCAGGAUUGAUAGCCUCCUUGUAACUGUCUACAUCACAAAUUUAAAGAGAAACAUCCAACAAAGUGAUAGUAAAUGGCUCAAUCAUGAAUCGGAGAAAAACAUGACAAAUCAAUAAGACAGCUGAUUUGUUGGCUUCUUCUAUCGAGACAAAUCACCUAUAAUAACAUCUGAGCUCUGACAUGCCACCUAAGAAGUUUUCAAGAUUGAACAUGACAGACCAUAAUGGGUAUAUGGAUCAGGACCCAUCAUUCAAAUUAAGCAAGAUAGACAUGCCUCAACCAAUGACACCUCUAAGAUGAUGUACAUAUUCUAAUUAGUGCGAUCAAUGUGAUUCACUCUUGCGCGAUCAACAAUACAUGAAUUGAUUAAAAAAUUAGUUACUCAGUAGUCAGUUGGUGGUUACCUGCAAAGGGGAACCUGGCAAUCGUUUGGUUGGUCACAAAUGGAUGCGUGUAAUCUUAGGAUCUGCCACAUGCGCUUGCAUCGCAAACAACCUCCAUUGGUCCUUCUCUUACAAGUAGCAAAAUGUCGAAUCAGAAACUGAAGCCCUUGGCAGGUAUCAAACUUGCUACAUGGCUGCCUCUUGAUGGAAGGUUCUUUAUCUAAUGGCCCCACACUAGUACAUCCUUCAGUGCAAAUGUGCUCCAAACAAUCCAUCGCUUCGCUUAGCUGUAAAUACAAGCUCCGCUCUAGUUUGUGUCUCCUUGUCCUCUUCUUCCGCUAUAAUGAGAAAUUUACAAUGUAAAAUCACUAACCACAGCCAUUUGACUGAUAAAGGAGAUGCAAACAAAUGCCAUGUAAUGAUUUCAUGGCAAGCUUAUUAUCUGUCAUGAUCAAUUUGACAACAAUAAAAAUUAUAACAUGAAUUCCAAGAGAAAUUCUUUUAUUAAAUAAGGGAUGUAUGAUAUAUGUCAAUUACGUUAUAAUUACGUACCAACUCAGCCUCAUCCAUGAACUGUAGAAUUUCAAGUUCAAGCCAGGGAUCAUGAUGUUGAAGGAAUUUCCAGCCCUCAGUCUCCUCAACUUUCUUGAAAUUACUAGACAAAAAUUUCAUACUCUUAAGAUAUAGAUCUGGUGCAUCACAUAGUCUCGCAAGUUGAAGCAAAUCCACAGCAUUCUCAAUCGUCAAUCGCUCGGCCAACCCCUUUGUGCAUCUCUGUUUCAGCUGCGGUACCAAGUACACAUGAGAAAGUGCUAGCAGAUGGAUCCCAUGUCUCUUCAUCUGCUCUUCAGUGCACCUAAAUACAAUGACAAUUUGGUCACUCUAAGCAUUCUUUCUAGCAAGGAUUUAACUGAUUAAAAGUUUCUUAUAUUUUAAUUAGCUUUUAGACCAUAUGAGAGUAAGUAACAUGCUACAAAUGAGUCAACAAUAUUGGUUGUUUAACGAUCAUAAAUAACCUAAAUCCUUUUGUAAUUCAUUUCAAUGACAACGAAGAUGUCGGUCGAGGCAUCUAGCAGGCGGCCAACACAAUAUGAAGCAAUCAAAACAUCAAAUAGUAUAUGAUUAAAGAAUUUACAAGUCAAUGAAUGAACCACACGUAAGCAAUUAAGUAAUAGGCAUGCAGAUUAGUUUUUGAAUAUCAACCACCUAUUCUCUGAUCAACGAAGGAACCGAGACUUCACCCUAAAAUAAUCUACUUAUUGUGGUCAAAUUCCAGCUUGGAUGGAACCAAUUAGAUUCGAGUUUCAAAACAAUUUACAAAUUAAGAAAAAUCAAAUAAUGAGUCUUUGAAUACCAACUACCUAUUUUCUAAUCAACGAAGCAACCGAGACUUAAUCCUAAAAUAAUCUACUUUAAAAUAAUUACUUCUCGCGGUCAAAUUCCAGCUUGAUGGAGCCAAUUAGAUUCGAAGUUUGAACACGGUUACCAAAUUAAUUAAAAAAUAAUAAUAAUUAAAAAAAACUAAACGGAUUUGCGUGUAUCUCGUGUACUCACUUGAAAGAAUAGAGAAACCGGAUAAACACGGAAACGGCGUCGCACGGCACGCCAAGAAUCCGAAUCGUUCUCUCGGAGCUCCGCCGCUUUCCCGGCCGAGCUAGUAUGUUCUCCAGAACCGUCGAAGCAGCAGCCUACAAAUACGUUUCUCAUAAAUCAGUACUUUUUUCUCAAAAUCAUUCGCAACUAAUAUCAAUUUUUCGAACAGCCAACACGGAGUUUUCACAGCGUGAAUUGAUUAUAAAUCAUUAAUACACUAGACUAACAUUAGAUUAACAUGCAAUUAAUAGAUUUAACGAGUAUUUAAGACUUCAUGUGGUUAGUUUUAGGUCUUCGUACCAGAACGGCGGAAUGUGCCGGAAUGCGGAGGCCGCCGGAGGUGACGAUUUGGAUAUCAACCUCAGACAUUUCGCCGGAAAAUUUAUCGAUACCGUCUGAAAAGUUAAGGGAUGACAUAGUGAUUACAGUUGCUUUUGGGAAUUUUCAGAGAGUUUAGUUUUUGAAGAAGGCAUUAACCCAACCCUCUCUAUUUAUAAGCAGCGCAGAGUUGCCAUUUGCCAACUCCAGAAAUGAAAGGGCGGCACGUGGAAGAUUCUUUUUUAGUACUCCAGAAAACAAUUAUUUGGGCAGGACAGGAAAUAAUAAAUAUUAAUAAUUUAAAUCGUUAAAUUAAUUGAGUUAUUAAAUUUUAUAAUAUGAAAGAGAACUUAGCGUCCAAAAAAGAAAUUACAAUGUAAAUUAUCUUGCGGAUUAAUAUUUUUCUAGAAUUUUUUAUAUAGUGAAAGUUUAAUGUUUUUGAUAUCCUUUUAUUUGAAAAUAGUAUAAAUCAAUCAUUAAUUUUUUAUUUGAUUUCUUUAAAUGAUUAAAUGUACUUAUAUAUUAUGUAAAUUGGACAAAAGGAAGUACUAAUGAAUGAUUAAAUUGACCCACGGAUGGCUCUACAAUGUUUAAAAAAAGAUAAAUGUCUUAGUCCCCAAAUCUAAGGGGCCUCAUUUUAUAUAAAAAUAGAUUAUAAGUAAUUAGUAUUUUUUUUAACAAAUAUUGAAUAUUAUUAUAGAAAAAGUGAACAUUUCAUGAAAAAUGAAGGGAUUGUUAGAAGAAAUUUGAAGUAUUAUAUCUUAUGAAAAAUAAUUAAAAAUAAAAAUGAUCAUAUGAAAACUAAAAGAAAUAAAUAUAUGCAUUGCAUGCCAUGAUGCAAUUUUUUUUUAUUUUUUUUUUUGUGUUCAUUAAGACCAAAUGCAUAAUAUUAUAAUAUUCUUACUUGAGGGAGAAAAUUCUAAUUAGAGCAAAGACUAAGGAAUAUUAUUCAAAGAAGAUGAAAUUCAUACGUUUUUUUGAUGGUUCCAGAAACUAAAAUAAAAAUUAAAUUAUACUAAUUACGUUUAAUAUAUCAUAUUAAUAAAAGUUGUACAUCACCAAGCGUCACAGCGGACGAUGUUGGUAGCCGCGUACGGCGUAGCCUGAUCAUACUAAUAUGCCAUUAAGUAAGUAUUUAAAAUUCAAAUUUAAAAAUUUCGAAUGAAUAUAAUUUUCUUAUUAUAAUUUAAAUUUACUAUUUAUAUUUACUAAUUUGCGGUAUGUUUGCACGUGUAUGUUGUGUUAGUGUGAAAAAUUGUAUUUAAAAAAAAUGACGUAUAUAAUAAUACGAAGGCAGGAAGAGUAAGGUACAAAUUUAAAUUUUAAUCAAUUCCUAAUAUUAAUAAUAUGAUAUAAUAUAACGAAUAGAAAAUUAAAUUAAAAAGAAAAUAAGAAAAAGGCAGGAAAAAAACAGACGGUUGUUGGCUACAUAAAUGUUGCUGGUCAUAAAUGUCCUCCCUAAUAAAAAGGCUGCUAUGAAGAUUGUUUAUAGUAUCCUAAAGCAGUGGCUGAGCUAAUAGGGACGAAGAAUUCAUUUAAAUCUCUUCGUCGAAAAAUUAUGUUAUUUUUAUAAAAUUAUAAUUAUAAUAUUAUUUUAAUAUUUUUAUAUAUCAAAUGUUAAAUUUUUUUAAGUUUAUUAUAUUUUACUUUUUUAUAUUUUAAAUCACUUAAAAAUAUCUCGACUACGACAAGAGGACAAAGGAUAAAAUAUCAGGCAAAGUUGUUACCUCUGAUGAUGGAAAUUAAACAACUUGUGGUUGAAAGUUGUUGAGCAUACCUAGACAAUAUUGUUGUUAUCUGAGGCAGUUCAUAUUCAGUCCUACUGUGCAAAUUUUAUUUUUAUAAUACACUUCUAACUGUUCUAUUAAAAUGUUCCAAAAGGCUAUCACUUUUUACGUAAUGGCUGCACUAUCCAAACCAUGAAGAUUAAUCAGACACCAAUUCAAAUAACAAUUUUUAAUAAUAAUAAAAAGUAGUAUGUCGGAGGAAACUAAUUUGGAUGUUUACUUUGCGGUAAAAGAUGUGAUUUAUACCUAAUUAAUUUACUACAUCAAAAAUAUUUUUAGUGGCUUUUAUGUUAGAGGUUUCAAGUUUGAAAUCUCGUACCAAUAAAAGUAAGGAAUUUAUCUUCUGUGUCGAGCUUGUCGCACCAGUCUUACCUAGUGUGAGUUACCUCUUCUAUGUGAUUUGAAAGCUAUUGCAUAGAAACAGACUUUUUUACCCGGUACGCAUUCAAAGAUUGUGAAUUUCCCUUGUUAUUAAAAAAAAAUAUAUAUAUUUGUACUCAUAAAAUCGAAUUAAUUGGACUAUAGAACGUAUCUUAGACGUUAGAUGGGAAUCGGUAAACCAAAACAAUCAACCGUCGAGAUUAAGCUUGGUUCCCUUCCUUUUUAGAUUAAUGAAAUCAAAAUACGUACUACUAAUUUUGAUCUUCAUUUUCAUUGUUAAUAUAAAAGCUCUGGAAAGUUGUAAACACUAUACAAAUUUCUUUUUGAUUAAUUAAAUUAUCUCCUUUUAGUAUUUAUAUGAUAGUUGAAAAAAUAAUAACAAAAGAAGAUGUAGUUCACCAGAAAAAAAAAACAUCUCACAAGAUGAGCAUUUCUUAAUUAUUACAAAAACAUUAAAGCACAACAAAUUGAUUACAGCAGGACUUAUGAAAGAUUGAUUCUGCCUAAUCGACAAUUUUCUUUUGGCUUCAUUUCUUUUUAGUUGUUAUAUCAUUUAAUUCUGAAAAAGGAAAGUAUAACAAAUAACUACUAACAUUGAAUUUUUUUAAUCUAAAAAUCGUCUUAUUUGAUGAUCCCUCAAGUUUAAUCUUGAUUCUUCUUCUUCUCUCUUUCUUUUAGGCAUAGAUAAAAAAGUCAUGGCCCUGGCUGACACCACCUUUCUAACAAGUGAUUUCCAUAGCUCAUCAUCUCCCCCUUUUUCCAAUUUCUGUUUCAAUUCUCUGUAAUAUAAAUAAAUUUUUUAAGAUACUCGUGAAUCGUAAUCAAUGAUAAACUACAACAAUAACAUACUCAAUGUUUAAUCGAAUCACAAGAGCAAGAAACUACUAGAACCGUGCUACUAUCAUAUAGACAAAAUAAUUGUGUUGGUUGGUACAAGAAAUUGACCAUACUGAUAGAAAAGGCAAACAACAUUAUACAAGCUUAGAUAUUUCUGUGACCCUAUCACUUUAUUCAAUCCAACGUGUUAAAAGAUUAUUAGGACAGUUUGAAGAUAUUUUCACUAGGAACAGGGGGAAAACAGAGAUUUUUCAACUAGAAAUAAAUGAUCCAAAUGAAUAUUUCAGAAAAAGGUUACACUAUUUUCUACGAUCUAGUCGAUAUAGAACCAACCGUGUGUCAAGUCAACUAUCACUACUUAGAUCAUGAUUGGGUCGCGCUCACAUCAAGAACUAUCUUGACUGUAAGUGGGCAAGAGAUCUUAAUUCCUCGUGAUAAUGUUUCAGCCACAUCACAAAUGUAUGUGCAUUGUAUAUAACCUUCCUACGUACUGACUAAAUCACAACUGCAAUGGCGGAAAAUGACAUAUAGGUACAAGUAAAUAUAGUGGUGGCCAUACCUGCAAAGAGGAACUCGACAAUCAUCAGGUUGGUCACAAAUCGAUGCGUGUAACCUUAGGAGCUGCCACAUUCGCUUGCAUUGUGAACAACUUCCCUUUACUCUUUUCUUACAAGUAGAGAAAUGUGUAAUCAAAAGCUGGAGACCUUGGCAUGUAUCAAACUUGCUACAUGGCAACUUCUUUUGGCAAGAGUACUCUUCGUCAUAUGGCCCUACGCUCGUACACCCUUCCCUGCAUAUAUGCUCCAAACAAUCCAUCCCUUCACUUAACUGUAAAUACAAGUUCUGCUCCCGCGUGUGUCUCCUCCUCCUCUUCUUCCGCUAAAACAACAAAUUUCCAAUGAAAACAUCACUGAAUGAUAAAUGACACAAAAAAACACAAUGAUAUAUUGGCAUUUCUACCUAAUACAUCAUAUCUUAGUUUUUCUGUUAGGAUUGAACUUAUAUACCUCUAUAGACUAAAUCUUAAUCUUAGAUGAUGUGAUAGUGUAAAAUUCCGUGCAACAUUAUGCACACUUUACAUUAGUCCUAUCAUAUAUACCACAAUCAAUUGAGGACCCUCAACAUUCUAUUGUGAGAUCCAUGAUCAAAAUUUUGGAUUGAACUUGAAACAAUGAGUCAGAUCAUAAAGGGGGUUAUAUUACGUACCAACUCGGCUUCAUCAGUGAACUGUAAAAUUUCAAGUUCAAGCAGGGGAUCAUGACGUUGAAGGAACUUCCAGCCUUCAGUUUUUUUAACUUUGCUGAAAUUACUCCGCAAAAAUUUCAUACAUUUGAGAUAGAGAUGAGGUGCAUCACAUAGCCUCGCGAGUUGAAUCAUGUCUAUGACGUUUUCAAUUGUCAAUUGCUCAGCCAAUGCUUUGGUGCAUCUGUGUUUUAGGCAUGGUACUAAGUACACAUGAGAAAGUGCUAGUAGAUGAAUACCAUGUUUCUCCAUCUGAUCUUUAGUACACCUAAUUUAGCACAACAAUAACAUAACCAUUUUAGACAUGAUCCAUAUUCUUCUAAAGCUCUUGGUUAUCAAAUUAUUUGAACAAUCGAAAGCAGUUUACUUACUAUACUUAUUGACAUUCAUAACAAAUCGAAACUCGGUUACGUAGACUGAUUGUUCGUCCACUUCAAACGCUCAAAACAGACCAUUUACCGUGUCAAAUGACAGGGAUUGGUUUGGUUACUUAGGGAAUCAUGCAGAUUUCCCAACAGCACCAAUAAAUAGUAAAAUACAAAUAAGAAUUAUGGCAUUCAAUCAGUCAAUGAAACCGGAACAGAGACAUGGUGUCAUUCUUAGAAUAACACCUAGCGUAAUAACGCUGAAGGAAAACUGUACAUUGUUUUAAAUACAAAGCAAUAUACAGAAAACCUGAACGUCGUUUCAGUUUCCGGCCGGAGGGGUUUAUUUGAAAAAAAAGGCCGGGGCGCAGGCUCCCGAAGAGAGAAGCCCAACGAAUGUCAGAUGCGGGCAUACAAUCCUAUUCUAUCCGAAUCCGAGUUUACCCCUUGCACUUUGGACAGCCGUCCAUAGCCACGCAGUUAAGAAGCUGAAAGAGAAGCUACCGGGCAUCCUCACUGACGCUCUAAUGAAUUAACCGUUAAUCCAUUCUAUUUAGCUGAUAAAAACGUUUUUUUAUAAAAAAUAAUAACUUGUAACACACUCCAAUAACAUAGGAAUACUUGGUCUUGUCGGUGCAUAGAAUAUUGAGGGAAAGUAAAUAUAUUAUUAAAGAUUCUUAUAGGCAAUGAAUGAGCCAUGUGUAAUAUAAUUUUAAGAAAUGGGCGGCAAAAUUUAAGCUUUGAGGAUAAAUCACCAACUCCUUGCCGUUAUAUUCAGCAUAUUAAAUUCCAAUUAGAACACUAAGUACACGCCUAACAUGUUAUGUUGGUAAGCUGUUGUAUCGUAUUAUAAAAUUCAUUCUUAGAUAAUGAGGAAAGCUCUAAUUCUAAAAUCAAUUUGGUUUAAUUAUAUUGUUACUUUUUCAUCAUUUCUCAUUUUCUCGUACUUACUAGCUAAUAAUCUUUAUUUGUUGUUUAUGUACUAGAUUUAUUCUUAAAUUGUUGACGUGUAAUAUUAUUUAAUCACAGUAAAAGAGUUAUUAAUCCAAAUAAUGCAUUCAUUGAAACAAUAAUACAUCCAUAUAACACUAUGAUACUAGUACAUAAUAAAAAGAGAGCGAAAUUUUCACAUAUAGCCACUUAAAAAUAGUUUAAUUAUUCUUUAUAGUUUGAUAAUUACAAUUCGUAACUACAUUUUACAUGUUUUAUGGAGAAGAGAGGCGAGUGAGACUGUGAGAGAAAGGAGAAAGGCUAGAGAGAGGGAGAAAAGAAUGGGAAAAAAGUGAAUUGUAUAUGUAUAUCGAUUAGAUAAUUUUAUAUUAUACGUAUGUAUUUAUAUAUAUGCAAAGGAGAUUAGGAGAGGGGGAGAUAGGCGAGCAAGAUUGGGAGAGGGAUGAGAGAGGCGAGCGAGAUUGAGAGAGGGAGGAGAGAGGCGAGUGAGAGAGGAUAGAGAGGUGAAUUGUAUAUGUACACAUGUUAAAUAAUUGUAUAUUAUACCUAUGUAUUUGGAUAUUCUGGCGAAUUAUACGUAUAUUAAGUGAUUAAUCAUACAAACUCAAAGUCAGCUCACGUAAUUAAUAUAUAAUGCUACUGGCAAUUGAUAAUUAUAGCAAACUAUAACUAUCAUGAAUAAUUAAACAAUACUAUAAAUUUGUUUACCCGCAUAAUUUUCUCUAAAAAGAAGAAAAUAUGUAGCAAUGAUUAUAGUAAAUAUAGAUUAAGAAAAAAGAAUAUGUAUUAUGAAACUCACUUGAAGGAAUAGAGAAAUUGUACGAACACGUAAACUGAGCCGCAGGGGACGCCCAGAAUCUGUAUCUUUUUCUCAAAACUCCGCUGUUGACAAACUAAUACGCUCUCCAGAACCGUCGAAGCAGCAGCCUAACAUAGUUUUAUUUUUCGUAGUGGAGAUCCAUCAGUAAUUUCCAAAUUGCAAAACAAAUAAAUUUUCGAAAACAAUUCGAUUAAUUCACAUUUGAAAGAUCUGAUCUUUACCAUGUUUAAAAUUAAAAUAAUUAACGAUUCAAAAAAUUAUUUGACUGAACAGUAACAUUUUCACGUAAAAUGAACCCGAGGGAAUAAGCGAUAGUAUGCAUGCAUACCAGAACGUUAGAAUGUGCCGGAAUGCGACGGCCGGCGGAGGUGAUGAUGUCAACAUCACUAGCAAACAUAUUCAUAGAUCUUUGGAGUUUAAUGAUAAUACAGAGAAUGCAAGCGUUAUCAAAAUAAUUAUAAUUUUUUUUUUUAACUAAAACAAAAGUAUUUUUGAGUUAGUAUUUUUGCUUUUAGAUUUUUGGUGGUAGAAUUUUGGGCGCAUAUCCCUGCAUUUAUAGGCAACGUGAGCUACGACUUAACAAAAAAAUAAAAGGGCGGCACAGAAUGAAAUCUCUACCACAAAAAUAAAUAAAUAAAUAAAAUGUGCCUAAUAAAGUAUGAGAUCUUCAAAUUCAUUGCAGCCGACCAGAUUAUCAUAAUUUUAUCAUUAUGACGUUAAUCUUCGCCUAAAUAUUCCUAAAUUUUAAAAUUAGCUUUCGCUCUAUUUUAUACGAGAUUAUUACUAAAAGUAGAUUGUACUUCCUACUAUUAUUUCAUAAAAUUAAUAUAUAACUAACAUUAUUUUUUUUAUUUUACUCUUGAAAGUUAUUAAAUUUGAAGUAUAAAUUUGAUAAACAUAAGAAAAUUAAAUAAUAAAUUCAUAUUCGUUAGUUAAUUUAAUUAGUCAAAAGAAAUUAUUUACAUUUUUAUUUAUGAAAAAUUAAUUUCAAGAGAAUAUUAAAUAAUAAAUUUAAAUUUUUGAAAAUAUGAAAUCUAAAAUAAUGACAUAAACGAAACUAUUAUUUCCUGCAACUAUACAAUAUGAAAUUAAUUUAGCGUGUAAGUGAACUAUUCCCUGUCUCAAAAUAAUGUUACUUUAGCAGAAAAUGCCCAAAAUUAAAGACAAAAAUAAAUUCUUCUUUUAUUUUUAAAUUUAUUUGACCUAUUUUUUAUUCCUUAAAUUGGGAGUACCCUAACAAUUGUUAUUUCACUAUCUAGGAUGUAAUAUACUCUCUGUAUAGUAGCGGUCAAGAAUAUUUUGUUCCUUUUUUAGUAAUUGUGUAAUUUUAAUUUUCACAUAACCUAAUUUUAGAUCCCAAAAUUUAUGAGUUUUUUAACUUUUUUUUUUUAAAAAAAACUUGUGUAAAAUCAAUACACAUCAAAUAAAUAGAAACAAAAAAAUAUAUUUUUCCAACUAUAUGUAUAUACCUUAUCUUUUUAAUAGUGUUUAAUUUUCGAAAAAAUAUUUAUCAAAAGAUUAUUUAAUAAACUACACAUUAUACUCAAUAAUUUUAUAAUAUAGACGUAAUUUUUGUUAUGAUAAUAUUUAUUUUAGGACAAACAUAUUAAUUAACGUUAACACAUAUCACAAUUGUUAGUUGUAUAUUGACUUUGUACAAAAAUAUGCUAUCAAACAAUAUAAUUUAAAGAGUGAAGUAUAUGGUCCAUUUAUCUAUUAUUUUUGUGUUCCUCUUGUUGUGCUUAUAUAUUAAAAAAAUAUUAUAUAUGAAAUUAAAAUCGAAAAAUAUUAAUUCAUUUAUGUUUGGUUCCACCAUUCUAGUAUGUUUUUAAAAUGAUAAAGAGACCACGUCGUCAAUAACAGGUAAGACCAAAUCUUGAGGAGGAAAAUAAAUUGUCCUUACACUAAUUACGUGUCAUCCUAAUCCAUCACUGAACCUAUUAGGUUCAAUAUUGGUAUUUAAGAUUCAUAUCGUAUAGGGCUUCAUUAUUUCGUAAAUAGUACUUUUUAUUAAGAAUUUUUUUUGUAUAUGAGGAUUAAAUUUGAAAUCUCUAAUUAAAUAAGAAAUAUUUUCAUUCACUGCAUAUAUUCGUUGAUGGUGAUGGAUAGUAUAUGUACACAGUGGCGAAGCCAUCUUAACAUCUUGGGAUUCAUUCGAACCUCCUUUCUCGAAAAACCAUAUUAUAUUUAUAUGGUUAAAUUUUUUUUUAUAUAUGUAUAGUAGAUGUUGAAUCCUCUUCGGCUUUUUCCUAUAUCUAUUUUUUUAGAUUUUGAACCCCUUUAUUAAAAAAUUUAGCUCUACCACUGUCUGUCUGUAUACAUAUACAUUUAUGACUAGUUUAUACGUAUAAAAUAAAUUAUAAUAUAUAUUCUUAUAAAAUACAAUUCACCAAAUACGAUUUUCAAUACAUGAGCUCUAAGCCUCUAAUUUUUUUUUUGUUUUAUUUUCCUUGGCUGUUAAUUGACCAAGACAUAAAAAGUAGCAUAUGAACUAAAUACUAAAGAAUUUAAACUUUGAAUUCUUCUCUAUUGCUUACCAACCAAUGGAUUUUAUGAAUUAAAAGCAUGAAGAAGUUCACCAUCAAUAUAUUUAUUUUCUGAUUUAGAAAUAAAAUAAAUAAAUUGUGGUGUUCACAGCAAACAUAAUUUAAUUUUAUAGUUAAAGGUCAUUAUCACGUGUGACUCUUUGUGUUCGUCUAAUAUUGUCACAUAUUUACUCAAAUUUUAAUACGAAUUUCAGAUAUUAAAUAAAAAAUAAAAUACUAUAAUAGAUAUUUUCACGUGGAUUUUUCCUCUCUUUAUUUGUUUUCAAGGUUAAAUUGAAUUUAUUAUUUUUUUAAAUUUUAGAGUAACUUCUUUGGAAGGAUAUUUUUAAAUUAUUUUACAAGUUUGAAAGACAUUUUUGAGCCCCAACCAUAGAUUAUAUAAAAAAAAGUCAAUGCAUGAAAAAUAUUUUUUGGCGGUGGAAGGGAUAUUCUUUUCUUUUUCUGGCUGGAUAUGAAUUUUACGAUAUGUUUCGUGUUGCCCCAUUUUGAAGUAAAAUAUUCCUUAUCUUCCAAGUUUGUAUUUUUAAUUAAUAGUCAAAAAUAAAGAAUUGUUGUUUAAAAAAAUAGUUGUAAAAUAUAGGAAAUAAUAUAAUAAACUAGUUUUGAUAGUAUUCAUUGUCUUAAAGAAUUUAAGCCUUCUGUUAUAACUGCAACAAUUGUGAUAUAAUUUUGAUAUAAUUUCUAUAAAGCUAACAAAAUUCGAAUUUUAAAAAUUAACUUAAAUUCUUUCAUUAGAAUAAAGUUUAUGAAUAAUAUAUAUAUAUAUAUAUAUAUAUAUAUAUAUAACAAAGGAGGUUCUUCUAAACCUUUUCGUACAUCCUUUUCAGUAUAUUUGUCAAGAGUAUUAAUGUAAAUGAUUAAAAUCUUUUUAAAGAAAUUAAUUAAUACAUAUUAUUUUUAAUAUAUCAAAUUAAGCAGUGGAUAAAAAAUAAUCUCACUAUUAUUGAUACAUGAUGUUCAUAUUAUUCUUUUACACCAUAUCUAAUGACUUCAUUGUAACUCCCACGUCAAACAAUCAAUGGGAUAAAAAUAAUUUGAUAUAUUUAUAGGGAAUAUUAUAUGGUUAAAUCAAUAUAUCGUAUUUAAUUAGUCACCAUGGUAUCACUCGCGAUCAACAUCUAGUGAUAGUUAUGUGGAUUGAGUUUUCAAAUUUGUAUAUUUUGCACUUUUGUAUAACUCAGAAUUUGUAUAGCUUUUGUAUAAUGUAAUCUCAUAUAUAAAUUCUUAAAGUUUAGAUAUUUGUGUAUAUAUAAAUUAAUUAUUUAAAAUUUAUAUAAAAAUAACCUAAUUAUAUAAAUCUGUUAAUUAUACAAAUAAAACAGCUUUAAUUGUAGCUACAAAUGUAAACUAUGACUACGAAUUGAAGCAUAAUUAACUAUUUUGGGAAAAAUUCCUAUAUGGACCAAUGUUGAUUAGAUGAAGCCUGAAGGUAAUACUAGCCCGUUUCAGUUUGGGCUGCCUUUAUACGACCCAUUAAAUUAUGUGCAGAGUAUUAUUUGACAAAAUUAGGACAUGAAACAUGAGUCAAUCAAUCCGCUUAAAAUUGGGCAAAGGACAAUAAUCACAUAUUUUUAAGGUAAAAUUAUUAUUUGUCUCUUAUAAGUUUAUAAUUACAAAAAUUCCUCAAACUGAUACAAUGAUAUACGCGUUUAUAUAUUAAUCUGAUGCGCGAGAUACAUUAAUCGCUAAGUAAGAUAUAUUACAUUUUAUAAAUGAUACACUAAUCAAAUGUACAUUUUAUACAUGAUACACUAAUCUGAUGCGCGAGAUACAUUAAUCUGAUGCGCGAGAUUCAUUAAUUUAAUGCGCUGAUACAUUAAUUUGAUGCGUGAAAAUGAGGAAUUUUGGAAAUUUUGUCAUUUAUCCUCAACUCAAGUAACCCUCAUUUGUCCGUUAUAAGUUAAUAAUUACAAAAAUCUUUUAAACUGAUACAAUGAUAUUAGCGCUGAUACAUUAAUCUGAUGUGCGAGAUACAUUAAUCGUUAAGUAAGAUAUAUUACAUUUUAUACAUGAUACACUAAUCGAAUGUAAAUUUUAUACAUGAUACACUAGUCUGAUGCGUGAUAUACAUUAAUUUAAGGCGCGAGAUAUAUUAAAAUUGAUGUAUUUGUUACAUUAUUUUGAUGCGUGAAAAUAUGAAAUUUUAAAAUUUUGUAAAACUAGUUAGAGAAAAUGGUAAAGUAAAAACUUAAUGAUGGUAUUUCUAUCAUUUAUCCUUUUUAAAUUUAGAUCAUCUUGACUCAAUCACUCAAAGUAAUCAACCCAUCCUCUCUCCCCACCCCCUCACAAAGUCAACCUAAACCUUUCAUUUGCACAACAACUUCUAACUUGCUCAUUGUAUGAAAUUCCAUGUGACCAUAAAACUAUGGAAUAAAAUAUAACCUUCAAUGGUAAUUCUUUGACAUAUCUUUUAACUAUUUUCAAUGAUUUCCACUAUUUUAAAGUAGAUUUCAAAUAAAUAGUUUUAUUUUAAUUUUUAUAAAAAAAAUUCCAUGUCAAAUUCAAGGUCAAAUAGUUUAUCAAACGUGAAUUAUUGAACUCUCGUAAAUUCAAAUCAUAUCACAUAAAUCAAGACAGAGUAUUGAUAUCCAUCCAAACCAAACAAAUGCUAAAAAAGAACUCAUUAAGAAGUAAUACACACUCCCCUUCCCCUAGGCCCCCACCCCCUACCAGACCACUCAACAGAAUGAGGAAAACACUAGAUAGUUCUUUUAUUCUGUUUUGUCAAGGGUGCUACAUAAAGUAAUAACUAUUUCACUUGGAGACUAAUGAAAACUAACAAAGCAAAUUAUAGUUGGGUUGCUUCUCUAUAAAGGGUAAAUAAAUUGAGACAAAUGAUAAAGAUACUUCCCCUAAGCUUUACAUGCGUGACGUAUAUUAAAAAAAAAACAAAAAACUUCAACAUGAAAAAAAAAAAAUUGAAAUGAAUUAAGGUAUAUAAUUUCUUUACAAAGCAUAUAUAUUGGAAAACUAAAUAAGUUUGCAACAUAAAGUAAACGAUUUAAUUAAUUUGUCAAUGUUUAGUGCUACUACAAUAUAGUUGGGUAAUAUUCUUGUUACAAAUAAAACAAUAACAAAUUAAUGGCAGAGCGAUCUUCUGAGUUAUUAUCUCAAAUCAAAUAUAUGACAACAUUCGACUAAAAGAAAAUGAUAAUGGUAAUUAUUUUAAUUUCCAUCUAGAAAUGCAUACUCAAAAGCUAAACUAUCAAUAUGAAAUAGUCUUCCCAAAGAAGAAUCUCCCUAAAAAAUGUAACAUAAUAUACCCUACCUAGUUUGUUCAAUUAAUUAAUUAAUCCAAAUUCUUUGUUUAUUUCUCUUUAUAAUCCCCUUCUAUUUCCCCUUGAUUCUAAAACCCCACUUCAAACACUAAACCACAUUGAGAAAACAUACACAUAACACAACACAACACAACACAUAUGGCCACCUCCUCUAUUUCUCUCAUUUUCCUCUUGUCCUUUCUACUUUUAAUCCCUUCACUCCUUGCCUCUUCUCCUUUACAAAAUCAUCAAUAUGUUGUUGAUCAAGUAGAUAGGUAUGUUUUUGGCACACAUGCAUGCCCUUGCUAUUGUUAUUUUUAUUUGAUGUUCUGAACCUACGUAGGAAUCGUUAACUAAAUCUAGAUAAUUAACACACAGCAAGACUCUCUACUAUUAACUACUUUUUCCUAGUGAUUCGUUUAAAAAAGAAUAAUCAAAUGCUCUUGUAUAUUUUUUACUUGAUUUCAAAUUUCUUAUUCUUCUCUUAAUUAAUAACAUAUUUUUAUAUUUUGAAAUCACACCAUUUACAAAAAUAUUUUCUUUCUUAUAAACUACACAUCUAUAAAUUAAACACUUUCACAUAAAUUGAACGGAUACAAAAUAUCCUAAGUAUCUUACCAUUAUUUCCCAACAUUUUUAAAAAAAUAUCUCUUUUAAUACAUGAUAUGACUUCGACCCCAAUAUAUUUAUAUAUAACUAGUACAUUAGGAAACCUAUUUAAUAAAGUUAAAAUUCUGACUCUACGAGUUUGAAUUUUUCUUUUUUUUCUUUAUAGGAGCAUAAAUGUGUCAAGGAGGAACUUAGGGUAUUUGUCUUGUGGGACAGGAAACCCUAUAGAUGACUGUUGGCGUUGUGACCCAAACUGGGAGAAAAAUCGUCAAAGGCUAGCUAAUUGUGCUAUUGGUUUUGGAAAAAAUGCCAUUGGUGGUAGGGAUGGAAAAAUUUACGUCGUUACCAAUUCUGGUAACGACGAUCCUGUUAACCCUAAACCGGGGACUCUCCGGUACGGGGUUAUUCAAGAUGAGCCAUUAUGGAUUAUUUUUGCUAGCGAUAUGGUCAUUCAACUAAAAGAAGAACUCAUUAUGAACUCUUUCAAGACUAUUGAUGGAAGAGGAGCUAACGUUCACAUUGCAGGUGAAAAUUAUUAGAUAUAUUUCAAUACUAAUGUUUCGAUAAAAUAUUAAAUUCUAAAUUCAUAAUUUCAGAUGUUUAGUUAGUUUGUCUUUUAUCAUAUUUGAAAAAAAUAUUUGCAUUGGAGUAUGUGUUAAAAAUGUCUUUAAACCAACCAUUUUUUUCGUCUGUGCUUUUUUGGUGAUAUAUUUUUUUUUUAAAUGUUAAACAUCUAGAUUUAUAUCUAAAUUAUUGAGAGUAUGAGACAUACACAUAAACUAUCACUUUGGAGAAAAAAAUUGAAAUUGUUAGUUAUGCGUUGCCACUUUUUGCCACAAUGGAAUUGUUUUCCACGUGGUAAUUCAUGUCACAAGCUUAUAAAUAAUUAUUUAAGGGGUAAUUGAGGUGUAUUUCUCAAAUUUAUAAAUAAUUAUUUAAGGAAUAACGCUAAAUGGCUUGAAAAUUUGUCCCAAAAAUUUAAAAAGACUAUAAUAUCAUUUUUAUUUUAAAGUAAACCGAUCUUUUUGUAUUUUUUUAAUUAAAAGAUCAUUAAAAUUAAAAGGAUAAAAAUAUUUAAAAAGAUAAAAUAACAUAGUGUGAAAUAUAUUAUUUUAUCAUUCUGACCAAACUUUAAGCGUGCGAUUCAAAAAAAGCGAAUAAUUAAUUAUAUGUAUUUGAUAUUUCACUUUAAACACAAAUAAAGAAUUUAAAUCAAAAUUAUUUAAAUUUUAUCGAAUUUGCAACCACCAUGUAAUGACUUUUGCCCUGCUUCUACCAACAUUAAUUAGCGUAACAAUUUAUGGUUGGCCAAGAUUCUAGCUAUUUGUUACUCCUAAAUACUUAUACUAUCAAAAUUUCUCACACGAUAAAAGUUUGAUUAAACAGACUAUUAUAUAAAUUAUGAAUUUGAUAUUUUUUUCAGGUGGACCAUGCAUAACAAUACAAUAUGUGAGCAAUGUUAUCAUCCAUGGAAUUCACAUACAUGAUUGUAAGCAAGGUGGGAAUGCUAUGGUGAGGAGCACCCCACAACACUAUGGGUGGAGAACUAUAUCAGAUGGUGAUGGUGUGUCCAUUUUUGGUGGGAGUGACAUUUGGAUAGAUCAUUGUUCUUUGUCUAAUUGUGUUGAUGGUUUGAUUGAUGCUAUAAUGGGGUCCACAUCAAUUACAUAUCUAACAAUUACAUGACUAAUCAUGAUAAAGUGAUGUUAUUGGGACAUAGUGAUUCCCAUGUCCAAGACAAGAACAUGCAAGUAACCAUUGCCUUCAAUCACUUUGGAGAAGGCCUUGUCCAAAGAAUCCCAAGGUAAACAUAGUAUAAUUUAUACAUGUUAGAUUAAAUGAUGGGUGUGUUAGGCCAAAGUAACUACACUAUAACAAAAACAGUUUUCAGCGAUAAUAAUAAAUAUGUAUAGUAACAAAGAGUGUUGUAGCAUUACUGAUAUUAGUUAAUUAUCAUUGAAUUCUAUAUUACCGUAAAUUUACGUACAUUUAUAAAAAAUGUUGAUUGUCUUAAAAAUAUAUAUUUUGCGACAAUUAAAUUACUGCUAUUAAUUAAUUAUCACUAAAAAAUAUUUUUGAUGAUAUUAUAUAUAUAUACACGCACACACACCAAAAUUUGGUCUAGUACAUUUCAACUAACACAUAAAAUCAGUUGAGAAUUACAUUCUUUCUCAAUAAGAUAAUCUAUAGUCAGCCACACAAGUAUUUAUGAUUUAUUUUAAAUCACAAGUUUUAAAAAGAAUCUUUAUCAUUCUUAAAUCUGUUUAUAAAACGAAAUUCAAACAUAAUCACAUAAAUGAAACUAGAGAUGUAGGAUGUAACAUGUUUGGCUAUACUUCUGAAAAGUCAAAAGGCUUUUUUUUUCUUCAGAAAAUUGAAAUGUUUGACUAAGUUUUUAGGUAUACAUAAAAAAAAUCUUAGAAGACUUUUGAAAUCUUGACCAAUUAAAUUAAAAACUUCUAACAAAAUCAAAGUUUUAAUUAAAAUAAACAAAUUAUGAAAAUUUAGUGAACUAUAUGUUAUAUGAUUUGAUAAAAAUUGUUGGGUUAAUAUUUGAAAUUGAUGCAGAUGUAGACAUGGUUAUUUUCAUGUGGUGAACAAUGACUAUACUCACUGGGAAAUGUAUGCAAUUGGUGGUAGUGCUAAUCCCACUAUCAAUAGCCAGGGCAAUAGAUUCCUUGCUUCUGAUAUUAGAUUCAGCAAAGAGGUACAUUGUUAUUAUUAAUUUAUUCGCACACAUAUAUUAUAAUCUUUUGCUUAACUAGAUCGUAAAUUAAAUUUAAAAUUCAUGUAUAGGUGACGAAGCAUGAAAAUGCACCAGAAAGUGAAUGGAAAAAUUGGAAUUGGAGGAGUGAUGGUGACUUAAUGUUAAAUGGUGCAUUUUUUGUAAAAUCAGGAGCUGGAGCCUCUUCAAAUUAUGCUAAGGCUUCGAGUUUGAGUGCAAAGUCUUCUUCACUAAUAAGCUCCCUUGUGUCCGGAGCCGGUGCCCUGAGUUGUUGGAAAGGUUCUCGUUGCUAGCUGAUUAAAGUGUUUUCUAACAAAGACGAAAAAAUAUUACUUUUAUGAAAAAAAAAAAGGAAGGACUUUAUUUGAAGGGGGGAAAAGACAGGAACUCUAUUGUGUAACUUUUUUGGUUUUUGGCAUCUUUGUGUUUAUGCCUUUUUGACUUUUGAUUAUUAAAUACAACCUCUGUAGAGUACUCCAGAAGUGUUGAUUUAAUUACUUCAAUAUAAUUAAAUGUAUUGCUAUAAAUUUGAUUCUCGUGAAUGUUUUUUAUCUUUCCCUCUCAUUAUAUUGUUUCAUAUACAUGGGACAAAAAGGUUAAAAGGAUAAAAAAAUUUGGUUUCAAUCGAUAUAUAUAAUAAAGGAGAGUAAUUUAGGUUAAGUCGAGUGACAAAUGAAAAACCACUUGACAUAUAGAAUUGGUUAUUAAGAGUUGUGGAGGGAGGAGAUAUAAGUAUAUUUAUGGUAGUCAGAAUUUUGUUAGAUAAUAUAAUUUAAUAUGUUUAAAUAAUAUUUUAAUAUUAUCCGUCCAUCGCACAAAUUGAUAUACUAAUGAAUAUAUUAAUGAAGACAAAUGUAAAGAUUCAAAGCAAUAUCAACCAAAACCAUACAAAGUGAUAGAGCCAUUUCAACUACCAAUAUUCAUCAAGCCAAUGGGCAUGAAUCCUAGCAAUUUGAGGAUUAUUGCAUUUGCAGGCCAUAUUGUCCUUAGUAAUAUGCACCAUAUAAUUAAAAAAAACAUGUUAGUAAUCUAAUAACCUUCCAAUGAUGUCACUAAUUAACAAUAGGAUUAUGAUAAUUAAUUAAUCUCCCACUCUUUAAACGAAAGGGGAUUAAAUUAUUUAAUUUAAAAACUUCUUAUCAUGUAGUAGCUAUUAAUUAAGGCAUAGUAGUAUUCAAGUAUAAUGACAAAACCGUCGUACAUUCCUCAAUUUUUGCUCUUUUUUUUUUGUUGUUGUAAGUUGUAACUACUAUGUCAUUUCAAUUGUCCAAAGUUUUUAAUUUCUUCUUUUAAUUGAGAAAAAUAAUUUUUUUUGGAAGUUUUGGAAUAGUAAAAUGCUUAAGAAAUCACUCCUUAAGUCUAACAAUGCUACAAGUUAGUAAGAGUAUCUGAUUUGAAAAUUUUAUCAUAUAUACUCCCUGUGUCCACUUUGAUUUGACAUAUUGAGCUAUUCGAAAGUCAAAUUUGAUUAAUCUUUAAAGUUAAAUUAAAUUAUAUAAUAAUUAAAUAUUUUUUUUAGAAAAAAUUAGAUAUUCAAAAACCAUACAAAAAGUAGUAUAAAUUGUAAUUUUUUUGUAUAUCAAUAUGAUAAAAAUAUAUAUCGUAAAAUAUUAAUCAAAAUUCUUAUAGUUUGACUUUAAAAAAAGAACAAUAAUGGUGUAAGGAUAGACUAUAUUCUUUAACUCUUUAAAAGUUUUUAAAAUGAUUUUUUUUUUUAUAAAAACGCAAUGAUUUUCGUUUUCCUAUUCAAUUAUGAGAGACAAAGUUUGCUUUGAGCAAUUUUUCAUCAUAAAAGUAAACUACUUUAAUUAUCAAAAUGGGAAGGAAGUAAUUGAACGGCCUCUAUUUAUCAAAUUGGAAUAUCAAAUUUUACUUUAAUACUUUUUUCAAAUUCUCUUCCUUAAUUGAAGCAAACAGUGGUCAAAUAUAAUUACAAUUUACAGUGAUUUGAUAUAAUUAUAGUGUUCUUAGCCCCUGGAACUUAUAUGAUUUAGAGCCUGUUUGGCUCAGCUUAAAAGCUGAUCAAACUGACUUAAAAGCUGGUUUUUGACUUAUUUAACUGUUUGGCAAUACUCAAAAUAGCUUAUUUUAAGUUAAAAAAAACUUAUUUUAAGCCAAAAGUUAAAAACUGGGGUAAGAGUAUUUUUUUUUUAGCUUAUAAGCUGUUUUAAGUUGACCACAUUUUUAUGUUUUUUCCCUUAAUAUUUUUAUACAAUCUCCAAAUUACCCAUAUAACCCUAACAUCUCUUUCUUCUAUUUUUCCCUUUUCACGUUUGGCAUAACAACUUCAGCACUUUUAUCCAAACUCAUAACUGCUUAUUUUAAAAAUAAGUUUCAGUACUUUCAAAAGUACUUUUUAAAGCUGUUUUUAUUAAGCCCAUCCAAACGACCCUUAAUCAUGUGAAAGACAAUCACAAAAAAAGAAAAAAUAUUGACCUAACUGGAAUUUUAGUUACUAGUGAUGAGAGUCAAUUGUUUUUUACUUUUUAGGGACACAAUAAUUUCUAUGGUUGAAAUUUCUCAGUCCCUGCCUUUUAUAAUGUGACAUACUUUUUAAAGAAAAUUUUAGUUAAGAGUGAUAUUUUUACUAAAUUAUAAAGAAGAUCCUUUUUAUUUUAUAAUUGGAACAAAUAAGUUGAAAUAAUUCUUUUUAAUUAUUUAUGUAUUAGUUAUUUUUUUCUAUCAUGCAUAAAAUACUAUGCCAAAUUUCUAUAAAAAAACAUAUGUAAUACGUAAUUAUAAAUCAUAUGUUGAAUUAAUUUUAUUCUGGAAUAACUCACAUCCUAACCAACUAUCGAACAUGAUAUUAUUUAUGCAGAAUAUACUAUGCCAAAUUUCUAUAUAAAAAACAUAUGUAGUUUAAAUCAAAUGUUAUUAAGAAAUAACUCACAUCCUAACCAACUACCGAACAUGAUAUUAUUUAUGCAGAAUAUACUAUGCCAAAUUUCUAUAUAAAACAUAUGUAGUACCUAGUCACGAAGGUUUGAUUUUAUAAAUUGUAAAUCAAAUGUUGUAUUAAUUUUAUUCAAAAAUAACUCACAUCCUAAUCAACUACCAAACAUGAUAUUACUUUAUGCAUAAUUUAAUAUGUGCAUAACUAAUCACCUUCAAAUCAACUACCAAACACGAUAUUACUUAUAAAGAAUUUAACAUUUACAUAACUGAUCACUUCCGAACCAGGUACCAAACAACUCCAAACAUGUUAUAUAAUUAGGCUUAAUCUCCUUCACAUAUUUUCAUGACAUUAGCACAUCAUUUCUUCUUCUUCUAGAAAUCAAGUUUUCAUGUGCUUAAAAAUUGGGUCCAACCUAACUAAUUAAUUAGGUAUCUUCAAGUACCUAAAAAUGUCUUCAAUCAAAUUAUCAUAUUUUUGGGCCGCAAACCUCGCCGUAACUCCACACCCAAGAGCAAGAGAAGUGAUGCUUUGAAGCACCACGCUUCACAUUAUUGUCAUUCGAUCAACUUGUCAACAUGAUAAAUUGCCAACACAAAGGUCCCAAUUGGAGAGGUUACAGAAGCGACGGGUAUAACACGAAUCAGUUGAACUCAAUAUUUUUUACUACAUAAUUUAUAUAAAUAUGAAAAUUAUUAAACCUACCUCAAAUUUUGCAUUUUGAAUUCAAAUUUGCAAAUGCACCACGUUAUAUAUGAAUCACAUGUGCAUGUUUUUGUGGAUUCAAUAUUCACACACUAAUCCUCGUAGGUACUCGUGAUAGGCCGGCUAAGCAUAUCCGAAAUUAAUAUAAUCAUAAUAAUACGUUGAAUGAAUAUCAAGUGAUUGAUAUUAUCUCUUUAAAUCAAAAUAUUUUAUUUACAAAAAGCGUAUCAAUUAAAUUUUGAUCAAUCAAGCACACAAACAUGUAAAUAUAUUUUAAUAAUUUAAUUUACACUCAAUAAUUAUCAUAAAAAGGGAAGUGAUUCAUCCUUAAUAUCGACUUAAUUUAAAUGUUAAUCUUUUUUAAUUAACUAGGAUAUGGAGUUGUGCUUUUCUUUAAGUUGAAAGAUGAAUUUUCACAAGGAAAUAAUUUGAUUCCAUGAAAGAAUUGUGGAUUCUCUAGUUUGUUCAAUUAAGGAUGUAUAAAUUAUAUACAUUACCAAUAAUUUGUUUAGAUCUAAUGAACACAUUGUCAUGACCCCUCUUAUUGAAAAGCCACAUAACAAACCUCAACCUCUUAAUUAAUUAGUGUGUAAACUAAAUUAAGUAUAAUUAAUUGUAGUUAAUUGUCCAUAAUAGGUGAAAUUAGAUAGGUAUAAAAGAUAGAUUAUACAUAAUCUGAUAAAAAGAUUAAAUUAUAGUAAUAUAAAAAUUAUUUUUAUUUUAUUAACAUACGAUUAUAACUAAAAUAAAUAUAUAAACAUACGUAAAAAUCACUUCUACAUAGCAAAUAACAUGCCCUACUUUUAAGAUUGAGACAUGUUGGUGAAAUUACAAUUAGGCUCUCUUUCAAGUUUCUACCGAUGUCAUAAUCACAAUAAUUAAUGCAAUUGAAUUUCAGAUAAAUUACAGGGUCAAAUUGAAUCUCAGAUAAAAGAUUAGGUACCAAAAUAUAUAAUAGAUUAACAUAGUGAGCAAAAUGGAUUUAGACAAAACCUCAGGGACCAAAAGUUAAACAUUCCAAAGAGGAACCUUUUCAGCGGAAGAUUUUUCGUUCGGCGUCCAAAAUGUCAGAAAUUCCGGCGUCCAACUCCGUUAAAAUUCCUUCAAUGAAGUCAGAAUCUCUCGUCGUUGACAGGAACUCCGGCUCCGUGAGGUUACAGCCACCACUUCAGUAUCAGCCGUCGAAAAUCGUUUUGGCUGACCUCAACGUUGACCCUCCUGAUUCCGACGGCAAUGAUUCAGUACCCGUAGCUGCUGUGUCUCCUAUAUGUUUAUCCAGGUUCUACUUGAUACUUUUAUGAAAUAAAAAAGAACAAAUGAAAGAAGAAACUUGAAUUGUUUAGAGUUUUCGGAUUUUUUUUUUCAUUUGAAUGAGGCUAGGCUUGAUUCCACACUCUUUGAUUCACCAACUAAUAAGAGUGGCAUUCCUUUUGGGAAGGAAUUAGUUGUAAGUGAAGAUGAAUCUAUAUCGUAUUGUUAGAGCUGUUAUUAAAAAUUCAGUUGGCUGCCAUGAAACAUGUGAGAAAUACCAACAACAACAACAUAGCUAAUGUAAUCCCACCAAUGGGGUCUGUGGGGGUUAGAAUGUAUGCACCUUACCCCUAACUAUGUGGGAGUAGAGAGACUGUAUUUGGUAGACACUCGGCUAAAAAAAUAAAUAAUCUAAGCAUGAUUGCGAGAAAAAUAUGAGAACAAAAUAGCAAGAUACAAAACAAAUGAAGCAACAAAUAGUAAUACAAAUUGAAGAAUAAGAGACUACGUCAUUACUAGAUAAUACCGCUAAUAAAGAGAAGAGGAAAGGAGGAGGCUAGCCCCCCCACAUCUCCCACGUUAAAUGUGAUAACACUCGGCUACUUACUAACCUUCUACUCUAAUCCUCGACCUCCAAACCUUCCUACAUGUCCUCAAUAAGUUCAAGUUGUGCAUGUCCUAUCUAAUCACCUUUCCAAGUUCUUUCUCGGCCCACCUCUGCCUAUAGAAAAUAAAUCUCGGAAAAGGAGUUCAUAUAACGGCAGAGGUAAUUCACCUCGAUCUGAUGCUUUGUUGUUUAGCUUUAUUAUGUUGAUAUUAUUGCUGGGACAAGAAUAAUUUAUUACUUUAACCUGGGUCUGAUAUAUUUGCAGGGUAAUAGCUGAUGAAAUUUGUCAGGAUAAGCUGAAGAAAGACAUAGAGAUUGCAGAAACAGAAGGUAAACAAUUGAAAAAAUUGGGAAAAUGCCGUUCAAGAAUGGGUAAGUUAGAAUGUCCUCCUGAUUGUAAUGGAGCUGAUGCAGAGGCUGAUCAUAAUGUUCAUGGGGUCCCUUCAUCUCGGGAAGAAAAAGUUAGCAGUCUUAAAACUGUGAGUUGUAUUUUGAUCCAUUUAUAUUUGCUAUAUUGAUAGUUGGACAAGGUUGACAGGAAAUUUUGCAUGAACUCGAGUUCAUUUAUAUGCACAACUUGUACAUAUUUCUUGAGACCAACUUGGUGUUUCAUGAUGAAUAUUUUGACUUAUGUUUGUCUUUUGUUACCUAGAUUUGUGUCUGUAUCUAUGUUUAUAUGAGAGCUAAUCCUUUUAACUGUUUUCCAUAUCAUAUUUUUUCAUCACUUGAAUUGAAUGCAGUGUUUUCAAAUGCAAAAAGUGGGAAAGCAACAAAAUCCACGGGACUUGAAACGACCAAUGAGGACUGAAGCAUAUAAUUAAUUGAAAUGUUAAAAUACCAAAAUAUGAAUUUAGUAUUACAAUAAUUAACUUGUAAUUAAAAUAACUAUUUUCAGUAUUAAUAUAUUAUACUGUCUAUAUUCAACACAAGGGGUAAUUCGCUGAUUGUGAUUUCCCUCAGAUGAUUUGUAACUAUUUGCUGGAAGUUGAAUAAUAUACUUCCUAUGCUUUUAACCUAAAAAAAACACAAAGGUGGAAUUUCUUUCUUCGAAGGAAUGUAAAUGGUUGGGAAGUAGAACGAGUACGUCUUUUGCUUCAGCUGCUGAGGAACAUAGCUUUGGACGGCAACAGAACUGAUUCUACUAGAUGCAAGGGGCAUCCCAAAGUUCUAAGAGAGUUCUUCUUGAUUGUGCUUCACCUUGUGCCAGUUUAAUCUUCUGCUUUUCUUUUCUCUUAAAAUAAGGGUAAUUGUGCUAGUAAAAUCAUCUGUUUUGAUUGUCAGAGGAAAGAGUAGUUAAACACCUUCUUGGUGCAGUUGUUUAAACUUUUGCUGGAUUCAUCUACUUUGCUUGUAGGGCUUGAUACAUGUUGCGCGAAAAAUGCCAAAGAAUGCACAUGCACAUUUUGUACUUGGCUUGAUGUAUCAAAGGAUGGGUCAGCCUCAAAAGGUAGCUUAUGGAUUCCAGUGUUCUUUUCCUGGGUCUGUUUUCAUUCUCUCUCUCGCACUGAACAGCUCAUUCUAGGCGAUUCUGGCAUAUGAGAAAUCGGAAGAAAUUUUAGUUCGCUCUGAGGAAGCAAUAGACAGGCCUGAGUUGCUUUCUUUAGUCCAGGUUCAUCAUGCACAGGUAUGAAUGAACUUACACUCAGAGAAAUUGCAAAUUUUGUAGUCAAUGUUUCUCUAUUAGUUUUUCAAACUUAAAUAUGUAAUUACUGCUAACCACAUACUUACACAUCUCUUCCUGGUGCAGUGUAUUCUGCUUGGAACCUUGGAAGAUUGUAGUUCAGAUGAGGAAUUAGACCCUGAAGAGCUUGAAAAUAUUCUUGCUAAACUUAAGGAGGUUGUGAAAUCUGAUGUUAGGCAGGCAUCCAUUUGGAAUGCUCUUGGCAUAAUACUUCUUAGAUCUGGUCGUUUGCAGGUGCUGCUAUGUUUAUAUUUUAGCUUAACUCAUUGACAUCUUGGAACUUUCUUUGAUUAUCGUUUGACACUUGUGGUUAUUGUAGAGUGCUAUAUCAGUUUUCUCAACUUUGUUGGACAUUUCCCCAGACAACUUAGAUUGCCUCAGUAAUCUUGGAAUUGCUUGUCUCCAGAGGUAUAAAGGGGCAUUAGAUUACUUAUUAUAUUAAUGUCAUCAUUUUAAUAUUCUCGUGUUUGAUCAAAUAAUACUAAUGAAAAAUAGAUUGAUCGUGAAGCUAAAAAUAAUUGGAGAGGUGGAGAAGCACUUGUAUUUAUGUGUUGAAAAGGGCAAAGAUAAAGAAUAUCAUAUAAGCUAAAUGAUGUUUUUAUUGACAUUGCAAUUGUAAAGGAGAAAAAUCUAUGACUUAUACUGUUCCAUUUAGUGAUGAGUAAAUCUUUUGUGCUGUCGCUUCCCUAUUCAUUGUGAAACAUAUAGUUUUUCUUUGCUUUUCAGUUUGAAUUAAAAUAUUUUUAGGGGACCUCAAGUGGUAAAAACCCUUUGGGUUACAUAAAUGAUCACAAAAUGGGAACAAAUAUGACAUUGGAUUUCUCUUUUCCUGAAGUCAUGCACAUUUGAUCAUAUCUACUGAUGAUUCAACUUGGCCGCUGGAACUUCUCUCUUUCAUUUAUAGACAAUAGAAUCUUCAGUAUCAUAUCUUGCUUAAGCCGUGUGGAAGUGAAAUUUGAGUUAUGAAGGCUUGAAAGUCUCAAAAUAAAAUUAUGUUUACUAAUGUUUGAUUAUGCUGAAGAAAAGUUUUGACCCAUUAUGUCGAAAAAGGGAGAGAAAAGGUUAAUCAACUCAUACUUUACUUUGAUUGUGGAUACUGUUCUGAUUAUAGAAAUUAUGCCUAAGCUUUUCCAACCUUGUAAUGUGUCUCUUAGCUGCUCACUCUGAUUUAUUGGCAAAAACGAUGCAAUAGCUUCAGACGGAUGGGGUUUGAAGAUAAUAAUGUCAUAAACUUACCCCUCAAAAAACAAAGUAUAGAGACUUAGAUUUCUAAAACGAUAACUUUUUAUGAUGGUCGUGAUUGAGCGAUGUUGUAUGGGGCAUAUUGUUGAUAUCUAUAUUUCAAGGGAAUAGCGAGAUAGACUAGGAUUGCCACAUAUUGUAUUGGAGCAGGUGGAUAAAAUAAAGGCUCAAAUUCGGCAUCUUGUGUGAUAAAAUAUGCCGCUAAAGGUAAGUUUUAUAAAGUGGUUGUUAAACCAACUAUGUUGUAUGGGGCGCAAUGUUGGGCGGUCAAGAACUCACAUAUUGAGGGUAAAUAUUGAAAUGGAUUUAUGAGCACACUAGGCAAGAUAGGAUAAAGAACAAACAUAUUUGAGACAAGGUGAGAAUGACCUCCGUGGUGGACAAGAUGGGCAAAGUGAGCCGAGAUGCUCAGAUUCUAGUGAUGAGAUGUGAGAGGUUCACUAUGGUGGGUCUGACUGGAGGUAUAGGUAAGGCAGAAAAAGAAUUAGGUUGGGAAGAGGUGAUUAGAUAGGAUUUGAAACACCUGCAGCUUACCGAGGACAUGACACUAGAUUGGAAGAUAUAGAGGUUGAGAAUUAGAGUAGAAGCUUAGUAGGUAGUCACACUAUCUAGUUUCCCUUAUCAGUGGUAUUAAUAUUUCUUUUCCUCUUCCUUCUUAUACUUCUUAUUAUUACUUGUUAUUUCUUUUGCGUCGGUAAUCGUAUUAUUUGUUUGUGCUCCUAGUAUUGUCCACUUGUGGAAUUUGACUAGGUAUGAUGUUGUUGUUGUUGUUGGCGGUGGUGGUGCUCGGGCUAGCUUUUUUGCACCUCGACUAGUCCACUAGCAUCUUCUCCCUCCUAUCAGUACAAGUACCGGGCAACUCUAGCAGCCGAGGCUUUGGCAAAAUGGAAGAAAUCGCCUAGUUCAGGGAUUUAAGCCUGAUACGUCAUAGUCUUCCACUUCAUUGACCACACCUUUGGGUGCUUAAAAAGCGUACUGUAUUCUGAUGGCGGUUAUCACCGUUCCAUUAAAAUAGAAGUGUUUAUCUUGUGGGUAGGGAGACCAUUUUCAGGAAGUAGCCUACUUAUUCUACCAUAAAUGGGAGAACCCUCUAUGUAUCUAUGACUCAGUCACUUCUUAAUAAUCAUCCUUCAAAGCAAAUCCCAUGACCUUAUACAACAAGAGUAAUUAAAUCUUGCAAAUGGUGAUACAGACAGUUACCUAUUUCAAGCUGUCACCAUUCUUGUGAAUCAGAUUAACCCAUCAUGGAUUUGAGUGGAACUUUAGGAUUCCUGGAGAGGUUGAUCAAAUGCUUCGUUCCAUAUAACUUCUUCAAUUGAUUAGAUCGUCUUAAUAGCAGUCACUGCUUUUAUAGGUUUUCAAUUUUUCAUACACUGGUAUUUUAUCAAAUGCAUAUUCUGCUUCUGUUAUCUGUGUUUGUCUCUUUUUUUUUAUUGGGAUGGGGGAUGUUUCUGAUGCUGUUAAUCACCUUUGGUAGAUACACUAACUGAUUAAUGUUUCACCAGCCAUGUCUUCCUAUAUUGUUCACUUGAGCUACUUUCUUUGCUGAAUUGAAUCACUUUGACAAUGUUUUUCCAGUGGGAAUCUAGAGCUUUCUGAGAAGUGCUUCCAAGAUCUACUUAUAAAAGAUCAGAAUCAUCCCACUGCAUUAAUCAACUAUGCUGCCCUUAUCUUAUAUAAAUAUGGUUCACUAGUGGCAGGUAAGAGGAUUUUGUGUUUUAUAAUUAUAUACUUAGGCCACCAGAUUUAUGGUUACAGAGCAUUGCAAAAAUUUACUUAGGCUAUCAAUUAUUUUACUGAUAGUGCUCAUUAGCAUGUUUUGAAACAUAGAUAUAACAAUUUUAAAGAAAAAGAAAACAGAGACUAACUAGUAAGCAUCGGCUGUUAGUUUCAGGUGCGGGGGCAAAUACUCUUUAUGGAACUUCUGCAGAUCAAGUCACUGCAGCCAAUGUUGCCAAAGAGUGUUUACUAGCAGCUUUAAAAGCAGACUCGAAAGCGGCUCACAUUUGGACAAAUCUAGCUAAUGCUUAUUACUUGAUGGGUGAUCAUAGGAGCUCUGCAAAAUGCUUGGAAAAGGUACUUCUUCUUCAAGGCGACAAUCAGCUUUAAACCUCACUUUUAUCUGUUCUUACAAGAUAUUGAUUCCUAGGCUUCUUGAAUAGAUGCAUUAAUGUUGAUCUUGUAUAAGUAAUUUACAUUCUUUUUCUUUAAUGAGUAGGCAGGAAAAAUUGAUCCUAAUUGUUUAGCGACAAGAUAUGCGGUUGGAGUUCACCGCAUCAGGGAUGCAGAGAGGUCCCAGAAUCCCAAUGAGCAGCUCUCAUGGGCUGGUAUUGAGAUGGCCUCAAUACUAAGAGAAGGAGAUUCUACUUCGAUAGAGCCUCCAGUAGCAUGGGCUGGUCUCGCCAUGGUCCACAGGGCCCAACAUGAAAUUGUGGCAGGAUUUGAAGUUGAGCAUAAUGAAUUGGUGGAAGUCAAGGAGCAUGCUAUCUAUAGUCUAAAGCAGGUAGGCUUUAAAGUUUUUAUAUUUUUAUCUAAGACUUAUUACUUAGUUUGAUAAGCUUUAAAGUGCCCAUCUCAUAUGGGAUGGGGGGAGUAGUUGAACAUGUGAUGAGGUGAUCUAUAUGUACUUCCUCUAUGGUGCAAGUGGUUACUUACGAAAUUGUUUUUGAGUUGGAAUUGCUUGAACUUAUCUUUUACUGUGAAAGGAAAUCAGUUGUCAAACUCUUUCUUGCAUGUGUUUACUGCAUUUAAGCUUCUUUAAUACCUUGCAUGUGUUUACUGCAUGUAAGCUUCUUUGAUUCCUUGCAUCGGCUUCCUGACCUUUGAUUUUCAUUAUGUUCUGCGACAGUCUUGCGAAAUGAAGUUUGGACUGAAUGCUUGGAUUUCUUAUUCUGAUUUUGCAAAUGACAGGCAAUAGCCGAAGAUCCUGCUGAUGCUGUUCAAUGGCAUCAGCUUGGCCUUCAUAGUCUGUGUACCCAACAAUUUAAGACGUCUCAAACGUACCUCAAAGCUGCAGUUGCACGCCGUAAGGACUGCACCUAUGCCUGGUCAAAUCUUGGUAAAUGCAUCUCUCUUACACAAUGUCAUGCACAUCUUUUUUCCUCCUCUUUUCUUCUCCAUAUUUGAUCAUCGUGAAAAUAGCCUUCAUGUCUUGCUGAAUUUUUUUUUGCACUAUAGGUAUUUCACUGCAACUAUCCGAGGAGUCUUCUCAAGCUGAAUCGGUGUAUAAACAAGCAUUGUCACUAGCUACACCAAAACAAGCGCACACAAUAUUUUCAAACCUUGGAAAUCUCUAUCGGCAGCUAAAACAGUAUGAAUGUGCAAAGGCAAUGUUCAAUAAAUCACUUGAACUGCAACCUGGAUAUGCACCUGCUUUAAACAAUUUAGGUCUUGUAUAUGUUGCUGAAGGAAAGUGGAACGAAGCAAAGGACUCAUUCGACAAGGCAAUCCAGGCAGAUCCAUUGCUUGAUGCUGCCAAAUCCAACAUGAUUAAAGCUUCUAACAUGCUCAACAUGUAUACCAGCAUGUCAUGAUGUCUGCGAUUCGUUCUAUUAAAAAUUUGUCCCCCUGUAAUUAUUUAGGUGGCGGGAGAAAAAAAGAAGGGUAGAUCUUAAGAUUUGGUAAUAUCAGCUUUUUUGGAUUUUAGUUUGUUAAACUUAGCUCCUUCUGGAGUUUUAGCAAAGUAGAGAUUCUUUCCAAAAUACUGAUGUCUCCUGCUUUCUUCACUUCCGCCAUGACUAUAAUUCAUGCUAUAGAUGUGACAAGUGCACCAGCAGUGGCCUUCGUUCAAAUUUAACUUACUAGAGAAUUUGAAAAUUUAGUCCAAUUAAUCGUUGAUGACAGGUUGAUACAGGCAGUGUGAAUAAUUUGAAUUGCAUUUCACAGUGUUCAUGUCUAACUUUCUGGUUUAAUGUUAUCAUGCAGGGUUGUGGUCAACCUGGAUUUACCCUGCUUGAGAUGAUUGGAGCCUUCAUUGAUUUGAAGCAGUUCAAUUAUUUCAAUCUUGUAAGUUGUCGAAACCAUUGUCUCUUAAAACAAGGAAUGCCAUUUUUAGAAUUGCUGUCUUUUUCUUUUUCUGUAUGCAAAGUUUCUACAGACUGGAUAGAAAUGCCAAGUUCAAUAGCAAUGCCAACUUCUUGAGGGAAAAUCAUAUUCCAUUUCUAAAGGUUUGUUAGUUUCCAAUGUCAGGGUUUAUCUUCUUCUUGUUAUUGCUUGCUAUUAUUUCUUACUUGUCAUCUCUUCUUGAGCCAGGGUCUAUCUAAGGUUUGCAUGUGCUCUAUUGUCCUCUCUCCAGUGAAAUUAUAUUGAGUAUGGUGUUGUAGUUUCCAAUUUCAAGGGUUGAAAUUGUCAAGCAUAAUUUUAGACCCAAUAAUUCGAAGUAUAGACAUGUUAGAUACUUUAUAAUAUUUGACCUUAACAGUUCUAAUUGUACACUCGCCUUAUCAAAUUUAUCUUUUUUUGGUUCCAACUUAAAUUUAUUUAUUUUGAUAUCAACAAAUAAGUCAUCUUACAAUGAUUCAUAUUAAUAAUUUAGAAAAGAAUUCUGACAUUUUACUUGUUCUUUUAUCUUACAUAUUAUUUUAUUGAAACGUGUACUUCAUAAUUUGAUGCAGAAAAACUAGUAAAACAAAAAGGAGACGGAAAAAUAGGGAAAUAGUGGGGGGCAUGUACGUGGGAAAGUUCAUCCGCGUGAAAUAAAAAAGUAUACUUUGCGUGAAGUGUACCAUCAGCCAACUUAUCGCUUCCACUUUCUUUGAUAUUUGAUACUAUUUAUUAUGAUAAACAAAUAUCAAUUCAUAUUGAAAAUUUUUACCAAAUCCAUCAUCUUUGAUAGUUAUAUUCCACAUACUUGAUAAUUUGUAAAGGUCAAAAAUAUUAUUAACCUAUUAGAAACGAUUUAAAUAUAUAUUUCUUGUAACUUACCGAAUAAAAAUGCUCUAAUUAUAUUAAAAAUGGUUCACAAAAAAAUGUUCUUACACCUAUUUAACCAAAUAUGCUCGUAACAUUGUUUUCAAGCUUAAAAUAAUGAAUAACUUUUAUAUAUAUAUAUCAAACACAAAAAUAAUAUUUGUAUAACUAUGGUAUGCAGAACUUUGCUUUAUAACAAAUUUUCCUACACAUAUAUACAAAAGAAACAAUUGUAAAAUCUGUUUCGGUAUACAUGUAUAAAGUGAGAAAGAGAAAAAGACAAAAGAAAAUUAAGCAAAAAAGUUUAUAGAACGAAAAUAUAUGUUUUUGUAUUUAUAUGUACAAUUUUCUCUCGCUUUAUACAAACACAAACGCAAUGUAGACAUUUGUGUUUGUAUAAAGUGAGAGAGCUUAGUGAGAGUGGCUAGUGACAUCAGAGAUAAGAGAAUGAAAAUUAAUGUGUAUAUACAAUUUUUCUCGUUUUAUACAAACGUAAAUAUAUUUUAUACAUUUGUAUUUUUGAAUAAAAGUAAGAGAGGCGAGUGAGAGUCUGUCGAGAGUGACGAGUGAAAUUCACCAAGCAGAGAGACGAAAUAACAACAGUUUGCUGCGGGAUACAAUUAAAUCAAACUAUGAUUAUAUUUUUUAUUUAUUUAUUUUGCUACAAUUAAAUCAAACUACGAUUAUAUUUUCUAUUUAUUUAUUUUGCUUUGCGAUUAACUUUUGCCAAGUAGUACUAAAGUGUUUUAAAAGGACCAUUUAUUUAUAUAUAUAUAUAUAUAUAUAUAAAAAGACACUGAUUUAAAGGUCAAAAAAUUAAAAUAGAGACAUUUGUCCUAAGAAAAGGAAAAAGGGCGAUAUAAAAGAUGUACUGGGGUCACAAUCGUCGUUGAUUUGGACUUGUUUUGGCCAUUGUUCAUUUCGCUCACACUGCUUCACUCGACUGAAAAUGGAGAAUCAGGGUUUUACACUUUAAAAUUCGGAGGCAAAACGAAGCAAUGGAAGCCAUUCAAUCACCAUACAUGCAUAACUUAAGCCAACCUACACUUGAUAAACAGUAUUUAGGGUUUGAUCCUCAACCUCCCGACACGGCGUCAUUUUCAUCGGAGCCCAAUUUUCAAAACCCUAGUCGGGAUCUCCCAGAAGUUGAGGAAGACGAAUUUGAUGAUGAUGAUGAGAUAGCGCUGCAAAUCAUUUUUAAGGAGGUUCAGAAUCUGGUGUUGAACCAGGCGUUCAGUGAAGCGAGAGCAAAAGGAGGUGUUUAUGAAUCCGCUAUGGUAAAAUCUGGAAGUGAAGAUGAGAAAGAUGUGCGAAUGAUAGGUGAAGAGCUACAGAAUCUGGUGGUAGACCAGGCGUUCAGUGAAGAGAGAGCAAAAGGGGAUAUUAAUGAAGGGAAUGGAAGAGAGGAAGUCGGGAAUGAGUACGGUGGUAAUCGUUAUGAAGAUGGUGCUGGUUGGAGCGAAAACGUAAAUGUGAUUGAUGUGAAAAACGAGAAAGGUGGUGAGGUGAUUUCAAGAGAAUGGGGUUUUGAUAACGAUGAAGAUGGUGACUAUAGUUGGAGCGAAAGUGGAAUUGUGGUUGAUGUGGAAAAUGAGAAGGCUGGUGACGCGGGUUCAAAGGAAUGGGGAUUUGAUGACUAUGAAGAUGGUGACCUUAGUUGGACCGGAAAUGAAAUUGAUGUGGUAAAUGAGAGCGGUAGUAUGGCGGGUUCAAAAGAAUGGGGAUUUAAUGCGAAUGGGAGGAGGUUGAGUUACCCGUUAAGGCCUGAUGCUGUGGAUUGUGCUUAUUAUAUGAAAACAGGGACAUGUCAAUAUGGAUUGAAUUGCAAGUUUAAUCACCCUUCUCGAAGACAAAAUCAGGUACAAUGUCAUGGGUUUGAAGCUGCUUUAGUUGUACUUAUUCUAUGUUUUGUUGAUUGAAUGAAUGGUUUUGUUAAAUAAAAGCAGUGUUGUGGAUGAAUCGUAUUAAUAGUGGAGGAUUGUGAUGGUCUACUGUUUUGUUUGUUUAAUUACGGGAUUAUUAAGUUUUUUUCUUGUGCAUAGUGGACUUCUAAAGUAAUAGGGAUGAAAUGGGCCCAAAUGGUGUUAAAGGAUUCACAUGGUGGACCCUGACUACUACGAGAUUGAGUGUAGUAGUUGUUGCUACACUUGUGAAGUAAUGAUGGACUUGAGGUGCGAGCUAACGGAGGACUGCUUCAUAGUUAGUUGUUGGCACUUAAGGGGCACGAUGAAUCAUGCAUUGAAAUGUGUUGUUAAAGAAUUCAUAGUAUCAUUCAUCAUUGGCAUUAUUGUUUUCUGUGAAGUAGUGAGUGUUACUUGACAUCUAUACAUGAAGUGGAUUAAUAGGAUGAGUAUCUGGAGAUUAUGUUGAUCUUUGUGGUGUUCUUUCUUCCAUUACUACUGUUCAUACGCUUAGGUUAGAACUUAGAUCCUAAAUACUUUUGUGAUGCUUACUAUGUUGAGUUUGUUAUGACCUCUUCAGCAGUGGGCAAUGGAGAAGGGCAAGCAAAAGGAUGAAAGCGAGGAAAGAGCAGGGCUGAUUGAAUGCAAGGUUAUGAAAUUUAUCAUUGUUAAAAGCAUGAGACGAGGAAAAUCUUUGCUUCUUCUGUGCUUGAUCUUUUGACUAAUUUGGUUUGAUGUUGAAUAUUGAGUAUCAUAAUGUAAAAAAUAAAUGUUAGUGCUCUAUGAAAUACAGACUCUUUGAUAUGAACUGAUAAACUUGUUUAUUAACAUGAACCUAGUAUCUACCAUUUAAUAUAUGCCAGAAACACAUGAAAGAUGAUUUAUGGUAAAAAUCUGUUCUGCAUUUCUGUUAUCUUGUGAUUUGGCUGCAUGACCAUUGCAAUCUGACAUUAUUGGGUUACUGAAGUAGUUUGGCUUAAUACAAUAAGGAUGCAUUAAAUAAGCAUGGUUUAAAAUAAUUGUUAGUUUCUCUACUUUUUUGUGUACUAGUUGCGUACGGGAUUUUUUCUACCCUUCAUUUCAAUGAAAUUACCUUUUUACUAGAUUAGAACAAAACUCAUGUAUUUCAGAACUUGUUUCUUAGCCCCUGCUCCUCAUAAGAUCAUGAGGAGAAAAUAGCAAAUUGUCAUAAUGACGAGAAACUUAAAGUUGACUUUUGACCAUAGUGUAUUAUAAUUAUGUACUGGUAAUUUCUGAGGGAGAACCCACCCGUGGUGCAUGGAAGCUCUUCCUUUUUUUAGUAGGUAGUUCUUAUCAUUUCCUUCACUUAAUGAAUCUAUAGCAGAAGGGAUCGUGUAAUUCCUUUAGUUUUGACUGCUUUUCUCAUAGAAAUUUGUUGGAAUAGUUACUUUCUGUUGCAUAAUAGUAGAAUGUAGUGGAUGAUAAGAAGGCCAUAGAUUUGCACCCAAGAGUGUGGCCUAUAGGUCAAGAGAACCACGAGGUCUUAGGUUUAAUUCCCGGUGGAAACAAAAAGCAGUAGCUGAGUUCUUCUUAUCUUUUCAAGCCUUAGCGGAUAGAAUCAUGAGGUACCUGUGCUUGUAGGAGCCAGCACGUACUCCGUGGAAUUAGUCAAAGUACGUGCAGGAUGACCCUGACAUAGUCACAGAUUUCUAGGUGAAGGAGAAAAAAUUUGUAUUCGAGGAGCUAUUUUAAGUGCAACAUGCAUAAUUUUGUAUUUUAGUUGUGGAAUAAGUUCAUGCAUAAAGUUGAACUGACACUGCUCAAUGAUACGUCUUUUUUCUUUUUUAUCAGUGAGCAAUCCAUCUUUCUUUGUCCUGUGUUAUGUGGAUAGAUUUGUAGAACUAAACUGAUCAGACAUUGACUGAUUACUACAGUUUUUACAUGUUAUUUUAUUUAGUGUUGUUAAUUCUCUCUAUGGUGAUAUUUAGGACCUCUAUGUGAUGACCUUCGUAUAUAUAUGCAUCAGGAUGCUUCUCUCCUUUGCGUUGUGCUGUAACUGGAAUUUGCCUCUUAAUGGUCAAUGCUAAGAUUCUGACUUACACAAUUGAGUCCUCUUAAGUUGCUGACACAAUUGUGAAAGUAGUUGUUUAGUUGUUUCCACACGUGUCUCUACUCUGGAUGUGUGGGGGAAAAAAGUUUUUAUGCCUUUCGCAUAUUUUCCUUCUUGGCUCUGUUAUAACUUAUAAGUUCUUAAAACUUCUAUACUGUAUUGAAUGUAGCAUAUUUCCUUUUUGGCUAAAUUUUUUUCUUUUUCGUUAAUCUUGCAGUAUUACCUAACAGAAGGAGGGUGCAAGUAUGGAAAUGCCUGUAAAUAUAGUCAUAGUAAGGGGAAGGGUGCAAUCUCACCUGUUCUGGAUUUUAACUUUCUUGGCCUGCCAAUUCGACAGGUAAUGCUCCUUGCUGUCAUUCAGAACCUUUUUGAAUUUGAGAAUUAUGUCCUUAAGGGAUUUGUCUUCAUUUCAGGGAGAGAAGGAUUGCCCUUUCUACAUGCGCACUGGGUCCUGCAAGUAUGGAUCCAGUUGCAGGUUUCAUCAUCCUGAUCCUAGUACAGUGACUGGAAACAAUCCUUCCCUUGGAUACAACAAUGGUGGAUCUGCUCCAGUACAAAGUGCCUCCUAUUCACCAGUGUCUUCUUGGUCUUCACCACGAGCAUCGAAUGAGACAUCUCCUUUUGUACCAGUGGUAUAUUCAGCAAACCAAGGCAUUCUUCCUCUGAGUCCAGAAUGGAACAGGUUUCAGGUAAUUUAUGCAUUAAUUUAACUUCUCUGUUUCUGAAAUGAUUGUUGUUUAUGGUUUGUCCUGAAAGAUGGGUCAUUGUGUCUAAUGCUUCAGCAAAUCUCUGUCUUUCAUUCACGGUAUAUUGUGUCUGGUACUUCUAUUCCAAUGCAAUGCAAGAAUUAUCAGUUUUGAUAUGUAAAUUUAACGAAGAGAGAUUCAACUAGUAUAUUUGCAGCUCAACACACAGAAUAGCAGUUUGUCAAGCUCCAUGUACCAUGCCAUUCUAUUUUGGUUCAAUUAACUACAUGUUUUUUGGACACAUUUUAUAAAAUACAUUAGUCACUGCAAAGAAAAGAUUUUCUAUGAUGUCAUACGCAAUGUGAAUUAAGUGAAGUUUAUAAUCAUUUUACUAUUUUUCUUUGUUUGUAAAUCAUAAAACUUAUAUGACAGAGUGUUUGCCUAUUGUUCAAUGAGUUUCCUCUGACUGUACUUUGUUUGUUUCUGCUGGUUCAGGCUCCGGUCUAUCCAACCUCAGAGAAGAGCCUACCUACUCCUCCAGCUUUUACUGUGAAGGAUCCAGCAACUAAGACAAACAUCUAUUCCCGACCUCAACCACCGUGGCUUGUUGAAGAAUACCCUGAACGUCCAGGUCAGCCUGAUUGCAGUUACUUCAUUAAAACAGGAGAUUGUAAAUAUAAGUCUUACUGCAAAUUUCAUCAUCCGAAGACUCAAAAAUCAUUGACAAACCCUCCGAGUGUUCUCAAUGACAAAGGCCUGCCACUAAGACCAGUAAGUUUUGUCUCUCCAGAUUUAAAAGCUUUUUGAUUUUUCUUAGGAAUUCUCUUUUUGAGGCAUAUGUUGGUGGAUAUUUAGCCGGUGUUCGAGGACACCUGCUCCUCUUGAUGUCCUUAAUUUCUAGCUAAUGUUUGAGGACACUUGUUAGUUAAGGACAUGGAAGCAACUUCUUCAAGGAAUACUUAAUUCCUUUCAAGAUGUUUGUUUGUUCUUAUAUAGUAGCAGUUGGCCAAGAUUUAUUUCAGACUUUCUCACAAUAGAUCUCAAUUAUGGACAAAAUAAUUGUGAACUUGUGCUUUCCAUACAAAGUUUAUUUCAUUUUGUUUUGUAAAUGUAGGGCCAAGCUGUCUGUUCAUUCUAUAGCCGUUACGGGAUUUGCAAGUAUGGACCUGCCUGUAAGUUUGAUCAUCCCGAACAUAUUGACAACGCACCAGCGUCUUCUCCUCGGCCUGCUUUUUAUCAGCCUCCAUUUGGCAUUUCUUCUGCAUCAGAUGGCUUGAGGAUGGCGAGGAAAGGAAAUGGAAGUGGCUCUCUAGUACAUCAGUCUGUCUAAGAAAUCUUUGCAUCCAUUUCACCCAGAAUUUAGAAUAGAAAUCACAUGGUUUACAGACAGACUGGAAACUCUUUAUAGUCUUUUUAGCGUUUUGUGUUGUGAAAAGCUCAAGCAAAUAGGAUUUUGUAUAUUAAUAGCUUGUUUUAAGACUGCAGGAGGAUAUAUGCAUGACGAUGCAGCAGUAUAUCGUUAGGAACAUUAACUUAAAUCAGAUGUGCAACCUCUUCUUAAUGUUAGUUCUUGCUCGAGCAUGAAAGUUUCAUUCUGGGAAGCAUGACUUACUAUGAUACUAUCUGUUUUGUCGAGUCAUGUUUUGGUCUCUAUCUAUCGAAGUUAUAUUUUGGUCUCUGUUAUAGUUGUAUGUGCUAGAAAUACUUCGCAGACCUUGACACCUGAAUUUAGUUAUUAUAUAUUGUGCCUAGUUCUUUUGAAAACGUUUGUCUCUGCUCCUGUACUACGAUCCUGCAUAAUAUGUUCUUCAAACAGUCAAAUUAUCGUAGUGUAUUCUCUAUUUGCUCUAAUAUUCAACUUUCUCAAAUUUGAUUUUGUGACAUUAAACUCCCACUAGUAAACAAUAUUAUGAUCACUUCAAAGUCACCAUGUGGCGCAGUAAAUUACAGUAGCUCUCAAAUUUAGAUUAAUUCUCACAUUUAUCACAAACCAACGUCUUUGUAAUUUUUUUGUGGAUUGAUUCUACAAGAAUGGCCUUAGAGGUGGAUGGUGACCUUGCUCAUCUCAUGCACAAAACUUCAUAUUUAAAGGAACGCAAGAAAAUGACCAAGAUAGUCUAUUAAGGACCAAUACGUGACUCAAACACAGAAAGAAGCAUAUUUUAAUUUUAUCUCAAUCAAACAUGAUUUUACUCAUCCUAAAUUAAUACCAGGAUUAAUUAUCCCAUAUCCGUUGAAAACGGGAACUUAAUACCAGGAUUAAUUAUCCCUUAUCCGUAAAAAACGAGUCCAUCUAGGUAAAGUAAACAAAAAUUAACGAAAGAAACACACAUAAAAAUAUAAAUGAACUACCAACCAUUUAUCCUAGUCUUAUCUUGUGUAUUACUGAUGUUUGCGUAAAGAACCUUCUAAAACACACUUAUUUGAUCCUCUAAAUGAUCAAUCAAGUCAGCAUCAUCAUAACCAGUUGAGUAAAAAGUCCAGCUUUCAGAAUCAGAAUACUAUAAACAUACUCUUCGAAAAAGCCAGAAUAUAGAAAUCCAAAAAUUUCCUCAUAAACAUGCUUCAAAAAGCACAACCCAAUUUAAGCUCUGAAGUAGUAAAAAUUACACAAUAACACAAAUUCCUAUAAAGAAAUGUUUGAAAUAGCACUAAAUUCUUCUGAUACCAAGGCUAUAGGUAUUGAAAUUAUACUUUCAAAAUUUAGGAAUUCAUUCCUUCCAUCAAGAAGAUGCCUUCGUCUUCCUGGGAGCCAAUUGAGUCUCAGGCUGCAUGAAUAAAAAAAUGUUUAGGAUACUUGCAGAAGAUAUGAUACUUGACACAACAUAAUGGCAGAAACAAAAAGAUCUAAAGAUGACUGACAUAAUGGAAGAAUAAAAAAGAAGAUCAAAAGAUGAGUAAUGAAAAAGCAAAGGCUACUGACAUAGAGCAGACACCAUGUAUUGAAGUUAUAAUAAGAAUUAACUAAGGAAGAGCGAGGAGACAGAUAGAAACUAUACCUCUUUCUUAACAGAUUCUUCCUUUUCAGACAAUACCAACUCGAUAUGGCACGGAUGAGACAUAUAAGCUGCAGAAAGGUCAAUAAGUUUAAAUUUGUUAUCCAUAUACUUAACUACAAUAAGAACACCAUCGAGGAAAUAAGAGGAGCACUCACGAUUGAUUCUUCCAUGAGCACGGUAUGUACGGCGCCUCUGUUUCUGUGCUUGGUUUACUUGGAUGUGAGUGAUGUAAAGUGAAUCCACAUCCAAGCCUUUAACCUAAAAUGAGGUGAAGCAACAACAAACUCAUCUUUAGAGAAAAGCGAAAGCAAAGGACCAAGGGAAAUAAUAUAAUCCAACAAAUUUGAACAUACUUCAGCAUUACUCUCAGCAUUUUUGAGCAAAUCCAGAAUAAACUUUGCAGAUUUGACAGGCCAACGUCCUUGUCCAUUUGAGUGGCGAUUCUUUGCCUGAGCAGUACGACCAACCCCGCGACAAAAGCGGGUGAAGGGGAUGGCUUGUUUAUGGGCAAGAACAUCCUCCAAGUAGCUCUUUGCCUUGUUCAAAGGCAUCUUCCUAAGGGCAUGCGCUGUUUCUCUAGUAUUCUAGAGAUAGAUAAUAACACACAUUUGAGCAAGGAAGGCACAAAAAGAUUAUGACCAUCAGAAAUUACAGAACUGUUAAAUAUCACACAACUGAUAUAGAACCUUUAUAUAUCAUAACAACGAGUGCAGAAGUGUACAGAAGAAGAAUAAUGGUCCUAGAAAACCAAUUGUCACCAGAAGAGAAUAAAAGAAGUCAAGGAAGAGUUUUGUGCUAUCAGUGCUUGAUUGAGAUAGUGAACUCCUUGUAGUUUAUUCUAUUUUUGCUAAAUAUUAUAAAUGAUAGUGAUAACUAGUCAGAGCAACAAAGAGCACAAAAGAAUACUGACACACAGUGUUCUCAGAGUCAAAGUCUACAAAUUAAUGCAGUGCCCUGAUGAAAUUAUUAACUCAGAGUGGUCUGUGGAACUCCAACUUCUUUAAUUAAAAGAGCCUCUAACUUAAUAGGCAAGAAAAAAUCUCAGAGCUUAGAUGUCUAAAGUGCACGCAAUCUCAACAGUCCAGAGAACAACCAAGAACAGAAGAAAAAAUAGUGCAUUUACACUUUCACUUGGUAAGUAGAUGCCUCAAAUACAGCUAUUGACAUCAACAUUCAAUUUGCACAGUACCACCCUCUUCUGUCAUACACUAAUUGAAACAGAAUUGAAAACGGCCACCAUGCUUAUCACAAGUACUUUAGCUGAAGAGCCAGCUUAAACCACAGAAUUAUAAAAGCAUAUGGAACUGUCAAAAAUUGUUUAACCACUACUCAAUAGAUGCAUACAUUUAAUGAAACAAGGCAAGUCAUUUUUUAUGGGCAACACAAAAAACAAGCUUGCUAAAUCCAGAAUAAGGGAAACCACUAAAUGGCUAAUACAAACAAAUGAAUUUCAAUUUAUCUUGAUUAUAACACAGUAACAACUACGAACAAUAUGCAAAUGCGAGAAAAAAAAAUGAAAAUAUUGAACCUCGCAACGAAACAACAAAAAUAACAGACACGAAUAGCUUGCAAAGCAGCAAAUCACAUAAGAUCAAAAUUUAACAUAAAAAUAUAUAUCACACACCUUGAAAUGAGCUCUGAGAUCCGAACCCCUAGCUUUGCAAGCUGAUACAAGAACAUUAAAAAAAUUAAAACAAAACCAACAUAUAUAAACACUCUCAAAUAAUGCUAAAAAGAUAAAAUGUGUAUCGUAUUGAGUACUCACAUUUGGUUGGGUUCUCCGGUUCAUUCGAAUACUUCACCUACAUAAAAACAAACGAAUUAACACAGAAAUCAAUCGGAGAAUUAGAAGGUUUAACAGAAUAACUAACCAUGGCCGCCGGUGAUGCUGCUGUUCCCCUGCAGCUGCUGAUAGAAGAUGUCUGCUUCGGUUCUAGGGCUUUCGUGUUAAUUGAAAUAUAUUCUGGUUAUAGAAGUGUUUAAAAAUUAAUUGGGCUAUGUUCAUUUGAGCCCUUAACUUGUGUUGGGCUUUUUUUUUUUACUUUCAUGAGAAGAGCCCAUUUGAAUGAUCUCUAAACUUAUAGUCAAGUUUCUCGUAAUAAUUCAUGCAAAUUACAUAAAUCUUAUAGUUUUAAUAUGAAAUUACAAUUUAUUUCUAAUAAGUUUCUAAUUAUAUUAUCCCUUCAAAAUUAAAAAAAAAACAGAUACAAUAAUUGAAGCUCGAAUACAUUAAUAUGUAGCUCAGAUAUGUUAAAUAUUGUGUUAGAUACAUUAAUAUGUAGCUCGGAUACAUUCAUCACUAGCUAGGAUACAUAAUAUGUAGCCAAAAUACAUUAAAUACUGGCUCGGAUACAUUAAAAGCUAGCUCAAAUACAUUAACUUUUCACUCUGAUACACUAAAUAUGCAGUUUGGAUACACUAAAGUGAUAAGAGGUUUUGAAAAGUAAUAGGGGAUAAUAGAAAUAAGUGAAACAAAAUGUGUGUAUUUCUGUAAUUUGUCCAAAUGAUCUUCUCUCCGAUCGUCGUCCACAAUAGACUUGACACAAGAAUUAAAAAACACUAAAUGGUAGAGAUAAUUUUAGCAAAUCAUUCUUAUUAAAUAUAAAUUAUCUAAAUAUUGAGUAUCAAUUGUUGUGUGUUUCAAAUUUAUUGUAAUUCAAAUGAAGUUUAAUGCUUGGAAAAGAGCCUAUUAAAAUCAUAAAAUAAAUAAUUCCAGCAAUUCCUAUAAACAUAAAAUUCCACGGAGAAAAAUAAAGGAUCAUUUAAUAGUUAUUGUUGCAAGUUUGAGGAAGUGGACCCUGAAAUUUGAAUAUAAAGAGUGAAUUUAAUGUUGUUAACAAAACGUACAAACGUAGCAAGGUUGAAGAUUGGUGCAUAAUUCAAAUUUCAUGAAAUUAUCCUUAAUUUUAAACAUAUAAUAGCUAAAUUUCAAAUUCAGAUAUUGAUGUUUGAAGUAUGGCCUUGAUAAGAUAAAUUUUUGACACAAAUUAUAAAAAAUUAUUUGCACAAAUAAUAUGCUAGAAUUUCGAGUAAAAUUCAUGACUUCAAUAGUUGUCUCAUAAAUAUGAAAAUCUAUAAUUUAUGAAAGCUAUCAAAACUUCCUCAAACAUGAAUUGAACGAGUAGGACUGUUUGGAGGAGCUGGUUUUGGGGUUUGGAGAGGAACAAGUACUACUUGGUGUAUCAUAUUAUACUAUAUUAUACAAUACUUGAAUAGAUUAUAUUAUUUUUCAUCUUUACAUAACAUCACAUUAAUAUUUUGAAAUAAUAAAUAUAUAUGUUAAAAAAAAAGGUAUGGGAUAGGAGUUAUUAUGGAAAAUAGAGAAAAGUAAAAUAGGACAAUUAGAUAAGAAGCAAAUACAAAAAUAAAAAUAAAAACGUAACAAUACCAUCAUGCCAAGUUGGUUAUUACAUAAAAUGUGACUUAUUACCAUUAUGUUAUAAUGAAUUUACCGAUAUGGUAUACUACAAAUAAAGUUUAAAUAACAAUCAAAAUAAAUAUUAUAUUUAAACUAACACACCAUACAAUACUACAAAUAACAACCAUCCAAACAAGCUGUAAGUUUCAACAUGUUGACGCAGAAAAAGAAGAGUCAAUAGGUUAAACUAAUUUCAAACAACUCAGCCUACUUUUCUAGGAUGAAUGUGAUUUACUAGUGCUUUUAUACUUGAUAGUUUUUUUUUAAAAAAAACAGGUCGAUGCGCUAAGCUACUGACAGAGUGUUUGCCUGUAGUCCUUUUGUGUUUUGUAUUGUCAAAAUAUCUCAAGCAAAUGGGUUUUGUAUAUUAUUUCGAUAUAUCCUUUUUAGUGUUGAUUCUUACUCGAGUAUGAAAGUUUCAUUUUAGGGAAGGAUGACGUACACAUACUAUAAUAACUUUUGCGAUGGUUGUACAUGCUAAAAAUACUAUAUCACCUUGUUGACAUGCUCCCACAGUACUGAAGUUAGACUUGAAGCUUUUGUAAGAAAUUAAGUUCAAUGGACUCCCCAAAGCCACUAAACCGCUCUCUUCCACCCGAUUUGAACUGAACCUCGUUCUAGUGAUAUUUUCUCCCUUUUGAGGACAUACUUAAACCCUGAAAAUUUUUUGUGCAUUCCCCAAUCCCCACUGUAAAAAUCAGAAUACUACUAACAUCCCAAUUCAUUCUUAGAAAAAGCAAGACCAUAGAAAUCCAAAAUUCCCUCAUACACAUGCUCAAAAAGCACAAGCCAAUUUAAGCUCCGAAAUAGUAAAAUUACACAAAAAACACUAAAUUCUAUGAAGAAAUGUUUGAAAUAGCACUAAAUUCUUCCGAUACAAAGGCUAAAGGAAUAUUGAAAUUAUACUUCCAAAAUUUCGGGAUUCCUUUCUCUGCUCAGGAAGAUGCCUUUGUCUUCCUGGGGGCUAACUGAGUUUCAGGCUGCAUGAAAAAAAAAAAAAGGAUAAUUACAAAAGAAUAUAUACCUGAAGACAACAUAAUGGCAUGAAACAAAAAGAUCUAAAGAUGACUGAUGAGCAGCAAAGGCAACCGUUAUAAAGUAGGCACCAUGUACUCAAGUUAUGAGAGUCAACUAUGAGGAAGAACAAGAGACAGAUAGAAACUAUACCUCUUUCUUAACAGAUUCUUCCUUCUCAGACAAUACCAGCUCGAUAUGGCAAGGAUGUGACAUAUAAGCUGCAGAAAGGUCAAUAAGUUUAAAUUUGUUAUGCAUAUACUUAACUACAAUAAGAACACCAUCGAGGAGAUAAGAGGAGCACUCACGAUUGAUUCUUCCAUGAGCACGGUAUGUACGGCGCCUCUGUUUCUGUGCUUGGUUUACUUGGAUGUGAGUAAUGUAAAGUGAAUCCACAUCCAAGCCUUUAACCUAAAAUGAGGUGAAAACAACAACAAACUCAUCUUUAGAGAAAAGCGAAAGCAAAGGACCAAGGGAAAUAAUAUAAUCCAACAAAUUUGAACAUACUUCAGCAUUACUCUCAGCAUUUUUUAGCAAAUCGAGGAUAAACUUUGCAGAUUUGACAGGCCAACGUCCUUGUCCAUUUGAGUGGCGAUUCUUCGCCUGAGCAGUGCGACCAACCCCACGACAAAAGCGGGUGAAGGGGAUGGCUUGUUUGUGGGCAAGAACAUCCUCCAAAUAGCUCUUUGCCUUGUUCAAAGGCAUCUUCCUAAGGGCAUGCGCUGUUUCUCUAGUAUUCUAGAGAUAGAUAAUAAGUACACGUUUCAGUAAGUAAGACAUGCAAAGAUUGGAAUGACCAUCAGAAAUUACAGAACUGUUAGAUAUCACUCACUGAUACAGAACUACUAUGUAUCAUUCCAACUGAUGAAGAAGUGUAUUGUCACCAGAAGAAUCGAAGUUCUAAAUAAAAUAAAUCGAGGCAGAGUUUUGUGCUAUCAGUGAUUGAUUGAAAUAGUGAAACUCCUAGCAUUCUAUUUUAUUUUUGCAAGAAUAUUAUACAAUGGUAGUGAUAAAUAAUCAGAGCCACUGAACAGCGUCAAACACAAUAACAGAAAACAAAAAAAAUGCAUCUACCCUAUUUUUGUGAACAAACUUGGGUACAUCUUCCAACACAUCUAAUUGACAUCAUUCAAAUUUCUUUCAUACACUAAUCCGAAACAGAAACGACCCACUGUUAUUUGCCAACAAACAGAGCCGACAUAUGCUUAUCACAAGUAUUUUCAGCUGAAAUCAACAACUUAACUCAUAUCAACUGUCAAAAAAUGUUCAUCUAUUACUUAAUUGAUGGAUACAUUUACUUGAACAAGGCAAGUCAUUUUACUGGAAUAUAAUCACCAAAAGUUGAACUUGCUGAAAACAUAAAUGAAGUUCGAUUUAUCUAUUGCAAAGCAAAAAUCACAUUAAAAUCAAAAUUUAACAUAAAAACACAUAUCACACACCUUAAAAUGAGCUCUGAGAUACGAACCCCUAGCUUUGCAAGCUGAUACAAGAGCAUUAAACAGUUAAAUAAAAACCAACGAAUAUAAACACUCUUAAAUAAUGCUUGUAACAGAAAAUGUAUGUAUCGUAUUGAGUACUCACAUUUGGUUGGGUUCUCUGGUUCAUUCGAAUACUUCACCUACAUAAAAACAAAAAGGAUUAACACAGAACUCAAUCGGAGAAUCCGACGGUUUAACACUCUAACUAACCAUGGCUGCCGGUGAUGCUGCUGUUCCCCUGCAGCUGCUGAUAGAAGGUGUCUGCUUGGGUGUUAGGGUUUUCGUGUUGUAUUAAAAUAUAUUCUGGUUAUAACAGUGCUGGGCCUUUUCGAAGUAUUUGGGCCUUUGAUUGAGUUGGGCUGUUCUCUUAAAAGAAUGGGAAUUAUGAGAUGAACCUAUUUAAUGCUUGACUCGAAGUCUAUGAGAGAUUCAGGAGCUUUUGACGAAACUAAUAAGGAGGAAAUGACAUAUAUAUAUAUACAAACUUAUAGUUACAAUUAGAAAGAAAUAGCUCAACAUUAAUUAAUAUUUAAUAGACAUGCAACUUUCACAUAUCGCAAAAAAAAAAUUCAUAUUUGUAUGCUAUAGCAAAGUUUGCAUAAUUGCGCUCCAUAACAAACAUAGAAACUGUAUAAUUUGCUAUACAUAUACAGUUGAAGUUAAUUGUAUAAAACGAAGUAUAUAAAACAAGAAAGAGAAAGACAUUUGGGCAGAGAACUAUAUAAAAACGAAUUGUAUUAUUAUAACUGUAUAGAACAAUUAUAUACAAUUCAAAUUUGUAUAAAAUGAGAAAGAGAGAAAGACAAAAGAGACUUGACAAGAAAUAUACAAUUGAAUUGAAUUAUAUAAAACGUUACAAUUAUAUAUAUAGAUAAACUAAUAAGGAGGAAAUGACAUAGAUAUAUUUAUACAACUUAUAGUUACAAUUAGCAAUAAAUCAAAAUGGCCCAAAUUAAUUAAUGAUAUUUUUAUAGUUUUUUUUUCUUGUAUAACUAAAAUCACUCAAAAACAAAAAUAAGGAAAACAUACAAAAUUAUAUAUACAAUAAGUAACUGCUUACAAACGUAAAUUAUGUACUUUCAUAUAUUUUUUAUUUGUUUUUUGAUAAUAAAAAAUUUAAUUGUAUACUUGAUGAUAUGUAGAAGAAUGGUGUAUUCAUUCACUUAGUAUUACUAUACAUUUAUAGUUAUGUUAUCUAAACCAAUAUAUACAUAUUAAAAAAUUAAACACUUUAUGUAUUCAUUCACUCAUAGUAUAUAUACACUGCAUUGAAUUUUUUUUUUAAUCAGGAGGAUCAUGUAUGCAUAUCCGUAUAUUUAUUCUCUUAAAAAAAUUAUACAUUCCAGAUUCUUCCUUCAAAAAAUGAGGAUUGUUCAUGAAAUAUAAAUUGCUCAAUGGAAAACACACAAAUUGAAUCGGAUAACAAGAAGAACUUACAUGACUAUAAAAUUCAUAAUUAUGGAUGGAGAAUCCACAAAAUUAGAAUCAGAAUCCUCAAUUUUAUGAAUAAUCUUAGGAUGAGUUUCUUAAACAUGACAAUUAAUACCCACAAUUAAUUACUAUUACCUAAAUUAGAUAUAACCUUCAAUUUCAAAUUAAAACAUUAAAAAAAAAUCGAACGACAAUAUAAGAGGGGUAAAACAUAGGCUAACAAGUAGAGAAAUUGAUGGGUAAAUAUCAACAAACCAUCAAGAAUUUGAAAGAGAAAGAGAAAAAAUAUACUAUAAAUGAAUAUUUUUAUAGAAUUCAAUAUGUAAAACUAAUAAAUAAGAAAGCAAAUCAUCUUUUAUUCAAAGUAAUAAAGAAUAUAAUUAAUAAAAAAACAUGAUUUACAAGAAUACGUGUAUGUACGAAAUAUAAGAGAAAAAAAUGGAGAACACUUCUCAAUAAAAAAGGAGAUCAUGCUACCACCUUUUAAAAUUAUUAAUUUAAUUAAAAAAAACUUCUCAAUAUGUGGGAUACUAAUUGCAAAAUUUGUUAUGAAAAAACUUUUUUUUGUCAAUAAAAUAAAAAGGGGCUAUAUAUUGCCAAUUAGUAAAAUGGGAUGUCAUGCUUUGCCAAUAUUUUUAACUAAGGAGGUCAUUAUUUAAACUAAUUUAUCAAAAAAAUAUGUUUUUAUUUUUUUAUAAAACUAGUAUAAACAUAUUUUUUGAUAACGUUAUGGGGUAUUUUUAUUUUAAAAAUUCAACGGACAAAAAGUGACGGGGCUAACAAAGUUAAAUAAAUAAACAUACUCAUGAGUAACGCUUACGUUUUUGGGUAAAACGAUAUUCUUAGUAAAAAUCAAUUAUUUGUCACCCCAAUGAAAUACGCAGUGUCGUUUUUAUCAAUUGUAAGUUUUAAUUAAUACAUUUAUAAUAUAGUUUGAUACAAAUUACAUAGAACAAUUUAUUAUUCACAUAUAAUAUAAGUUUUAUUGAUGAAUAAUACAUUUAUCACACAUAAAAAUACACUUAUAAUACAAUGGAUCAAUUUCUUACAAAACAAACAUAAUAUAUUUGUUAAAACAAUUAUAAUAUAUAUUUAUUGCAUACAUAAUUUACUUUUAAUACAUCUUGCAGAUUUAUCAUAAUAUUAUUAUAAAUGAUAGUAACAAGUAGAAAAUAUCGCUAAGAUCAAUGAUUAUUUAUUAAAUGUAUUAUUUCAAGUGAUUUUUCCUAAAAAGAAAUAGGAUAUGAGAUAAAAAUUAGUAUUAUAAAAAAUAGAGAAAAAAGAUAAAAUAGGAUUAUUAAAUAACAAUACCAUCCAAACAAGCGGUAAGUUUCAACAUUAACAAAUUCCAUAUACUCCGGACUCAGCCUCCUUCUCUGGGAUGAAUGCGCAUUGGCCAUUUGCUACUUGCUAGUGCUUUUGGUACUUUAUGAAUGUUUUUUUUUUUUUUUAAAAAAAAAACUCGAUAUUCUAAGCUUUUAUUAUGCGCAGGGUAUAGAAAAAGGCUAGACCAUAAAAAUCUAUUGUAUCAGUCUUGCCUAAUAAUUCAAUUUCUACUUUUUACUUUGCAAAUUUACCCCUUUAUCAAUUACUCUCUCUGUCCGGUGUUAUUUGUCAUGGUUUUAUUUUUUAAAGUCAAAUUAUAAAAACUUUGAUUUAACAAUUUAAGAUGUACUUUUUUAUCAUAUUAAUAUGCAAAAAAUUGUAAUUUAUAGUACUUUUUAUAUAGUUUUAGAAUAUCUAAUUUUUUUUUGUUUAAAACAUCGAAUUAAUAUAAUCUAAUUUACCUUUGAAAAUUAGUCAAAUUAACUUUCGAUAAGCGCAACAUGACAAACAAUUCCGAACGGAGGGAGUAAUAUAAAGAGCAGGAUAUAGGUUCUUGUAAUCGUUGUUACGCCUCUGAAUAUUUAUUCUCUCUUUGUAAAAUUGGUCAGGAAAAGACUUCCUACUCGUGAAUAAUCAAUUUUUCAAGUAAAUUUUCACCACUUAAACAUCACUUGAUGAACUUUUGUGUUGCUUUUGAUGAAUACAAGAAAAAAAAAGGCUCCAUCAAGGUGUUACAAUGUUAACAAUCAAUUUUAACUGCAAAACUAAACAGAAGCAUACAACAUCCAGAAAGCAAGACGAUAACGAAUAUGUGCCAUUGAACAAUGAUAGGAGCAAACUGUAACAUUAAUGUUUAACUCAAGCUAAUCAUAGUUGAAUUGUUAAAUUUCAAGAAUAAUGUGAUUUUCCUUCACCUCUUUUUAUCCUGGUGCUCCAUUAUCAGAUAGGAGACAUUGGAGCUAUCAUCAGUCAGCCACUUUGCAUCAUUCCAUUCAUUUGAGACUCUUGUACAACCGAUGUAACACAGAUAACCAACUCUUUUGCAGUAUGAUACAACUAUCUUUUUGUUCUUUUUUCUUUUUUGGUUGUCGAAAUGAUGGAUGAUGAGAAGAACAGAGCUUAAAGUCAUGAAGAAACGCUCUCUUCCUUCUGAGACAAGUACCUAAAGGAAAACGCAGCACGAAGAUCAGAUUUUGUUUUUCGCUAAAACAAGGUGAUUGAUGAAAGGGAAAGGAAAGUUGAUUCAGACUGAUCUACAUAAAAGGCACUCAAAACUUUGGUUAAAUGCUUAAUCUGUGAGCGGAACUUGCUAGUAACUACAGCUGAGUUGUUCAAACAUUGUUGUUUCUAUUUAAUGUUACUAUGGAUAAUUAUGCACUCGUGAACUAAGACACAUACCGCUGAUGCUUUAGCCAACGUGAGAGUUGAUAGAGCUGCACUGACUCAUUUGAAGCAUGGCAAGCCAGAAGAAGAUAAUUGCGAGGACGUACCAUCCAUGCAAAUCUCAUACAUAAUAGUGAAUAUACACAUAGCACUGCAGCCAAAGAAACAAAAGCAAGAAAAUUCAAUAAAUGGUCUAAAACUGAGACAAUCAUUUUAUGCAGGAUCAAAAGUAAAGCACACCAGAACGCGUUGAUGUACCAAAAACUUAUGUUUUGAGCAGUGACAGAUCCAAAAUUUAAACUCUGAAAGUUCUAGCGAAGUUAAAAAUGCAGGUUCUGAAAUAUAAAUUCAAUCCUAUGUAUACUUUUUUUCCACAUAUUUACAUAAGGCUCUAGUCUAAAGCCAUAGGUUUGGCCAAACCAUAGCUUAUAUUGGAUCCACCAUUGUUUGUACAAGAGACAUUCUUCCUUCUUUUUUUCCACGUAUAUACAUGAGGUUCGAGUCCAAAGCAGAGUUUUUGGCCAGACUAACAGCUUAUACUGGAUCCACCAUUGUUUCUGCGAGAUUCUUUUGCAUUCAAAAGAAGGAUACAUUGACUAUUGUUCGAGUAGCUUGGACUAAAAAUGUAAAGACUACUACUAUUUCACCUGAAGUCAUAUUGCCAGAUAUUGCAUCAGGGGGCUUCUGUGAAUCCAUCACUCCCUUGCAAAUUAAUCAAUUCAAGUAAAUUUCAGAGACUUCAGUAUUAGAUAAAAAAACAGAAAUAAUUUACCGAAAACGAACAUCAAAGGUUAGGAACAUACAGAAAUGACAAAGCCCCAGUUGGCCAUAGGACCCCAAAAGUGAGUUGUUUUAGGGCCAACAGGACUGUUCAAGAAUGCCCGGAAGUAACUCAUGAUUUUGUAAUUCAAUUGCCUCUGCAUAAAUUGAAGCAAACUUCAAACACUAACACAAACUAUAUUAAUUUAUAAAUCACAUUUAAAAUCAAUCCUAAAUUCCUAAUCAUUUUCCAAUUUACUGAUAAACAAACAGGGAACUUGCUCAUUUCCAAUAAAAUAAGAUUUAUUUCCUUCCAUGUGAAAAAAUUGAAUCUUUUCACUUAAUAAACAAACCUUUUUCCUAUAGUUCUCUUGAGAUACCUCAAAGUAAAAACAACAAAUCAAAUUUCCAUUUUCUCUUCCAUUCAUUACAACAAUAAAGAAUCAAAUUAUCACGAUCUUUAUUCCUUUUUACCUACAUCUUCCUCUAUCAACUCCAAUGCUCACACCCCAAUCAAAGGACGUGACCUAGUGGUUAGUAAAGUGGGUUGAGAACCCUAACGUUUCAGGUUCAAAUUCCUGCAUAAACAAAAAUAAUAGGUGAUUUCUUAUCAUCUAUCCUAACUUUUCACAGUUCAAAUUCCCAUAUAAACAAAAGUAAUAGGUGAUUUCUUUUCAUCUGUCCUAACGUUUCAGGUUCAAAUUCUAGCGGAAAAAAAAAUCUUUUCAUCUGUCAUAACAAUACAUCUGUUCUAGUUUUGAUUAACAAAGCUACCUACCUGAUGUUUUAAUAUUUCAAGUUCAAAUUCUGGUAAAAACAAUACAUCUAUUCUAGUUUUGAUUAACAAAGCUAUCUGAUGUUUAGCAACCGAUAAGUAUCUCGAGAAAUUAAUGGAUACCCGAACAUCAAUGAUAUCAUCAGAAAGGAACAAAAACCAGUCUAUAGCUACUAAUGUUACAACAGGACCUUACCUCGAAUACUGCGCAGAAAAAAGCUUCUGCGAUUGUUGAUGAAAUUGGGGAAAUGCAAAAUUAAAAUUUCAAUUUCUCUUUUAUGAGAAGUGUUGAAAUAAAUGUGGAUACUUUGUUGUUUUUCCAGAAAAGGAAUUGUGCCAUUAAUAGUAGCAGCAGCUAGGGCUCAUUAUGAAAGUGGUUUAGUUACGUGAACGAAUGGAAAAUUUAUUGUGAUUUUGAGUUGUUUCAUCACUUAGAAAUUUCACACUUCAAUAAUCUCGUGUAGAUAUACUUGAGACCCCAUCCUAUGCAAUGCCACCUAUGCACAAGUCAUUUUUUUUUUUUGAUAAAAAUUAAAUUUAUAGGAUUACAUGUAUAUUUACAAUAUUAAAUUAUACUCUUUUCGUCUAAUAAUACUUAUUCACUAUACUAAAAUAGAUGUCUAACAAUACUUGUUAAUUUUAUGAAAUUCAUAAAUAAUUUUAUAUUUAAUUCGUAAUUUACAUUAUAGUCAUUUUUAUAUUAUAUUCAAAUGGUGAUAUAAUAAAAUUACCUUCUAUUUAUAAAUUUAUAAGAGAUGUGUCAAGUUAAUAUAUUGUUGGAAAGGGAAGUAUAAUUUCUUAUUACUCUAAAUUGAAUUAUUACUAGUAAGGUGAGAGUGGAUUUCCCCCGACUCCUCAUUUGACUGACUACUUUAAUCUGCUUUGAAUGAUCCUAUCACUUUUCGAAAUAGUUUUUGGGAAGACGUCUCAAUUUGUGUUGAUUUAUUUUGAUGUGACAUGAACUAUGAAAAAAGAAAGAGAGUUUUGAAAUUUUACCGUCAGAUAUAGAUUUUUGUGUAGAUAUAAAUUACAUGCAGUUUCGGAGUUAAAAUUUGAUUUAAGGGGUGUCAAAAUAUAAAGAAAUAAAAUCGUGUAGAAGCCAAGGAGUGUCAAUACAUAAUAUAAAUAUAUAUGAAAAAAUAUUUUAAUUCUAGCUACACAAUGUAAUUUUUCGACAAAGGGGUGUCGGUCGACAUCCCCUGGUGGCUCGACAUUGUUAAAAUAAAGACAUGCGCCUUACGCCCAAAUUUAAGGGGCCUUAUUUUUAAUAAUAAGAGGUUAUAAGUUGUUAUUUUUAACAAAUAUUGAAUUGUAUUUGUAGAAAAAGUUAACUUUUCAUGAAAAAUGGAGGAAAUAUUAGAAGAAAUUUGACAUAUUUGAAGUAUUGUAUUUUAUGAAAAAUAAUUUAAAAUAAAAAUGAUUAUAUUAUUAAUUGAAAACUAAAACCCAUUUGAUUUUUGCUUUAGAUCACCAAUGUGCUUGAACCGCACCAGAACACCCCUCACGUGGCUCCGCCACUGACCACAUGGUUAGGUGAAAGUUGUUGAAUUUAGGCAUUGUGUGAGGAUUGAAAAAUUCAAAUCUACGUUGCAUUAUCUACCCGAAAAUAUGAACAAUGUGCGGUGCAUGGGGACAUAAAAGUAGUCACGGACCAUCUCUUGAAUAGUUGUUGAAAGGUGAGAAAUAUUCAUCAUCAAGAUGAAAAAGGACAUGCUGUCAUAAUUAACCUUAUAAAGUAUAUGUGACAAAAUAGUCCAACAGAAAAGUGAAAUUUAUUCCAAGAAAAUGAGGAAGUUUGGAUAGUAUAACAACGAUAUACUUAGUGUAAUUCCACAAGUGAAUCUAGGAAAGCUCGGACAGUAGUUGAUACAAAAUAACUGGUCUUUGGUCAAGCAUUUGUGUCUUUGGUGCUUAGCAUCUGCUUACAACUAUCCAUCCUCGGCCUUGGCCUCGGCCCAAUCAGCUGCAAUCUUCACAAAACUCCUCUUUGUUCCUGCUGAUACUCUGUUGCAGAUAUUUCUAAUCUUUGAUCAUCAAUUCCUGAUUCUGCUCUCUUCGUUUCCCCAUACAUUGGCCAAACUACAAACAACAUUAUGUAAAGUUAAAAACUUUUAUCUGAUUCUGCUAUGUGCUGCAUUACCUUCUUCAGCAAUAUGAAACAUGUUUUUUGGUUAUCAUCGCAUGCCUUAAAUCUACGCAGCAACUCAAUGAGCAAGUACCGUAAGUGCAACAUAGCUGAUACAAGUUCAAAUCACGUUCUAUUUCAAUUACAUUUCAUACGCAAUGGUAAUGCCAUCAGGGUAAGAGCUCCCAGAAACAUUUCCAAAAUUGAAAGAGAAACCAUACAAUGUGCAUUGUGAUGAAAUAAGAUGAAAUAUGCAGAGGUGCAUUUGUCCACAUACAUAUAGAUAAACUGUUUUUCUGAUCUAGGAAUUUUUUCCUUUUUGAGUUCCAUACAUGUAGAGUACAUUGAAGUUUAAGACAGAAGUGGGAUCGGCACAUGUAAAUAAUGCAACACUAAGUAUAGAGUCCAGAAACAAAGGCAUCAUCUCAACCUAGAAUUUCUUGCAAAGAUGAAAACAACAAAGCACAAACUGCAUCCAGACCAGAUAAGCAUAUUAUAAAUUAUAAACUAAUAAAAAAAAGCAAAUCUAGUUUUGAAGCAACAAGAGUUCGAUGUGUAUCUCAAACAUACAUCUUUAUAAUAAUAUUCUCAAAAGAAACCCUAAAGCAAUGUCAAAUUGCUAAGAACCAUUCAAAUAUUACAAUGCUGAAGUUGACCAUAAAGGCAAGCAGAUUUAAUGAACAAGUAUAUGCCAAUUAGCAAAUCAAGACAUCUACAUUAUAUAGCGUAACUUGUCUAACCUGCCAUCAUCUUUCCAAGACUCGGACAGAACAGGCACACUGAAGUAUAGCUAUCUUCAGCAAUUCGCAGAGCCGCAGAAUAGGACUACUCUUAGCCGAGUAAUUUGAAGUAGGGUGCAAAAUCACACAACAUAAUUCUAAUAUAUUCACGUUCGAAGUUGGUCAAUAACUUUCAAAAGGCUAUAGGACUCAGAAUCUGGCCUAGCCCCUCCAAGAAUCAUUCUUUUAAGAAGAUUUGGAUCAUAUACCUUCCCCUUAACAUACGCCUUGAUUAACGCAUUGUACACAAAGGUAUACCUAGUAUAAUUCGCUUUCUUCAGUUCUUCAAACAACUUUUCAGCAUUCUCUACAUCACCAUUAUCUGCAAAUAUUUCAAUUAUUGAAAGAGUAGUUUCCAACCAUGGAGUUGAUCUUUUCACCUUUAUGCUUGUUUUCAUAUCCAUCCCCAAUUGAAGAGUUUUGAUGGCCUCCUUAAUUAAUCCCGCUCUCAAGCAACCAAGAGCAAGAUGCCGAUAAGUAAUGGCAUUUGGCUUGCACCCACUUUUCUCCAUCUCCUUAUACAAUGCAGUGGCUUUGGUAAUAUGUCCAUGUCUACAAUAUACAGCUAUCAGCGAAUUGAACUGCUCAUUUGACUUCAAAGAAUUCCUUGAUUUCAUUGCGGACCACAGCUCUUCAGCUCGACAGAGAUCUCCAAUCCUACCAAAUGCUUCGAUCGCCAGGACAUAACUCUUAGACCUAACAUGGGAAAGCUCCAGAAUGACACCCCAUGUCCUCUCUAAAUCAUUCCGCUUUCCCAGAUAUCCAUAGAGUAUGACCAGAAUGUCCAAUGUAGACCAGUUUUGUCCAGUUGCAGAUUUCUCAAUAGCUUCAGUAUAGGUCUCACAAACUGUAUACAAUCUAGCCACAGCAUGUGCAUUGGCCAAUAUACAGUAAGAUACCUCAUUCGGUUCAACUUUUGCUCUCUUCAUGUCACUAAAAACUUUCAACAGGCCUUCAAUAUUGUGUUGAUUUGCUUCUAUCUUGAGCAGAAUAUUGAAGGUUGAAACAUGUGGAGUAACCUUAUCGGCUUUCAUCUGCGUCAAGAUUUUAGGAAUGAACUUCUUGCGGCUUGGGGAGGAAUGAAGAAUGAUGAGAUGAUUGAACACCAAAUAAGAUAUGGGAUGGUCCAGUUCUCUCAUUUUCUUCAUAUAUGCUAGUGAAAGCCUGAUCAGUCCUCUGUCCAAGCAUCCAAGUAUAAGAUUGUUGUAGAGCAACUCAUUUUGGAACUCAGACGGAAUUCGGGAGAAUAGACUUUCAGCUUGUGAUAUUCCAUGAAGCUUAGAAGUGAAUUCUACUAAAUAUGAGUAAUCUAGUUCCUUUGGUCUAUAUGGUCUCUCCCUUAUAACCCAUUCCAUCACCUGUGAAAAGCAUAGAUAUUGCUUAAUAUCACAAGUGAAGUUCUAAUGAGCACUAAAUUCUAUCUAUUUCAAUGAUAACCAAAUCUAACACUGAAACACUAGUGAAUACAGCUAGACUAAGAACCUAAAGAUUGUCAACAUCAACUAGUUAUGCUUGAUUAGGCAUUAUUAUAGGUAAGACUUGAAAAUGAGCUCAACAACAUAAUAGAGCAAAUUCAGUAUAUAUUUUUUGAGAAGGAAUAGAGGAAAUUCGUAUAUUGAAAAUGCCUGAAUAACUAAUAUGGAACAUAACACUCUGUACCAGCUUUACCUGAAACAUAACACUAGUAGUAGUACUACAUUCACUACUACUACCCUUAGAUAUCUUAUGUAAACAUGUAAAGUGCACCCUAGUGGUGUUCACAGUAGGUUGAAUACUUCAUGUACUUCAUAAUAGGUAAAUGCCCAUUUUCAAAUUUGGCAAGAAAGGACAGAGUAAAAGAACCUCAAGAGCACGCUUGUUCAAUUUGAGUUUGCGCAAACGAUUCAUAGUGUGGAAAAUGUCACCUCUAUGAAUAGGUAAACCAUCACCCAUCCAGCUUUGGAAAGUGGAUCCAAUGGACUCUCCUAUGGGUACACUUUCAAUUCUUUGACUUAAGCUGUUCCUUGUUGUCACCAUUCCCUGAUCUACCAACCUUUCUUCCUUUUCUGAUUCUGACUUCUCUGAAGUAAAAUUUGCAUCCGAUGUUUUCAAACAAUAAACUUGACAUGAAUGAAUAGUUUGUUUGGACAAAGAUAUAACAAUUGUUUGAUGAAUUGCACUAGUGAUCCUCUGUUUCCACAGAAUGGAUAUGAAGUUCAUUGUUGAUAUCAGAAACAAAACCAACUUUACUCAUCAGGACUGCUUAAGGAAAGAAUUGCCCUGAAAUUAUAUAUUCAGCAUCACUAGUCCACGGAAACCAUAAGAGUUAACCUGCCACAGCUUGAUUAACGAACAAAAAAAAGGAUUAUUAAAUUUCAAGGAGGUGAAGUUGCUAGAUCCCAUCCCACUUCAAACAUUACGUUUCAAUCACAUUGGCAUUUGAUUUUAACCAUAAAGUGAGAACCCCCUGCUAAAAAUAGCUUCUUUCUUGAUGGUUCCCAGGGGCAAUAGCUGACAGUGAUGGUCGUAGCAGGAACUGAAACAUUGAAAGGAAAAUGAGUUAUUCGAGGAAUACCUCAAGUAAUCACCAUCUAACCCUGUAAUAAUUACAUUCUUUCCAUCAAGAUCAGCAGCAUUGCAGAAAAAAACAUUAAGGUUAUCAAAGAACUGAGCUUCAUCAAUAUCGAUCACAUUCACCUAUCAAGAUUUGGAGUUCCUAGGAGAUAGAAACACAAACACACUCUACUGAGCUAAUGAAAGUUAAAAGCCAGUUGCAGGAUUCGUUCUGCCUAAUAUAAGUUCUUUUCUAACUACUGCUAUGUCUAUGUAUUAAAAAAACACAAAAAAAACUUUGACUCUCAAUUGUAUUUCAGUUCUCCUUCAUGCUUUCUCAUCAAAGUGACAUAGCAUACUAACACAUAUUGGAUCAUUUUAUCCUAAUAUGUACAUCACUGACACAAUCAACUGCACAUUUUUCUUCUUCUCAUGAAUUAAAGUACAAAAAGGAACCAUUUAAAAUCUCAUAAUUCAAAUUUGAAAAAGAAAAAAAAAAGUUGCAGCAACAGGAAAUUUUCACAACACCAAUGAAGUAUAAAUCCAGUAGCUAACUAAAAUCUCGUCUUUUUUUAUGAAAUUGCACAGAAAAUUGAAAAAGUAUUUAGAAACGUAGAGCAGCUGAGAAGUUAUGCCACUAAAAUCACAAGAAAAACUUACAGUUGGCCGCUGAAAUCACAGAGGAAAGAUAUGGAGAAGGUCUACAGAAGUGGAGGAUUCGGCUAUGUUUAGGGGAGAAAGAAGGAAAAAAGAGGAACGGUAAUUUAGGGGAGAAAAAUGACAAAAAUGGUCCAUAUGUUUGGGUUAGGUUCAAAAUAGCCCCUAAACUACACUCUAAUAUCAUUUUGGUCACUGUCUGUUUGAUAAAUUCAAGGGUGACAAUUGAACGGGUUGGGUCAAAGUUGGUUGGGUCAUAAUGGGUUAAGAUAAUAAUUGUGUUAAGAUUCAAACUAAUCCAAAUCAGCUUGGGUCAAAAUGAGUUACAUUACGGGUCAAGAUCCAAUUUAAUUCAUUUUUUUAUUAAGCUUAAUUGUUCUGUUUGUUCUUGUAAAUUAUUUUAGUUUCUAAUAAAAUUAUCUUUUUCUUUGUUAUUGCUAUAUACAACAUAUCAAAUUGAUUGAGAAAAAAAUUAAAAUAUAUUUUGAUAAGAUUUUUCAUGAGUCAAUUCUGAUUACAUAUCAAUUCAAUUUUUGAUGGGUUGAAAUAGAUUGGGUUAGGAUAGAUUGAACUAAUAAUGGGUGGAUCAACACCUGCCUAAACUUAAACAGAUUGAAAGAAUGGGAAGAAUUAGAUUUAAUUUUGCCACCCCUAGUAAAAUUUAAAUUCUGAGGAAAAAAAAAGAAUUUUAGCUGAGAACUCACAUCCGAGAGUUCUUCCUUUUUUUUUGCUAUUUCUAGUCUAUUUGCUUUUUUUUAAUGUACAAUAUAUAUUUUGUUUGGUACAUUAUAGUAUUUAAGUACUGUUUUUUGUGUUCAAUUUUUUAGGAUCGGAGGAGAUUUUUCUAGUGUUUAUAUAUUUUCCAUAGUUAUCUUAAAGAUAAAUCGGCAAAACUUUAAAAUAUUUGAUAGAGAUUAAAGAAAAAAAGUUCACUUAUGACAAAUUUCAGGAAGUAAUUUGAGUCUACCCCGAACAUAAGGGACCAUCUUUGUAUUUAUUUUUUUUUCUCUAGUCCAGGGCUUUUGUUAGUGAGGGUACUGUUGGACUUGUUUAAAAAACUAAAAGGGGAUUAAAAGGUGAUCAAUUCAUAACUAGAGCUAAAAUAAAUUACUUCAACUGUAAAUAAGCAUGAGCUAAAUUAUGCCAUUGAUUAAUCAAUCUCCCGUUCUCAGAGGUUAAGCCAAGAGCAGCAAGCUUUCAUGGCAGUACAUGAGGAUGCUUUGACCAAAGGAAGUGCGUCAAAUAGUGUUUACUCAGCUUUAACAUAGAAACCACAACAAAAUGAUCAAACCCUGGUUCAAAAAUGCUUCUAAGAAAACGGAAAAAGAAGAGGGGAAAAUGCAGAAAAAUGAUGAGUAAGGUCAUCUUCUACCACCAAAUUAUCAAGUUCCUUUUACGCAGAUAUUGGACGAAGCAAGGCUACAGUCAAGGUAUAAUAUAAGUGAUCACACUUCCAAUCUUUCUUCAUGAGCAAACUAUGGGGUAAACUUCUACAUUACCAUCCCACCAUCGAUAGUCAAAACCUGUAAAGGAAAUAGAUAUUCUUAAUAAAAGAUGUUUUAACAUGACGUAGCAAGAGAGAAGCUUUGGAUAAAUGACAGAUGAGGCCGCAUAAGAUGGAAGUUACCUGUCCAGUAAUAUAGCUGGCUGCGGGACUGAGUGCUAGGAAUUCCACUAGUCCAGCAACAUCUUCAGGUUGACCAUAGCGUCCUGUGUUAUGUGAAACCAAAGUGAGUCAAUAUAGUUAUUCUUUACCAGAACUCUUUUGUGCUUUAAUCUGAAAAAUAUAGAUAUGAACCAUAUUUCCUAAAAAAUUAAAUUGAAUAGUACUUACUUUUACUAGUUUAAUAAAUGAAAUCUUUUAUACAUAGCAAGUACAAAGUCUUUGAAAUGUUGGAUGCAUUGAAGAAGGGGAAACUACCUACUAUCAAGUUUCAAGCUCAGUUGAUGUUUUUCAGUUCCAACUUAGUUUUAUUCGUUUUAUAGAGUCAGAGUUUUCUAUUGAUACAAAUGAAAUUUGACAAUUGCAUCUGAUGUUGUCUUAUGCUACUUGGAGUACCUUUUCCUCGUCUUAGAGGUGCAGGGAACUCGUCACUAUGUUGAGAUAUAAACGCCACAAAAACUUUAAAAGACAUCUGCUCUUACCUAACGGAAUACUUUGUAAAAGUUUCUUUUCAAUGUCUUCACUUAGCUGGGCAGUCAUAUCUGAUGCAAUAAAUCCAGGGGCAAUAGCAUUAACCUGCAGAAAAGUAAAAUUCAGCAUAAAUAACCUAAUUAUGAGCCAUAAGAAGUCAUUAUAUCACCAAUGGGAAAAAUAAGAGAGACAACUCAUUAGUUUGUCCUCAUCAGAAAAAGUUCCUUGAUAAUAUGCUUUACCAAAUCCUUCGUAGCUAGCAUUAACGUAAACAAGCCAAGUGAUACAACGGAAUGACUAGGAGCACUUACAGUAAUAUUCCUGCUGGCAUAUUCUUUUGCAACACUCUUGGUUAAGCCAAUGACUCCUGCUUUAGCAGCACUAUAGUUGGCUUGCCCGGCAUUGCCAACUAAACCAACAACAGAAGAUAUGUUGAUGAUUCUUCCCUGAAAAGUGUAGACCAUGCCUAAAUAAAAUUCUGAAGUAUAUAAGGAACAGUAUAAAACUCCAUUGCAUUGCUUUCAUCUUAGUGAUCAAUUUUUUUUCAAGGAUCAGAAUAUAUCGCUAGAUAAACAUGAUGGGAACAGUCUUAUUAGUUGGCAUCUGGCACAACCUGGCUAUUUUAACAUACUCAAGGAUCAGUAAAUUUGUUUCUUGUUUUGUAAGAAUAACUAGUUCAUAUUCAUUGAAAAGGUAACUGUCAGCAAUAUAGCAGGUGACAGAAUCUGAGUAAAUGACACCAUCAACUGAAAUCCAUGGAACGGAAUAGCUGGAAACAGCUUCUGCGUCACAUCAAAACCCUUCCAUCAUAACCGAUUUCAAACACGACAAAUCCAAAUUCUGAAGCUGAAAUCAACUCAACUUUUGAUGCUUCAAACAAGAGAGAAAACUAAUUGACCUGACAAUCUUAUUGUAGCAUUAUGUUAUCUUUUAACACUAGGUGGGAAUAAAGUUAUAAGCUAUCUCCCUUCAACUAAUGUAUUUCUGUCCAUUUUCUUUCAAUCCAGAUAAGAGAAGUAUUUUGCCCAUGCCCUGUUUAAUCAAUGUAGUGCAAGUGUCACACAUAGCCAACCGGUCAUUGUGUUUUCAAUUCCUUUUUUGUUUUACUUUGACUAGCAUGCGAGUCCAAGAAACCAGGAAUGGAAAAUACAAUUUGGUUAUUCUACCCAAAGCUAGGGAUGACCCCUGCCCCACAUGGUUGUUCUAGUGAUAUUUCUUCCAUACAUAAAAUUUUGGAAAGGGCUAGUGUGGACGACCUCAAUGACCCACCAUGUGGUGUAGUCAUUGUUUAUAACUGCUGUAGAGUCCAUAGAGACAAAUGCACUUCUCUCUAUGCAACAGUUUCGGAACACUUGAACCUUACCAGACAAAUAAUAUUAUUUCUGAAGAUCAAGAGGUAGAUGGACAAAUUUACCUUUUUCUUUUUCAUCAUGAUUUUAGCUGCAGCCUGCAACAAGAAGAAAGAUCCCUUAUAAGAACCUUAUUUAAGAAAAAUACAUACAGGUUUUGGGAGGAGGGAUUGGGGGAGACAACCAAACUACCAAUUGAAACACAGCUAGCGUAUAGACCUGUGUGGAGAGAAAAACUCCUGUAAGAUUCAAAUCAAUAACCUCCUGCCACUGAGACUUCUUCAUUCUCAUCAACAAGGUAUCACGCGUGAUACCUGAAAAGAAGAAAAAGAGAACUACUGAUAGGGAAUUCUAAUAAAACUUGAUGCAAAACGGGAUGACUUUUGCUAGCCUGCAUAAAAAAAAUAUUGUUUCACUUGUAUAUAUGGGGUAAAAACAUGUUCCUCUCUAACUAGAAAGUUGCACAGAUUUUUGUUGGAUGCUUAAUGUCACAGCACAAAUGUGUUAACUUGUUGGUAUUAUCUUGGUGCAAAAUUGAUUAAAUGAUCUUUUUGACUUGUCGCAACAAAAUAAAGGUGGUAGCUAACCUGCAUUAUUGAUCAAGAUAUCAACUGUUCCCCAUCGAUCAACCACCUGCAGAUGUUAUACUUAUGAGGUGCAAUUCAGCUGGCAACAACUGUGAUAAGAUCCACCAUUAAUUAAUAUUACUAACAAAAGAGAGAGCUUACAGUUUUCAUCAUGGACUCUACAUCUUCUUCUUUUGAAACGUCGCCUCCAAAAGCCAAGGCUUCGCCACCACAUGCUUCAAUCUACAAAAUAUGACAUUCUUGAAUCACUCAGAAAAGAUCUUUUCUUUUUUCAAGGAGCAUGAGAGACAGCCUUAAGCAUGACCGUAUGACUUGUUCCCAGUUCCCACACCCAAGAAUAGAUAGCUGCUCGUUGAAGUAAUAACGGAAGUUUCAAAUCUAACAGCAAUCAAACAAUGGAUGGAAGACUGAGAUAAAAGCAGGUUUCGCUCCUUUACAAGACUGAGAUAAAACUAAAAUAAUCUAUGUUUGCCAACGUUUUGAGAUGGAACUUGCAUGAAGAUAAGUGAAACCAAACACAAAGUUUGAACCUAAACUUACACUUCUUGAUAGAUGAGGAUUAGCCAAGAGAAAACAUAAUUGUUUGAAAUGCGCAAGUAUAAAAUAUAUGCAGUAUAACUUCACCGAGCCAUUAUCAUAUAUAUAUCGACAACUUCAUCAAUCUUCCAUGGAAGAGUAUUACCAGCAAAGAUAAAUUCCUUUUGCUUUUACGGUUUCAGUACAAGCAAUCAGGUCAUUAACUAGCUUCUAUCUUAUCAGAAAAAUUCUAACAAAGAUGAGAGAGCAGAAUCAGUUUUCCAUGUUUGACCAAUUCUUUGAAUCAGAGAGGAAGACCUAGCUCUAUCUAUAAAAAUAGAAUAAAAUAAAAAGGCUACCAGACUGAAGUUCGAGACACAGUUCAUGUUUCAAGUAAUUAAAAUGAUAUUUUCAGUUGGGAAUGGAAGUAUCAGGGAUACUAAUAUAUACCAAAAACUAAACUAAAUUAUUACUAAAAAAAGGUACACAUACCUCUUUGGAAACUUCUUCUGCCUCCUUUGAAGAUCUGGCAUAGUUCACAAGGACCUGCCACCGAUAUUGAACUUUAUAUCAAGCAGGUAUGGGAAAAUUACAAAUUGAUGAACAGUAAUGCCCGUGUAUCAACCUAUGUCAGCUCAAGAACAUUAUUGGAAGCUUUCGGAAGAACUUAAAUCAACGGAAUUCACAUUUUUCAAAUGCCUGACUUCACGUAGUAAAGACUAAGCUAAAUAAGAAGAAGAUGUGGAGGAGGAGGAGGACCCGCUUCGCUUUCUACUCUGGCCCGUAUAAGCUUCUGCUUGUUAACGGCAAUUUCACCCAAAAACAAUAUAGAAUAACACAAACUAGUAUUGUUUUACACUUCAUCUGACACCUUUCAGGUAACUAAUUUAUUUUUCGCACAUUUGAAACUAUCCUAUUAAAGCCUUUUAUUCUCAAUUAAAAUUAUCCAUUAAACAUUUUACCUUAAGAUGAUAAACAGAGCAGUCAAAGGACAGAGAGAGUACUUCCCAUUGUUUCACUUUUAAACUAUGGCCAACGGAAACACAACUUGAGCAACUACCAUAGCACCUUAGAGCUGAUAAUGUUUUACAGUAAAGCCACAUAGGUCGCCAACACCAUAGUAUACAAAUGCAAGAGUGAAAUUAGAUAAGUUCUAGUAUUUAAAAAAUGGAACACAAUGCUGACCUUACAACCAGCCUUUCCCAAAGCCAACGCAAUUGCCUUCCCUAUUCCUCUAGAAGCUCCAGUGACAAUAACAACCGGAGCUUCAACUUUUGCAGCAGCCUUAACUCCAACUUGUUCAGUGGUUGUCACCUGAGCUCUCACACCUGAUCAUAUCACAAUCCCAUUAUACAUCUAUACAACUAAUUAUAAACAAAGGAACAUCUUUUUCUGAUUGAUAAAGGGUAUUGUAUUAAAAGCAGCAAAACUGCUCAUCACAAGUUGUGUUAUGAACUCAAAAAGUCAACCAUGGCUUAUGUAUCAUUUUAGCUAUUACCAAAAAAAAAAAACAGAUGAGAAAUGCAUCUGUCCUUUAAACUAAUUACAGAUUCCUUUUUGCUUUCAAAUAUUCUUGAAUUCCUUUCCUAUAAACAGAGGCCAGAAUCGAGUGUCCUAUUGUAUUUAUUUCUCAUCAGGCAAAAUGUCAAUAUACAUUUUUCUAAAAAGGAAUCGCACUCAAGAUUUAAAGUCAAUGAACACUAAGUAUCUAUAAUACAUACAACAUUUUUAGAAUUGGAAAGCAGUAAGCAGAGAAGGAUUAGAUCCGUCUCUACUACGAAUUGAAAGAUACCUGAAGAGGCGGAAGAAGACCAGCGGCACUGCAAGACAGAUGAUGGCUGAAUAGGAGAAGACGGAAGGCGGACAUGUGACAGCUGGCGACGGACGGAGGAGUUUGCGGCGGCGACGGAGGAUCGGAUUUUGGAGGUGGCGGCGACGGAAUUGAAGGUGAGAGUAGCCAUUGAACGGAGUAAAGUUGCCAGGUGUGUAAAUGGAUCAGUAGAGGGUGCAGAGUUAGAGUAGAGCGUAUUUAUUGUAAAAGUUCCGAUGAAAACAAUGUGCCAGCCUCUUUAGUCUUGUUCGUUUUAAACAAGAGAAGAAGAAAAAGCAAUUUGGGUACAAAUAUAGUGAAGUAAAAUGAUUACUUGUUAAUUUAGUUUUAAGCCUAUUAGGUAUAGGUUUGGUGAUUUGUUUUUAACCUAACACUCUGAUAUAUUGUAUAUUGUAUUUUCUAUUAUUUUAAUAAAUACAAAUUUCAAUAAAUUAUUGCACAUUCAUAAUUUGAACGAUAAACGUAUAAGAAAAGUAGAGUAUGAGCUAGAGUUGUAUCUAUUAUGAAAAUGUAGGACAAUAGAUGAAAUAUAAUUAUUAAAUAACAAAUAAAGACAAAUGAGAAGAAAAUGUUAAGGUAACGAUACGAUCACGCCAAAUUGAUUGUUACAUAAAAUGGGUCUCUUAGUUAUUACCUAGCUUUGGAUUUAAUCGAUACGAUUUAAUAGAAUAUAAGUAACUAUCAAAACAAAUAAUUUAUUUGAACAAACAAUACAAUACAAUGGCAACAACCAUCCAAACAAGGUAUAAGAGAUCAGUUAAUCAUUGGUUUAGAACUAAAUUAUUCAAUAACAACAUAUGCAACAUCAACUAUAUUACAUAAAUGAAAUUUGGAGAGGUGAUGUAUGAAUUAUGAGAGUUUAUUGUUUUCGAUAAACAUUUGACUCAAAUAAAACAUAUCAGGUAAAGCAAAUAUACUAGGGAGAAAUCAAUUUUGUGUUAAAAAUCAACAUAAUUAAAAUAGUACUAAGUAUUUAGUUCUCAAGUAUAAUAUUUAGCGUAUAACAUUCGUUAUCAAUUUAUAAUCUUGCAUAAUAAUAUAGUCCGGAGGCUAAAGGGUAAAAAUUAUUGACAAAGAUUUCAAAGGGUAUAUCAAAAAACUUUUUAAUCAAAAUGCUAAAAUCGCUACUGAUUUAGUGAUUUAUUUGGCCGGCAUUAAGACAACAGCGAUUUGCACAAUUUAUUUUUUUAAGGCAAAAGUAUUUACUAUCCCUGAACUUGAAGCUUUUUAUUCAAUGUACACCUAAAUUUUAUUUUGUUUCAAUUACCCCCUUGAACUUGCUUAUUCAUCCUACAGGUACACCUUUUCCGUUCACCUGGCAUAGAAACUGAAAUCAAACUCUAGACGGCGCGUGAGACAGCAAUUUUUGCUACAUCAUAAAGUUACAACGGUAAUAUAAGUAAAAAUCUAUUUUUUCUUUAAUAUUUGGGUUAUUUUAAGAUUUUUUUCUCUCUCUAUUCUCUACCUAUUUAUUCUUCUUUUCUCCCUUUUCAAAUUUCAGAUUUUUCUCACUUUUUUUGUUUUAAUUGUUAUUGCUAAAUUCAUGAACAAUAACAGGAGACUUGUUUGUUUAUGUGGGGCUCCUCCAAUUUUGAAAAUUUCAUGGACAAAUGACAAUCCCGGACGUAGAUUUUUCGGUUGUAGACACUAUGGGGUAUGUAUUGUUACUCCUUUUUUGCUUUUUAUUUGACACUAUGGGGUAUGUAUUGUUACUCCUUCUUCAGAAAAUUUUUCAUCUUUCUUUAAACUAAACCUCUGAACAAAGUGUUAAAAGAAAUGAAAAGCAGGCCAUAAACCUCUCCAUUGUCGCACUCGAAGCAUGAAUCUUGAUACACAAUAACAACAAGAAUGGGCAAAAUAUAAGUUUCCUUUGAUAAGGGGUUUCAAGUCAACAUCCAAGAACUUGUCAAAUCAAAUCCAUACUCAAAUUAGUCGUCACCCAUUAAAGUUUGCUUUAUAGUAACAAGAACCCAGUCAGCAAAUUCAAAUCUUGAAUCACAACAAAAAAAAUUCAAAUACUCAUAUAUACACGCACAUGUACUAUGUCAGUAAGACAAAAAUUUUGUCUACACACACAAAAAAUAAAAGAAACAGUGAAGAAUCUGCAAAAAGUUGUUCUGUUCUAAACUUAGCAAAUAAGAAGAAGACUAAAUCAAGAAAAGGGGUACAAGAAUGCAAGAAAAGAUGUAGGAUUGCGUGAAGAGAGAGAAAGAUUGAAGCUUGUUACUGGAUACAAGAAGAAUGACAAAUUGUAUACUCCUAGUCGUGUACUAAUUAAAAGCCAAAAGGGGGUUCUAUAAGUGGUGAGUUUGGGAAAAGAGAGAGGCCAAAAGACAGCAAAGACCAACAAGUGGGAGUUGGCUCAUGAUAAUCUAGGUGGCAAAUUAUUUAUCUAGGUGGUAAAAUAUUUAUCUACGUGUCAUGCGCGUGUAGACACGAUCAUAUUGAGUGGACGGAAAAGGUGUACGUGUAGGAUGAAUAAGCAAGUUCGGGGGGGUAAUUGAAACAAAAUAAAGUUUAGGUGUACAUUGAAUAAAAAGCUUCAAGUUCAAGGGGGUGAUGAAUACUUUUGCCUUUUUUUAAUUUGAAAUCGCAACCUCGUCAGCAAUUUUAUUUUAUUUUUUAAAAAAAUAUUUUUUUAACAAAUCGCUGCCAGGGCAGCGAUUUACUUCAAAAAAUAAUACAAAAACUUUUUAAGUAAUCGCUGCACAAGCAACGACUUACAAUUUUAAAAAAAUCAUUAAAAAAAUGUUGCCUUGACAACGAUUUGUUAAAAAAAAAACUUUUAAAAAAAAAAUAACAAAAAACGCUGACGAGGUAGCGAUUUCAAAUUAAAAAAUAAAUUGUACAAAUCGCUGCAAGAGUAGCAAUUUUUCUUUAACGCCGGCCAAAUAAAUCGCUACAUCAGUAGAAAUUUUACCGUUUUGGUUAAAAAGUUUUUUGAUAUACCCUUUUAAAAAUUUUGUCAAUAUUUUUUUACCAUUUAGACUCCAAACUCCAUAAUAAUACAUACAAGUAUAAAUUAUGAGAACUCCUACUUUGUUAUGCUAGAGAUUAGAGGUAUCAAAUAAGUGCAUGGGGUUAAGGGCCCGUUUGGAUGGGCUUAAUAAAAGCAGCUUUAAAAAAGUACUUUUGAAUGCUGAAACUUAUUUUUAAAAUAAGCAGUUAUGCGUUUGGAUAAAAGUGCUGAAGUUGUUAUGUCAAACGUGAAAAGGAAAAAAUAGAAGAAAGAGAUGUUAGGGUUAUAUGGGUAAUUUGGAGAUUGUAUAAAAAUAUUAAGGGAAAAAACAUAAAAAUGUGAUCAACUUAAAACAGCUUAUAAGCUAAAAAAAAAAGCACCCCUACCCCAGCUUUUAACUUUUGGCUUAAAAUAAGUUUUUUUUAACUUAAAAUAAGCUAUUUUAAGUAUUGCCAAACAGUUAAAUAAGUCAAAAAUCAACUUUUAAGCUGAGCUAAACAGGCUCUAAAUUCGAGCAGAGUGAACAAGUUAUUAAACCUUCUAAAAGAUAUUUGAAUUGAAAUGUGGGUCAUAACAAUAACAAACUAAUUCUUAAUAAUUAUUUUAUUUGUUCUUUAAUAAAUUUUUAGUACCUAAGAAAAAAAUCUUUUUUAAUGAUUAUAUAUAACAUACCAAAUUUUAGAAAAUACUUUUUCAAAAAUAUAUUGAUAAAAUUUUUUAUGAAUUACUUAGGUUAAAAUUAAUAAACUCGAUUGCUCGAAUAAAUGGACGGAUUGCUUGAACCUAUUGGGCUGGAUUUUGACACUCCUCGUCACUGUUGUAUAGGACCCCGCAGUUGCAAGAACAUCAGGGAAGUGAACCAUCAAGGGACAUAAAGGGGGAUACUCUUUAAUCUAAUCCUUCUAGUAUGAGAGGAAGUCAUUGGUAUUUCAUUUUUCAUCGCUACUCUUUAUCAUUUUUGAGCUGUGAGUGUAUUCAGAAAUCUCUUCACCUUUCAAUAUAGAGGGUAAGUUUUUGUACACAUUAUUUUCUCUAGACUCCAUUGAAUCUAUCCCACGUGUAGUAUUUGUUGUUGUACUCCCGUCAUGAAAUCUCCCUCCUUGAUUUCUUUCUACAUGAGCAUUUUGUAUUUAUACUAACAAUAGAAUACAAUGGAUAACAAUCAUCUGAACAAGGUGUAAGAGAUCAAUUGGUCGCUGGUUUAGAACUACAUUGUUCAAUAGCUACAUAUGCAACAUAAACUAAUUUUACAUAAAUGAAAUUUAGAGAGAUAAUGUAUGUAUUAUAAAAGUUUGUUGUUAUCAUUAAACAUUUGGUUCAAGUAAAACAUAUCAGGUAAAAAAAAAUAUAAUAGUGAAAAAUUAUUUUUGUGUUAAAUACAACAUACAUAUUUAGUAAUGUAUAAAAUUUAUCACAUUAAAUAUAACACUUGUUAUCAAUGUACAAUCUCACAUAAUAAUAUAUGUAUAAAUUAUGAUAAUUCCUAGCUCUAUCACAAUUAGAGGUGUCAAAUGAGCGUGUUGGACUAAAUUUGAGUGAUAAAAAAGGCGAGUUAUUAAGCCAUCCAAAAGAUAUUUGGACUGAAAUACAGGUCAUAACACACGUCUAAUUCUUAAUAACUUGAAUUGCUUCAUUUGUUCUUUUUAAAAAUUUUAAACCUAAUAAAAAAAUCUUUUUUGAUAAUUAUAUAUAACAUACCAAUUCUUUUUAGUAUGUGUAAAGGACGGAUCAAUUGAGCCUAUUGGGCGGGAUUCUGACACCCCUCACUGGUGUAAAGGACUCGACAGUUGCAAGAACACCAAGCAAGUAUACCAUCAAGGGUCACAGAGCGGCAUAUUCUUAAUCCUUCUAGUACGAGAGUAGGCGUUUGUACUUUUAUUUUCAAAUUAUCCUUGAGCCAAGAGUUUAUCAAAUCCAAUAGAAUUUAAUUCAUUGUUCUUUUCAAAUCUCUCCUCCAACACACACACCACCGCGUAUGGUAUAUGUUGUUGUAGUUCCGUCAUUAGAUCUCCCUACUUUGUUUCUUUCAAAAUGAGCACUUUGUUUUCUUGCUCUUUUCCUUUGUAAGGUGGAAUCCUUCCUGCCAUUGCAAAUUCCGUAGGCAUCAAACAGAAAGUGAAGAUAUAAGCUUUAGUGAUAUCUACUUUUCUCAAUAUCACUUUCAUCAAGCACCAGGCUGUGACCCCGUCGUACCACCUUAUAAUUGGCUUUUUGAAGGCUCUGAAAGGCACCUGACAAGCCCUUUAUUACAAUAGGCCCAGUUCCCUCUUUGUUUUUAUCAUCCUUCCUUUUUGUGGUUGAUUUUGUGGGGGAGGGAGGAAGGUGGCAGUGAGAAAGAUAAGUGCGGGUCCAACGUUAUUAUACAUUGAUAGCAAGACAAAACAACAUAUCCAGACAGUUUUGCAGACACAUUUGAAAAUUGGGGAAAACAACAAUCCAACAAGAGACCCCAAAUGAAAAUACAAUAGUAAACAGACAGCCACCUCCAAACUCGUCAAACAGCUUCUCAUUUUACUUUAUUCUAAAGCUUUUUUCCUCUUCUAAAUAUGCUCAGUAACGCACCAUCAUACUCGGAACUGCCACUUUACUGGACUGAUGCCAUGUGCUUAAUCAAGUCGACCACUCGUGUGCUGCAACCACAGCAAGGAAAAACAUUAGCAGCAGAUCACAAACCAUUUAAGAGCUGAAUAACAAAGUUCUUGUAAAGGAGAAUGCUAAAAGAUGGGUCGACAGCAGCUCUAAAUACAAAGAGAAGUAAAUUUUUAAGAUUUACCUGUAGCCCAUUUCGUUGUCAUACCAAGAAACAAGCUUCACAAAGUUCUUGCUCAAAGCAAUUCCAGCCUUGGCGUCAAAGAUACUUGAUCUGCAAAUUAUUUUCAUUUGAAUUACAAAUUAACACUUAGGCUGUCUAGUCUGGUUCACGCAGGGUCGGUUAACAAAGGAAUAGGAAUUUACAGGGAAAAUGCAUUGGCAGAAGCAAUAGACAUUUGUUGUUGUGAGUCAGACAUAAUAUGGAACAUAACUUCGAAAUACAUCCUCACCUGUUGUCCCCAAGAAAGUCUGUAGAUACCACGUCAUCUUCAGUGUAUCCAAGAAUUCCCUUUAAUUUUCCUUCAGACUCCUCCCUAAUGAAAUGCCAAAGCAAAAAAAAAAGCAUAUUAAUGUAAAUGAGCAGCUAUUAAAACAAGUUGAGUAGCCCUAGGGCCUUUUCUACUAUUUCACCCAGCACUAUGACUCCUUUUUUUGCAUGUAUUUUGCAUCCAUGGAAACCUGUAGUCUAAUACUAGCCAGAACUGAAUGAAGCACAGAACUUUUGUAUUUCUUACAGGGAAGGGGGGAAGGGGAAGGGGAAGGGGAAUGGGAAUGGGUAAAGGAAUAAAGUGCACAGUCUUACUUGAUAGCAGCCUUGAUUUCAUCAUAGGUGGCUUCUUUCUCCAACCUCACAGUGAGAUCAACCACAGAGACAUCGACUGUUGGAACUCGGAAAGACAUUCCUGUUAACUUUCCAUUCAAUGAUGGUAGCACCUUUCCAACAGCCUUUGCAGCUCCAGUGCUGCUGGGGAUAAUGUUGAAUGAUGCAGCUCUUCCUCCCCUCCAGUCCUUAGCUGAUGGUCCAUCAACAGUUUUCUGGGUGGCUGUUAUAAAAUAAUUACUUAGUACUCAAGCUACAGAAGCUGUAUUAACUUCUAAUGCAUAAAGCAAUACUUACCAGUUAUGGAGUGAACUGUAGUCAUAAGACCCUCAACGAUUCCAAACCUGUCAUGAAUAACCUGCAAAGUCAUAAAAGAAAUCAUUUAAAUUCACAUAUAGGCUCAAAUACUAAAAUGAAGAACAGGGCAAAAGAAAAAAAAGGGAACCUUUGCCAGAGGUGCAAGGCAGUUAGUAGUACAGCUAGCAUUAGAAACGAUGUUGAGGUCUGGCUUGUAUUCCUUUUCAUUGACACCAACAACAAACAUAGGUGCAUCCUUGCUAGGAGCAGAAAUAACUACUUUCUUAGCACCACCCUGGUAAUAACAACAACCAAAAAAAUUUAAGCAGGUACUCAACACCAACUAUUCAAUGCAGGUAAUCAAGCUAAUGUGCAAGGAAAUACGUGAUAACCAUAUCAAUCCAAGUAGUCAACACCCAAACAUCAUCGCAUUAGCAUCAAUUUACAUUUUAAAAAAAACUAAUAUAGAGACAAUACAAACAGCGUACUGCAACACCUAGACUCCUGUCGAGAAAAUACAUAGAGAAGUUUUAAAUUGCUUUCAAGAUGACAGCAUACUCUGUCCUUAAGUUUCCACAGAAGUUUGAUUAGACAGGAGAAGAAAACAAAAGUACAUGAGUAAAGCCUCAGAAUAGCACCUUCACUAACAAAUGCAUACAUAAACAUGUACAAAAGAAAAAAUGCAAACAAAGUUCGCUACAUGGUUUCAGGCACCAAGUGUUCAGGCCAUGGGGGAUUAUAUGUUGGAGUGUCAAACUAUGUACUUUGAAAAAUCAAUAUUAGCUACAAACAGUAAGCCAAAAUAAGAACGCUCUAGUUAUUUAGGAUCACAAACCUUCAAGUGGGCAGCAGCCUUGUCUUUAUCAGUGAAGACUCCAGUUGACUCCACGAUGUACUCUGCUCCAGCCUCAGCCCAUGGGAUUUCCUCUGGGUUUCUUCAGACAUCCAUACAAUAAGUCCAAUCAAGAGAAAUUCUAAUGCAGUUUUUCAUAUAAUAAAGAAAAGUUGGAGACAUAAUUUACCUUAUGCCAAAUACAGUAACAGGCUUCUCACCAAAGAGAAGAGUCUUCUCAUCCUUAACCUUGAGCUCAUUGUUCUUCCAUUGACCGUGAACACUGUCAUACUUAAACAUGUAUGUCUGCAACAAGCAUCAUAUACAAUACCCAUCAACUUAACCCCUCAAAUAAUAACAGUAAACUUACACAUGACCAUGUAUGUCUGCAACAAUCAUCAUAUACAAUCCCCAUCGACUUAAAGCCCCAGAAAACAACAGAUCUACUGAUAUUGUUACUACUGAAUAUCACUAUGUGAAUUUCGCAAAGCAUAAAUAAAGGAAAAGUGCUGUCUUUGACCCAACACUUCUGGAAAGUGAAGAACUAAGAAACAGCCAAAGAAAAAAGAAUUACAGGGUCAAAAACAACCCUUUUUUAAUGACUGAGGUGCACUGAUCAUCAAAAACAGACUUAAAAGUAUCCCAAUUUUUUGAGAUUCCUACCUGAACUAUCAUGUGUGAUUUUCCUACUCGAACUAUCACCAAACAUUUAUCGAAACACACCAGAACUAUGAGUAGUUCACUUUUCCCACCUGAAAUUUCAGGUAUGAAACUCAAACAAUGAUAGUUCAUGUGUUUUGAUAACAUUUUGUAAUAGCUUCCGACACGCUGUGAAUUUCCUACUUGAACUUUCACCAAAUGUUUAUCGAAACACACCUGAACUAUGAGUUCACUUUUCCUACCUGAAAUUUCAGGUAUUUAACUCAACAAUGAUAGUUCAUGUGUGUUUUGAUAACAGUUUGUGAAACACACACAUGAUAGUUCCGAUAGAAAACUCAAAAAACUUGGACACAUUUAAGUGUAUUUUGUACCGUUAACUCAUAAAAAAUCAUGGUAAUUAACUAUAACAUGUGAAAAUAGUCUAAUUAUGAUAAAAUUGUCUAAAUACUACAAUUUUAUGAACUAAAUGAACUAAAACAUAUAAUCAACCCAAACUAAACUGACAUUAAAGCUUAAUUCAUAGUUCAUAAACUAUCAUUAAUUGCCAUGUUACCAUGUAUUCCACGGUGAUGAAGGGAUCGUUAACAGCAACGAGCUCAACAUCAUCUCUUUGUAGAGCCACCCUGGCCACCAAUCGGCCAAUUCUUCCAAAACCUACAAACAAAACAACAUUCGAAACCGAUCUUAGCCAAAACCAAAAAGUAAUUUCAUGAAAAUUCAGAAAAACACACUAAAUUAACAAAUUCACGAGACAAAAACAACAGAUUAUAUACCAUUGAUUCCGAUCUUAAUCUUGCCUGCAAAAAAUUACAAAAGAAGAUAUGGAAAAAAUGGAAUUAGUUAAAGCCCGUGAAGUAUAACGUAUGAUGAUACAUGCAGAAAAAGAAAUUGAAGAACAAGUAAAGAAAGGAUAACUGAUGAUAUACCCAUGAUUUUUUUUUGUGAACUGAGAAGGAAAAUGGAGUUCGUUUUAAUUGGAGAGGUUUUUGUGAAAUGAAGUGGAAAGGCGUGAAAGGGUUUAAUAGAAGUGGCUAGUAAUGGGAGACCGGGGGAGCCGGUAAGUAAUGCGAUUUCACAUUAUUGAUUUUCUCAAUUCUAACUAAUGGAAUAUUUUAGACGACGAAAGGCUCAAAUUUGAAAUUUCGGAUCAUUUGUUAUUAAUUUAAUUUUUUCAUUUUAUUUUUUUAAUUCUGAUUUUAUAAAAUUAUUUUUUACAUUUCAAACAAUUUUUAAUAUUAUUCACUUGAAGUUUUUUGGAUUAAAUAUACUCUUUCGCUUCUUCUUCCUUUAGGGACACAAAAAAACAAACAAAGAACAGUAAUAAAAAUUUUAUUUUUUUUAAAUAUUUAUGAAAUAACUUUAAAUAUUAAAAGUAAUUUUUCUCCAAACAAGAUAUCAAAUGGUUUUGCAAAAUUAAAGUUAUAAAAUAAUAUGGAUAAGUCUUUUUUUAUCAGCAAUGAUAUAAAUGGGCGAAACUUUUAAAGAAAAACAUAAAUAAACUCUUUUUUUAUUAAUGUCCGAUGACAUUAAAUAAACAACCUUCUAAGAAUAACAAUUAGACUAGUAUUUAUUGAGAUGUGUUUUAUGCAUAUUUUAAUGGGUGUCAGAACAUAAAAAUACAUAAUUUGAAAAAAAAUAAAAAUAUUAUUUUAAAAUGUAAAUUAUGUUUUGAUUUAUGUAUAUAAAGUGAAGUUAUUUUUAAAAUUUUAGAAAACAAAUUUAAAUUUAAAAUAUUUUUCGUUUAAAAAAAAAAACCUUCAAUAUCCAACUUUCAGCAAGAGAAAAAAAAUCCUAACAUAAAUAUUUUAAAAUUAAAAUAUGUAUAAUGAAAAGUUUAAACGGGGAACCGGGAGUUGAGGUGACAGUACGGAUGGUAAGUUGUAGAAGGAAGGCGAAAAUCUAGCUUUUUAUCCGCCUAUGUGAUCACGGAAUUUGAAAAAAAGAGAAUUUUCUAGAAGAGAAGAAAAAAAAAUUGGAAAAGUAAAGAAAAAAUGUGUGGGUGCUGUGCGUUGGGAGUGGUUAGGUGCCCCACGAUGGCAAAGUUGAAAACAGACUCCCACUCACUCAAUCUCCUGCCCCUUGAUUUGUGCGUCCAUCCAACUACAUCUAAGGCCAACUCAUACACACAAAUUUGAUGACAAUCCGAAAAAAUAUUAUUGGGUUAAUAGAUUUUUAAUAAUUUUAUAAAAAUAUAUUAUUGGAUUAUUGAUUCUAUAUUGAAUAUUAGUAAUUGGUUAUUGAGUACAUCGAUAAUUAUUUAUUAUGUUUUUUAUAAAUAUUAACAAUUUAACAUAUCUAAACACUAUAUUAAUAUUCUACACUAUCGUCUACACACUUUACAUGUCAUAGUAAUUCUAUUUCACAUUUAAAAAAUCAUAUUAUGUUUUGGUUGCAACAUGUUAUUGUUAGCCUUCAUGCUACAUCUAAUUUUAUUGAUGUAAUUUCUCAUUCUAUUUCUUGUUUCACUGUAUCAAAACAUUUAAAACUAGUUUGCUUGUCUCACUAUAUCAUACCAAAUUGUUGGAGAAGUGGUAAAUCAUAUUUUUAUUUUAUGAGCAAUUUUUAACUGGAUAAAUCGAAAACAGAACCGUUAAUGAUGAAAACCAAUAAAUCGAAAAUCAAUAAAGAAUAUCUUAUUGAUUUGUUAUUUGUUUAGUUUAUUUAUAAAUCAAAAAAUUGAUGAAUCGAACCGCUAAUACAUAAAAUCGAACCAUCUAACCAAUGCACACCCUAGUAAGAAGAGCCCGUACAAAUUAUUCCAUCUGUUCCUUUUUAUAUCAUCCUUAUUAUAAAUAUUUGAUUCAUAAUAUCUAUCAUUUCAUAAAAUAAAUGUAUAAAUAAUAGUAAUAUUUUUUCCUAUUUUAUCUUUGUGUGUUAUUAGUAUGGAAAAUAUACAUUUGACCAACAUAGAAAAAAUUAAAUGAAUAAUUCAUGUUUAUUGGUCAAAUUAAUUAAUUAAAAUAAAUUGAUUCUUAAUCAUUAAUUGAAAACUUGACUUCCAAAAAAAUUAAACAAAGUUGAAAAGGUGAACUUCUUUAGUUUCAUAAUGCAUGUAAAAUCUAAAACGGUAACAUAAAUUCCAUACGUUUAAAAAAGAAUGAUCAUAUUUUCUUUUUAAUCUGUUUCAAAAAGAAUGAUUCCUUUCUAUUUUUGGCAACACUUUAAAUUUAAUUUUCCACGUGACAUGUUUAAGACUAUAAGAUUAAAAGACAUUUUUGUACAUUUAACAUAACUUUAAUUUAAAAUCACAACAUUAAAAAAUUUUCUUUCUUUUCUUAAACUUCGUUCCAAGUCAAAUUAGGUCAUCCUUUUUUAAACGGAGAGAACAAAUAGAAAGUGAGGGAAUAUGUAUUAUUGAUUUAAAUAUAAUCAUGAGUUCACCUGGUGAUGAGUGGUUCAGUCAACCCUAAUCUCGAUUCCUCUGUUAGAAAAUUUUGAUUUUGAGAUCAUUCCCGAUGCGCAAAUCGAAGGGGACGGCGGCCUAACCCAGAAAGGGGAAAAAGAAAACAACUCUAUGCCAUAGUCAAAUGACAUCUUAAGAUAUUGUGUUUCUCAAGAAGCAUCUGUCUUUUGAAAGUCCAAAAAGAGGAAGAUUUUUUCGUAUUGUACAAUAUUUUCUAUUACGAAUUUGGAUACGACUCAGGCUUUGAAUACUGUGUGGAAAAUAAAAAUAAAAAACUCAUAUGGACAAUUUCUACACCUUUAGGUUUAUUUUUUCGUAGUUUAACAUUAAAUUUGACCAUUUUCACUUGUUAAAUAAAAUGGUUCACGUGUUAGAAAAUUUAUAUUACAAGUUAAUUAGGACAUUUCUAGGUCAAAUUAGUAACAAUAACGAUAUGUUUCAUCUCAAGUAGUAAAAUAAAAAUAAAGAAACCAAACUAGAUAAAAUUUAAAUCAUUUCAUAAAGUUUUGAAGGGGAAAAAUGACAAAUAUGAACUAAUGUAAAUAGUAUGUAGAUACUCUCCAUUAUACUUUAAGAUAUUAGUGUAUUUGUCGUUUUAAAACUAGAACAUAUAUACCCUUUUCACAAAUAUAAAUACACAUAUCAUAAUUUUUUAUCCACCGAUCCGACAUUUAUCAAAUAUCAUAUUAACGGAUAGGAUUGUGCCAUGUGUCCCUAUUUAGCCUUCUGUUAAAGUGAAGGGAAUAUAUGCACUAGUUCUUGGACGACAGGAACACCUAUAUCCCAAAAAUAUAAUAACGGAUAUCUGCAUACCAUUUACGAUAAUUCGAAACGUAUUCAUACUUUUUUCUCAAAUGCAAAUUUAGACUUUCCUGGGCCUAAAGGUUUUCAAACUUGAUUGGUUUUGGUCCGGGAUGCAACACAGCCCAUAACGAUCUAUUGAAAAUGGCUUUUCCCCCACCACCAUUGGAUCAUAGGCCCAAAACUCUUGCUUGGUUUGAUUGAAUCAUCAGGCUCCAACACAUAACGUACAGAAACUUAAAUAAUCGGAAAACCAAAUAUAUACUAGUUAAUUACUUAUUUCAUCAAACAUAAUUUGAAGAAACUACUUUUUGUCACUAACAUAUAAUCAUACUUACGUGGGUCAUGCUCAGAAUUUGUAUAAUUCGAUUCGUAAUUGUAUAAACCCAUAAUUUGUAUAUGAUUACCCUAGCUAUUUAUAUACAGUUUCUUUAUCUUGUUCGUAUAUUACUUGAUACAUUUGAUUUGUAUAAAUUAUGAAAAAUUCUUAAAUGUAUAAAUAUAGAAUUUGUAUAUUGACAAGCGAAAUAUCAAACGAAAAUACCAAUAACAAAUGAAACUAUAACUAUAAAGCGUAAUUAGGUUAACUAUAACUGAUGAAACUUAUUAAAUAUAAUCUCUUUACAUUUCCUCCAAAAUAAUUUAACUACCAGGAGAAUAUGACAAAAUCCAGUUUUCAUGAUAGGACAAUAUCCUUGCCAACUUCCUGUAUGAAUCUUACUUGUCUCUUGUAAACCAAAUAGGAGUACAAGUUUAGUAAAACAUUUCAUGCAUAAAUUAAAAAAAAUUGCAAAAAAUUAUUAAAUUCACGUGAAUUCAUAAAUUACAUGUUAGAUCUGUGAUCUGCCUUAGCACAUGAUCUCAUUUCUAAGUGUUAAAAUAUAUGGAAAACAAUUGAGUGGUACUAACUUUAGGAAUAAAAAUAUCCUAUCAAUCAUCAUCAAGAUUUAUAAGGGGCAGAUGAGAAACAAUAGUUGUUGAGAAAAUGGCCAACAACCCAUUUUCUUGAACCAUGACCCAAGAAUAAUGGGCUCAUGCACUCAAACCCCAUUCCUUGUCUCUCUUUCACAUGCAACAAAACAAUUUGGUCCUCCAUGUUUUAUACAUUUAAUUUGUCUUUACAUUAUUUAUGACCAUAUUUGACGUGUAAAUAUACAUAGAAUCUAGUCACCAAACCAAGGGUCAUAUGAAGUGGUAACUAAUAAGUGGUAAGUAUUUCGUCAUGCUUGAUCAGAGUUUUUAAAUUUGAGUUUUUUUAAUAGAAAAUGACCUUUAUUAAAGAGUGUUUUACCGCAUAAUGCUAGACUUUCAGGCACGAAUCUGAUACAUAAAUUUGUUAGAAAACAAAAACUUCAACUAUGUUUAAUUGUUUUUGUUAUGUGUGCAGAGAUAUCAUCAUAUGCAUUUCAUUUUCAUUGAAGAAAAACUUGGACAUGAAGAAGAGGCUCAACUUAAUUAGGAUAAGGACGAGGAUGAAGAAAUAGUGGAACAUGCCCACAUGCCCUUGCACAUGAUAUUUCAAAAACUACUUGCAGAACAAAAAUAAUUAGAAUUUUUUUAAAAAUAAAUGAAAGAGAGUUAAAUGUAGGAUUUUUUUUAUAAUAUACGAGUAAUAAAUAUAUGCUAAUCACAUCAUCAUACACACCACAUUUUUUUUUACUUUUAAAAAGUAAACUGACUUUGUGUGUUUGUUUCCAUGCAUGAAGUAAGGGCAUGUAAUUAGUUCUAUACAAUGUAUUGUAUAUUUAUACGGUAGUUCUUGUUAAAAAUAGAUGUUUUUUAAAUCGUUUGAUAAAAUCAAUGUAUAAAUGACAUUCUUUUUAUUUUAUUUUUUAAUGAUCAAUAUAAGAAAUUAAAUGAUUAAUCAAUAUAAUUAAUUAAAAUAAAUUAAUUUAUGUUCAUUUAUUGAAAACUUGAGUUCAAAAGAAUACUAAAUAAGGAAUAAUGAUUAACCUACAUAAUUUAUUAAGAGACGUAAAAUUUAAAAUAAUAAUGAUAUAUAAAUAAGAACGGAGGUAGUAUAUUAUAUCGAUAUCCUGCUAAAGCCAAAAGUCUUGCUAUCCAAAAAUUGAAACGAUCGAUGUGUAUUUGUUUUUUAAAUACAUGUACAUUGUACUUAUAUUGAAAUAUUUUCCCAAUUGGAUGAAUCUCAUCGAUCCACCUUUCUGCUUUCAUCGACUAAAAUAAUUGAAUCUAUUGUUUCCCAACUCACGUGGCGUACUUUGACUGAAAAAUACUUGUCUAUUUAUUUCUAGUUUUGAAUUUUGUAAAAAAAGAAAGAAAUUGGCAAUAGCAAAAACAAUUCAUUUCUAAAUAAUUAAAUUAGAGGGAUGAAUAUGAUCUUUCAAGCUUAAAUCAAAGUUAAUGAAAGAUAUAAACUUAAGCAUCUCCGUAUUAGUUGUUCCUGAUAUACUAUAAUAAAAAAAACUUUUAGCGACAUUAAAUAUUGACAUUAAUAAAAAGUGUUAUGUUCUUUAUCGGCAUUAGUUAACUGUCAUUACAACCAAUUUCACUAAAAGCUUUUAGGGACAUAUACAAAGAGCGCUAAGUGCCGCUAAAAAUACAUAUUUAGCGACAAUUAAGAAUUAAUUACCGCUAAUGAUCAUUUUUGAUACAGUGAUAAAAAUAUUUUACUAUACUACCUAUGUCUUUUUUUGCCUUUGGAACCAUUAUAUUAGGUUACAUUAUAUAUUUUUAAUAAAGAUAUUUCACAAUAAUAAUUAAAAAAUAUAUAUUAAACAGAUGACAAAAGAUUUGACUCUAUUAUAAUAAAAGUGUAGAUGAAAUAAUAUGAAUAUCUCAUAUAGCCGAUUAAUUGUUAUUGAUUUUUCCCUCCUUAAAAUUGAAUGAGAAGCAGUAGUGAUUACUAUUCCAACUGCAAUAACCAUUGCCAUGGCAGCCUUUAUCUUUUCCAACUUCCUUUUUUGUGCUUUUUGUUAGGUUGGUUCUUGGUGGGAGAAAGUUUAAAUUAUGGCUAUUAAAUAAUCCUUUUCUCUAUGUUACUGUUUCAACUUUCACCUAUUAAAUGGUAUGAAUAUGGAUGCAACAAUCUAAAUUUUCUACUUUACAAACUAGAUCACAAAAAUAUUAACUUUAUUUAACUUAUACAACAAACAUGUUCAAAUGGGCUAGGGGAAGACAUAAAGUCCAACAAUUGUUUCAUAUUUAAUUGAUAUAUAUGGGAAAAUACUGUUGAAAGUUUUUUCAAAUUUUGGCCGAAAUUGCUGUUAUGAUAUCAAAUUUUAUGGACACAUGCACUAUUUAAUAGUGUAUUUUAAAGAUAUGUGUAUCCACGUGGACAUGUUUCUAUUUAUGAUGCUCACGUGGACACAUUACUAUGUUGCAAUAUUUAUAAUGCCUAUGUGGACAACAUAUAUAUCUCUAAAAUACAUUAUUAAAUAGGUUCUUCAUAAAAUUUGAUAUUGUGACAACAAAAAUUGAAGUAUUUUUCAUACCUUAUUCCCUAUAUAUAACAAAAUAUAUUAAUACCCCCCUUUACUUUUAAUUUCUAUCCACACCUCCAUUAUUACACAUUUGACACUUAGUGGCUACUCUUGCUCUUGAAGCCUAUAUAACAACAAGGCACAUCAGUGUUAAACUCCCAACUAAAAGUCUUUCAAAUUCAAAAAAAUAAAGAAAUAACAGCAAGUUUCUUUGAAAACAAAAUAAAGAAAAUGGUGUCAAGAGUGGAAGAAGCAAUGAAAAUAAGGCAGCAACAGGAGGUGAAAAAUUACCAAGUACAGAAGCAAUUGAUGCAAUGCAACAAAGGAAAAACAAAUAAGUUCAAGAGGAGUAGUUCUAAUGUUGAAGAAGAUGGUGCUUCUUCUGCUAUUCUUUUGCUUGCUUGUAUUGCUUGUGCCACUUCCCAUCACCUAUAGAAUAAUUAAUCAUAGAUUAUCAUCACCUUGUUAACCAAAAUAUUAACUACAUGCAGUCGCUAAUAAUUAUCCGUCUCUGUUUCAUUUUAUAUAACACUCUUUUUGUUUUUUUAUCUGUCAAGAGUUCAAUGUAUGUUCCUUCUAGUCAUAUAAUAUAUAGAAGAUUAGUAGUAGCUCUUUUUGGCUAGAGAUAGAUUCAUGAUUUGAAUGUUAUAGGUUCGAAUUCAGGAUUCUAUCACAGUUAAUCUGGUUUAUUGGAUUCGAAAUUUAUAAUUUAUACUUGAUUAGUGAAUUUUCUAAGGCAUAUAUAAUUAGUUUGAGCCCCAAAAAAACGUGUCUUAUUGUUUGUUUCAGUUUUAUGUCUACCAAUAGAUGAAAUGAAGUAUUAGUGCGAGAAAACACCCUCCGUUUUAAUUUGUUUAUCUUUUUUUUUUUUUAUAUUCGUUUGAAAAAAGAACGUCUUUUCUCUUUAAUUGUCAAUAAUUUAAUUUCAACUUUUCAUGUGAUAUAUAUAAUACAACAAGAUUAAAUGACAUUUGGUAAUACCACAAGAUCCAAAAAUAUUCUCUGCUCUCUUAAAUUUCGUGUCAAGUCAAAAUCUAACAAACAAAUUGAAACGGAACGAUUAUAAUAACUAACAAAACACACACUUAUGCCAGAAAGGUUCAAAAUCCAAGUCUCUUUGAUUCUUGAAUCAUGGGAAAUAAUUAGCAAAAGCAAGAAUCUCCGGAUCAUUUUCAAAAAGGGGCAUGUCCUCUUCCAACAAAUUAACUUAUGCCUCAAUGCCAUCUCCAUCUUUAGUUCUCAUUAAUAUCACCAAAUUCUUGAAAGAUCUAAAAUUGGACUACAAAUCCAUUCAGGUUUUCCCCAUCCAAAAUCCACUUCAUAAACUGGAAAUCUGCACCAACAUGUAAAAUUGCACACUUGUACAUCUCCCUUUGAAAAAUUGUUUCCACUGAAUUAUCAUUCAUUCUCGACCUAUGUUGUUCAGACUCUUCAGAAUUACCGUCACGUGUGUGUUUGGUCUUUGAAAAGCUAUGCAUUUUUGGAGAAUCUGACACGGGUGCAACAACGACAUUCAUAUUUUUCACAUAAUUGGCAUUGAUAUUCCUAAUUGAUUUGUUCAUUUUUUUUCAACCAAUAUUGUUAUGUCAUUACUCAUUUCCGCUGCAUAUUGCUCUGUUUUUACCACUGCAGGGGCUAUAGCAACUGUCCAAUAAUUUCCAAAUGUGUGACUAGGGACUGGUGGUUGCAUCCUUGGCCUUAUGUUCACGGCAUGAACUGCUACACAAAUUUUCGCGUAUUUUGGCUUUGAUCUAUAAAGGGCGAGUAUGCGACUCCAUAUGAGAGAUGAAACUGCUUGGACUCGAGUUGGGACUCCACCUUUGUACAUUAUAUAUAAGCAGAGGUGGACCUACCUUUGUCAGUGGGGUGUGCGUGCAUUUGUUAACAUUGAAAAAAAUCAUGUGUACAAGGAAUUCAUCUGAAUUCAUUUUGUUAGAAAAUUACAUUAUAUAUAAGCAGAGGCAGACCCACCUUUGUCAGUGGAGUGCACGUGCAUAUGUUAACAUUGAAAAAAAUCAUGUGUACACAGUGACAUACCUAGGAUUUUCACAAAGUAGGGGAUUCAAACUUUUAUGUCUUUUUCACCACUAAGCCAAGGGUCACUCUUGUGUUAGUGAGAUCAAAAGUUAACAUAUACAUAUAAAAUUUUGAAAAUUGAUUAAAUAUACAUAUAUAUGCGGUGUUAUUUUUUAACGAACUAGGUUCAUAUGAACCCACUUGACCCUAUGUGGGCUCGCCCCUAUGUGUAUCUAUGUAUAUCUAUCUAUAAUUAACAGUGCGUCCAUGAGGAACAUAGUAACCUUCUUGUGUUGUUGAUACAAGGCGGAGGAACCACCCACGAGAUUAAGGUUUGAACCCAACUAGACGGUUAUUUCAUUAUUUUUAUUUUAAGUUUAGCUUAGAGAUCAUAUUUAGUGUACUCGAAGUUUUCAAAUCCUGAGUUUGCCUCUGUAUAUAAGGUAAAAUUAUAUUUAUGAAUAUAUAAGUUGUAGUUGAAUCCCUUAGUGAUUAGUGAAAAUCCUGGUCUCGCCACUGUCCAAUACCUCUACGUAGAAGACGAAGAAGUCAUACCUGAAUAAAUUGGCUUGAGCAGCUACAAUCACUUCCCUCUCAUAUGCUUUUUCCUUCUCAUUAGUGUUAAUACUUGUAUUAUUAAGGUAGAAAAGUAGCACAGGAAUGUAAAUGGGAGGAGAAUUUUGAUCAAUAGAAGAUAGAAUAUAGUUUCUUAUGUGAUUUGGUGUUGGACAUAAUGGUUUAAUUGUUUCCCUAGACACAACUUCAACACUAGUAGUAGUACUAAUCAUAACCAUUGUGGCUUAAUGUAUUAGCUAAUACUAUUAUUACUAAUUUGUUGUUGAAUCUUGAAAUUUAUGAGUUGAUCUAUAUACUAGUUACACAGAGACUGCAAGAGAAAAUUACUAGAAAAAUGUUAAUUCCAAUUUAUGACUAUGUCAAACUAAGUUAUCAAUAUGUAUAUGAACUUUGGCUUAUUUAUUUGGCUAUAUGUUAGUGAAUCUUGUCACUUUUUUCCUCUAGUAACUUUUAUAAAGAGCAUAUUGCAUUAGUGAAGUGGCAAGUGUAACCAAUGCUCUAAAGAAUAAUCAUCCAAAUAAUAAUUAAGAAUAAUUACCAAGAUGUAUGAUCCAAAUGCAAAAGAUAAAAUUAAGUUUUGAUGAAUAAAUCUGUUACGUAGCUUGUACGGGAAUAUGUAUGAUGAAAAUUGAAAUUACAUUUAUUCUGUGCAAGACUCUCACUGAUACCAUAAGACUAUAAAAUACUAAAAAGAUUUUUAACAUUCAAAUACAAAUCGACUCAAAUAGAUUGGUGCAUGUAGUUGUAAGAAGACAAUACAUAUUGUGGAUUAGGACUAUAAUAAUUGGAGCAUCUUCUCAUCCUUGACUACAAAUUCCAAAUUGAAAAAUAAAAUUUGUGCCUUUUUUGUUUCCAAGUAAAAUUUGCAUGCAAAUGAGAUUAACUUCUAAAAUUAAAGAGUACAAACUGUAAUUGUAUAACUUGAGGGUUUUUUUUGUUAUUUUAAAUAACUUGAGGAAUCAUUUUUGACAUUGAGAAAAAGUUUGAAGGCCUAGUUACGAUUAUGCUCACUUUCAUUUUCCACCUCCGCUGUUCUCUCUCUCACACACAUACUCUGGUUUACGAGCCACCGGCGCCGUCGUCGGAUCGUCGCCGGCAACCGUUAUUCUCCCAUUAAUUGGUCAGUUCCUCCUUCCAGAAGUGGAUCUAAUUCUACAUUUUGGAAUACUACUGUAUCCAUUGUUAUUUUCAUGGAUGCGGAUUCAAUAUAAAUUGAUAAAUUUAUAAGCUUUUCGACUAUGUUUUGUUAAUUUUUUUCUAAAGUAAGCUAAUUUUAUGCAGCCUACUGUUCCUGGAGAACUAGUGAGUACAAGUGACUUUGAAGGAUUUGAAAUUAUUUUCUGCUUAAGGUAUGCAUCUGAAGCACAAUGGGACUAUUGGCAAUUCAAUGCUAUUCUUCAAAUACUGUAUGAUGUGUAUUUCCUGUUUUUCAUCUGUUCAUAGAGAAAUGUGUUAGUUUGAGCAAUGUGUACUUAUAUGUAACUUUAGUAUACAAGAUGCAGCCAACAAUGUUGAUAGAUCUUUGGUGGUGGUGGUAGUAAUAUUGGAACCUCAAAUCAAAUUUAUUGAAAUGUAGAUAAUGUUAAAACAUCCUAGUGACAGCAUGCCUUCUCCACGGAUAUGCAAAUGUAAUAAAUAGGGGGUUUGAUAGUUAGGACUCCAAAUAUAGUGGACUUUCUGUAAAUGGCUGAAUUGCAUUUUCGCCUGAAGAGUAAUGCCAUUCUGUAUUAGCAUUGAAGGGAAAGCUGAUGUUUUAGAUCAUUCCAUUUUGUGCCCAGAUUUAAUAGUCGAGUAGGACUAGAAGCAUGAGUACAAGCUUGUAAUGAAGGACGACGUGAUCUUGCUCAAGAAGGUAAUGAGAUUAUUCGUGAGUCUUGCAAAUGGAUCCUGGAUUAGAGUUCAGAGCUACCAGCCCUUCCGAUUUUGUUGUGGCUAAAACAAAUGUAGUAUCACAAGAGGGGGAAGAAUCAGCGAAUUAUAGUUUAGCUGCUUAGGAAAUAGAGAAAACGGCCCUGGACAAAAAUAGCUUGAAUCGGUUAAAUUUUUAAGUCAGUUCAUUAGUGUAGUGUAAAUACUGAAAUAAAAGCAAUUUCUGGAAUCAUUGAGCAUAAAUGGAAUAAGAGAUCCAUUUUCUACAUGUUAUGAAGCACAUCCUCUAAGGACUGCGAUAUAACUCUAUAAGGAUGAUCGGCCGCUAGAUAAAGUGGUUGAUGCAUAUAGCAAAACUAUUGUUUCUGCAUAUGGUGGUAAAUAACUUUGGUUGAGAGGAUCAAGAGAUGUUUUGAGGGGAAGGGGGAGAACAUUUUGUUGCAAAAGAUAGAUGCAUCCAGAGUUCAUAUUUUGUGUAAUGCUAAUGAAAUGCUGGAUUAUCUGGUUUCCUUACAGCUUUAGAAGAUUGUAUCUAGCUUUGUUGUACUUUCUCGCGGUACCAGCUUGGUGUUGAGUUUAUAUUAAUAGUACCUUUACUUGUCAAAAAAGAAGAAAAAACAGCAGCUAGGUUAGCUUGCGUGAAGGGUAAACUAUUUUAAUUGUUGAUGGUUGAUUGAAACUUAUAGAAAUUUUCCCCCUUGCUCGUUUAUUAGAUUAAAAUGUCAAAUGAUGUGGAAGAUCCUGAAGGUGGAGAUGCCACAACGUCUUUGGAUCCUUCUUCACCGUCUCCCAGUGACCAACCAAGUUGGUAUAGUGGCUUACUUGAGCAGGCAUCCGUUUAUGGUAUAGCUGCAGGGUACUGUCUUUCAGCAUCAUUGCUCUCCAUCAUUAACAAGUGGGCCAUAAUGAAAUUUCCUUACCCCGGUGCACUAACUGCAUUGCAGUACUUCACAAGUGCAGCUGGAGUUCUCAUGUGUGGAUGGCUCAAGCUUAUAGAACCCGAUAAACUUGAUCUUCGAACAAUGUGGCGAUUCCUACCUGCAGCAAUUAUAUUCUAUCUAUCUCUUUUUACGAACAGUGAGCUUCUCCUCCAUGCCAAUGUUGAUACUUUUAUUGUCUUUAGAUCAGCAGUCCCCAUCUUUGUUGCAAUAGGAGAGACCCUCUACUUGCACCAGCCAUGGCCAGCAAUGAAAACGUGGUUGUCACUUGGUACGAUCUUUGCUGGUAGCGUGCUCUAUGUCAGUACAGAUUACCAGUUUACGCUUACAGCUUACAGCUGGGCGUUGGCCUACUUAGUGAGCAUGUCUAUUGAUUUUGUUUACAUCAAGCACGUGGUUAUGACAAUUGGUCUGAACACAUGGGGUCUUGUGCUGUACAACAAUCUUGAGGCUUUGUUGCUUUUUCCUAUAGAGCUCCUUAUCAUGGGUGAAUUGAAGAAGAUUAAGCAUGAAAUUGAGGAUGAGUCAGAUUGGCACAGCUUUCAAGUGGUGUUACCAGUAGCCCUAUCGUGUUUAUUUGGUUUAGCCAUCUCUUUCUUUGGAUUUUCUUGUCGUAGAGCAAUCUCUGCAACAGGAUUUACUGUUCUUGGCAUAGUUAAUAAACUUUUGACAGUGGUGAUAAAUCUAGUCAUAUGGGAUAAACACUCCAAACUUAUUGGAACAGUGGGGCUGUUGAUCUGCAUGUCUGGUGGUGUUAUGUACCAGCAGUCUACAAGCAACAAGCCCAAGGAUGUGAAAGAUGUAAAUCCGCAAGUAGCUGAGGAGGAGGAGGAACAACAGAAACUGCUUGAAAUGCAAAGCAACACUCAGAACAGUGACAGUCAGAAGCAAGAUACAGAAUCUGGUGACAGUAAACAAUAACUCGUUCUUGGAAAUUCCUUCUUCAUUCUUGCAUUCUAUAUACAAUUAUACUCUGCAUAGAAACCCUCCUCUUAAUUUAAAAGCCAGAUGGGGGUUACUUCUAGAUCAUUUUACUAGGAAACAGUUUUUGUGAAUGGAAAAAGCAAUUGUAGAGAUGUAAUUUAUUGUUUGGAUUUACCACAGCUUCAAACUCAACUGCCUCCUUCUACUUGACCAAAGCUGCAUAUUAUGUUGAUAUGUUUGCUCAGUAUAGUUUACAUUCCUUUUCAAGAAUUCUCCUCAUUUCAAAGGUGGGAAAUGGCAGAUGAAUAUUGAACUGCUCUCCCUAACUAUAUGUGUCCUUGUAAAAAUGAACUCCAUCUCAAUGUUCUUAACAGAAAAAGGAUGGCAAGAUAGGAUGUUUUGGGACCAUGGUGAAGAGGGGUUAACACCCAACAGAAGUACAGAAGAACUACAAAUUUAAUUCUGCAGUUUGACAUCAAGUGGAAAACUUGAAAAAAUAUCACGUAGUGAGCCGCUCUUAGACUCUUACUAUAAACCGGCCAACCAUGCUGGAAAUGAUACAAUGACAGUGCUUGUAUUUUUGCAUUACAUAUGCCGAACAAGUGAUUAAGCUCAAACCUCCAAAACUUAAAUGAAGAAUCAUAUAACUACGCUAAGGUAUUAUUCUACCAACCAAGGUUCUAGAGCUGCUGCCCAUGCACAUAAUUCACCUUCAUUAAACCAAAGACCUGCAGCAAGGAAACAUAAGGAAAAACACUAAUUAAAUGAGAAUCAAGGCCAACUUAAUUUUUUCUAGAAGAACAAACUAAAGUGUUCUGCUAAAGGUAGAUUUCAGCUUCAAUUGUGUGUGAGAGAAUUUCCAAGAACUACCACUCACUAUCAGCAUACAAAUCUUAUAGUAGAGGGCAAAAAACAACUAGGCUAUUUUCCUCCAUAUACACCUUGCAGAAUGGAUAGGCAGGAGACCAAUAAAUCACCAAUUCCUCAAUCACAAAUUAGUGAUUAGGCACAAGAGAAUAGACAAAAUGCUUAAUUAUCACUAUGGUGCUAAAAAUGAACACAAGUGUAUUCACAUUGGAGAAAAACUAUCUAGCAAAAGGCACUCAAAGCAAGACCUACAACUAUCAGUGUCUUUGGAGCUAGCUUUAAUAAUACUUAAACUUAUUUUUUCCGGGAGGGGGGAUAUCUAAAACAAGAAAAAUAAAAAGAACUCUUGCUGUUUCCUUUUGAUUUCUCUUAUAGGUACUACAACUGAACUUCUGUAAAGAUUCUACUGUAUGUCCAGCUAACAGCUCAAAGGCGGGUGACCAAACUUAGUAACAUGUGGGGGAAGUCACAUUAAGUUAAUUCUACAUGCUACUCAACUAGUUUUGCUAAAUUAGGAAAACCCUUACCUAUUUCACGCUUGCCAUUGUCGGGGCUAUCACUUCCAUGCACCACAUUUCUGCACAUAGAUUGCCAUCAAAAUCUUGUAAAUUUAUCAACAUCAAAAGCUUAUAGCACCAUGACUCAAUACUUGCUGAACAUGUACAAACAAAUAAAAUAACAAAUAUAUAUGGCCCUACCUUCCAGUUUGAACAGCAAGGUCUCCUCUAAUUGUGCCUGGUUCAGCAUUAAGAGGAUUAGUUGCUCCUAUUAGCUUUCGUGCUGAAGCAACAACACCAACACCCUCCCAAGCCUUGCCAAAAUAGAUACAAUUUACAAGAUUAGCAAAUAUACAGACUGUAGGAGACAUUAUACAGUUUAAAACUCAUGUUAUGCUGAUAUAUUUGAUUGGUUUGACCAAGUGAAUGACAGAAAUGAGAGUUAAAUGGGAAGAAUUUCUACCAUACAGACAACUGGACCAGAUGUAAUGUAGUCAAUCAGCUUGGGGAAGAAUGGCUUGGACUGUAGAUCCUUGUAAUGCUCCUGUAACAAUUGAAAACUUCUAAGCAACUAAACCACACGGCACAGUUAAUAGGAAUGAAUUGACUCGGAAAUCUUAAUUCUCUUUUGGUUGAUAAAGCAAAGAUAAUCGUAGUGCUGUUAAAAGAAAUACAAAAGAAUUCUCAACGAUAUAAAUAGAAGCAACUGCUAGUAAGAAGCUCCCUUGGCACCCAACUCCACCCACCCUUAAAGAUUUCUUCUGGUACAUAAACCUUCCAAUCCUUAACUAUUCCAUAAAUUAUUUGUUUUUCUAUUAGUUUCGUGUCUUGUAGUCCAAACAAAAUACAAAUUUUGAAAUUGAAUUCUGUCCAACUUUACAAAUUCCAAUCUUUAUGUAAGUCAACUGGAACCAAGACAAUCAUAUUGGUUCAUAGCAUUAGGGUAACCAGUGAAUUAAAUGAACCUCGUUAGAUAGAGGAAAAACUUUUGGACAUCUGAAAAAAAAAGCAGUUCAUGAAUCUCUUAGACAUUAAGAAAUACAUGUUUUCUUCCUUUUUUCUUUUUUCAGUGGGAGGUUGUGGGAACCCAGGGGGAGUAUGCUUGCAUGGAAAUGUCAACAACAACAUACCCCAUGGAAUCCCAAAAGUGGGGUCUGGGGAGUGGAAGCAGACCUUACCACUACCUCAUGGAGGUAGAGAGGUUUCUGAAAGACCCUCGGGCCUUGGCUCAAGUGUAGCAAGUGCACUUAGAAUCAGAAAACAUAGCAACUAACUAGGGGAGCAGUGCAAAUCCUACAAGAGAAGAACAAGAACACAAAGUAGUGCAUAGAAAUGUCAAUUGUUGAAAAAAAAAUUAUCGAGCUCAUGAAAGCAAACCUCCGCUAAUUCUUUGGGGCACUGAAAAAGCUUUAAUCCAGUUAGCUUAAACCCUUUUCUCUCAAAUCUGGAUAUAAUUUCUCCAACCUAUAACAAUUAAGGAAACACAUCUUCAAAAUUCAAACAGAAGAUCAAAAAACCUGGCCAAAACCAUAAAGUUAAAGUCUUUCUAAUAAUCCAAACUCAAAGAAAGAAGAAUAUACUGAAGCAUACAAGGCCUCUCUGAACACCAUCAGGCUUAAUCAUGAUAUAAGUCUGCUCCACUUCUUCCUGAAACACAAAAUCCCCAAAAACAGCCAAAAAUAAAAUCAAUCAAUCAAUCAGCAAACCUCAAUCCUAAAUCAGUUGAGGGCCUGCAAUACAGAAUCCUCUGUACCCAUUUGAAAAUUUAACAAAAAUUACACUUUUUCAACCCAAGUUGUAGGGACAGAAUUUAUAUGAAGAAAAGAGAAAGUGGGGUUGGGCAAAAUCUUCAAUGGGUAGUCAAGAAAUUGUUGUAAUCGAACUUCUUACCAUAGAAGCAACCAAAUGGGGUAAGAAUAUACGAGCUCUAAUUUGCCUUUUGGGGACAUUUGUUGAGAAAAGAUAAAAUGCUGGUUGCAAUGCAGCUAGGCUGUGCUUCUUGACGGAUUUUGGGGUAAGUCUGGAGGCCAAACAGGUUGUUUUGGAAGAGAUUCUACGAAGUGAAGAAGAAACACAAGGAGUUGCUCCAACUAUUGUAAGACCUUCCAUAUCUCCAAGAAGCUGAUGUUCCUCUCUUGAAUGUAACUUCUUAUCUAGUUUUAGAUUUGCUUUUUAUUUAUUAACCAGACACGUGACACAAAUAAAAUUUAGAGAUUUAAUUAAAUUAUAAUUUGAUUUUAAAUAUUUUAAGUUAUUAACUAUUGUAAUUUAGAGUAUUUUAUGUAAUUUUAAAUAAUAUAUAUUAUUUUCUUUUUCCAAUAUAUAUGACACAAAUAGAAUUUCAAGAAUCAAUAUAUUGUUAAUUAUUACAUAAAAUUACACAUGUGAAGCAGACAUACUGAUUGUCUCUUGUGUUGUUAAAAUGGAAUAACUAAAAUAUGAAUAAGAAAUGUAUUUACGUAUAUGAAAUGUCAAAAGCCUCAAAUCAAUAAAGAAGAUGAAAUUAAUCAACGACCUAUACCAAUUAAAAAACAAGUUUUCAAGGUGAAAAUCUCAUAAAUCAAUUAGUAGAUGUAGAGGUCUUCAAUUACCGAAAAUAUUACUUCAUCCGUUCACUAUUAAUUGUCAUACUUUCCAUUUUAAAGAAAAAUCAUAAAAAAAAAUUGACUAACAUUUUACAAUAUAUUUUUCAUCAUAUUGAUAUAUAAAAAAUUGCAAUAUAGUUUUGAGUAUCUAAAUAUUUUGGCUAAAGUAUCAAAUUAAUGUAAUCUAGUUUAACUAUAAAAAUUAAUCAAAUUGACUUUUGAAAAGCGUAACAUAACAAGUAAACGUAAACGGAUGAAAUAAUUGAUUUACGGAGAAAAAAAAACUGAAACCAAAACAGAAAAAAAAUAUAAUAUUGGUAAGGUUUGAACCCUAGAUCUUGGGAUUGAAAUAUGAAGUGCAAUCCAGUAGGCCAAAUAGUUAGAAAUAUAAAUAAGCGCAAGCAGACAUGUUGACUUUCAGCUAUGUGUUUAUUGUCACUUGUAUAUAAAUAGUAGAUAUAUUAUAUUAAAUUAAAUAAGAAAUAUAAUUUUGUAUUUAAUAUUAUAUUAAAGUCAGUUUAUUAGAAAAGUUUAUGCAACACAUAUUUAAGAUACAUAAGAGAACAUAUUCAAAGUGAAUAAUAUACAAGAAAGAAUUUAUAUAAGAGGUUGGGUCGUUAUAACAAAUAAGUGAAGGAUGAUAGUAACAAUAAAUCAAAUGAUUAUCAACAUGAAUUAGUGCAGUGGUGAUAUCGCUCACUUUUAACUAGAAAUCUCGAGUUUAAAUAUGCAAUAAUAAUAUAACUGUCAUUUAUUUGUUUCUGGCUUACUCUUUUGCUUGCAAAGAAGCUUCGACUAUUUUUAUUUUCAUCAAGGAUUAAUCUUAUGAUAUUCACCUAAUUAAUGAUAUAAGUAUUAACCUAGAUAAAUCUCAAAAAAGUGAGGAUAGUCUUGAAAUAAUACAUACGUAUCUAUUGUUCUUGAAUUAAUGUGGUUCGUGCAAUAUCCUAUUGUACAUUCAGAUUUAGUUAUAUAAUGUGUGGUCUGACAAAUUGUUCUAAUAAAAAAUAUAAAUAAGUGUGGCUCGAAUAUCAAUUUGAAAUGUGAAAUCUAUCUAACAAAAGUUUAAAUCAUCAAAGGGAAAAUAUUUUUAAUUAAUUAAUUAAUUAUUUUUUGUGAUUGAGAAAUUCAUAUGGGUUAACUCGUAAAAUUGAUUGUAGCCUUCGAAACAGGAUACUCCUUUCGUUUAAAAAAGAAUAAUCUCCUUUUAUUUUUAGUCUGAUUAAAAAAGAAUGACCUUUCAUUUUUUUGUAAUAAUUUUUCAUGUAACAUGUUUAAGACCACAAGAUUAAAAAACAUUUUCUAUAAUCGACAUAACUUUAAUUUAGGAUCACAUGAUCAAAAGUUCUUUUUUUUAAACUCUGUGUCAAAUCAAAUAAAUCAUUUUUUGUAAAACUAAAGGCAGUAAUAAUUAAUAACAUCCACAUUGAGAUAAUUUCAUUGAAACUAAUAGGUUUGAAUGAAAAAUUAAGAAUAUAUUUAGGGAAAAUUGUAUAUAAUAGCAAACUAAUAACCUAAAAUAAAUGAGUAACUGGGUUUACUUUAAUUGUGCUUCAUAGCAAACGUUUGCAAAAAAUUGUCAGGCGCCUCUCUCUCAAAUAUCUCGCUCGUCACUCUCCUCCAAUCUCUCGCUCGCUUUCUCACUUUUUAUACAAACACAAGUGUAUAAAAAUUGUUUCUAAUUGUAUAAAGCAGAGAAAAUUGUAUAAAUACAUAUAUUUUUUCCCGUCUCUCUCCUCUUCCAGAUCUCGCUCACCACUCACCCAAAUCUCGCUCGCCACUCACCAAAUCUCGCUCGCCACCCUAGCCUUUCUCACUUAUACAAACAAAAACGAAAUGUAUAAAUUGUGUUUCUGUUUGUAUAAAGCGUGAGAAAAUUGUAUAUACACAUGCAAGUACAUAUAUUUUCGUCCUAUACACUUAUAAUUAUACAAUAAAAAUAUUUCCCUGCCCAGUUUCUUUGCCUUUUUCUCUUUCUCGUUUUAUACAAUUUUCAAAUUGUAUCUAGUUUCUCUUUUUCUUGUUUUAUACAAUUCGAUUCAAUUGUAUAGUCCUUGUCAAGUCUCUUUUGUCUUUCUCUCUUUCUUAUUUUAUACAAAUUCAAAUUGUAUAUAAUCGUUCUAUACACUUAUAAUCAUACAAUUCGUUUUUAUACAGUUAUCUGUCCAAGUGUCUUUCUCUUUCUUGUUUUAUACAUUUCAUUUUAAACAAUUUGUUUCAACUGUAUACGUAUAGCGAAUUAUACAGUUUCCAUGUUUGCUAUGGAGCGCAAUUAUGCAAACUUUGCUAUAGCAUACAUAUAUAAUUUUUUAAUUGCUAUAUGUGAAAGUUACCCAUAAAUUUAUCAUGAAGGAUGUGUGUUCGGAUUUAAGCCCAAGAGAAGAAAAUUGGACCAUGAAGCUCAAAAGAAAGCCCAAAAAGUUGAAUUGUCCAAAUUACAGUUUUCUAGUUAGAAAUUCUAUAUUUUAAAGUUCCGUAGUUUGAAAUAUUCUUUUUACUCAAACGUCGUAGUUAUUAUUUCGUAAUAAAAGUAUAUUUGAAUUUAAUUUUUCUUAAAUUGAUUUUUUGAAAUGAAUAUUGUUAUUUUAGACAAGACAAUAAUCAAUAUUAAUAUUUGAGAUGUUUUUUUUCUUUACAUUUAUGUGAGUGGCGACUAUGAAUUUUAUCUCUUCAAGAGGUUAAGAGACAGUUUGAAUUAACUUAAAAGUUGAUAAAAAUUGAAAGUCAUUUUUAACUUUUAGAAAUGUUUGACAAGGUUAAAAAUGAUUUUAGAAAUGUUAAAAAUCAAAAGUAAAUAUCCCCUACUUUUUAUUUUUGACUUAAAAAUAAAGUUUGACUUUUUAUUUUUUAAAUUAAAAACUACUUUUUUAAGUCAAUCCAAAUAGACUCUAAUUUUUUCACGUAAAUUAAAGAUGAUGAUUAUUCUUAUACUAAAUUUUGUCUGAAAUUUCUUUGAAAUAAGAGUCUAAAUCAUUUUUUAUCUAAGUUUUUGAAUUGAUUCUAUUAGUAUCAUUAUUAGUUUUAACUCAUUAAUUUUGAAUACUAAAGUUAAUUAGAAUUCUCAGCACUUCUCUUUAAAUUGGGAGAUUUAAUUUCCAAAUUUCACAUGUCUUUCAAUUUCUAUCUUCAAUCUUUAUAAUUUUAUUUUCGCAUUAUUUUAUUAGUUAUCAAUAACAGUGGCACCUCUAUAUCCUUCUCUAUUUAAAUGUCGAUACAAGGUGUAGUUUACAUGACGCAAGUCUCAAACAUGUGACGUAAGUCAUAAGUUUUUCAAAAUUUAUCACUUGAACUAAGCUUCAAAACUUAAUUGACUAAUUAAUUAUAUUUUGCGUCAACAAGAUCUCCAAUGAUUAUUUUCUAUUUAUAUAACAAAAAUUAUUUCCCAAUUCUCAAAUGUGAAUAAUAUAAUUUGAUUAGUUUUAUCUUUAAAUUUGAAAUUCAAACUUUAAAAUUAUGAUUGUGGAUUUCAAUAUCAAAAGUAAAUUUUUAAAAAUAAAAUCUACAUAUUUAAAAUCACAGAAAAAUUAUAAUAAAUCACAUUAACAAUCGAAAAAAUCUUUAAAAGACACAUAAAGAAAGUUUGAUAGAAAAAAUGGUUGGACUCUUUAAACGCUAAAAAAUUAUUAUAUUUUUUAAUCAAAAUAAACAUUAUAUUCAUAAAGGAAUUUAAAAAUAAAGUUUCAUAAUUUAGAUUAGAUUUUUUAAAUUCAAAUUUUAUUUUCAUUUAUUUUAUUUUUUACACGUAUUCUAUCUGUUUUAUUAUUAUCCCUUUUGAUGAACUAUACAACCAUGAUAUAUAAUAUUAUUUAAAUUAAAAUAGAAAUAAGUCUAGCUCUGGUAUCAAAUUAAAAUAUGUAAUAUAUAUCAUUUGAAAGCUUUAUUGUUAAAAUUUGACAAUUUUAAUUUAAUUAUUUAUUAUGAUCAAAAAAUUCAUAUAUGAUCAACCCUUAAUAUUGACACGAUUAAAGUUGAGAAUAACAUAUUUCAUCAUUUUGAUCUUUUUGAUUUAAAUGUCAAUGCAAUGUUCAAUUUAUAUUGUGCUAGUCUCAAACUUGUGAUCUAAGAGCAUGCUUGGAUUGUCUUAAAAAACAACUUUUUAAAGUGCUGAUAUUUUUUUUAAAAAAUAAGUAGUUAUGUGUUUAGAUAAAAGUUCAUCAGUUGAAAAAAAUUUGAUGAUGUGUUUGACAAAAAUUAUAUCUUAACUGAAUGAAGGAAACAUAUCGAUGUCUUUGAAACUUCAAAAGCUGGCUAGCAAAGUAAAAAGUAACUUUUGAAUUUUCCAAUUUCAAUUUGGAAACAUAUUUAGAAAAAAAACAAUUUAGCUUGAUGUACAAACCUUCUAUUUUCUUUUGCUUUGAUUAAUUAAUAAAAUAGUCAAUGGGACAUAGAUAGACUGACCUUAAUUAAAAAAAUAAUAAUACUCGAUAUUAAUCACUUUUUCUUAAUCAAAAUAUGUCAAAUACCUUUAAAGUUGUUAACAUAACAAAAAUUGAUUAGUUUAAUGCUUUUUAUUUUUUUAAAAAAAUUAAAAUAAAAUUAAUUUAUAUUUUAAAUGUUAUCAAAGAAAUUAGAAAUUGAAAAAAAAAAUUGAGAUAACUUUCACCCUUCACGUUGUCGUUGGAAUAGUCACGUCGAUGGUACAGUCACGCUAUUGAAACAGUGGAUAACUUUAUGCUUCGAAAAGUUUAAACAGUCGCACAUAGUGAAGAUGAAAUUAAAGGAUAGAGAGGUUAGAAUUUUAAUUCAACAUGGGCAAUUUAGGAGUUGUUUAAAAGAAUAUAAUUAAGAGUAAAAAAAUAAUAUACUUGGUCAAAGUAGAAUAACUUUUAAAUGACAUUUGAAAUGAAGUAACCACGGAAAACAAGAAAAACUCAAUUACUCUUAUUUUUCUUCUUCAAAAAGAAAAGUAGAGACAGUUACACAUGAGACAAUCAGUAUUUGGAUGGUAACAUUGUUUCUAGGGCUACCAAUACAACUAUUAUGAAUAAAUUAAGUUGUUUUAAAUAAGUAUUUCCUUUACAAUAUUAAAAAAUGUCUAACAAUUUCAGAUACAUACAUUUAAUUAAAAAUUUGUUUAUGAUAAACCCAUUUGAAUUUAAAAAUUUGAAUUUUUAAACCUUGUUCGUAAAUUCAAAUAUAGAAAAAAAAUAUUUUAAAUUCUUUUUUUUUUUGCAUAUUUGAAAAAUGAUGCAAAAAAUACUACAGAUCAUGAUAAUAAUAAGUUAAUCGUAAGUAGACAUGUAAAGAAAUUUCAGUCAAAAAAACUUUAAUCGACUCUUAAAUUUUUUACUAUGAUACUGUUUUAUAUUUUUUUCCUUAAAAUGAAUGCCUUAUUACUAUAUUAUAUUUAGAUUUCAAAAUCACUUUUAUUAUUUAAUCAUUUAGCUUAAAAUCAAGUGCGUCAACAUUUUUAAAAAUAAUUUUAAAUUAUUUUAACUUAAAAUUACUUAAGAUAAAUCAAUUUAAACACUCUUAAAAGUAAAGUUUCAGAUAAAAAAUUAUUUGAAUUGUCCUAAUUUUUAUUUUUUCCCUUUAUUUUCUCACACCGUCAGCGCCUAUCUAUCUAUUACCCUUUUCAAGAAAUCAAUAAAUACUAGCUAACCAAAACCAACAAAGAACCAAAACUUCAGUUUAUUUUACCCUAGUACUCUUUUUCUCUCAAACACAAAAAAAUGGUAUCGCCAAAGAAAAGUUCAGGCUCUCGACCGCCUACCGAAAACAAGAAGUCAUCAUCAUCGCCCUGCGAUAAAUCUCCUCCUUCGCAACGUCCAAAGGUUCGCACAAACUAAUUUUCAUACAUUUUUUUAGUGUUUUUGGGAACGGUUGAUAUAUAUAUAUAUAUAUAUAUAUAUGAGUUGGUGUCAACUGAUCUUUUUUAGGCAAAUGAUGACAAUGUGGAUCCGUUUAACAAAUCAAUGUCGCCAUCGCAGACGGCAAAAUUCGGCGGCAACAAUUCAACCGGAAAAGUUGAUGGUGCGACUAUUGGAAAAACAAUCAUGAUCACCGAAAAAGCUAUGACACCUGUCACACAAGGCAAGCGUUUUAUUUACUCAAUUCAUCCAUUUUAUUUAUCCGUGUAUAAAUGCUUUUGUGGACUUUAAAUUGUUUUUUUAGUGGGUGUUGAUUGAAUGUUCAUUUAUUUUUAUUAAUUAUUUUAAUUUAAAGUCAAGUGUUUAUAAAUAUUUUUUUAAUUAAUCAAAACAUUUUCAAAUUGCUUAAAAUACUUUUGUUUUAAAACAUUUAAAAUAGGUCAGUAAACUUUUAAACUUUUGAUUUAUGAUUUAUAACCUAAAAAUCUAUAUGUCUAAAAUUCUUAAAUAUAAAUUUUGAUUGUUUUUAUCAUUUAACAUAAAAAUCAAAUAUUUUUGAGCAUUUUUUCUUUAUUUGUCCAAACACUCUAAGUUUGUUUUAAAAUUAUUUUAACUUAAAAAUACUACAAAUUAAUCGAUCUAAAUAACCUUCAAGUCUGUUUUAAUAUAUUAAAAGAAAAUUAGUAAAUAAGCAAUAAAUUAACGCGAACAAAUAAAAUGUGUAAAUGUACGCGUGUAGUUUAUUUAUCUUUUUUUUUUUCGUUGAGAAGUUCACUGUUUUAGAGUAUUUUUGAUACUAAUAUUGGAUGCACGUUUCACUCAGGUGCUGGAACGAAGAAACCUUGGUGUAGACUUAUAUCAGAAUUUCCACAGGUUUUUUAUUAAUAGUAUUUUUUGUAUAUUAAUUUUAAAUUUUGGUUAAUUUGAAUUCACAACUCUAGAAUUUCAUUUGAGAAAAAACGUAUUAAAGAUAUUUUUAUUGUCAUUACUUGAACUUGAAAUCUCAAAUUAAAAAAGAAACAAUUUUAUCCACUAUACCACGUCGUUAGUUCUUUUAACUAAUUUUGUUGUUAGAAUUUUGUUUCAUACAAUGUGCACACAUCACAAAACUUUUAUUUUAAUAUCUAACCGAAUGUAAAUACAUUGCAGAACCCAUCUAUUGAGAUUUCUGAGUCACGUUUCAUGGCCGGUGCGAGCAAAAAGCUUUCUGAAAAUGCAAUGGAUUGUGUAAUAAGACGGGGAGCGGUAAUACUCUAAUUUUGAUUCUCUUUUUAUUACGUGAUUUAAAUUUUUUGGUGGUUCAAAGACAAAAAUAUACUAAAAAAUUUAAAUUUUUAAAUAAUAAUUAAUUAAAGUAUAUUUUCUAUGCGAAGUUGAUGAUAUAUUGUUAUAAAGUUAUUUCGGAGAUGCAAAAUUAUGUCUUAAUUUUUGCAUACAAUUUUUUACUAUUAUGAUAAAAUAAAAGUUUCCCUAUUUUAAUUUGUUUAUUUAAUUUUACUUUAUACAAAACUUUAAAAUGUGAAGAAACUUUUUGAAGUUGUAGCAUCAAAUCAGCUUUCCGUACACUUUAUUUUAUUAAAAAAUACAUAUUUAUAAUGAAUUUUAUUGUUGCUACUCUCAAAAUUUUGGGGGCCUUAAACGCAGAGCCACCCUUCGGCUUUACCUUCCUCACUAAAUUUGCUCAACAGUUAGGGCCAUCGGAAAAUUGAACUUGUAAAGCUACCGGAAAAUUGAACAAACUUCUUCCUGAGAGGUUACCGGAGAUGUAAUUAGUUGGCAUUUGUUUGAUUGUAUUGUGAGAUAGAGAUGAAAUUUAUAUUGUUUGUGUAAAUUAUCAGUACCAAAACAAUUGGGUUCCUAUUAUUGAGAGGAAGGCAAGCAGAGAAUCUGUGCAAGUCAAUGGGCAUAGGCUCGAUAAGAAUACCAGUGGCCUUCUCAAUUCUGGAGAUGAGAUCGUCUUCGGUCCAUGGGGAAGAUAUGCCUAUGUAUCCUUUACUAUAGUGAUUCUGAUACUAUUUCUCAUCAUUAUGCUUUAAUAUCCUUGACUUGUUCUAUAUAGAUUUUUCAGCAACUGUUGUUUUCACCUCCAAUUGUUGACAGUAGCAAUGCUGCUGAUGUUGGAUCGUCUAGCCAGUUCCUCCGUUUUGAUGGGAAGCUGGUAAAGUAUUUCUUUUGGUCUUUGAGUUCAUAGGCUGAUCCAUGUGAUAACUCCAUGAAUGGAGAUUGAGGGCUUAGUGUACUACAGGGAGAAAAGAGAAAGUAGAAAGCAUAUCAUUUAUCUCAAUCAAAAUUACUGUUACAUUGCAUUCUCUUGUAUGUGUAUUGCAUUCACUAAGCACAAUAUAUAUAAACAUUGGGAUUCUAACACAUUUCCUAACUGAAUAUAAGUCCUAACUAACAUGCUGACUGAAUAUUGGAAUAUGGACCUUAUUAACUCAUACAUAUAGCUUGUAACCACCUACACUGGUCAACACCAUGAUAGAACUAAAGAAAGUAUUUGUUAACAGAUGUUGGAGGAAAAAAGGUUGACCGAGGAAUCAAUACAUGCUUCAACAUCAUCAAGGAUGUCUUCAAUAGCUUCUGUAUUUACAGAAAAGAUUCAGGCAACAAUCAUUGAUGGCAAAGAUAUAGAAGUGUCAUUUGAUGACUUCCCUUAUUACUUAAGGUAUGACUCAAGACCCCACAGCAUAAUCCAAUUACCCUGUGCUUUUUGCUUGUGAUUUGAUCUUUGUUCUUGAUGCUUGUAGCUAUCCCCUCGAAUGUAGCUAUGUAAUUUAAAUAAACCUUAGUUUUGGUGAAGAUGUCUAUAUCUGUGAAUUUGCAGUGAGACCACAAAAGCUAUGCUGAUUGCUGAUACAUAUAUACACCUUAAGCAUAAAGAGCAACUUAAGUAUGUCUCUGAGCUUCCUGCGGUCAACUCAAGAAUUUUGCUUUCUGGUCCAGCAGGUUCGUUGCUUUCUCAGUAAUUAUUUAAAUUAUUUUGUCUCUUGUAAUUAUUUUUGAUUUCUCUCACCAAGUGCUUGGUAGAUAUUAAUCUAUGCGUACUGACCAGUUUUGCUUUUGUUUUCAAGGAACUGAAAUAUAUCAGGAGAUGCUGGUGAAGGCACUUGCUCGUUAUUAUGGAGCUAAAUUGCUCAUUUUUGAUAGUGAUGCUUUUUUGAAUGUAAGAACAAAUUACUCAUUAUGUUAUCGACGAACAUUGCAAAAUUACACCUUAAUUUUUUUUUCCGCUCUUGAUCCCCUUGAAGUCCUACUAGUAGUCACCUUGCAUUUAAGACCUUGUUGCAUAUUUCUGUAAUAGUGCUCUUUGGUUAUUUGCCGCUCUUUUGAGUUAUAAAGGGAAAAGACCUGUGAAGGUGCUAUAGACAUAUUGAGGAUGUAAGGAGAGUAGUCACAUGCAGCUUGUGAAAGCUUCUUUUCAUGUUGUGUGUGUGUUUUGUGGGGUUGGGUUGCGGUUGGACUAUUAAAAACUUCAUGUCAGUUUCUGGACUUUGUUAUUCUCUUGGUCAGCUGCAAAUCAUGAAUAUAUUUCCAUAUCAUUCAGGGGCUAUCUUUGAAGGAAGCUGAGCCAAUGAAAGAGGCAUGUAGUGCACACAAAUCCUCUUCAUCCGGGGCAUCAAAUGUAUUUAGGACAGGUUUGUCUGCCCUUUGGUUAUUAAGGAAUUAUAUCUUUCUUCUUCAGCUUUUUCUUUUUUUUACUAAUAACUGAUGUUGAAGAUGUUUAGGUGAUAGAGUCAAAUAUAUUGGCUCUGCUCCUGGUGAACUGCACUUGAGUCCCAUCAGGUAAAAUUCAAUUUUCCUAGAAACCUCAAUACCAACUCAUUUGUACUCAAAAUGAUCUGUAUCUUCUUAUAUUUUAACAAAUUUCUGAUGUUAUUUUUUGAUGGUCUGUUUGUAAUCUUUUCUCAAUGCUAUCAAUGAAACUAUUUUAUCCAAAAAAAAAGAAGAAUCAUUCUUGAUGCACAUGAAAGUAACUAUAUGGUUUAAGGAUAAUCAGAGUGAGAGAGGAGUAUUUAUUGACUUCUUUUUUGAUUUGUUUUAUUUAUAAAGUAAAGACAUUUUUGCUUUUCUGCAUUUUCUAGAAAGUGAUUUGUUCUUUAUCUCUUGUACCACAUUUUGUUCUGCAACUGCCCAUUUUAUGUUUUAGUACAAUGUGAGGCUUUAACCUUCUCUGUCUUGUUCCAUUGUUCCAGGAGUGUAAAAGUUGGGUCUACAGGGAGUGUUGCAUUGUCUUUUAAUGAUAAUCUAUUCGCAAAAGUUGGUGUAAGAUUUGAUAACCCCUUCACAUAUGGCAUCGACUUAGGUGGUCUUUGUGAUGAUUCUCAUGGAUACUUCUGCAAAGGUACUUUUGGAACACAUUUAACUAUUUUCCUUUAGUUUAUUAAGUUAAACAUUCUUCAGUUUGCAGUCUUAAUUUUACUUUCAAUUCCUUUUAUUAUUCUUCCUCUAGUGAGUGAGCUGUGCUUAGACGCCCCUGCUGUGGAGGAUCCGGACAAGUUACUCACUAAUACAUUGUUUGAGGUGUGAAUUCUUUCUAUGAAUAUGAACAGUGCAAUGUGGAAUUUCUGUUCCUUCCUUUUUUGGGUUAAACUUUACUCUUUACAUUUCAUUAUACUUUUUAGGUUGUAUUCAAUGAGAGCCGGAAGUCGCCAUUCAUUUUGUUCAUGAAAGAUGCUGACAAAGUAAUGGCAGGAAACUCAAAAUUAUCUUCAACAUUCAGAAGUCGGCUUGAGAAACUUCCUGAUAAUGUUAGUACUAUUGGUUCACACGCUCAUACAGAUAAUCACAAGGAUAAGGUACUAUUUGAGAUCAUAUUGCCCACGAAUAUAUGCAUGUAAUUAUAUUUAUUCCUGUUAUAUAAUGUGUAUACAGUGUAUUAACAGGCCUGCUAUGAUAUUUCUUAUGGAUUAUAUUUCUUGGCUAUAGUAGUUAUUCUUGUUAGACUGAGGCUUGAUCAAGAGAAUGGGAGGUGAAUCCUAUUACAAAAAAAAGUUUAAAAGACCAUCUUCGAAGCACAAAAGAGACAUUAGUCCUGCUAUAUAUAUAAAUGCAUGCAAGAACAUGCAACAUACACACACUACACAGUGCGGCACACUCUCUCUUUCGUGUGUGUAUAUAUAUAUAUACACACAAUAAAUAUGGCCUCAACGGCCGUAUACAAGAGAUGUACCGAAAAGUAGACAAUUUACAAAAUUAUAUGAUUCUCUACAGACUCCAUCCAAUCAUCUAUUCGACUAGAAACUUUCUGAGUACACCAAAAGAAAUAUGAGAACAAUGACUACUACACCUUCAAAAGCUCUCCUGUUUUUCUCUCUACAAACAACCUACAUUAGCGCUAGUGGAAUCGUAUUCCAAUCCCUUCAUCUUCUCUUUCUUAUGCUUUUCCAACUGAACAUCAACUCUCUCACAUUGUUUGACAUUGCCUAAGAUGUGUGAAACCACCCAAGCAUAUCCCUAUAUAUACAUAAACAUGGUCUCAGUGGCUGUAUACAAGAGAUGUACCUAAGAGUAGAGAAUUCACAAAAUGAUAUGAUUCUCUAAAAACUCCACCCAAUCAUCUAUUCAACAAGAAACUUUCUGAGUGCACCAAAAGAAAAUAAGAGAAAAAAGACUACUAAACCUUCAAAAGCUCUCAUGUUUCUCUCUCUCCAAACAACCAACAUUAGCGCUAGUGGAAUCGUACUCCAAUCCCUUCAUCUUCUCCUUCUCAUGCUCUUCCAACUGAACAUCAACUCUCUCACAGGGUCUGACAUUGUCUUAGAAGUGCGAAACCACCCAAGCAACACCAUAACAUCAAUGUCAAUCAAAAAUCCUACAUCUUGGAAAAUUUAGGAUUUGAAAUCAGGAUACAAAUCGCAUGUCCAAAAACAUCCCAAAUUGCCAUGUUUAAAAACAUCCCAAUUUGCAUGUCCAAAUGCCUAUUAAAUCUCUAGUGUUGAAUUAAAGCCAAACCCGGUAUUAACCACAAUAGAAAGAAAAUAAUGUGAAAAUAAUUUAGGAAAUCGAACAUUUGUGCAACAUUCUUUCAUAAUCAUAAAUGAGGUCUCUUUAUGUGAUCUUCAACAAUCCUUUCCUCAUUAGUUAAGUUUUGUGGUUGAGUUAGGCCCAUGAUGAUGUAACAUGGUAUCAAAGUUAGGCCUAUCCCAAUUAUUAUUUAUCGAUGUUAGGUCCCCAUUUAUAUUGUUCAUGCUCGAGAUGCCCAGUCUUGGCGCGGGGGUGGAGAUCGACAUCUUCUCAUUUAAAGAUGGCAUGUAUCUUAAUAUAUAUAUAUAUAUAUAUAUAAAAUCACUUGAUUUCAAUUUGUUUGUCUGGGGGUUUUAAGGAAGUAAAAAAAAACUUUUGAAUUAAAGAUAUGUAGAAUUUAACAAAAUGCCUUUAAUCUUGUAUUCUUAAACAUGCAUGUGAAUAGGUAAGAAUUAAAAAGUGGUCAAAAAGGGAAAGAUGCAUUAUCUUGUAACAGACUCAAAAGGAUAGUAAGGUGAUUAAAUUGAAAGGAGGCCAAAUAUUCUAUAAAUAGAUUCAAGCACAAUGUUUUUUAAAAUGCCCAAAUGCAGCAAAAGAUAGUGAAUCAUGUAACUGUGAUUUAUUUGGUAAAUAAUUAGUACUCUUAUCUUGAAUACCAUACUGAAUGAUCAAAUGAUGUUCGAUUGUUCUGGUUGCUUAUGUUAAUCUGCCAUAAUAGCCAACCCAACCAUAUAAAUAUGGACCGACAAUACUAAACCAUAAAUAUAGUUGGCGUCUUGACGAAGUCAUGCAUUAAUUUUUGAGAAAAUGCUAUAACUGAACUUCUAGAGAUAGGAAUAAGAAAUUAGAAAUUUAGUAUAAGAUAUUUGCCACGGAAAACUUUAGGUUACAUCUUUCCAUUCAAAUCAGAAAUUUGAAAUGAACUUUGAAUUUAGUUGGCUUCAUUUCUGUCUCAUAUUUGGCUUAGUCAUAGUUUUUCUAUCCUUUUCAAAUUUCAAGUAAUUAUUGUUUAUGUUUAUCAAUACAUUUCUAUUUUUUUUAAAAAAUUUUCAUCAUUAGUGCUAUUCUUCGUUAAAGCCUAUUCUUUAAUUGCAUCAUGCAGUUAAAGCAACAGUACUAGGGCUUUUUCUAGCUCCUUUCGCUUUUGACUACUCGAAGUUUGUUCAAACUGACCACAUAUCAAGCCAUGAUUUUGUAAUUUUUCCUUCAUCCUCUACUGUGGUGUUGAUAUGUUUGGAGAGUUUUCUGACCGUUCUAACAUUUUCUCUGUUCACAAGUGUAGUUAUGGCUCCUGAAACCCACCCUCCUUCCUUUUUCUCUGUGUCUCAUUUUCUUAUUCUUUAUCGUCUUCAUUUGAGGUGUGUUUCUGCUUCGUCAACUUUAGUAUUGCUUACAUUUAUUAAAAAAAAAUUAUCCUAUUGAAAGUGUUUACAUUGGAAAACCAUGGGUCUGUCGACUCUGAUCUUGCACAGUGCCCUUUCCUCCUGCUGAAUUUGCGUUUCUGCUGUAUUACCCUUGAAUGAACACUGCUGCCAUAUGGCAAGUGAAUAGUCUUUUUCAACUCUCAGUUGCUUAUAGUACUGAAUUUUGAUGAGUUCAGGAUAGUCCUGAGAAGACACAUGACAAAGGGAAAGAGGUUGCAAAGAAUUCAAAAUUUCUGACAGAACUUUUCCCGAAUAUAGUGGCUAUUCACAUGCCGCAGGUCUGUUGUUUAAAUUCUAUAGAAUUUUAUAUGAUCUUAUUCUUGAUUCAGCAAAUUACUGAGUGGUUUUGAGUAUUGCAGGAUGAAGCACUUUUAUCUAUUUGGAAACAACAACUGGAUAAAGACGCCGAUGCCCUCAAAGUGAAAGAAAUUUUUAAUAGCUUACAAACAGUACGGCUUUCUGACCUUCAAAGUUAUGAGUGCCUUGGAUAUAGUUUUAACCUUACAUUUGUGACUCCCCUCAGAUGUUUAUUUGACUUCUCUUGCAUUCUUAUGGAAGUGCAGAAUUAAUUGAGAUAGAAGAUUUGGAAUGAAUAUUUAUUUUACUCUAUGUUGGUUCAUUAUACAUGUAGCACCUAGAACUCGGUUGAAAUCCCCUUCUCCUUUAGUUCUCCUGAGUUAAGCAAGGUUGCCUUGCUACCAGCCAGGCAAACCAAACUUCAUAUGGAGCCUUGACUUUCCGAAUAUGUUUCCAACAAUAAGCUGACCUUAAAGUAAAAUAUUCUUACUGUAGCCUUUCCAUGUUAAUUUUUCUUCACGGUCUGUUUGUGUCCUGGAACACCUCCAUCUGCUGCAGAAGUUGAGCAACUCUGUCAAUUUCUCAGUCAUUUUGUAGCCUCCUGAAACUGAAAUUCCACCCCUGUUGACUCGAUAAAUCUGCUCUAUUGUCCUGAUUUCCUCAAUAAUAAUGUCAAUGGAUGUAUUUCCAACAUUCUAAAGCUAGAGUUGGUGCUCUCUGAUAUUCUUUUUUAAAAAAUUGUGUGAGCAAGUUGAAAGCUUUAUUUCUUAAUUAAAUAGAUUAAUCAUUUGAAUUCUAUCUUGAACUACUUUCUAUAUGAUGGUUGCUCUUUUAUAGGUUCUGAGUCGGACUGGAUUGGAAUGUAAUGGACUCGAGACAUUGUGCAUCAAGGACCAGAAUUUCUCUGUCGAAAGUAAGAUUUUUCUUUCACUGUUUUGCCUUUUCUCUUUGAUUUUCCUUUCUCUUUCCGUUGUUUUGGGGUUGGGGGUAGAGGGGUGUGUGAGCUACAUUAGAUUCCCACUAGUAUAUCACCACCGUGUUGUUUAAAUCCUUAAUAAUCCCUACCACAUCCGUAUCGGCACGACAUGGGUGUGGGUGUAUGGACUAUGACAGCAGUAGUAGUUACACAGGAUUAAGAUGAAUUGCAUUAUCACUUUUAGCUAUUGGUGCAGUUCUGAGUGUGUAGAUGAUCCUAUAGCUAUUCUAGAUAUCCUAGGUUCUUUGUAAGAUGAAGUAGGAUCUAGUUUAGUUUUGUUUUGAGUACACUAACUGUAUGUAGCUUUAUGAUGUAAAUUUGGGAUCCCCAGCCUUUAGUGCUGAAGAUUAAUACACAAAACUGUUACCUUUUUUGUGGUGCUUGAAGGUGUAGAGAAGGUUUUUGGAUGGGCAUUGAGCCAUCACUUGAUGCAGAACUCUCAAGCGGAUCCUGACAUGAAACUUGUUUUAUCUCCUGAGAGGUAAUGGGUAUAGCAGCAGCUGAUAUUCCUAUCCAUGGUUCGUUUGACUGUCAUAAUUUGUGAAUUGAACAACUGUGGAAAUCUUUUGCUAUUUAACAGCAUUCAGUAUGGGUUGGAAAUUUUACAAGCCAAGCAAAAUAACACCAAGAGCUUGAAGAAGUCACUUAAGGUGAUUAUAAUAUCCCUUAUAUGAUGCUUUGCUAAAUUUGUUUGUUAGUAGAAGCUGCUUAAUGCUAUUGGAGAUAUUUACUUAUGAACUCAUGAACAAAUUUGUGUCCAAACCCAGGAUGUUGCGACAGAAAAUGAAUUUGAGAACAGGAUUCUAGAUGAUGUUAUCCUGCCUGGUGAUAUUGGGGUGACAUUUGAUGAUAUUGGUGCACUUGAAAAUGUCAAGGAUACAAUAAAAGAAUUGGUCAUGCUUCCCUUACAAAGACCUGAACUUUUCUGCAAGAGUCAACUAACCAAGGUUUACAUUUACAUUUUGUCCAUAGUUUGCUUAUCUAAUUGUAUUAGCUUGUUGAAUGUUUAUUGCUGAUUUUCUGAAGUCCCCCAAAAGAAGAUACAUUAAAACUUUAUCUCUUGAUGUCAAAAUUUCCUUUUAAUGUGUGUCUCCUCUUGUGCUUUUAAGUUUCUUCUCAACGUCAUUUGAGGGUUUUGACAAGAAGUUUGUGCUUGAUGAGAAACUUACUUCAACUUUUGUUUCUGCUUUUUGGACUUGAAUCUUCAAGCAUCAUGUUGAGAUUUGGUGGUUAUUUUAGAAAAUCAUCGCUCUAUUCUUUCGCAGCCAUGCAAGGGAAUACUUUUGUUUGGUCCUCCUGGAACUGGGAAAACGAUGCUGGCAAAAGCUGUUGCCACCGAAGCGGGUGCAAAUUUUAUCAAUAUUUCAAUUUCAAGUAUCACUUCAAAGGUUUGUUUCACUUGGAGCUUAUUUGUGGUCUAUCGAGUAUAGAUGAUGUUGUUAAUAGUGCUUCUUCGCAUUAUAACAGUCUAAAUUGUCUUCUUUCCCAUGCUGCAGUUCUUUGGUGAGGGUGAGAAAUAUGUAAAAGCUGUCUUCUCGCUGGCUAGUAAAAUUGCUCCCUGUGUUAUUUUUGUUGAUGAAGUAUGCUUCCUUAAACAUUAGCAUAUUUAUUUCUCUUUUCCUGCUUUAAAAUUCUAUAUUUUGCUGAACCCUUUUGUCUCCUGUUUGUUUAUGCUGCCUUCCCAAGGUUGAUAGUUUGCUGGGACGAAGGGAAAAUCAAGGAGAACAUGAUGCGUCGCGUAAAAUAAAAAAUGAAUUCCUGGUGAAUUGGGAUGGGUUGCGCACGAAGGAUUCCGAACGAGUCAUGAUACUAGCAGCAACAAACAGGCCAUUUGACCUUGAUGAAGCUGUGAUAAGGCGACUGCCCCGUAGGUAAAAGGGGCACGACUAAUUUGCAAAUAUUAUUUAAGUUGAUUUUCAUAUAUCACUUCAUUAAUACCCUUUUCAUGUCUUUUCUUUAUAGGUUGAUGGUCAAGUUACCAGAUGCUCUAAACAGAGCAAAAAUUCUCAAAGUGAUACUCGAAAAAGAGGACUUAUCUGAGGAUGUUGAUCUGAAUUCAAUUGCAAAUACUACAAAUGGGUAUUCAGGAAGUGACCUGAAGGUAUCUUUGCUAAUCACGUAUACAUCAUUCUGAAGUUUGAAGACGCUUUGUUUUCUAAUUUAACUCCUUUGUUAUGUAGAAUCUCUGCGUAACAGCUGCAUAUCGACCCAUCAAAGAGAUCGUAGAAAAGGAAAAGAAGGUAUAGCUUUCCUUUGUUUGAUGUUUGUUCAUUGAUUGCUUAACUGUGGCAGAAAAUACUAUGUUGGCUCUUCCAAUAGAUUUUUUUCGCGGUUCUCUUAUGAAUGUCUGUUCCACUUUUGAUGGUCUUUAGAGGAAUCUUUGGUGCUUUUGGUUAUCCUGCUUUCUUUCAAAAAUCAUGGAGUUAAUACUCUGACAACUUGUAUUUGCCAAAGAAAAAAUGCAGUCUUGUGCACGAAAAAUCCACCUUCACACAUGGUGCAGGGAAGGGCUGCACCCCAUUGUAAUGUAGCCACCUUGCAUCAACUGAGCUCCGUGUUUUCCACUGUUGAGGUGGAGCAUUCAAAACCCAUAAGUAGCAUAUCAUCCGUUUCUCCUUUCCAAACUGGUUAAUUUCGCUUUUCUGUUCAUCUGAUUUGAGUUAUUCCAACAAGUUGCGAGUAUGAUGUAGAAGGAAAUUUAGGAGGCCCUUGUGUGUUUAUAUGUGUGUGUGUGUGCCUCCUUAAUAAAUUUGCUAAAACUGGUAUCUAAUGCUUAUAGGAACAUGCUGCCGCCAGUGUAGAUGGUCGACCACCUCCAGCACUAUACAGCAGUGCAGACAUACGACCACUGAAUAUGGACGACUUUAGAUAUUCUCAUCAGCAGGUGAGUUGAAAAUUUCUGUCAGUGUCUUUUUACUUUCUAAACUAUUUACUGCAUUAGCAUGCGGAUUUGGAGUGAUUGACUGUUCCUAUAGGUUUGCGCAAGUGUUUCAUCUGAAUCUGAUAAUAUGACUAAGCUUCUUGAGUGGAAUGAUCUGCAUGGAGAAGGGGGCUCUCGAAAGAAGAAAUCGGCCUUUAGUUACUUCAUUUAGACCGUCUCUGUGUGUAGGUAGAUGUUUACCUUCCUCCGAUUUUGAUUACCUAUGGGGCAAGGUCAGUUGCCUGUCCUUUUGGGUUGCUGUGAACCUUGGCUGUUUGUACAAUCAGUUUUGACAUGUUACUAUGGUGGAAUAGACUUAUAAAAAUAGUUAGUUUAUCUGCCUUCGUUUUGCUCACAACUUGCAGACUGUGUUCAGUUCCUGUCAUAAAGGUUUGUUGUGGAUACACAUUUUAUUCAUUCAAUACUUGAUCCAAUUGAUUUUUGCAUAAACGUUUUGAACUCAUCAAUCUUUGACACAAAAUUAUUCACUGGUACAAAUCGGUCAUAUGUAUAAUUAUCGAUCAGAUAUGCAUUCACCUCUCUUUUCUCACUGGCAUCUGUCCUUUUUCUAUUGGCUAGUUUCUUUUUAAUAUAUAAAUCAGUUGUAUUUCUCUUGCCUCUCUUCUCCCAAUUUCGCUCCCGUUCCUUCUUCUAAUAUGUAGUUAUGAACUGUGAUUUGAAAAACAUUAGCGAAAGAGCUAGAUUAUGUUUCUACUUUCUAGCAUAGUUGUUUUUGAAAUUUCAUUUUUUAAAAAGACCCGUGAGAUAAGUUAACAAAGGAGAGCUUAUGAGAAGUUUUUGACUAAAUUUACAAUUUGCUAUAUUUUUUUUACAAAAAUAAGUUUGUAUUUAAUAUCAACAAAGUUGGUUUAUAAAGAAGGUUAUGUAACACAUAUUCAAGGCGCAUGAGAACAUCAUCAAAAUGGAUUUGGCCCGCAAGGUCUGCUCAAUCCAAACCCUACCCUUAAAAUAAGUGGGGUUGGGUUUAAUAUUUUUGGCUCAUUUAUUAACGAGACUGUUUAGUCCGUCCCAUUUGGCCCGUUGGCCUCGUAGGUUCAACCCGCAAGCUUCUGAGGCCAGCCCGUGGACUAUUAAUUUUUUAAAAUAUUUUUAUUUAUAUUUUUAAUAGUGUUUUAUUUGUAAAAAAAUUAUUAAAAAUAUUUUUAAAAAAUAAAAAUAAAGUAUUUUGCAAUUUCAUCUUGCAUGAUGAAUUGUAGAUGAAGAUGAACUUCUUAAGGAAAUAAUAUCACAUGUUGAUUCAAAUGUGAUCAAUGGUGGAAGUAGAAGUGGAGUUGUAAAACAUGAAUUAAUAAGUCAUGUAAUAUUUAGAAAUUCAGAUUUGUUAAGUAUUUAGGCUGCCUUGUAUUGCAAGAAAUCUUUUAAACCAGCUAGUUUUUUGUGAGAAAAAUGAUAGAAUUAUCAACAUUUAUCCGCUAAAUCUUACGUUAAUUAUUAUAUAUUUUUGUAAGUAUUCACCAAAGCGUGUGAUUCAUAAAUGUAUUUUUAUAAGUAUUUACCGAAGUGUGUGAUUUAUAAAAGAUUUUUUGUAUGAAUUGAUGUCGUGUUCAUAAACGUCAACAUUCGACAUUCUUUCUAAGAGAGUAAUAUUGUUCAUUUUUUGGUUGAAAGACCAACCCGUCCCAACCCGUGGCCCGUUUAGGGCUGAGUUCGACCAUUAUUUUAUUGACCCUUUAAUUAAAAGGGUCAGCUCGUCCCAAACCAUUUAACUCUCUAGCCCGUUACGAUUAGGUUGGGCCAACCCAUUUUAACACCACUAAAUAACAUAUUCAAGGUGCCUAUAAUACACAUUGGUGGAUCCAUAUAUGAGGCUGGAGGUGCCACCACACUAGAACACUUCCAUUAUAAUUUACACAAAUUUCAUAGUGUAAAGAGUUAAUUACAUUUUAUUUCUAUUUUCUUUAUUUAUAAUAAUCCUUUAAAAUUUAUACCUUCCAAAUACAUUAAAGAGUAUUUCGCAUAAAUUAUAACAUAAAUUGGAUAUAUAAUAUGUAGAUAAGAUACAUUAAAAACUAGAUCGGAUAUAUAAUAUGUACCUUGAAUACAUUAAAAACUAGAUCGAAUACAUAAUAUGUAUCUCGGAUACAUUAUAAAAUAAAUUGGAUACAUAUUAUAUAGCUCGGAUACAUUAAAUAUUGACUCGGAUAUUUUAAUAUGUAGCUCGAAUAUAUUAAAUACAUUAGGAAGAAAUAAGGAAUUUUAGAGAUUUUUAGAAAUAAAAAGAAAUAUUGAAAAUAAGAAAAACAUAAAACGUGUAUUUCAAUAAUUUUUCCUAAUUUAAAUUGAUUUUUUUUUAAAAGAAAGUUUUUUGAUAUUUUAAAUUUCAUUUUCACUUUUCUAUUAUUUUUUACGCAUGUUGUGUGCGUAUUCUUUAACAAUUAGUACUAAAAAUUUUAAAUGUCAAUAAAAACAUAUUUAAAUAGUAAAAAGAUUUUAGAAAGUAUUCACGCUUUAAAAAUGAUAGAUAAUAGAACAAUUUUACAUAUAGCAAACAUAAAAAUCAUAUUUAUAUGUUAUAACUAUAAUGUGCAUAAUUGUUUUCCAUAAUAAAUUUUAUGUCUUUUAUGAAACUUUUAAUUUGUAUAAUUUGCUAGAUACGUCUAAUUUUAUAUAAAUUAUUCUGUUUUGUAUAAAUUCACUUGUACAUUGUAAUUUGUAUAAUAAGAUUUGUAUUUGUAUAGUUAUAAGAGUAUAUGACAAAAAUAUAUGUAUUUUUAUUUGUAUGUAUAUUUUUACGUUGCUUUAUACAAACACAAAUAUGUUUUAUAUAUUUUAUACAUUUGUAUACCGAAUGAGUAAUUGUAUACUGAAUCAUAUGACAAAAAAAUGGGAUAUUUACUGCAUAUUACAAAUAAAAUAAAAUACGACUAUAAUAUUUGAUUUGAGUUGAUAGUUUGUUAGUUCAUACAAUUUGCUCCAAAUAUUAUUAUGAUAGAGUUUUUGAAUUUAAUGACUAUGUGAAGGUGAUUGAGUUGAACCGACCUCAAUCUUCAAAAAUUGAGAAUAUUGGAUGCAUUUCUAUAAUAUCCUUCUUCACUUAAAUAUCAAUAUAUGACUCAAUUAGCAUGACAUUAGACUCAAAUAUGUGACCUAAGUCACAUGUCCCUCGACCUUUGCCACUUGAACUAAGAUUAAGAAACUUAAUUGACUAAUUAAUUAGAGAUAAGACACAAUUAUCCCUUAGACUAUGCAUGAAAUUUUAAAGACACAUCGUAACUAAAUUAAGGUCGUAUUACCCCAAUUCAUUAAUUUUUUUUGUUAUUUUGUACACCUUCUUAGCUUAUGUGGCAUCCAAAUAUCUUCCACGCACCUCAACUACGUGGAGUUACGGAAUGUGCCACAUAAUCCAAAAGGUGCAUAAAAUUAAAAACUAAAUAUUUCUAGGAUUAUAAAAUUUUAAUUUAGUUAAUAUGUGUCACUGAGAUUUCGUCAUAGUCUACAAGAGUACUUGUAUUCUGUCCCAAUUAAUUAUAUUAUGUCUCAACAAUUUCUUUACUCUCAAAGAGUUCUUUUCUAUCUAUGAAAGAAAGUAUUGUUCUACAUUUUUGAAAUGUGAAUAAUAGAUCUUGAUUAGUUUUAUUUUCUCGAGAAAUAAGUUCAAAUCACUUAGUUAAUUCACAUUUAGAAUGGAAUAAUCACACAAACCAAUUCACUUUUGUUUUUGGUCGACAAAAUAUGAAAGCAGUUACACAUGAGACAAAUUGAUAUUUGAAUGAUAUUUCUCUCUAGCACUCUUUUGCUCUGAAGGACAAGAAAAUGGUAUCGCCAAAAUAACGUUUUGGCUCUUGACCGCCCACAGAAAAGAGACUAAAAAAUAUAGCACCAAAAAAAUGUUCUGGCUCUUGACCGCCCACAGAAAAAAAAAUUUAACAUUUUUCCUUUAAAGGACAAGAAAAUGUCAUCACCAAAAAAACGUUCUGCCUCUUGACUGCUCACGUGAAAGUAAACAAAACAAAACAAAGAACCAAAACUCCAAACUAUUCCUCUCUAUCACUUCUUUCGCGUGGACAAGAAAAUGGUAUUGCCAAAACACGUUCUAGCUCUUGGCUUCCCAUAGGAAAGAAGAUGUUGUCAUCAUCAUCUGGUGAUAAACCUCCUUCUUCGAGCGUUCAAAAGUGUACACAUAUUUAGUGAAUAUUUGAGUCAAAAUUGAAUUAAAAGAAAAUUGAUAGUCAUUUGCUAUAUUGGAUAGUUUCAAAUGAAGAAUUGAAGAGAUUAAUACAAAUUCUUUGUCAUGUUAGGAAAUUACAUUUAAUUAUCUAGAGUCGAUAAAUUUAGAAUAAAGUCAUAUUUGGACAAAAUAUCAAGAAGGCAAACGCGUAUAUGUAGUAAAUUUUUACUUGAUUUACUAGGAGCACUAGCAAAAUCUAUUGAUUCAGCAAUUUGGAAAUCUUUUUGAACCUUGACUAAUUAAUUACUGAUAUAAUAUAUCAUGCCUAAACAAUUUCUUUAAUCUCGAGGGAUUCUUUUCUAUCUGCAAAGAAAGAAUUUUCUUUAUUUUUGAAAUAUGAAUAGAAGACUUUUAUUAGUCUCUCAAUUUUUAAUUACUUGUUUAUUUUUGAAAUAACAUAUUUAUUAAAAAAAAUUAAUGACAUAACGAGUAUAUCACUUUACCUCUAUUAAUUAUGAACUGGAUGCUAAAUUUCAAAUUUUUCAAAUUAAUUAGUCAUUUAAUUGAGAACAUAAUUUUUUAUCCUUUCUUAAUUUGUCAAAGUAAACAAAUAAUUAAAAAUAACUAUAAAAUAUAAUAAAUAAUUAGCGGGAGUAAUUUUCUCUUCACCAGAAAUAGGUUCACAUUAUUAAUUUAAUCCUCAUUUUAAUUGGAGUAACCACAUAAAACAAAUCAUUUUUUUUAUUUUCAUUUUUUUAAAAAAGUAGGUGACAGCAUAAAAGUUUCAAAGUUCUGAAAAUACAAUUUAUAAAUAAUUUUUUUAAAGGUAUUAUAAAUUAAAAUAACUAACAAUUCAAAUCCUUAGAUAUAUAUAAAAAAAAUUCCAAUAAAAAAAACUUAACUCAACAUUUUUUUUUUCUUUAUAAUUUAUCCGUGCUACCUUUUUAAAUAAAAGCCUUAUUACAAUAAUUAGAUUUGAAGCUUGUUUGGAAUGAUUUUUAUUUUUGGCUUAUUUUUUUCAUCAUUUUAGCGUUAAAUCAAGUAUUUAUAAAUGCCUUUUCUAAUUUAUCAAAAGACUUAUGAAAUAAUAUUUUCAUAAAAAUAAAGCUGUUGUAAAUCCAUUGUAUAUGUGGAUGAUCCAUUAGAGUUAUCCAACAAUUAAUUAGAUUCAUGUAUUAGUGUUUUCAAUGUGAUAAGAUAUCAAGGUGAUAUGAACCUUGAUGAUAACUAUGUAAAUUUCAAAGUGACCUUUGACUAUGAUAUCUCAACAUUAUAAAUAGAGAUAUCAUUCACCAUUGUAUGAUAUACUUGAAUAAGAAAAUUAUCUCCUCUAUCUUAUACUUCUUGUCUUUUUCUUCUUAUAUUCUGAGUUUUCUUUACAACAAAAGCUUCAUUAUAAAUUUUCUUAAAAAAUUCUAAUUUUUUAUUUAUUUUUUUUUAACUUUAUUUUCUCACACCAUCAGCCCUACCUGUCUCCAUACCCCUUUGAGAAAAUCAAUAAAUACUGCCCUAACCAAUACUAAUCAAAACCAUAAACCCAACCUAUUCUUCUCUCACUCUUUUCCUCUCAAAAACAAAAAACAAAAUGGUAUCACAAACACAAAGAGAAAGUUCCGCCUCUCAAUCACCCAAAAGAAAAAAAAGGAAAAAGAAGUCAUCAUCAUCGUCCGAUCAUAAACCUCCUUCGCGAUGUCCAAAGGUUCACAUAGAUUCAUUUUCACUUCAGUUUUUUUCCUUUUUUAGUGUUUGUUGAUUUUUUUUUCUCUUGUGGAUUUUUUUAGGCAAAUGAUAACGAUGUGUAUUCACCUGGAAAAUCGGUACCGAUCUGGGAGAUAUUGAAGGAGCAAUAUUCGAUAGAUCGAUCCAAACUCUGCGGCAACAGCUCGGCUAAUGAUAAAGUUCAGGCUGCCGGAAAAGUUGACGGCGUUGCUGCCAGAAAAGGUGUCAGAUCUGUCACAGAAGGCAAGCCCUUUUUUUUUCAUAUUACUAGCUCCGUCUAUUUUAACGUGUCUGUUUGGACUUCCAUUGUAUUUUAGUGCUGAUGAUUGAACUUUAUAACUUCAACUUAAAAUUAAGUGUCUGUAAGUAUACUUAAAAACACUUAAAAUAAUUAAAACUCAAAACAGAUUCAUAAAUUAUAGUAAAUCAAUUUUAUGAGGACUUUUGACAUGUUUUUAUUAUUUUAGCUUCAAAUGAAGUGCGUAUAAGUACUUUUUGAAUUUAUUCAAAAACUUCAAAAGGAAUUAUUUUAAAUAAGUCUACUGUUUUUUAAGUUUAUUUUAGGUAAAAGAAUUAAGAAAAUUUAUUUAUCUUUUUUGAUUUUCUUGAGAAAUUCACUGUUUUGUCUAUCUUUGAUGAUAUUGAAUGUGUCAUUCAGGUGCUGAAAUGAAGAAGCCUUGGUGUCAACUAAUAGCAGAGUUUCCGCAGGUUUUCAAGUAGUAGUAUUUAAAAUUAUUUCUAUUUGUUUUAAUUCGGUAUUUGUAUAACAUCCUUAUUAAUUUAGAUUUAUAUUGUUUAGGAUCCCAUUUGGCGGAAAGCAUAUCAUGAAUUUUUUCAUACUCAAGAUUCAAACACAAACUCGAGAUCUCUGGUUAAAACAGAAACAAUUCCGUCCACUGCAAUGCUGGUUAUCAUCUAUUUUUGUUGUUCAAUUUUUUUGGAUUUAAUGUGAAUACACUGCAGAAAUUUUGUUUGAUAUCUAAUAGAAUGUGAAUACACUGCAGAAAUUUUGUUUGAUAUCUAAUAUAAUGUGAACACACCGCAGAAUUCAACAGUGGAGAUUUUUGAGCAACGUUUUAUGACUGGUGCGGGCAAAAACCUUCCUGAACAUGCAAUGAUUUGCAUGAUAAAUCGUGAAGAGGUAAAGCUCUAACUUGGAGUACCGACUUUCCUCACUAUUUAAUGUUGUUUUGUCCGAUAGUUGAGAACGAUUUGGAAAGUCACCCGAUAAUUUAUUAGUUAAUAUAUUUUCAAGAAAUAAUAUAACCUUAAACACAUAAUUUAAUAUUUCCCAUUAGUUUACUAAGUUAAAACAUUCUUUAAGUAUGCAGUCUUAAAUUUUACUUCCAAUUCAUUUUCUUAUUUCUUCCUCUCAGUCAGUCAUGAGCGAGCUGUGCUUAGACGCCCCUGCCGUGGAUGAUCCGGACAAGUUAUUCGCUAAUACAUUGUUUGAGGUGGAAAUUCUUUCUAUAAAUAUGUGAAAUUUUUGUUCCUUUCUUUUUUGGGUUAAACUUUACUCUUUACAUUUCAUUAUACUUUUUCAGGUUGUAUUCAAUGAGAGCCGGAAUUUGCCAUUCAUUUUGUUCGUGAAAGAUGCUGACAAAGUAAUGGCAGGAAACGCAGAAUUAUAUUCAACAUUUAAAACUCGGCUUGAGAAACUUCUUAAUAAUGUAAUUAUUAUUGGUUCACAGUCGGCUUGAGAAGCUUCCUGAUAAUGUAAUUAGUAUUGGUUCACAAUAGCUUGAGAAGCUUUCUGAUAAUGUAAUUAUUAUUGGUUUACAAUUGGCUUGAGAAGCUUCCUGAUAAUGUAAUUACUAUUGGUUCACAGUCUGCUUGAGAAGCUUCCUGAUAAUGUAAUUACUAUAUGUUCACAGUCGGCUUGAGAAGCUUCCUGAUAAUGUAAUUUCUAUUGGUUCACAGUCGGCUUGAAAAGCUUCCCGAUAAUGUAAUUACUAAUGGUUCACAGUCGGCUUGAGAAGCUUCCUGAUAAUGUAAUUACUAUUGGUUCACACGCUCAUACAGAUAAUCAUAAGGAGAAAAUACUAUUUGAGAUCAGAUUGCCCAUGAAUAGAUGCAUGUGUUAUAUCUUUUCUAGUUUUAUAAUGUGUAUACAAUGUAUUAAGUUGCCUGUUAUGAAAAUUUAUUAUGGAUUGAAUUUCUUGGCUAUAGUAGUUAUUAGUGCCAAAACAUUGUUAGACUGAGGCUUGUUCAAGAGAAUGAGAGGUGACUCCUAGUACAACAAAAAGUUUAAAAGAUCAUCUCCCAAGCACAAAAGAGAUAUUAGUCUUGCUAUAUAUUUAUAAUUCAUGCGCGCCCAUGUAGCAUACACACACUACACAGGGCGGCACACUCUCUUUUGUAUAUAUAAAAUUAGUUUCAUUCAUAAGCAUGGCCACAAUGGCCGUAUACAAAAGAUAUACUUAAAAGUAGAGAAUUUACAAAACGAUAUGAUUCUAUACAAAGUUAAUGCAAUUUUCAUUAUUAUACGUGAUUUAAUGUAGUAAAUGAACUAUAAAUUUAAACAUAUGACAUGCAUGUAUUAGCAUGGUGUAAACACGUGAUGCCGAUAAUGUUUGAAUUAAAGUCGAACUCGAUAUUUAUCAAUUUGCGGUAGUUGGAUUUAAAUAGAGUCACUACUCACUAGUAACCAAAGAAUGAAAGACACACUUUUUCAUUUAAAUGACACCGAGUAAAGAAUGAAAAAACACACUCCUCAAUUUAAAAGACGCAUCAUACACACAAAUACACAUACACCCUUAUUAUUUCAGCUUUCAUUUGAAUCAAAUUUCAUAUGUUUUUUUUGCGUAAAUGAGCAGAGAAUAAGGGAAGAAAAAUAAAAUCAUAAAGCACGUAUAUCUAUUCUGUUUUGCUGUUUUAUGUGGGGUUAUGUAAAAUUAGAAGUCAUUAAUAACGACUAAAUGUAUAGUUUCUGAAGAAAAGAGAAAGACUAGUUUUAAAAAUAAAUAAAUAAAAAGAAUUCCUUUUUUGUUGUGGUGUCACGUCAUUGAUUGAGGAUUCUCUUUUUUAUAUAUGUAUUAAAUAGAAAAUAAAGUUUGUAUUUAAUGUUUUUUUUUAAUUAGAAAGAUUAGAUAGCAUAGAUGACAAACAGUUUUUAGGGUCAUAAAAUUUGGCUACUUCACUAUAGAUUAAGCGAACUAGCAGAUGCUUUAGUUUGUAUUAAUAUUAAUAAAGUCGUUUUAUUAGAAAAGUUUAUAUAUAACACAAAUUUAAGAUGCAUAAGAGAACAUAUAUAUUCAAAAGUGUGAAUAAUAUACAAGAAUGAAUUAUAUAAGAGGUUGGGAUGGUAGGGUGCCACGACAUCACAUACAUAAAUUCAUAAAAUAUAGCUUAUAGAGAUAACAAAAAGGUGGAGGAUGCUAGUAAAACCUGGUCGAAUGAUUAUCGAUAUGGGCUAUGAUAUAGUGAUUGAAAGUGUUUUAUCUUUAAUCAAAAAUUUGAAAUUUAAAUAUGCGAUGAGAAUUUGAAUGUCGUCUGCAACAUAAAUGAUUGUAUUAGCUUAGAUAAAAUUUGAGUUUGGAGUUAAAAGGGUAAAAAAAAUUGUUAAAAUUUUUAGAAGGGCAUAUCAAUUUUUUUUUAACUAAAACGACAAAAUCGCUCACGAUGUAGCGAUUUUGUCUGUCGGAAAAAGCAUAAUUGCUGCUGUAGCAACGAUUUCUUAAAUUUCUUUUUUAAAAAAAAAUAAAAUAAAAAUUAAAAAGAACGAUUUUCAAAAUUUAAAAAAAAUUAUAAUUUUUUUAUUUUGCAGCGACUUACAUUAAACUUUUUUUUGAUUUAUUUUUUAAAAAAAUUAAAAUCAAAUCUUGGCAAAAUCGCUGUCAAGCCAGCGAUUUUUAAUUUAACUUUUUUAAUUAUUUUUUUAAAUUAAAUCACUUUAAAGACAACAAUUUACACUUAAUUUUUUUUGAAAACUUUAUUAUAUCGGCUAAUUUUUUUGCAGUGAUUUAAUUAAAUUUUCAAAAAAAUAAAAAUUAAGUGUAAAUCGUUGCCUUUACAGCAUUUGAUUUUUUUAAAAAAAGAUUAAUAAAAAUCACUGCUAAUGAUUUUAAAAAAGUGACUUAUUAAAAAAAUUAUAAUUUUUUUAAUUUUGAAAAUCUCUCCUUUUGGAGAGACUUGUUUAUUUAUUUAUCGGAACAAGGGCCUAAAAUACCUUUAAAGUAUUGAAAAUUGUACAAAAUUACCCUUCAUCCACCUAUUGGCUCCAAAAUGCCUUUUUCAUCCACCUAUUGGCUCCAAAAUACCCUUGUCAUCCAUCUUUGGGUUCAAAAUUGACUACUUUUUUUAAUUGUUUUAAAAUUAAACUCUUUAAAUAUUUUUAAAAAAUACUUGGCGUUCAACUAUUGAUUAUAAUUAUAAUUUAUUAAUAUAAUUUAUAAACUAUCCCACUACUCACUCAUUACUAAUUAAACCUCACCCCAAUUAAUAAUCCAAUUAUAAUAUCAAAAUCGUCAUAAACACUACUAAAACACGAUGAAAUUAUAGAUUUCUGAAAAUGACAUUCAAAAUUAUUCGAGUCCGAAUCGAAGCCACAAUUAAAAUUAGGUUGAGCCGCUUACUUAGGAGGACACUUUCUUUCAAAAUUGAAUUAGAAAUUUAUGAUUAAAGGUAAAGAGUAAUACAUCCCGAAUUAAUUCAUGCACUUCUUUUAAAUAUAAUUUUAUAAAUACUUAUGAUUUGUUUUAAAACCUUUAAUAUAUUAUUUUGAAAAAAAGUUACCUAUGAAGUAACAUCACAUAAUUGAGACGUAAGAAUAAUUAAGAUGAACAUAAUCAGACUUUUAAGUUUAUCAGUGAUUUUUAUUUAGCCACUUGAAUGUAUGAUAAUUUACUUCUAUAAUUUUUAAAAACACUCAAUUGGCAGUAGCUUGCAUUAAUAAUGUAACGGGUUCAUUUAUUUAGAGGGAUUUGAUUAGUAAUAGGGUGGGUAGUGGAUUGAUUUAUAAAUUAUACUAAUAAGUUAAAUUAUAACAAAAAGUUGAGUGUCACGUAUUUUAAAAAAUAUUUAAAUAGUUUAAAUAUAAAACCGUUAAAUAAGUGGUCAAUUUUGAACCAAAAGGUGGAUGACAAGAUUAUUUUGGACCCAAUAGAUGGGUGUGAAGGGUAUUUUGGAGUCAAUAGGUGGAUGGAGGGUAAUUUUAUACCAUUUCUAAUACUUUGAUGGUAUUUUAGCCCCUUUUCCGUUUAUUUAUUUAUUUUAAAAAAGAAAACAAAUUUAAGAAAUCGCUGCUAUAGCAGCGAUUUUUCUUUUUCAGACAGACAAAAUCGCUGUAUCGUGAGUGAUUUUACCGUUUUGGUUUUAAAAAAAUUGAUAUGCCCUUUUGAAAUUUUUGAUAAUUUUUUUACCCUUUCAACUCCGCACUUAGAUAAAUCCCAACAAGUCAGGAUAGUCCAAAAGUAAUACAUAUUAAUUUUACUUGAAUUAAUGUGGUUUGUUCAAUAUACUAUGCGCAAUCAAAAUUAGAUAUAUAAUAUGCGUUCCGUGAAUAAAUAAUUUAUAAUUAAAAAUAUGAUUAAGUUUGACUCUAAUAUCAAAUUGAAAUGUAAAAUCUAUCCGAUAAAAGUCCAAAUUGUCAAAGGGAAAAUAUUCUUAAUUAAUUAAUUAGUUUUUGUGAUUGAGAAAUUCAUAUGGGUCAAUUCUUAAAAUUGAUCAUAGCCUUUGAAAUAUGAAAAGAUGAGGGGAGCACAAAGAAUGCGUUAAAAUUCAAGCCCAAAAGAGAACCCAAAAAGUUGAAUGUUCAAAGUUCAAAGUUUUCUAGUUAAAAAUUUCUAUAUUUUAAAGUUUUCUAAUUUAAAAGUUUCCUAACUUGAACUUUCCUAGUUAUUUUUUCCACAAUAAAAGUAGAUUUGAAUCCAUUUUUUCUUCAAAUUGAUUUUUCCAUGAUGAAUAUUGUUAUUUUAGACGAGAUAUGAUUAAUAUUAAUAUUUCAGAUGUUUUUCUUUUUUACAUCUAUGUGUGUGAUAAUUAUAGAUUUAUCUCUUUAAGAGGUUAAGAGAUUGUUUGAAUUAGCUUAAUUAAAAGUUGAUCAAAUAUACUUUAAAGUCAUUUUUAACUUUUGACAAUGUUUGACAAUGAUAAAAAUGAAUUUUAAAAUGUUAAAAAUCAAAAGUAGUAUCCCUCUGUUUUUUGACUUAAAAAUUAUUAAGUUUGAAUUUUUAUUUUUAACUUAAAAACUACUUUAAAGUCAAUCCGACGGGCUCUAAUUCUCUCACUUGAUGUCGUUGGUUUAUUCAUAAAUUAAAGAUAAUGAUUAAUCUUAUACUAAUUUUUAUUCAUAAUUUCUUCGAAAUAGGGGUCUAAAUCUUUCUUUUAUCUAAAUUUUUGAAUUGAUUAUAUUAGUAUCACAAUUAGUUUUAACUGAUCAAUUAGGAUUCUUAGCACUGUUCUUGAAAUUUGAAGGUUUUAUUCUCGAAUUUCACAUCUCUUUCAAUUUAUAUCCUCAAUCACUAUAAUUUCGUUUCCAAAUUAUUUUCUUGUUUAACAACAAUGGCCGGGGUCACCUCUAUAUCAUUCUCUAUUUAAUUGUCAAAUCAAGACUUAGUUUUCAUGACGCAAUUUUCAAACCUGUGAUGUAAGUCAUAAAUUCCCCGGUCUUUAUCAGUAGACCUAAGCUUCAAAAACUUUAUUGACUAAUUAUUAUAGUUUACGUCAACGAGAUCUCGAAUAACUAUUUUCUAUCUAUAUAUAAAAAAUUAUUUUCUAAUUUUCAAUGUGAAUAAUAGAAUUUGAUUAGUUUUUUUAAUCAUAUUUGUUUUAACGUUACAUAGUUAAUUCAUAUUUGUAAUAGAGUUACCACAAGAAGCAAUUUAACUCACCUUUUAUUUUUUAUUCUUUUAGAAAGUCAAAAUAUUUUAUUUUUUAUUCUUUUAGAAAGUCAAAAUAGCGAUACAUGAGCCAACUAUCAUAUUUGAUGAUACUGCACUUGUUUAGAGUAUUCUUAGCAUGGUAUGAUAUAAGUUACUAUUACAAUAAUUUAUAAUAAACUAAAUUGGUAUAAAUAAGUUUUUCCUAUAUAAUAUUAAGAAAAUUAUCUUAACAAUUUCUGAUACAUAUAUUUAAUUGAGAGUUAGUUUCAGAUAAUUUCAAUUAAAAAUUUGAAAUUUAAACUUUUAAAUUUUAAUUAUGAAUUUCAACAUAAAAAGUUUAAAUUUUUGAAAAUAAAAUAUACCUAUUUAAAAAUCAUGAAAGAUACUAUUAAUUACAUUAACAAUCGAAAAUUAUUAAAAGAUAUUAAAAAAAGAUGUUUGGUAGAAAAAAUGGUUGAACUCUUAUUUUUUUAAAAAAUAUAUUAUAUUUUUAAUUAAAAUAAACACCUUAUUACUGUAAAAAGAAUUUUAAAAUAAAGCUUCAUGAUUUAUAUUAAAAAAAUUUAAUUUUUUAUUUUUUACAUCUAUGAGCAUCUAUCUUAUUAUUACUCUCUUUUAAAAAGACAACAUAACCAUUAGAGCCGUCAAUAUAGGCUAGACACGUUGGGCCGGCCUGCCUAACCUGAGAUUUAAUAUGGUUGGACUAAAAUUUUUGGAGCCCAUUUAAAAAAAGAGUUUUUUAGCCCGGUCUGAAUAAGUCUAUUGAUUUGAUGGGCUUGAAAAAUAUAGGUAGAGCUGGCCCGUGGGUCAGCAAGAAUUAAUUAAAAAAAAAUAUAAUAUAAUAUUUAAAAUUAAAAUUAAAUAGAGUCCAAACUCAAAAUAAUUAGGUUAGUAUUUUUAUUUAUAUAUUUAUACUUUUACUUGAAAAUAUUUAAUAAAUAGAGAUAAUUUCAGAAACCUCCCUCCAGGCUUCGCUCUAUAACACUCACCAUCCCUGUGGUUUACGAUAUUACGUUUACCUCCAUUAUUUUCAUUUUCUUGUAACCAUUCUUUGAACCUACUUAAAUAAAUAUAAAUUAAUUUAGAUUUGACAAAUUUACCCUUAUAUAUGAAAGUUUAGAUCUAAUUUUCAAUGAUUUAUCUUUAUUCGUUGGAUCAUGUUUCUUCUUCGCUUGUGGAAAUGUUUAACUAGAACAAAAUCUUAUCGUUCUUAUCGAAUAUCUUUCUUGGGAAGUUCAAUUUUGUCUUCUAUUUGAAGAAAUUAUUGCCGGAAAAUGAUGAGUUAUUAGGAAAAAAAUUUACGUGAAUUGGUAAAGGUGAAAUGGCGAUGAAGAGUUAAUAUUUGGUGAAAAUGUGGGUUAGCUUGGUUGAAGACUUUGAUCUUUGUUGGAUUAAAAAAAAGGGUAAAAUUGUCAAAUCUAAAUUAAUUUAUAUUUAUUUUAAAUAGGUUUAGAGAAUGGUUACAAGUAAAUGAAAAUAACACUUUGUUUGGAUAAUUGUUACCCGUUGUUUCAUAACGUAUUGUAUUGUAUUGUACUCUAUUAUAUUGUAUUGUAUGAUAGAUAUAAUGUUUGGCUAGACUGUAUUGUUUGUUGUUGUUUAAUAACAUUUUAAUUAUUUGGUUUAAUUGUAUCAUAAUGUAUUGUAAUUUAUAAAUUUACUAAAAUAUCCUAAUUAUUCUAGCGUAAGAGGUUUGACUAGAUUUAAAUAAUUAAGAUAAAGAGUAAAAAAAUAUUUUGAAAUAUUAUGUAAAUAUAUAAUUGAAAAAUGAAAUUAAUAAUGGGAAUACACCAAAUUGGUUGUUCCAUAAAAUAGGGUUUUCAUUGUUACGUAACAACCAAAUUUAUCAAUACAAUACAAUACAUUUUAAGUAACAAUCAAAACAAACAUUGUAGGUAUAGUAACGAUACAAUACAAUACAAUAGAUAACAAUGAUCCAAACAUAGUGUAAGGGAGGUAGACAUAAUAUCGUAAAUCAAAUGGGAGGUGAGUGUUAUAAAGCGAAACCUGGAGGGAGGUCUCUGAAAUUAUCCCUAAUAAAUGUUAUAAAAAAUAAUUUUAUUUUGAUUUGAUUAACAAGUACUAACAUUAACAUCAUGUAAUAUUGUUUUGUCAAUAUUUAUGACAAAAUUUUAAAUUAUAAUUUAAAAUUUAAUUUAAGAAUUAUAAAAAUAUAUUUUUUUAAAGAAGUGGGCUGGCCCGUCAAACCUGUAGCCCACACACUUGUGGGUUGGGCCGACCACUUUCUAGCCCACGCCAAAAAUGGGCUAGCCCGGCCUGACCGUGAAAUAUCAAAGCCUGUAUGAAUUAGCCUAGAUGGGGUGGGCUAGCCCAUAUUGACAACUCUAAUAACCAUGGUAACUAACAGUCGCACAUUCAACUUUCUCGUUAGUAGAGUUGUUGCCGCCGAGUUUGAUUGAUUGAUCGAGCAUAACUUCUUUGCUUUCUCCGGUGGUGUCAUCGAAUUUUCAGAUGAAUUCAAAUUGUCAACAUUUGCCUAAAAAAACCAGUUGACACCAAUCCAUGUAAAGAAGGAAAAAAAAAAAGCAAUGGUGCACAAAAAUACUAUACAAAAAAAUUGUAUGAAAAUUAAUUUGUGCAAACCUUUGGGCGUUGCGAAGGAGGAGAUUUAUCGUCGAGCGAUGAUGAUGACCUCUUGUUUCCAGUGGGCGGCCGAGAGGUAGAACUUUUUUUUGGCGAUACCAUUUUUUUGUGUUUGAGAGGAAAAGAGUAAUAGGGAAGAAUAAAUUGAAGUUUUGGUUCUUUGUUUAUUUUGGUUAACUCGUAUUUAUUAUAUUUUUUUAAGGGAUAGUAGACAGAUAGACGAUGAUGGUCUUGAAAUAAUAAAUGAAAAAAUAAAAAUUAGGACAAAUUAAAAAAAAAAUUAUUUCUUAACUUUAUUUUCAAGAGUGCUGAGAUUGAUUUAUAUUAAGUGUUUUUAAGUUAAAAUAAUUUUACAUUACUUUUGAAUGUAUUGGUAAUAUAUAUAAAAGAUCUAUUUUUUUUUUCUAAAAUUCAAUUCACAUGGUGCUAGCCUCAAACUUGUGACCUAAGACACAAGUUCCUUAGCUUUUGCAAUUUGAAUUAAUUUAUCACAUUUUAAAAAGUUUUUUAAUUUCGAACAAUUUUAUUCUAUCUAAGAAGAAAUGGUUUUUUUUAAUUAUGUAUAAUAAACCUUAAUUAGUUUUUAUUUAUCAUAAUAUAUUUACAUUUCUUAUUUAACUGACACUCGAAAUGAAGUAACCAUAAGAAAUAAAACAAUUCAAUUACUUUUGUUCUUUCCUUUAUUUACUUAUUUUUUAAAAAUUAAAUAGUAGAGGUGGUUACACAUAAGACAAUUGAUAUUUGGAUGUUAACAUUGUUUUCUAUGGGCUAUAAAUACAAAUGUUUUCAUUAAAAGUUUUAUUAAUUUCGAACAAUUUUAUUUUAUCUAAGAAGAAAUGGUUUUUUUUUUUGAAUUAUGUAUAAUAAACCUUAAUUAGUUUUUCUUUAUCAUAAUAUAUUUACAUUUCUUAUUUAACUGACACUCGAAAUGAAGUAACCUUAAGAAAAAAAACAAUUCAAUUACUUUUGUUCUUUUCUUUAUUUCCUUUUUUUAAAAAAAUAAAUAGUAGAGGUGGUUACACAUAAGACAAUUGAUAUUUGGAUGUUAACAUUGUUUUCUAUGGGCUAUAAAUACAACUGUUUUCAAUAAAUUAAAUUGUUCUAAAUAAGUUUUUUCCUCUACAAUAUUAUAAACAAUGUCUAACAAUUUCGAAUACAUACAUUUAAUUAAGAACUUGUUUUAGAUAAACUUAUUUGAAAUUUCAAAAGUUCAAAUUUUAAACUUUGUUUGAAGUCCAAACAUUAAAAAAAUUAAAUCUUUUUUAUGUAUUUGAAAAUUAUAAAAAAAUAUUACAAAUCAUAAUAAUUAAUAAUUUAAAUCGUGAAUAUAUAUAUAAAAAACAUUUCAAUCAAAGAAACUUUGUUUGUGAUACUCUUUUACAUUUUUUCUUAGAAUGAAUGUCUUACUAGUACAAUCAUACCUAGACUUCAAAAUUUUCAUAUUGGCUUUUCUUUUUUAGUCAUUUAACAUAAAGUAAGUGUUAAUAAAUAUAUAUGUAUAUAACACUUAAUAUAAAUCAAUCUCAACACUCUUGAAAAUAAUGUUUAGAAAUAUUUUUUUUAAUUUGUCCUAAUUUUUAUUUUUUUCAUUUAUUAUUUCAAGACCAUCAUCGCCUAUCUGUCUACUACCCCUUAAAAAAAUAUAAUAAAUACGAGUUAACCAAAAUAAACAAAGAACCAAAACUUCAAUUUAUUCUUCCCUACUACUCUUUUCCUCUCAAACACAAAAAAAUGGUAUCGCCAAAAAAAAGUUCUACCUCUCGGCCGCCCACUGGAAACAAGAGGUCAUCAUCAUCGCUCGACGAUAAAUCUCCUCCUUCGCAACGCCCAAAGGUUUGCACAAAUUAAUUUUCAUACAAUUUUUUUGUAUAGUGUUUUGUGCACCAUUGCUUUUUCUUCUUCUUCUUCUUCUUUAUAUGGAUUGGUGGUGUCAACUGAUUUUUUUAGGCAAAUGAUGACAAGUUGAAUUCAUCUGAAAAAUCGAUGACACCAUCGGAGAAAGCAAAGGAGUUAUGCUCGACCGAUCAAUCAAAACUCGGCGGCAACAACUCAACUAACGAGAAAAUUGGAUGUGCGACUGUCGGAAAAACAAUCAUGGUCAUCGGAAAAGCUAUGACACCUGUUAUAGAAGGCAAGUUUUUUUACUCAAUUUGUCCACUUACUUUUACUUGUUGUAUAUAAAUGCAUGUUGUGAACAUUAAAUUGUAUUUUAGUGGCUCUUGAUUGAAUAUUCAAUUAUUUUUAUUAAUUAUUUUAGUUCAAAGUCAAGUUUUUAUAAUUAAUUUUUUAAUUAAUUCAAACAUUUUAAAAUUGUUUAAAAAUUAUUGUGUCUUAAAACAUUUAAUUAUAAACCAAAUUUAAGUAGAUUUUUUAUUUUUGGUUUAUAAGCUAAAAGUUAUAUGUUAAGAAUAAAUUUUUUUAAUUUGUUUUUAUCAUUUUACAUAAAAUUAAAUAUUUAUAAAAAAAAUUUCUAAUUGUUUUAAAACUAUUUUUAGUACUUCGAAUUAAUCUAUCUAAAUAAUUUCUCAAGUCUAUUUUAAUAUAAUAAAAGAAAAUUAGGAAAUUAGCAUGAAUAUAUAAUGUACACGUGCUUUAUUUUUUUUUUUUUAAAUUUUUUUUGAAAAGUUCACUGUUUUUUCUAUCUUUGAUACUAAUAUUGAAUGCACGUGUUACUCAGGUGCCGGAACGGAGAAACCUUGGUGCAGACUUAUAUCAGAGUUUCCACAGGUUUCUUUAGUAGUAUUUAUUUAUUUUUUAAAUAUUCUUUGCGUGUGGUAUUUGUUUUAGAUUUUGAUUAAUUUGAAUUUACACCUCUGAUAUUUCGUUUGGGAGAAAGCAUAUCAAAAAUAUUUUUCAUAUUAUAAUUCGAGAUCUCUCUAAUAAAGGAAGAAAUAACUCUAUCCACUACACCUCAUCUUUUAAUGGUUCAUUUUAACUAUUUUUGUUGUUUAAUUUUAUUUUAUACCACCGUAAAAUUUUUAUUUGAUAUCUUAUUAAAUAUGAAUACAUUGCAGAAUCCAACUGUAGAGAUUUCCGAGCCACGUUUCAUGGUUGGUGUGGGCAAAGACCUUCCCGAAAAUGCAAUGGUGUGUGUAAUAAGACGAGAAAAGGUACUAUUCUAAUUUGGAGUUCCUUUCUUAUUAGGCGGUUCAAAUAUUUUAAUGGCCACAAAAUAUAUUAAAGACCUUAAAUUUUUGAUUAGUUAUUAAUACUAGUACAAUGUUUAUUUAAAGUAUAUUCUAAUUUUAGAGUUUUUUUAACAUGCAAAUUAUUUUGAGAUGCAACAUUGUGUCUUUGUUUUUGUAUAAAAAAAAUUACUAUAAAUAAAAAUUUCUCCCUUUUAAUUUAUUUAUUUAAUUUUACUUGGGCCAACUUUGAAUUAAAUAAAAACAUAUUUUUUGAAAUUGAAUCAUCCAACUAAACUUUUAUUUUAUUUUUUUUAAUAAUUUUAUUAUUGCUGCAAAAUCAGCCUCUCGAAUUUUGGGGAACGUAAGGCAAGUCUUUUUUUUAAAAAAAAAUAUAUAUAUAAGCGCAGAGCAGAGCCGCCCCUUCGGUUUCCCUCUCCUCACUAAAUGUUGAUUUGCUUAAGAGUUUGAAAAGGCAUCGGAGAAUUGAAUUUGAUUUAAUGUUGUAAAUCUACCGGAAAAUUGAACAAAGUUUGAGAGGUUACGGUAGCAAUUUGAUUAUGAACAUGGAAGGAGUGCAUUUGUUUGAUUGUUUUGUGAGAUUAGAUGAAAUUUAUAUUGUAUGAUUGAUCAUUAUUUGUGUAAAUUAUCAGUACCAAAACAAUUGGGUUGCUAUUAUUGAGAGGAAGGCAAACAGAAAACCAGUGCGAGUCAAUGGGCAUAAACUUGAUAGAAAUACCAGUGGCCUUCUCAAUUCUGGCGAUGAGAUCGUCUUGGGUCAAAAGGGAAAAUAUGCCUAUGUAUCCUCAACUAUUGUGAUUUUUAUACUAUUUCUCAUCAUUAUGAUUGGAUAUCCUUGACAUUGUUCUGUAUAGAUUUUUCAGCAACUUUUGUUUUCACCUCCAAAUGUUAAUGUUGGCAGUAGCAGUAGCAGUGCUGCUGAUGUUGGACAAGGCAAGGUAAAUGGAAUGUGGACCUUACUAACUCAUACCGUAUAGCUUGUACUGAUCAACACCAUGAUAUGAUAGAACUAAAGAAAGUAUUUGUGAACAGAUGUUGGAGCAAAGAAGGUUGACUGAGGAAUCAAUGCAUGGUUCAACAUCAUCAGGGAUGUCUUGUGUAUUAAGGGAACAAAUUCGGGCUACAAUCAUUGAUGGAAUACAAGUUUCAUUUGAUGACUUCCCUUAUUACUUAAGGUAUGCCUCAAGACCAAUUACCCUUUACUUUUUGCUUGUGAUUUGAUCUUUUGGGCAUUUUCACUUGCUGUUUACACUAUGCCUCAUCUUGUUCUUGAUGCUUGUAGCUAUACCAUAGUAUGUAAGUAGCUAUGUGAUUUAAAUAAAUCUUAGUUUUCUAUAUCUGUGAAUUUGCAGUGAGACCACAAAAGCUAUGCUGAUUGCUAAUACAUAUAUACACCUUAAGCAUAGAGAGCAACUUAAAUAUGUCUCUGGGCUUCCUGCGGUCAACUCAAGAAUUAUGCUUUCUGGUCCAACAGGUUUGUUGCUUUCUCAGUAAUUAUUUAAAUUAUUGUCUCUUGUAAUUAUUUUUGAUUUCCCUCACCGAGUGCUUGAUAGAUAUUAAUCUAAUGCGUACUGACUAGUUCUGUUUUUGUUUUCCAGGAUCUGAAAUAUAUCAGGAGAUGCUGGUGAAGGCACUUGCUCGUUAUUAUGGAGCUAAAUUGCUCAUUUUUGAUAGCAAUGCUUUUUUGGGUGUAAGAACAAAUUACUCAUUAUGUUCUUGUGUGUUGAGUGGUUGUGGUUGUGGUUGGACUAUUGAAAUCCUUCGUGUCAAUUUCUGGACUUUGUUAUUCUCUUGGUCAGAUGCAAAUCAUGAAUAUAUUUCCAUAUCAUUCAGGGGCUAUCUGUGAAGGAAACUGAGCCAAUGAAAGAGGCAUGUAGUGCACACAAAUCCUCUUCAUCCGGGGCAUCAAAUGUAUUUAGGACAGGUAUUGUCUGCACUUUGAUUAUUAAGGAAUUAUAUUUUUCUUCUUCAGCUUUUUCUUUUUUACUAAUAACUGUUGUUGAAGAUGUUUAGGUGAUAGAGUCAAGUAUAUUGGCUCUGCUUCUGGUGCACAGCACUUGGGUCCCGUCUGGUAAAAUUCUAAUUGUCCUAGAAACCUCAAUACCAACUCUUUUGUACUCAAAAUGAUCUGUAUCUUCUUAUACUUGAACAAAUUUCUGAUGUUAUUUUUUGAUGGUCUGUUUGUCAUCUUUUCUCAAUGCCAUCAGUGAAACUAUUUUAUCCCAAAAAAACGAAGAAUCAUUCUUGAUGCACAUGAGUAACUAUAUGGUUUAAGGAUAAUUAGAGUAGAGAGGAGUUUCUCUUUACUUCUUUUUUGAUAUGUUUUAUUUAUGAAGUUGAGACAUAAUUUUUGCUUUUCUGCAUUUUCUAGAAAGUGAAUUGUUCUUUAUCUCCUGUACCACAUUUUGUUCUGCAACUGCCUAUUCUAUGUUUUAGUACAAUCUGAGGCUUUAGCCUUCUCUGUCUACAGGUGCCCAAAAGUUGGGUCUACAGGGAGGGUUGCGUUGUCUUUCAACGAUAAUCUAUUUGCUAAAGUUGGUGUAAGAUUUGAUAACCCCUUCAUAUAUGGCAUCGACUUAGGUGGUCUUUGUGAUGAUUCUCAUGGAUACUUCUGCAAAGGUACUUUUGGAACACAUUUAACUAUUUUCCUUUAGUUUAUUAAGUUAAACAUUCUCAAGUUUGCAGUCUUGAUUUUACUUUCAAUUCCUUUUAUUAUUCUUCCUCUAGUGAGUGAGCUGUGCGUAGACGCCCCUGCCGUGGAGGAUCCAUACACGCUACUCACUAAUACAUUGUUUGAGGUGUGAAUUCUUUCUAUGAAUAUGAACAGUGCAAUGUGGAAUUUCUGUUCCUUCCUUUUUUGGGUUAAACUUUACUCUUUACAUUUCAUUAUACUUUUCCAGGUUGUAUUCAAUGAGAGCCUGUAUUCGCCAUUCAUUUUGUUCGUGAAAGAUGCUGACAAAGUAAUGGCAGGAAACGCAAAAUUAUAUUCAACAUUUAAAAGUCGGCUUGAGAAACUUCCUAAUUAUGUAAUUAGUAUUGGUUCGCACGCUCAUUCAGAUAAUCAUAAGGAGAAGGUACUAUUUGAGAUCAUAUUGCCCAUGAAUAGAUUCAUGUAAUUAUAUUUAUUCCUGUUAUAUAAUGUGUAUACAAUUUAUUAAGAGGCCUGUUAUGAAAAUUUAUUAUGGAUUAAAUUUCUUGGCUAUAGUAGUUAUUGGUGCCAAAAUUUGGUUAGACUAAGGCUUGAUCAAGAGAACGAGAGGUGAUUCCUAUUACAACAAAAAGUUUAAAAGAUCAUCUUCAAAACAACUUAAUAGACAUUAGUCCUGCUAUAUAAAUAAAUGCAUGAGUGCACAAGCAAGAUACACACACAUUACACAGUGCGGCACACUCUAUUUUGUGUAUAUAUACACACACAUAAACAUGGCCUCAACGGCCGUAUACAAGAGAUAUACCUAAAGUAGAGAAUUUACAAAAUGAUAUGAUUCUCUACAAACUGCACCCAAUCAUCUAUUCAACAAGAAACUUUCUGAGUGCACCAAAAGAAAAUAAGAGAACAAAGACUACACACCUUCAAUAGCUCUAGUGUUUCUCUCUCUCUCCAUAAUACCCACGUUAGCGCCAGUGGAAUCAUAUUCUACUCCCUUCAUCUUCUCCUUCUCAUGCUCUUCCAACUAAACAUCAACUCUCUCACGGUGUUUGACAUUGUCUAAGAUGUGCGAAACCAUCCAAGCAUAUUCCACCAUAACAUCAUAGUCAAUCACAAAUCCUACUUUUUUGGAAAAUUUAGGAUUUGAAAUCAGGACACUAAUCGCAUGUCCAAAAAUAUCCCACAUUGCAUGUCCAAGAACAUCCCAUAUUGUGAUCUUUGACAAUCAUUCCCUCGUUAGUUAAGUUUUGUGGUUGAGUUAGGCCCAAGAUGAUGUAGCAUGGCAUCAAAGUCAGGCCUAUCCCAAUCAUUAUUUAUCGAUGUUUGGUCCCUAUUUAUAUUGUCCAUACCCUAGAUGCCCAGUCUUGGGUGCAGGGGGUGGAGUCCGACAUAUUCUCAUUUAGGGAUGACAUGUCUCUUAAUGCUUCAAUUUGUUUGUCUGGUUUUGUUUUGAUAGGGGUUUUUAAGGAAGUAAAAAAAAACUCGUGAAUCAAAGAUAUGUAGAAUAUAACAAAAUGUCUUUAAUCUUGUAUUCUUAAACAUGUGAAAAGUUGGAAUUAAAAUGUUGUCAAAAAGGGAAAGAUGCAUUAUCUUGUAACAAACUACAAAAAGAAAGCAUGAUGAAUAAAUUGAAAGGAGGCCAUAAUAGUUUUUCUAUAAAUAGAUUCAAGCACAAUGUUUUAAAAAAUUCCGAAAUGCAACAAAUAAUUAGUACUCUAUCUUGAAUACCAUACUGAAUGAUCAAAUGAUGUUUGAUUGUUUUGGUUGCUUAUGGUAAUUGUGCCCAUAAUAGUCAACCCAACCAUAUAAAUACGGACCAAAAUACACAGCAAGCAAAUAGAGUAUUUGGAUAAUCAUGUACGAAUAAUCACCCUUUACUUGAUGAAAUGUUGCCGAUUUGGCUAGGCAAGUGUGUUACUUUUAAAAUCAGCCUACUUGUCCUGCAUGAAGAAAGUGUUAGUAUAUGCAUAUCAGGUUGUAGCGCCCAUUCAUCCAUAUGAUUGAGUCCUUGGGUUUCUGAAAUAGUGUAAAAAGAAGUGCUUCGAAUCAUUGCUAUUUGACUCGGACCUGCUCUAAAAAAGUCAGGUAUUUCGAAUUGUUUGUUGACACGGUCAAAGUCAGGGAAACCUCUGAAUUAUUUCAAAAUUGAACCUUGGAUCGAAUCUCUUUAGAAAGAAGAUCUUUUAUCUCAUGUCUCAUGGUAGCCUGCUCCAGUACCCUUACUAGAUAGAGUUAAGGAGUCUUUCAUAUGUGUUUUCUUUACUAAAGGGUUGCAUUCCUUCAAAUUAAUUUGUUAUUUGUCUUUUUCAACUCUCAGUCGCUUAUAGUAUUGAAUUUUGAUGAGUUCAGGAUAGCCCUGAGAAGCAGCAUGACAAGGGGAAAGAGGUUGCAAAGAAUUCAAAAUUUCUGACAGAACUUUUCCCAAAUAUAGUGGCUAUUCACAUGCCCCAGGUCUGUUGUUUAAACUGUAUAGAAUUUAACAAAAUGCCUUUAAUCUUGUAUUCUUGAACAUGUGAAAAGGUGGAAUUAAAAUGUUGUCAAAAAGGGAAAGAUGCAUUAUCUUGUAACAAACUAGAAAAAAAAGUAUGAUGAAUAAAUUGAAAGGAGGCCAUAAUAGUUUUUCUAUAAAUAGAUUCAAGCACAAUGUUUUAAAAAAUUCCGAAAUGCAACAAAUAAUUAGUACUCUAUCUUGAAUACCAUACUGAAUGAUCAAAUUAUGUUAGAUUGUUUGGUUGCUUAUGGUAAUUGUGCCCAUAAUAGUCAACUCAACCAUAUAAAUACGGACCGAAAUACAUAGCAAGCAAAUAGAGUAUUUGGUUAAUCAUUUGCAAAUAAUCACUCUUUACUUGAUGAAUGUUGCUGAUUUGGCUAGGCAAGUGUGUUACAUUUAAAAUUUAGAAGUCUACUUGUCCUGCAUGAAAAAAGUGUUAGUAUAUGCAUAUCAGGUUGUAGGUUCACUCCCCUUCCAAAUGUAGCUCAUGCAACCAAUUAACUACCAGGUUGGUAGCACCCAUUUAUCCAUACGAUUGAGUCUUUGGGUUUCCGAAAUAGUGUAAAAAGAAGUGCUUCGGAUCAUUGCUAUUUGACUCGGACCUGUUCUAAAAAAGUCGAGGUAUUUCAAAUUUUUUGUUGACACGGACAAAGUCAGGGAAACCUCUGAAUUAUUUCAAAAUUGAACCUUGGAUCGAAUCUUUUUAGAAAGAAGAUCUUUUAUCGCAUGUCUCAUGGUAGCCUGCUCCAGUCCCCUUACUAGAUAGAGUUAAGGAGUCUUUCACAUGUGUUUCCUUUACCAAAAGGGUUGCAUUCCUUCAAAUUAAUUUGUUAUUUGUCUUUUUCAACUGCCAUAUGGUAACUUAAUUAUAUUUUUCAACUCUCAGUCGCUUAAGUACUGAAUUUUGAUGAGUUCAGGAUAGUCCUGAGAAGCAGCAUGACAAGGGGAAAGAGGUUGCAAAGAAUUCAAGAUUUCUGACAGAACUUUUCCCAAAUAUAGUGGCUAUUCACAUGCCCCAGGUCUGUUGUUUAAACUGUAUAGAAUUUUAUAUGAUCUUAUUCUUGAUUCAGCAAACUACUGAGUGGUUUUGAGUAUUGCAGGAUGAGGCACUUUUAUCUAUUUGGAAACAACAACUGGAACAAGACGCCUAUACCCUCAUAAUGAAAGAAAAUUUUAACAGCUUACAAACAGUAAGGCUUUCUGACCUUUAAACUUAUGAGUGCGCACAUCAUUGAAUGAUGUUCUUAUUACUCAUCCUUGGAUAUAGUUUUUACCUUACAUUUGUGACUCCCCUCAGAUGUUCAUUUGACUUCUCUUGCAUUCUUAUGGAAGUGUACAAUUAAUUGAGAUAGAAGAUUUGAAAUGAACAUUUAUUUUGCAUCAUUAUACAAGUAGCACCUAGAACUCGGUUGAAUUCCCCUUCUCAUUUAGUUCUCCUGGGUUAAGCAAGGUUUCCUUGCUACCAGCCAUGAAAACAAACUUCAAAUGGAGCCUUGACUUUCAAAAAAUAUGUUACCAACGUCAGGGGAUCCCCGUGUAAAACAAUAAGCUGACCUUACACUACAAUCUUCUUACUGUAUCCUUUCCAUGUUAAUUUAUCUGGUGCAGAAGUUGAGCAACUCUGUCAAUUUCCCAGUCAUUAAGUAGCCUCCUGAAACUGAAAAUUUCACCCCUGUUGACUUAAUACAUCUGCUAGAUUGUCCUGAUUUUCCCAAUAAUAAUGUCAAUCAAUGUAUUUCCGACAUACUAAAGCUAGAGUUGGUGCUCUCUGAUAUUCUUUUUUCUAAAAAAAAUUGUGUGAAUAAGUUGAGUGCUUUAUUUCUGAAGUCAAUAGAUUAAUCAUAUGACGUCUAUCUUUAACUACUUUCUAUAUGAUGGUUGCUCUUUUAUAGGUUCUGAGUCGGAAUGGAUUGAAAUGUAAUGGACUUCAGACAUUGUGCAUCACAGACCGAAAUUUCUCUGUUGAAAGUAAGUUGUUGCUUUCACUGUUCUUCCGUUUCUCUUUCGUUUCUUUUCUCUUCCCGCAGUUUUGGGGUUGGGGUAGAGGAGUGUGUGAGCUACUUUAGAUUCUCACUAUAUUGUCACUGUGUUGUUUAGAUCCUCCAUAAUCCCUACCACGUCCAUUUCGGCACGAUUUGGGUGUGGGUGUAGGAUCUACACACUACUUGGUCAACCUAACUUGGGUGCUUUGACUAUAACAAUGACUAAGAACUAUAGGCUGAUGAUUGAUUGGAUAUUUGGUUUGAUUUUGGGAUUUAUAUGUAUAUAUAUUCACAUAAAGUACCCGAAUACUUUGCUAUAUAGGAGAUAGCUUCUGAAAAAAAUAUGAAGUGUUAACAAAAAAAUUAAUUAUUCUUAUCACUGUUUUUGGCUGCUUGAAGGUGCAGAGAAGGUUGUUGGAUGGGCGUUGAGCCAUCACUUGAUGCAGAACAAAAGUGUGGAUCCUGACGAGGCACUUGUUUUAUCACCUGUGAGGUAAUGGAUACAGCAGCAGUUGAUAUUCUCCUAUCCAUUGUUCGCUUGACUAUAAUAAUUGUUGAAUUGAAGAAUUGUGGAAAUCUUUUGCUAUUUAACAGCAUUCAGUAUGGGUUAAAGGUUCUACUUAAUCAAAAUGACACCAAGAGCUUGAAGAAGUCAGUUAAGGUGAUUAUAAUAUCCCCCAUCUGAUGUGUUGCUAAAUGUGUUUUUCAUUAGAAGCUACGUAAUGAUAUGAAAGAUAUUGACUUGUGAACUCAUGAACAAAUUUGUGUCCAACCCCAGGAUGUUGCGACAGAAAAUGAAUUUGAGAACAGGAUUCUGGAUGAUGUUAUCUCUCCCGGUGAUAUUGGGGUGACAUUUGAUGAUAUUGGUGCACUUGAAAAUGUCAAGGAUACAAUAAAAGAACUAGUCAUGCUUCCCUUACAAAGACCUGAACUUUUCUGCAAGAGUCAACUAACCAAGGUUUACAUCUACAUUUUGUCCAUAUUUUGCUUAUCUAAUUGUAUUAGCUUGCUAAAUGUUUAUUGCUGAUUUUCUGAAGUCCCCAAAAGAAGAUGCAUAAAAACAUUUUCUCUUGAUGUCAAAAUUUCCUUUUAAUGUGUGUCUCCUAUUUUGCUUUUAAGUUUCUUCUCAACGUCAUUUGGGCGGUUUGAGAAGAAGUUUGUGCUUGAUGAGAAACUUACUUCAAGUUUUGUUUCUCCUUUUUGGACUUGAAUUUCCAAGCAUCAUCUAGAGAUUUGUGGUUACUUAAGAAAAUUAUCGCUCUACUUGUUCACAGCCAUGCAAGGGAAUACUUUUGUUUGGUCCUCCUGGGACUGGGAAAACCAUGCUGGCAAAAGCUGUUGCCACUGAAGCGGGUGCAAAUUUUAUCAAUAUUUCAAUGUCAAGUAUCACUUCAAAGGUUUGUUUUACUUGGAGCUUAUUUGUGCUCUAUCGAGUAUAGAUGAUGUUGUUAAUAGUAGCUUCUCGCAUUAUAACAGUCUUUAAUCGUCUUCUUUCCCAUGCUGCAGUUGUUUGGUGAGGGUGAGAAAUGUGUAAAAGCUGUCUUCUCGCUGGCUAGUAAAAUUGCUCCCUGUGUUGUUUUUGUUGAUGAAGUAUGCUUCCUUAAACAUUAGCAUAUUUAUUUCUUCUUUCCUGCUUUAAAAUUCUAUACUUUUGCUGAUCUCUUCUGUCUCCUGUUUGUUUAUGCUACCUUCUCAAGGUUGAUAGUUUGCUGGGACGAAGGAAAAAUUCAAGAGAACAUAAGGCGAUGCGCAAAAUAAAGAAUGAAUUCCUGGUGAAUUGGGAUGGGUUACGCACAAAGGAUUCUGAACGAGUUAUGAUACUUGCAGCAACAAACAGGCCAUUUGACCUUGAUGAGGCUGUGAUAAGGCGACUGCCCCGUAGGUAAAAGUGGAACGACUAAUUUUCAGAUAUUAUUUAAGUUUAGUUUUAUAUAUCACUUGGUUACAUGUCUUUUCUGUGCAGGUUGAUGGUCAAUUUACCAGAUGCUCCAAACAGAGCAAAAAUUCUAAAGGUGAUUCUUGCAAAAGAGGACUUGGCUCAGGAUGUUGACUUGGAUUCAGUUGCAAGUAUGACAAAUGGAUAUUCCGGAAGUGAUCUUAAGGUGUCUUUACUAUUUAUGUUUGUUUGGAUAAAUGACUAGUCCUGUUUUAUCACUCUGAAGUUUGAAGACGGCUUGUUUUCUAAUGCAACUCUUUUACUAUGUAGAAUCUCUGUGUAGCAGCUGCAUAUCGACCUAUUAAAGAGAUUGUAGAAAAGGAAAAGAAGGUAUAGCUUUUCUAUGUUUGAUGUUUGUUUGUUGAUUGCUUAGCUGAGGCAGAAAAUAACAUGUUGGCUAAGGUAAAGCUUUUCUUUGUUUGAUGUUCGUUCAGUGAUUGCUUAACUUAGGCAGAAAAUAACAUGUUGGCUCUACCAAUAGGUUUUCUUGGCGAUUCUGUUAUGGAUAUCUGUUCCACUUCCUUUUGAUAAUUUUUCAUGGGCUUUAGAGGAUCCUUUUAAAGCAAGCACCUUAAUUCAACCAUCACAGAUCUGAUGUGGUUCUGUGAACAAGUAAGGGUCGGGAGGAUGUGGGUUUUUUUUUUUUUGAAGUUCGAAUCUUUGGUGCUUUUGUAAUCCUGCUUUCUUCCAAAAUCGUGUAGUUAAAACUCUAACAACUUGGGUUUGUUAAAGAAAAAGGCAGUCUGGUGCAUGAAACAUCCAUGUUCACUCGGGGUGCAAAGAAGGGCCACAGCCCAAUGAGGUGUAAUGUAGCCACCUUGCAUCAAGCUGGGGAAAGCACGAGUUUGAGGGCCAGCUCACUCUGUGAGCUCCCUGCCUUCCACUGUUUAGAUGGAGCAUUCGAACCCCAUAUGUAGCGUGGCAUCCCUUUCUCCUUUUUCCCCUCUCCUAAUGUAUUUAUAAAUGUCUAAAAGUUAUCUGGCAACCUAGACGAUAUAGAUUCCAAACUGGUUGAUUUCACUAUUCUGUUUAUCUGAUUGGAGUUAUACUUGCAACUUGCAAUUAUGAUUUAGAAGGCAGUUUAGGACACCCUUGUGUGUAUAUAUGUGUAUGCUCCUACCACCUUAAUAGACUUGCUAAAACUGGUAGCUAAUGCUUAUAGUUGAUUAUAGGAACAUGCUGCUGCUAGAGCAGAUGGUCGACCACCUCCAGCACCAUACAGCAGUGCAGACCUACGGCCACUGAAUAUGGAUGACUUUAGAUAUUCACAUCAGCAGGUGAGUUGAAAAUUUUAGGUAGUCUUUGAUUAUUUAACUGUAUUGGCAUAUGCUGAUUUGGAGUGUGAUUGACUAUAGGUUUGCGCAAGUGUUUCAUCUGAAUCCGUUAAUAUGACUAAGCUUCUUGAGUGGAAUGAUCUGUAUGGAGAAGGGGGCUCUCGAAAGAAGCAGUCCUUUAGUUACUACAUUUAAAGACUGUCUCUAUGUGUAGGUAGAUGUUUAUCUUCCUCCGCAGUCAGGUCAGUUGCCUGCCCUUUUGGGUUGCUGUGAACCUUGGCCGUUUGUACAAUGAGUUUUGACAUGUUGAAUAGACUUUUGAAAAAUAGUUAGUUUAUUUGCCUUUGUUUGAUUUUUACGUUUUGCUUACGACUUGCCGAGGGUGUUCACUGUUCAGUUCCUGUUAUAAAGUUUAGCUUACCAAAAAAUUCAACUAGAUGUCCAGGUUUAUGAUUUUAUUCUUGAAUUCAAAUAAUAUUCAAUUAUGAUCAAACAAAAGUUUCGUUAAGUAGGAGUAAUCUUGCAUUUUCUAGCGGUUAAUGAUGUUAAAAGUGUAUUUUACUUCAUACUUCAAAUGAUAGAUUACAGCUAGAAUAGGUACACACAAAAGGUCAAGAGCAUAUCUAAUCAGAUCAUGCCUUUUACCUACAAUAUUUGACUAUUAUUCUACACACUUACCUACACUAUAUAGUUGAAAUACUCUUGAAUAAUAUCUUUUAACACUAACUAACAUGUUUUGUACAAAUCUCCUACUGUCAAGUUGAAUCCCGGUAAUAGUUGCAUGAGAAGUUUAUGUAACACAUAUUCAAAGCGCAUGAGAGAUCAUAUUUAAGGUGCUUAUAAUACACAUAGGUGGAUCCAUAUAUGAGGUUGAAGGUGCCACCACACUCGAAAACCUCAAUUAAAUUUUUUAUGUGUAUAUGUAUAUAUGUAUAAAAGAUAUAAUGUAUAUUAAUUCGACACGUAUCCGUUGACAUUUUCUGAAGAGUCCGAGCAACAUAGAAGAUGAUUAAGUUGAAACAAUUGCAGCCUUCGAAAAUUGAGAAUAUUGGAUCCACACUUUCAUAACCUUUUUCAAUUAAAUACCAAUACAACGCUCAAUUAACAUGGCAUGAGACUCAAAUUUGACAUAAGUCACGAGUCCUUAGAGCUUUGUCAUUUGAACUAAGCUUCAGAGACUUAAUUGACUAAUUAGUCAAGGAUAAGGCACAAGAUUCCCUUAAAUGGAGUUUCAAAGGUUGGAUUACCCCAUUCAUUUUUUUCCAAUUUUAUAUGCACUUUUGGCUUAUGUGACAUCCAAACAUCUCCCGCACAUUAACUACGUGGAGUCACAGAGUGUGCCACAUAAAUUAAAAGGUGUAUAAAAUUACAAAAAUAAAUAAAUGAGUUCGAGGAUAAUAGAACCUUAAUUUAGUUAUCAUGUGUGUGAGAUUCCGGUCAUAAUCUAGGAAAUUACUUAAACCUAUUAACAAUUUAUUUUAUUACGUCUCUAACAGUUUCUUUAAUCUCAAAGAGUUCUUUUCAAUCUAUGAAAAAGGUAUUCUUCUCCAUUUCUGAAGUAUUAAUAAUAGACCUUGAUUAGUUUUCAUUUCCCCAUAAAUAAGUUCACAUUACUUAGCUAAUUCAUAUUUGGAAUGGAGAAACCACACAAAGCAACUCAAUUUUUUUUUGGUCAACAAAAAGUGGAAGCAGUUACGAGAAAUUUAGUAUUUGGAAGAUAUUUCUCUCUAUCACCUUUUUCCUCUCAAGAACAAAAAUUGUUACGAGACAUCUAGUAUUUGGAUGAUAUUUGAUUGAGCAAUGAUCUCCUAGUAGUGGAGCUUUAUUGAAUGCCGCAUCUAGACACAGAUCAGAAACACCACGUUUCAAAGGAUUCGAGUAGAAAUAAGAGUGUGAUUUUGCAAGGAUCUUCUUCCGGUGAAGCUUUAUUGAAUGUCGCACCAGACAGAAAUUCGAAAAACAUGUUUCAAAGGACCUGAGUAGAAAUAAGAGUAUAGCUGUGCAAGGAUAUCUUACCAUUGACACAAAUAAGAAAAGACGUGUUACAAAGGACCUGAACAGAAAUAGGAGUGUGGUUCUGCAGAUCUCCUACCAGUGCAGCUUCUUUGAAUGCCACACUAGACAUAAAUCAUGAAAAAAAAGUUUCAAAAGACUUGAGUAGAAAUAAGAGUGUGACUGUGCAAGGAAGGAUCUAGAUCCUUGCACAACACACUUUGAAUUCUACUUAGGUCCUUUAAAACUUUUUUUUCAUGAUUUGUAUCUGGUGUGACAUUCAAAGAAGUCCCACUGGUAGGAGAUUCUUGCACAACUACAAUUCUGUUUCUGUUCAGGUCCUUUGAAAUACGUUUUUCCUUAUUAGUGUCAAUGGUAGGAGAUCCUUGCACAACCACACUCUUAUUUUUACUCAGAUCCUCUGAAACAUGUUUUUUCCAAUUUAUGUCUGGUGCGACAUUCAAUAAGCUCCACCGGAAGAAGAUCCUUGCACAACCACACUCUUAUUUCUACUCGGGUCCUUUGAAACAUGUUUUUCCUGAUUUGUGUCUGGUGUGACAUUCUAAAAAACUCCACUGCUCAGAUAUCCUUUAAUAACAACACCUUUAUUAGUACACGGGUCCUUUGAAACUGUUAUUCAGAUCUUUGUCUGGUGCGACAUUCAAUGAAGCUCCACUAGUAGGAGAUCUCUUCACUUUGAUGCCGCACCCGUUUCAGACUCUUAAAAAAUACACUACUUUUGGUGAAUUCGACACGCACGCAUGAACAUUUAAGAGUCUGAGCAACAUAGAAGAUGAUUGAGUUGAACAAAUCGCAACCUUUGAAAAUUGAGAAUAUUGGAUCCACUUCUAUAUCCUUCUUUAGUUAAAUACCAAUACAAAGCUCAAUUAGCAUGACAUGAGAAUCAAAUUUGUCUAGGGGAGUACUUGUGCCUAUUCCAAUUAAUUCUAUUAUGUCUCAACAAUUUCUUUAAUCUCAAAGGGUUCUUUUCUAUCUAUGAAGAAGGUAUUCUUCUCCAUUUUUGAAAUGUGAAUAACAGACCUUGAUUAGUUUUCAUUUUCCCAUAAAUAAGUUAACAUUGCUUAGCUAAUUCAUAUUUGGAAUGGAGUAACCACACAAAGCAACUUAAUUUUUUGUUAACAAAAAAUGGAAGCAGUUAGACAUGAGACAACUAGUAUUUGGAUGAUAUUUCACGUGUAUAUUGGAAUCAGUUACACAUGAGACAACUAGUAUUUGGAUGAUGUUUCUCUCUGUCAAUUUUUUUCCUUUAAGGUUAAAAAUGAUAUCGCCAAAAAAAGUUCUGGCUCUUGACCGCUCACAGAAAAGAAACUAAAUAAAACAAAGAACCAAAAACCCAAACUAUUCCUCUUUAUCACUUUUUUUCUCUAAAAGACAGAAAAUGGCAUCGCCAAUAAACCGUUCUGGCUCUUGACCACCCACAGGAAAGAAAAACAAACAAGGAACCAAAAACCCAAAUUAUUCCUCUUUAUCACUUUUUUCAUCUGGCCAAGAAGAUGGAAGCGUCAAAAAAACGUUCUGGCUCUUGAUUGCCCAUAGGAAAGAAGAGGUGGUCAUAAUCGUCUGAUGAUAAACCUCCUUCUUCGUGCGUCCAAAGAUUUACACAUAUUUAUUUAGUGAAUAUUUAAGUUUAAUUUGAAUUAAAAAAUAUUGAGAGUCAAUUAAGGAAUUGAAGAAAUUGAUAGUUGUUAAUCAAAUUCUUGCUAUGGAAGGAGAUAUGCAUUUUAAUUAUUGAAAGUCGAUAAAUUUAGAAUAAAGCAAUAUUUGGAUAAAAUAUCCUCAAACGCCUAAAUGUAGUAAUUUAUACUUAUUUACUUGGGGCACUGGCAAAAUCUAUCUAUUGAUUCAACAAUUUGUUAAUCUACUUUGAACUAACCUUCAGGAACUUAAUUGACUAAUUAAUCAUAGGUCUAACUCAUCGAUGACCCCCUAAUUAGCAUAAUAUAACACUUAGACAUUUUAACGGGAUGAUCUUCAUUUAGAAAGACCUCAUGUAGUGUUUUACUAUGUCAUUUUGACACUUUUUAGAUACAUGGCAUAAUGAGUGAGAUACAUUCGUUGACCGGUGCAUGAAAAUGCUUUUUAGUUAAUUUUUAAUUCAUCUUUAAUUUCUUUAAACUAAGCUAAAAAAUUAUUUGAGAUAGUAAUGGUGUGCAAAUGUGGAGUGGGGUAGAAUCUGCAAAAGAAUUGGGGAGGUUGCACUACAACAAAAAUAAUUUUUAGUGGCAUUAAAUAUUAAAACUAAUAAAAAGUGUUAAAGUCUUUAUUGCCAUUAGUUAAAUAUCAUUAAAAUCAAUGUCACUAAAGACUUUAGGAACAUAUACAAAUUGCCGCUAAAAAUACAUAUUUAGCGGUAAUUAAGAAUUAAAUGUCGCUAAUGAUUAUUUUUUUUGUAGUGUUGGAGGGGGGAGGGGUUGGAGAAGACGACGGGGUUGUGGGUUUUUCUUCGUUUUUUUCAUUUAAUUAUUUGGAAAAAAUUAUGUGUCAUUGAUCCGUUUUUAUUUUAUUCAGACAUAAUUAUUUAAAAAUAAUUGUUGAUACAAAUGACAAAUGUCAUCAUUUAAUUUGUCACUUUACGCAUCAUUUGUGAGCAUAACACGUGCACAUUAUAAAUUUUUGCUUAUAUUAAAAAUUAGGGUCAAAAUGGCAUAGCAGGAUUCUACAUCAAGUGUAUACAGUAAACGUUGUCUAGUCAAGAUGUCUAAUUGAAACAUCAUGCCAAUUCUAGGGGGCACCAAUGGGUUAGGCCUAAAUUAUAUUAUCCCUAAACAACUUCUUUAAUCUUGAGGGAUUCUUUUCUAUCUACGAAGAAAGAAUUCUUCUCCAUUUUCGAAAUAAAGACCUAAAUUAGUUCUCUUCAUCAUAAGUAGGUUCAUAAUACUCUACUAAAUCACAUUUGGAAUGAAGUAACCACACAAAGCAACUUAACUCAAUUAGUGUUUUUUUUUCUUUCAAAAAGUAGAUGAAAACCGUUACACAUGAGACAAUCAGUAGUUGGUGAUAUUUCACUUUGUACCAUGUGUUCGUAGCAUUGUUAUCUAUUCUAUGGACUGCUUAUACAAGUAUUUGCAGUAGGUUGUCUCGUUUUUAAACUAGUUUUUCUAGUACAACAUUAGGGAAAAUGUAUUAACAAUUGUUGAUACAUAUAAGUAAUUAUAUUUUGGUUGUGAAUCCUGACAGAUGACAUAUAAGUUUCAAAAUUUUUUUUAAUACUAAUGAUAUAUUCAAUAAUUAUGCAAAAAUUUUAUAAAUGACAAUAAUUAACAACUUAAAUUUUUAGGAGACAUUUAAAGAAAUUUUGAAAUUUUGAUUAUAUUACUCCUUAAAAUAAACGCCUCUACUCAAAUUUAAAGCUUAUUUGGAAAAACUUUUAUUUUUUAGCUUAUUUUAAUUACUUUUAACUUAAAAUUCAAGUACUAAUAAAUGCUUUUCUAAUUUACCUGAACACACUUAAAAAAAUAAAUAUUUUUCUUAAAAUAAUGCUUCAUAACAUCCGCACCUACCACCUGUCAAAUCAAUAAAUACUGCCUAACCAAAACUAAUGAAAACCAAAAACCCAAACCUAUCACUCUUUUCCUCUCAAAGAUUGAAAAAAAAAUGGUAGAAAAAAGAGGUUAUCAUCAUCGUCCGAUGAUAAAUCUCCUUCGCUAUGUCCAAAGGUUCACACAGAUUAAUUUUUCACUUUAUUUUUUUUAGUAUUUGCUGAGUCAGUUGAUUUUUAAUUAUUUUUUUCUCUGAUUCUUCUAGGCAAAUGAUAGCAAUGUUGGUUCAUCUGGAAAAUCGAUGCCGAUCUUGGAGGUUUUCUAUUAGUAGUAUUUCUUAUUUUAUAAUCAUUCCUUUUUUUUCCUGUUCGGGUUUCCGUAUUUGCGUUUAAUCUUUAUUAAUUCAGAUUUUCACCGUUUAGGUCCUAUUUGGCAGAAAAUAUAUCAAGGAUUUUUUCAGACUCACAACACAAACUUAGAAUUAUAUUCAACAUUGAAAAGUCGGCUUGAAAAGCUUCCUGAUAUUGUAAUUACUUUUGGUUCCACAUGCUCAUACAGAUAAUCACAAGGACAAGGUACUAUUUGAGAUCACAUUGCCGACGAAUAUAUGCAUGUGAUUAUAUCUUUUUCUGUUAUAUCUUUUCAUAAACAAACUCUCUACCUCCAUGAGAUAGUGAUAAGGUCUGCGUAUAUUUUACUCUCCCGAAACCUAUGUUGUUGUUUUUGUUGCUGGAGUUGUGUAUAAUAUACCUGCUAUGGAUGUUUCAUAUGGAUUAUAUUUCUUAUCUAUAUAUAGUAGUUAUUGGUGUUCCCAAACUUUGGUAGACUGAGGAUUGAUCAAGAGAAUGAGAGGUGGCUCUUAUUACAACAAAAAAUUUCAAAGAUCAUCUUCAAACAACAUAUCAACUCUCUCACAGGUGUUUGACGUUGCCUAGGAAGUGUCAAACCACCUAAGUAUAUCUCACCAUAACCUCAUAGUCAAUCAUAAAUCCUACUAUUUGGAAAAUUUAGGAUUUGAAAUCACGAUAUCAAAUCGCAUUGUCCAAAAGUUGAUUUGAAAUCAUGAUUCCAAAUUCAGAUUGUAGAGUUGAUAGGAAGCUUGUAAUUGAUUAGUUUUGGAGGUGGCCAGCAUAUCCUUAAUGGCGAUGAAUACAAUUUACUAAUUUUUUUUUUAAAAAAAUAAAAAUCGUGAUUCCAAAUUGCAUGUCCAAAUUGCCUACUAAUUUUCUAGUUUAGAAUUAAAUCCAAACUCGGUAUGAACGACAAUAAAAAGGAAAAAAAUAAGAAAAAAUUUAUGAAAUCGAACAUUUGUGCAACAUCCUUUCAUAAUCAUAAAUGAGGUUCGAUUAUAUGAUCUAUGACAAUCCUUUCCUCUUGAAUUAUGUUGUGUGUGGUUGAGUUAGCCCAUUUGACAUGGUAUAAGAGUCCGGCGUAUCCUAAUUAUUACUUAUCUGAUGAUUUGCUAAAUUUGUUUGUCAUUAGAAGCUACUUAAUGAUAUAGUAGAUAUUGACGGAUGAACUCAUGAACAAAUUCGUGUCCAACCCCAGGGAUGCUGCGACAUAAAAUGAAUUUGAAAAGGGUUGCGCACAGAGGAUUCUGAACGAGUUAUGAUACUUGCAGCAACAAACACGCCAUUUCAUCAGGUUGUGAUAAGGCGACUGUCCCGUAGGUAAAAGAGGAACGACUAAUUUGUAGAUAAUAUUUAAAUAGAGUUUUAUAUAUCACUUGCUUAAUGCCCUUAAUAUGUCUUCUCUGUACAGGUUGAUGGUCAAUUUACCAGAUGCUCCAAACAACGCAAAAAUUCUAAAGUUGAUACUCACAAAAGAAGACUUGGCUCAUGAUGUCGAUCUAGAUUCAGUUGCAUGCAUGACAAAUGGAUAUUCCAAAAGUAACCUUAAGGUGUCUGUACUAUUCAUGUUUGCUUGGAUAAAUUACUAGUCCUAUUUCAUCAUUCUGAAAACAAAGCGUGUUCAAACUUCAAAAUGAUGAAACAGGACUAAUCGUUUAUUUAAGCAAACAUGAUUAGAAAAAACACCUUAAGGUCACUUCCUGAAUAUCCAUUUGUUGUAUUUGCAAUUGAAUCCAGAUCAACAUCCUGAGCCAAGUCUUCUUUGCGAGUAUCACUUUUGGAUCUGUGUAUAGCAGCUGCAUAUCUACCCAUUAGAGAGAUAGUAGGAAAAUAAAAGAAGUUUAAGCUUUUCUAUGUUUGAUGUUAGUUCGUUGGUUGCUUAACUAAGAUAGAAAAUAACAUGUUGGCUAAGGUAUAGCUUUCUCUGCUUGAUGUUUGUUCGUUGAUUGCUUAACUGAGGCAGAAAAUAAGAUGUUGGCUCUUCCAAUAGAUUUUUUUUCUCCACGAUUCUGUUAAGGAUGUCAAUUCCACUUUCUUUUGAUAAUUUUCAUGGGUUUUAGAGGAUCCUUUGAAGCAUCUUUAAUUCAAUCAUCACAGAUCUGAUGUGGAUUUUUUUUCAAAUUUAAUUCUACUCAUAUCCUUUAAAACUUCUUUUUUCAUGAUUUGUAUGCGGUGUGGCAUUCAAAGAAGCUCCACUGGUAGGAGAUCCCCGCACAACUAUACUUCUGUUUGUGUUCAAGUCCUUCCAAAUAUGUUUUUCCCGAUUAGUGUCAAUGGUAGGAGAUUCUUGCACAACCACACUCUUAUAAACGUGUUUUUUAUAAUAUCUGUCUAGUUUUGCCAAAAAAAAACGUUUUGGCUCUUUACCGCCCACAGGAAAAAAACAACAAAAGGAACCAAAAAUCGAAACUAUUCCUCCUUAUCACUUUUUUUCUCUAUUCAAGAAGAUGGUAUCGCCAAAAAAUGUUCUAGCUCUUGAUUGGACACACGAAAGAAGAGGUGAUCAUAAUCGUCUGAUGAUAAGCCUCCUUCUUCGGGCGUCAAAACUUUUAUACAUAUUUAUUUGGCAUAAUAAAUAUAUUGGAUCCUAAACUUGAUUCAAAUUUUAACUUUUACCUUUAACUUUCAUAAUGCACAAACAAACACUUUAACUAUUCAACUUUUAAAUAAAUAAACACAUGAGUCCUACAUGACACAAUACACGUAAGACACCACUUAGGACGAAAAAUAACAUGUACGAUGACAUGUAGAACAUGUGUGUCUGUUUGUUCAAUUUUAUACAAGUUUAAGUGUCUAUUUGUGCACACCCAAAAUUGAAGAACACAAAUAUGAUUGAAGUCAAGUUAAAGGACAUAUUUUUGUAUUAUGGCUACUUAUUUAGUGAAUAUUUUAGUUUGAUUUGCAUUAAGAAAAAAUUGAGAGUCAAUUGCUAUAUUGGAUAGUUACAUUUAAGGAAUGGGAAAAAGGAUAGAUAUAUCCCCGAACUAUUGUAAAUGAUAUGCAAAUACCCUUCAUCAUACUUUUGGGACACUGGUUCCCCUGUCGUCAUACUUUUGGAACAUUGAUACCCCUGUCGUCAUACUUUUGGGACAUUGGUGCCCCUGCCGUCAUACUUUGGGGACAUUAGUGCCCCUGCCCCUUCGUUAGAGUAAAGGGCAUAUAUGCUCUAAUUUAUGGACGACAGGGACACCAAUGUCCCAAAAGAUGACGGCCGCAUACCAUUUAUGGUAGUUCGCGGAUAUAUUUAUCCUUUUUUUCUUAAGGAAUUGAAAAACUAAUAGAGUAAUAGUUGUUAAUCAAAUUCUUGCUAUGGAAGGAAAUUGCAUUUUAAUUAUCUAAAGUCGAUAAAUUUAGAAUAAAGCAAUAUUUGGACAAAAUAUCCUCAAACGCCUAAAUGUAGUAAUUUAUACUUAAUUUACUGGGGGCAAUAGCAAAAUCUAUCUCUUGAUUCGACAAUUUGUUAAUCUACUUUGAACUAACCUUCAUGAACUUAAUUGACUAAUUAAUCAUAGGUCUAACUCAUCGGUGACAAGACAUUUUAACGGGACGAUCUUCCUUUUAGAAACACCUCAUGUAGUGUUUCCCUAUGUCAUUUUGACACUUUUUGGGUACAUGGCAUAAUGAGUGACAUACACUCGUUGACCAGUGCAUGCUUUUUAGUUAAUUUUUAAUUCGUCAUUAAUUUCUUUAAAAAUAGCUUUAAAAUUGUUUGAGAUAGAUAUGAUGUGCAGAUGUGGAGUGGGAUAGUUUCUGCAAAAGAAUUGGGGUGGUUGGGGGAGGGUUGGAGAAGACGACGGGGUUGUGAGUUUUUCUUCUUUUUUUUCCCUUCAAUUAUUUGGAAAAAAUUAUGUGUCAUUGAUCAGUUUUUAUUUUUAUUCAAAAUUUAAAAAUGAUUGUUGAUACAAAUGACAAAUGUCAUCAUUUAAUUUGUCACUUUACGUGUCAAUUGUGAGCAUAACUCAUACACAUUAUAAAUUUUUGCUUAUAUUGAAAAUUAGCGUCAAAAUGACAUAGCGAAAUUCUACAUCAAGUGUAUACAAUAAACAUUGUCUAGUUAAGAUGUCUAAUUGAAACAUCAUGCCAACUUUAGGGGGUAUCAAUUUAAUUAUAUUAUCGCUAAACAACUUCUUUAAUCUUGAGGGAUUCUUUUCUAUCUACGAAGAAAGAAUUCUUCUCCAUUUUCGAAAUAAAGACCUUCCUUAGUUUUCUUUUCACCAAAAAUAGGUUCACAAUAUUACUCAAUUAAUUCACAUUUGGAACGAAGUAACUCACACAAAGCAACUUAACUCAAUUAGUGUUUUUUUCUUUCAAAAAAGUAGAUGAAAAUCGUUGCACAUGAGACAAUCCGUAGUUGGUGAUAUUUCACUUGUACCAUGUAUUCGUAGCAUUGUUAUCUAUUCUAUGGACUGCUUAUACAAGUAUUUGCAGUAGGUUGUGUUGUUUUUAAACUAGUUUUUCCGGUACAAUAUUAGGAUAAAUGUAUUAACAAUUGUUGAUACAUAUAAUUAAUUAUAUAAGUUUCAAAAAAAUUUAAACACUAAUUAUAUAUUCAAUAAUUAUGCAAAAGUUGUAUAAAUCACAAUAAUUAACAACUUAAAUUUUUAAGAGACAUUUAAAGAAAUUUUGAAUAUACUACUCCUAAAAAUAAAAGCCUCAUUACAAUAAUCAAAUUUGAAGCUUAUUUGGAAAAAAACUUAUUUUUUAGCUUAUUUUAAUUACUUUUAAGUUAAAAUUCAAGUACUAAUAAAUGCUUUUCUAAUUUACCUGAACACACUUAAAAAAAUUAAAUUUUUUUCUUAAAAUAAUGCUUCAAAACAUCCGCACCUACCACCUGUCAAAUCAAUAAAUACUGCCUAACCAAAACUAAUGAAAACCAAAAACCCAAACCUAUCACUCUUUUCCUCUCAAAGAUUGAAAAAAAAAAUGGUAGAAAAGAGAGGUUAUCAUCAUUGUCCGAUGAUAAAUCUCCUUCGCGAUGUCCAAAGGUUCACACAGAUUAGUUUUUCGCUUUAUAUUUUUUUAGUAUUUGCUGAGUCAGUUGAUUUUUAAUUAUUUUUUUCUCUGAUUCUUCUAGGCAAAUGAUAGCAAUGUUGGUUCAUCUGGAAAAUCGAUGCCGAUCUUGGAGGAAUCCAAGAAUAUUGAAUUCACAUGUCAUUCAGGUGCUGAAACGGAGAAGCCUUGCUGCCAACUUAUAUCAGAGUUUCUGGAGGUUUUCUAUUAGUAGUAUUUCUUAUUUUAAAACCAUUUCUUUUUUUUCCUGUUCGGGUGUAUGUGUUUGCAUUAAAUCUUUAUUAAUUCAGAUUCGCACUGUUUUGGGUCCCAUUUGGCAGAAAAUAUAUUAAGGAUUUUUUCAGACUCAAACACAAACUCGACAUCUCUGGUUAAAACAGUAACAACGCCAUCCACUGCAUUUUUGCUGGUUCUUUAUCUAUUUUUGCUGUUGAAUUUCUUUGAUAUAAUGUGAAUACACUGCUCACCUUUUGUUUGAUAUCUAAUAGAAUGUGAAUACAUUGCAGAAUCCAACAGUGGAUAUUUCUGGGCAACAUUUCAUGGCUGGUGCAGGCAAAGACAUGCAAUGAUUUGUGUGAUAAAUCGUGAAGAGGUAGUGCUCUAAUUUAGAUUACCUUGACUCUCCUCACUAUUUUUAAUGUUGCUUUGUUCUAUUGUUCGGUUCGGUUCGGAAAACCACCCGAGAAUUGAGUUUGGAGUAUUCUCUUUGGGCAUUGCAGUAUUCCCUGGAACCUCUUCAGGCAUUAUGAGCAAACUACUACCAUAGCAAUUUGAAUAUGAAACAUAUAGCACAUUGAAGGACUGCAUUAGUUGGCUUUUUUUUUUAUUAUUGAUAUCUUAGAUGAAUUUUAUAUUGUAUAUACAAUAUGAUUAAUCAUUGUUUGUGGAAACGAUCAGUACCAAAACUCGAUGGCUUUGAUUGAGAGGAAUGGAAGCAGAGAACCAUACCCUUGGGUGGAAUACUAGUGGGCUUCUCAAUUCUGGCGAUCAGAUCGUCUUCCUCUCAAUCUGUGAGCUGUGCUUAGACGCCCCUGCUGUGGAUUAUCCGGACAAGUUACUCGCUAAUACAUUGUUUGAGGUGUGAAUUCUUUCUAUGAAUAUAAAACAUUGCAAAGUGGAAUUUCUGUUCCUUCCUUUUUUGGGUUAAACUUUACUCUUUACAUUUCAUUAUACUUUUUCAGGCUGGCUGUAUUCAAUGAGAGCCAGAAUUUGCUCAUUUUGUUUGUGAAAGAUUAAAUCCAAACUCGGUAUGAACGACAUUAAAAAGGAAAAAAAUUUAUGAAAUCGAACAUUUGUGCAACAUCCUUUCAUAAUCAUAUAUUGAGGUUUGAUUAUAUGAUCUAUUACAAUCCUUUCCUCAUGAAUUAUGUUGUGUGUGGUUGAGUUAGGCCAUUUAACAUGGUAUAAUAGUCUGGCGUAUCCUAAUUAUUACUUAUCUGAUGCUUUGCUAAAUUUGUUUGUCAUUAGAAGCUACUAAAUGAUAUAGCAGAUAUUGACUGAUGAACUCAUGAACAAAUUCGUGUCCAACCCCAGGGAUGUUGCGACAUAAAAUGAAUUUGAGAAGGGUUGUGCACAGAGGAUUCUGAACGAGUUAUGUUACUUGCAGCAACAAACACGCCAUUUGAUCAGGCUGUCAUAAGGCGACUACCCCAUAGGUAAAAGAGAAACGAUUAAUUUGUAGAUAAUAUUUAAGUUGAGUUUUAUAUAUCACUUGCUUAAUGCCCUUAAUAUGUCUUCUCUUACAGGUUGAUGGUCAAUUUACCAGAUGCUCCAAACAACGCAAAAAUUCUAAAAAUGAUACUCGCAAAAGAAGACUUGGCUCAUGAUGUCGAUCUGGAUUCAGUUGCAUGCAUGACAAAUGGAUAUUCCAAAAGUAACCUUAACGUGUCUGUACUAUUCAUGUUUGCUUGGAUAAAUUACUAGUCCUAUUUCAUCAUUCUGAAAACAAAGCGUCUUCAAACUUCUGAAUGAUGAAACAUGACUAAUCGUUUAUUUAAGCAAACAUGAUUAGAAAAAACACCUUAAGGUCACUUCAUGAAUAUCCAUUUGUUGUAUUUGCAAUUGAAUUCAGAUCAACAUCCUGAGCCAAGUCUUCUUUUGCGAGUAUCACUUUUGGAACCUGUGUAUAGCAGAUGCAUAUCAACCCGUUGGAGAGAUAGUAGGAAAAAAAAUUGUAGCUUUUCUAUUUUUGAUGUCAGUUUGUUGGUUGCUUAACUGAGCUAGAAAAUAACAUGUUGGCUAAGGGUAAAGCUUUCUCUGCCUGAUGUUUAUUCGUUGAUUGCUUAACUGAGGCAGAAAAUAAGAUGUUUGCUCUUCCAAUUGAUUUUUUUCUCCGCGAUUAUGUUAUGGAUGUCAACUCCACUUUCUUUUGAUAAUUUUCAUGGGUUUUAGAGGAUCCUUUGAAGCAUCUUUAAUUCAAUCAUCACAGAUCUGAUGUAUUUUUCGUUUUUCAAAUUUAAUUCUUUGGUACUUAUGGUAAUCCUGCUUUCUUUGUUAAAGAAAAAGACAGUCUGGUGCAUGAAGUAUCCACCUCAUUCGGUGCCCGGUGCAUAGAAGGGCUGAGCUUCUUGAGUGGAAUGAUCUGUAUGGAGAAGGGCUCUCGAAAGAAGCAGUCUCUGAAAUACAUCAUGUAAAGACUCUCUAUAUGUAAAUGUUUAUUCUUCCUUGGUAAAAAUCUUGAUUCCGUCAAAUAUGAUUUGGUACUUAAAGCACAAACUUAUGAAUUGAUUCUGUUAUUUAUGUGGAGAAGGGCAGAGUAGCAAAUCCAUCCUUCUCUAGCUGUGUUUAUAGUUGGCCUAAAAGAUAUGUUUUGGAUGAAUUUUUCAAUCAUCAUUAAAAGAAAAGAUAAUUAAUUACGCAUCAUGGCAUUUAACUUAUACUAAUGGUCGAGUGAUGGAUGGGGUUCGAAUGGCGUUUUAGUGUUAGUCUAAACAAUGAAAAUGGUGGUUCAGAUAUUUCUUGCGUUCAUUCACUUUUAAAAAUAAUCGAUAUGAUUUUGCAGUGUUUUACAAAAUUAUUUUUUAUUUUAUCUUCAUUUUUUACUUAUAAAAAAUAUUUGAAAGAUUAUUUCUUCCAUCGGCAAAUAGUCAUUUAUUUGUUUGAGUUAGGGUGUUUUUGAAAAUAAACUUUCUUUGAACUUCAUUUUACAAACGUAAAUUGUGUUGUAGUGGUGGAUUGUUUUACCCUGAACUACAAAUGUUUUGAUAUGAACUCUGGAUAUAGAGAAAAUGAGCAUCAUGAGUUUUAGAUAUGGGCAAAAUCUUGUUGGAAGUGUUGCCUCCAAAUGCAUCUGCUAUGCAUUUUUCGGAUUUUGUUGAAGCUUUAGUAUGGAGAUUCAAAAAUAAUUUUUUCUUUUAAAAUGAUUGUAUCAAACUUUCCUUUAUCUUUUAAGAAAAAUCCGAAAAAGGUCAUAUUUCCCUCUGUACUCUUAGAUAAUGAUUAUAUUUGUCUUCGUCAUACUUUUUUGAUAUAUUUAUUCUUGUCAUUCAACUUUGUUACUUUAAGACUAUAUUUAACCUCCAUCGGCUAAAUCUCCAUAUUUUUACGUAAUAUUAUCUAUGUUGUGCCUGAGUGGAUUUUAAUUUUAAUCUAAUUAAAUCUAAGCAUUGUUAAAAUCAUUUUAAUUCAUUACAUUGAAUUAAACUCCAUCCCCUAAUGAACCCAAGACCAAAGCCCUUAACUAUCAGAUUCUAUCACUAUUGAAAAAUCGAAACAUUAUCAUAGACCAUUAUAGCAGUUCCAUCAAAUAAAUAGAUAAUACCAAAUAUUUUAGAUAUAUUUGCUUCAAAUUUAGUCUGAUCUCUUUCCCGUUUCACCACCAAUAAUCACCAAAAAUUCACUUAAAUCAUUCAUCUCUAUUGUUAAACCUCACUUCACGUAAACCAUCUAUGAAACAGAGCACCUGUAGAAUGUUUGUAAAAUUUUACUUAUUAUUAAUAAAAUGCUAAUUAAAGAUGAAAGCUAGUUUUAAUUUACUUAACAAAAAUUAAAUGCUAAAAUCUAUAUUAGUUCUAAAGUUGAGUGUUGUCUAAUGAGAACGAGGAGAUAUAUAAUUUUCUAUACUUGUUCCAAUAGAGAUGCCCGUGAAGAAAAUUUACGCAGAAGAAUCAAGUUGGGUCUUAUUUUAAUUAGUGGAUUGAGUUUAAUGUAUGGAGCAAAUUAAAGUGAUUUUAAUAAUAUUUAGAUUUAAUUAGAUAAAAAUGAAAUUCACAUAGACAUAAUAAUAUUAUGUGAAAAUAUGUGGAUUUAAUGAAGAGCAACUUUUACAUUGAGCAAAUAAAAAAUUUAUAUUUGUAUGCUAUAGCAAAGUUUGCAUAAUUGCGCUCCAUAGCAAACAUAGAAACUGUAUAAUUCGCUAUACAUAUACAGUUGAAGUAAAUUGUAUAAAACGAAGUGUAUAAAACGAGAAAGAGAAAGACACUUGAGCAGAGAAUUGUAUAAACGAAGUGUAUAAAACGAAUUGUAUGAUUAUAAGUGUAUAGAACGAUUAUAUACAAUUUGAAUUUGUAAAAAAUGAGAAAGAAAAAUAUAAAAGAGACUUGGACAGGGAAUAUACAAUUGAAUCGAAUUGUAUAAAACGAGAAAGAGAGAAAUUAGAUACAAUUUGAAUUUGUAUAAAACGAGAAAGAGAGAAAGACAAAAGAAACUAGGCAGAGGAGUAUUUUUAUUGUAUAAUUAUAAGUUCAUAGGACGAAAAUACAUGUACUUGCAUGUGUAUAUACAAUUUUCUCACGCUUUACAUAAACAGAAACACAAUUUUAUACAUUUCGUUUCUGUUGUAUAAGUGAGAAAUGCAUCUGAAAGAGGAGAGAAAGGGGAAUAAAAAUAUAUGUAUUUAUACAAUUUUCUCUGCUUUAUAUAAAUAGAAACAGUAUUUAUACGAUUAGAUACAAUUUGAAUUUGUAUAAAACGAGAAAGAGAGAAAGGCAAAAGAAACUAGGCAGAGGAGUAUUUUUAUUGUAUAAUUAUAAGUUCAUAGGACGAAAAUACAUGUACUUGCAUGUGUAUAUACAAUUUUCUCACGCUUUACAUAAACAGAAACACAAUUUUAUACAUUUCGUUUCUUUUGUAUAAGUGAGAAAUGCAUCUGAAAGAGGAGAGAAAGGGGAAUAAAAAUAUAUGUAUUUAUACAAUUUUCUCUGCUUUAUAUAAAUAGAAACAGUAUUUAUACACUUGUGUUUGUGUAAAAAAUAAGGAAGCGAGCGAGAGAUUGGAGCGAGAAUGGGAGAGUGGCAUGUGAGAUUUUUUAGAGAGAGACGACUGACAAAUUUUAACAAACGUUUAUUAUGAAACACAAUUAAAUUAAAUCAUCAAAUUCUAGAUACUCUAUUUAUUUUGAAUUAUUAAUUUACUAUUAUAUAUAAUUAUUCCUUUAAUGAAUGAUGAGUAAAAUACAACCUUAAAGAGUUAAAAUUAGAUAACAAAGACAAGUUAAAGAGUUAAAAUUAGAUAACAAAGACAAGUACAUUAAAAAAGUAUUAUGUAGUACAAAUAUAAUUUUUUUUCUAAGAAUUCGGUGAUAAAAUGAAAGAAAAAUUAAAAGAUGGUUAAGUCAAAGGGUCAUAACAAGUGUGAGGGGUAGUUUAGGCAUUUCAUCUAACGUCACUCGGCUUUGACGGACCAAUCACUAUCCUUUUAUACGUGUUAAGAAAAAACUUCCCUCAGCGAUAUUUCAUUUGUACCGAUCCGUUUGAGUUCAUUUCAAUUUCGCUAAAUUCAGAUCGAGAUCCACAAUAAAAAAAACCCUAAUUUUGUUUUCAGAUCCAAAAUGGACGCUCUCGAUACUGUUUUCGAUCCUCUUAGAGAUUUCGCCAAAGACAGCGUAAGGCUCGUCAAAAGGUGCCACAAGCCUGAUCGCAAAGGUACUAUCAUCGAUAUACUUUUGUUGUUUUUGUAGAUGUAGUUUUUCGAUUUUUUCUAUAUGGAGAUCUAAGGUUUAUGUAUCGUUUAAAUUUGAUCAUUUGUGGUACAGAAUUUACCAAGGUUGCAACCCGUACGGCGAUCGGUUUUGUUGUGAUGGGAUUCGUUGGAUUUUUCGUCAAGUUGAUAUUCAUUCCAAUCAACAACAUCAUCGUUGGUGCUUCUUAAGUGGUAAUUUUUCUGCUUUUACCUCUUGUUAGUGCGACUCGGUAUUUCAAAUCAUGAUGAAAGUUUGUUGAUUUCUAGUUGUUUAUUUAUAUGAUGAUUGGUAGUUAGAUAUUUUUUUGGUGGGAUCUCGAGACUUGCUUGGUUAAUUGCUGGUUCUAUGAUGUAUUAUAGCCUGAAUAAUUUUACAGUGUUAACAUGUAGAAGGAUCUUAUUUGGUAAAUUGAAAAAUAUUUACAAAUUGUUCUCAGGUUUAAUUAUGUUAGGAUAUGUCGUACAGUAGGCUUGCAUGUACUAAUAUUCAAGUGGUGGCAUGAGUUAAGUCAAAGGAUCAAAAUUGAGCACUUUUUGCCUUAGAAAGGGGGUGAUCCAUGCUACCCUUAACUGUACACGGGAAAUGUUGGACUUUCUACCUAUAAUUGGAGCUUGGGUUCUGUGAUAGAUCUAAGUUGAUAAUGUUACGUUUCAAGGAUUCUGUUAUAAAGAUUGGAACAUUGGUUCCUCAAUGUUAAUGAAGUUUCUUUUUUCAGUUUGGUGCUCCAAUAAGUUACUUCAGAAAAGGCAUAAUGCUUAAGGUAGUUCAUCCGAAUCAACAUAUAGUCCGUAUUAAGGGUUCAUCCAACCAAAUACUGAAAUUUCUGUGGGGUUCUUGUAAAAACAAUAGUAUCAUCAUUUCAUAUUGCUAUGCUCUUUCCUUAAUUUUCAUUAGCUAGAACAGACAUCAUUUUUUAGCUCAUAUAAAGUCAGGAGGAGAGAAGAAACAUGAUUAUCUCGAAGUUGCUUGUUGAUUAAUAAUUUGUCUUUUACCUAUUAAAAUAUCUUAAGAAGCAAUAUGUAAUUAUGUCUGGAGGGUUCAGAUUGGUAAUAACACCAUUAUGUGACUAGACAUUCUCUCUUUUUUAAUCCUCUGUUUUGUGGUAUUCUUGUUUUCACUUAAUUAUCAUGGAUGCCACCAAUUCCAAAUCACACUCCAGCUCCUGAAAGAAAUGAAAGAGUAAACACUCUUUCCCUCUUUCUCUUCUUUAUUUUAUCUAUCAUGAGGAAUUGCUAUUCAUAUUACUGCUAUCAAGAAAAGAAGAGAUAUAAUCACAUAAACCAAAUGAAAUUAAAGGAAAAUUUGAAUAGUUAUACCACCAUAAGUGAAUAUACUAAUGAUUGUGUCAUGGUAUAUUUAUAGUUUCUCCGUUGUCAUGCUUUUCAAAUUGAUCAUGUCUAAAUGUAUUUAUAAAGCCAAUCCCACUAAUUUGGGGGUGAGAUUUAUAGCAUUGUUUAGCCAAGUUUUAAGAUUUUUGCAUAUUUUGAGAAAUGCUUUUCGAGAGAGUACUUUCGGAGAGUUGCAGUGUGUGAUUUGCUAUUCUAUUUGAAAAAUACUUCUGUUAAUAUUUGGGAAAAGCUAGUUUAGUUCAGCUGCUCCAAAGCAUCUACACUUACCUUCCUUUUUCGAAACAAUUGGCCAAACACCUCAACCUUUUCGAACAAGUACUUUUUGAAAGAAAGAAAAAAAGCACUAUUGGCUUACCCCAAAGCCUUUUGCCAGUCGAUUGAACCAUAUGUUCACUUUGGUGAUAUUCAUCUUUAACCUCCGCUAAGUUAUCUUUGAUAUUGAUCGUUCAUCUUUUUCUUUUUGACCGUGAAUUGUGUAUGAAAUUUGUUGAAUUUCCAAUACUUUGUUUCUUUCUUUAUCAAUUCCCUUGCCAGUAAUACCUGGGACUGCCAACUAAAUAUUUGUUGAUUUAUGUGAUGAUCCUCUGCAAUAGACACUGAACUCUGUGUGUGUGUAACUUGCAGGCUAUAUAAAGGAGAAGUACAACUGGAGAUGUAGAGCAAGUGAUAAAAAGUGUUGCAAAAUCUUAGUUUCAUAUUGUAAUCCGUAUGUAGUCUUAGUCUUAUUUGUGAACCGCCUGGUUAAUGGGGACUUUGUCAUCGAGCUUCCCCCCACCCAAUCCGUUUUCAGAUUUUGUAAACUUUGCUGCUGAUGUCAAGACAUCUAUUUAUUUUUUUUCAAUAUACUUUUUGCACCUUGGUUGGUUCAGUUUUGGAUGUUCCUUGAUAGAGAUUUAUGAUAUGCUGGAAGGCGUUGUUAAAUGAGUUUGAAAUGGAUGGUGAGGAAGGGGUAUAUCCUUCCGUGCCAGAAACUGAUCAUCCUGUCUUCUAAAAAUCCUGCUCCUGCGGAGUGGUAUAACUAAGAAAAAUAUUAUGUUUAAUAGUCCGCGAAACACUUUAUUUGAAGGUUGAUUUAUUUAAAUCUUCAAGGUUAUCCAUCUUGGUCUUAAUUAGAUUAUCAGGUGUGUGUGGAAAAUAGGGGCAAAAUACAAUAAAGUAACAAGUCCUGAGCUUUUAGGGAAAAUGCUUAUGAAAAAGUUUUAGCGAACUUGAAACAAGAGAGAGAAGGUAAUGAGGAACCAAUACAGCUACAUGUGAACAUAGCUAUAUCAGCAUAUAGAACUGGCAGCUAGCAACCCCAAAAGGAUUUUAAAGAGAAAUCUAGAAAUACACAAAAGUCAAGUUUUAUACAGACAGAAGGUUCAAGUCGGUUAAAGUCAAACAAUAUCCAUGACAGAAGCCAUAAAAGGUGGAUUCACAAUUUGAAGAAAUUACAUUUCCCUAUCAUAACCAUCAGUUUCACAUGUGCUGUUAAGCCUCCAAACUGGCAGCAGCGAGAUCUUUUAACUGCAGCAAAGGAAAGGGGAGAAAAUUUAGUACCAAGGUUUAAUGGUUGGACAAGAUGGAUAAGUUUUUUUAGAUCCUGAAGAAUAGUCAUACAAAAAAAACCAUAAAUCAAGAAGAUACAAAAAGUGUUAUAUUUGUUGACAUGCCAUUAAAUAAGAUAAAUUGAGAAACUACAAUCAAAACAGACAGAAUUGUAGCAUAUCAGCCUUGAUGUUCAUUGCAGGUACGCCUACAGUGUAGGCAACAUAUUUCAACUUUCAAAUCAAGAUACCACUGUGAUAUGAAACAAAUGACUUCUCCUUUUAUAUGAAACAAAAUACCUAAAGACAUUCAAGGAAAGAGGAGAAGUCAUCAUCAUCAAUGACAUCUGGUUCAUGAAUCAGAGUUGCACAAAAAAAAAAUUCAAAAAAUACAGUAAUCAACUUGAAGCUAGGUGGAUAAAUACAUGAAAAAAUAAUGUGCCUGUUAAAAAACAAUUGUAUUCAACCAGGGAUUACCAAAGACAGAAGAAUAAAAACUUAAUCAUAUUAUCAAGAAGAAGAGGAUACAGUGGCUCAAGUUCCAUAAAGGUAUUAUAAUUGAAGACUAGUGUGAUUGGGCUGAUAGGCAUUAAGAGAAAAUAACAACAAAACAACCAACAAUAAUCCAAGUGCAAUCCCACAAGUGAAGUUAUGGGAGGGUACUGUGUAGUAUGAAAACAGUCCUUACCCCUACCUUGUGAAGGUCCUGUUUCCGAAGACCCUCGGCUCAAGGACAGGUGAAAAAGAAGUGGUAAUAACAAACAAAAACAACAUGGAAGUAAUAAAAAGACUAAGAAAAUACAAGAAUAGUGCUAAUCCUCUGGGAAUAGAAAAGUGUACACAUGAAAAAGAGAAAAUAUGUGCAAAUAAUGAAGGCCUCUAACAGAGUACCCCUUUUGUUGGUAACCUUGGCCCAAUGAGUACUCUUCCACGUGCCAAAACUUGCAACUAUUAGCAGCUCCCUAGAAAACUUUCCUAUUUUUCUUGCAUACAUGUUACUAACAGCUCUUUAUCCCCAGUCCCAUUACUCAUACUUCCCUUUCUGCUUCCACCGUCCUCUUCAUUAAAAUCACUAAAACCCCAAAAGGAGGAUGGGCCAAGUGAGGAAAAGGCUAGAAAGAAAUCAUACUAGUGCUAUGAUUUAUGAACAAGCAUUACCAAGAACCUGAUAAACUACUGGCUGAUUAUUUGCUCUAGUACGAGAUGUUCCAUUGCACUUAUUACUCCUUACACAGUUCAGUUACAAGUGAAAAUUAAACUCAAUAUUUUAUUUUUUUUUAGAAAGGUAACAUUGUAAUAUUUGGUUCUUCUAUCAAAAAAGAUCGAUGAGAAUCUACACUUGCAGUCAUAAACUGAAAAGAAGCCUAAAAACAAAAACAACUUGGAUCCCCAGUUCAUCAAAUCUAAUCUUAAUCAACAAUAGAUUUUAGGAAAUCUACACUUCUAUCAACCAAUGUAAGAUUCUGAACAUGUCUAAUCCAUGGAAUGAUAACUGAUUGAGUCACAAGUAAAAAUAUACAAGUCACUGGCGCAACUGUCUUUAAACAAGAGAUAUACAAGAAACACCAGCUCUAGAUACCCAAGUCUCCAAGGUGAUUUUUUUCGCUCAUACACUGGCCAAUCUUUUUAACAGAAAAAAAUAUCUCAAUAACAAAAACUAGAUAGUUACUUGCAUAUCUUAAAACCUUACAUGUCAUUACUUUUUCCCUACUCAGUCACUGUUAAAUGUUUGGCACACAUCUUUACCUCCUAAUUACUUACCACAGCACACAAAAUCUCUUUUCUUUAUGUGUAAACAAGGGAUAAAUGAUUCAAACAUAAAUCAGAACUGGAUUUUGGAAGGCGAACUGGAAGUGAACAGGGGGCAUUGCAGGCUUUGUUUCCUGGACAAUUCUCAUAAUGCACCAAUCCUGAAGUCAAAGUAGAGGAGAUCUGGGCCCCUCAGGACUGGAAUUUAGCUUUCAGAAGGUUGUUAAAUGAUUGAGAAUAGCAAAGGUAGCAGAACUGCUGAGAAUAAUUGGUGGUUUUUAGGGAACUAAUAUGGAACCUGGAUAACAUGGUAUGGAAACACCAUCAGGAUGGUUUGUUGUCAGUAAAUGGGGUGUACAAUAUGAUGCUGACUGAAGUAAUAGGGAGGUCAACAGGAUGCUGCAAGUCUGUACCGAAGAGUGUGGCACCAAACCACCAACUAAGGUGAAAUGUUUCACACCUGCCUAGUAGUCAGAAGAGCUUGUCCAACUCAUGAAGCAUUACAGAGAAAGGGAAGCUGCAUUGCUUCAAGAUGUGCAUUAUCUAAGGAGGCUUUAGAAAAAAUAACAAGAACUCUCUGUGACCUAUGCAAUUUGGUUGCAGAAUACAAUUAACCUACAUAUCCAUUAACAUUUACAAGCAAACCACAUGUGUAGAGUAUCAAAGGAAAUGUGUGAGAGAGUAUCUGUUGAUAUAAGUAGAGUACUACAAUCAAUGUCUUUUUUAGCAAGUUAUAUGCACUUAAUAUGGAAAAUCACUUCCCUCAAUAUGCAAAAGAAACAAGACAGGAUUAAGGAAGCUAUAAGAAAAAACACAUGCCAAGUUAAGCAAGUAACCAGUUAAUUUAAACAUCUACCACCAUAACAUACGAAACAACCUAUCAACCUUCUCAUGUAGGACUAAGGUUGUAUACACACCACCAUCCCCAAAACCCACUAGUGGGAUUACAUUGGGUAUAUUGUUGAUGUAUCUAGCACCACAUCACAGGCACAAUCAACUAGAGAUUGCAUGACAUCAAUCAUGCAGUUGCUUGAACUUGGUACUGAUUGCCUAAAUUAGUUCUUUUUGAAAAUAAACGAAGACAACAACUACUCCAGUCAAUCCUAAACUAAUCGGGCUCAGCAUUUUAAACAAAACAUUAAGCGCCAAUUUCAUUCCAAUACUCCAUGAUUCCAGUUUCCACAAAAAUGCGAACACUCUUGACCUUAAAUCCUCAAAAGGAAAAUCAAAAAGAAGAAAAUUAUCACCAAAAGGAACAAAGAAUAAAGCAUUUUUACUUUCCAAUCGUAUUUCUCAAACAUCUACCUUAACCAGUAUCCAAUUCGUUCAAUUUGGGCCAAUAAGUACCAAAAUUUAGUACUUCAAGUUUUAAUAAGAAAAACUAUUAUACCUGACUUCAAUCCUCGAAAUUAAGCAAGAAAAGGAAGAAAUUCACCACUUUCAGGAUACAGAAUGAAGCAUUUUUCAUUUUCCAAUCUUAAUUUUCAAACCCUAGCGAAUCCAGAUCUAAAGGCAACAAGAUAACAUAGCAGAAACGACAAACUUACAUUUGGCCAUCAAGGUUACCCUGUCCACUGCUACCUCCACUAGCAUAGGAAUUAUCGUCUCCAGUCUGCCACACAGAUUGCCACGCCUGUGACGGUGGAGGGUGCACAUACAUUGAUGGAUCAACCCCAGGAACAGCAGGCCUACCAAGCAUCACUCCACCCGGAGCCGGCUGGCCCAUCGGAGGGUAAUAGUACGGCACACCACUAGCAGUAGAACCCACAAUUCCGGGUCCAAGCCCAACACCCUCAUCCUUAAUUUCAUCCCUAGGAACGAUGUCAACCAGAAAAUCAAAAAUAUCAGUACGAGUAAUCGCCGCAGCGAUGUCAUUCUUCUGUAAAGUCCUGCGCUUGUUUUCCUCAGCGUGAAGCCACGAACGGAUGGUGAGCUCCAGAAUGAAAAGCUCACAAGCUUUCGCGAACAGAACUGGAGCUUCAGCAGAGAUCAUACGAACAUCUUCAUCAGCUUUCAUGAUCUUUUUGAUACGAGCAAGGGGAAGUUGGUGGUUUUUGAAAUCAUUGACUUGCUCGAUUUCUUGACGCUGGUAAGUCCAAAACAUCUGUAGCUGCUGCUGUUGCUGCUGAAGGAGAUGGUGGUAUGGAGUCUGCGACGGAUACGUGGCUGACUGAGCCGCCGCUGCCGCUGCUGCGGCCGCCGCAGCGGCCUCAGUCGGAGAUUGGUGAGGGUUGUUGUCCAUGGCGGUUUGCGGAAAAUGGAAGCUACUAUCUGUGUAGAGAAAAUGGGAAAGGUGUAAUGGUGCUCUGCUCUAGCUUUGUACUUAUUUAUACAGUUCCAUUUUUUUUUUCUAAAAAACAGCUUUUAUUUUCUAUUUUUAAAAAAUGGACUUAUAAUAUUUAAUUCUAAAACCGUAUUUGUUUUAUAUUAAACUAGAAUCCAAAUAUUACUUUAAUAUAUUUUAUUUUUACUACCAACUACUUUUUCUUAUCAUGUUUUAUGUAUGACCACUUUUUUGUUUUCUGGAGCGUUCUUUUUUCUUUUCUUUUCUUUUCUUUUUUCAAAAAUUGGGAAUGGGAAAGGAAAAAUAUAUUGAAUGAUUUCUUUUUGAAAGGUUUUAAAAUAUCUAAUAACCAUUUUUCUUUUGCAAAGGCUAUUAUUAGUGGUAUUAUGGAAGUAUUCUUAGUCAAUGUAAUUUAUUAUUCUCUUUAUUUUAAUUUAUUUGAUCUAUUCAUUUCAAAAAGAAGAAUCUUUUUAUUAUCAAUAAUUUUUAAAUUUUAAUUUUUCAUAUAAUAUAUUUAUGAAUUAAGAUUAUAAAAUUUAAAAUUUUACUUAAUUUUCUUAAAUUUCAAAUGAAAUUAGAAUAGACCAAAGUCCAAGUUGAGGAAAUUCAUAAGUGAGUGAUUACAGUAUGAGAUUUUUCGAGAAGCAUUGGAGCAUUUGAUACGCCUUGGGCCUAGUAGUGAUUGACUAUUUUUCUAUUAUUUACCUAAAUCUGGUAAUAUUAAUAACUAAUUUCUAUUUUUUUAUAUUUAUAAGAAUUUUUUAAAAUUUGUCUGAGGGAUCGUUUAAUAUAAUAUAUAAAAAUAAUGUUAAAUAAAAUGUAUUGAUAAUGUUUGCAUUAAUUAUAUUUAGUGGAAAAACAUAAAAAUGACACCUGAAGUUGUUCUAAAUUUUCAAAAAAGACAUCUAAAAUUUGUGAGCGUUCUAUUACCCAAUAAAACUAUUUCAAUCACAAUAAUUAUACACUUUUAGCUUAUUUCCAUAACAGUUGUGUUUUCACAUAAAAUAGGCGCGUUUGAGAAGUAAAAAUAAAUUGUCAAAUCAACGUACAAAUGUCACAUGGCACUGACAAUUUGAACUUUCUUCUUUAUUAAAUACCUACUUUAUAUCUUCUCCAAAAUCUUCAUUGAUAAAUGUUGAAGAGCUUUCUAUCUAAAAAAAAAAAAGUUAAUAAUAAUCCAUUAUCAAUAAAAUUAUCGUUUAACUUUACUAGCUUCAAUUUUUUUUAAAUUAUUUUAUUUAAAGUUAUGUGAGCAAUAAAUUUGUAAAUUAUGAAAUUGCAAUCGCAAACAAAUUUCACCAACAUGACAUUUUUAAAUCAAAAUUUGCAUUCAAAUCAACAAGCAAUUAAUAUAUGAGCCUAUACUUUUCCGUUUUGAUUCCAUAAUUUAAGAAAUUAUCACAGUAAAUAAUUUUACUGUGACUAUUGAAAUGCUUAAGGUUUUGAUCAUCAAAGAGAGAGGUUAGAGUGAUAAUUUGAAAGGGGUUUAGGAUUUAAUGGAGUGGGUCAUAAUUAAAAUGAGAAUGAGUCAAGAUUUUAAUUCAAUUUUCACUAAAUGAGUUGGAAAAAAUUAUAUUAUUAAUUGUGGUGAUACUCAUGCUCAUACAUUGAGAAUGUAGACUGUGUAAAAAAACUAUGUAUUUAUUGUGAUUUUAACAUGUAUAAUGGAAUACGUUUUAUUUUUUUCAAAAAAAAAGGUCGAUAAAUUAAAGUUGUAUUCUUUCUAUUUAAAAAGUCAUUUCUUUGAAGGAUAGUUAUGAAAUAAUACAAAGUCUUUUUAUAUUUUAUAAACUCUGUGCUCAAUUAAAUUACGUGAUAUUAUCAAAAGGAAAAAAUACCAGUAUAAAAAAAAAUUAUUUUUAAAAUUGACUAAAAUAAAAAAAUGUGAUAAAUUUUGACGGAUGGAGUAUUUUUUUGGGCCUACACGAUAAUAUACCCAAUUUAGUACACUCCUAUUAGCAAUUCUUUUUUUCUUUUUUUUUUUGAAGAAGCGAAAAGGUUAGCUAGGGUCCACGGGCUGCGGAGAAAUGUCCAUUGAGCAAUGACCAAUUAUAAGAUGACACGUAGAUAAAAACUUUAAUUUUUUGGAAUUGUAAUAACACAUCACUGACAGCAACUUCAUGAUUUUUUAAUGAAAAAAAGUACUCUAAGUAGUCAUGUCAUUUCAGUUGGUGAGAUAUUUUUAAAGUAAAUUAGUAUUUUUAUGAUUGAUGAUUUGCAACUCCCAUGGAAAAAAGAUUUCAUUGAAUUCAAAAUUUCUAAUUAAGGAUUUUCAUAUUUUACUUCAGUCAUUGUUGUUUAUAUCACAAUUAAUUGCAACUUUAUUUGUAAUAAAAUAAUUAAAAAUAAUGUUAAAGUAUUGACUAAGUGUGUGUAUCGUUCGGUUCGGUUAUAUGCAUGUAUUAUCGGUUUGAUUUAUUAAUUUUAGAUUUUUAAAUAUGCUAACUCAAUAAUAAAUCAAUAAGAUAUUUUUUAUCGAUUUCGAUUUAUCAGUCUUUUGUCAUUAUCGGUUUGAUUUUUGGUUUACCCAAUAGAAAAAUAUCCGUAAAAUAUCGUAUGUCUUCUUAUUUCUCUAAAUGCUUUGAUAUAGAGAAACGAGAAACGUAAUGAUAAAUUCCGUCAAUAAGAGAAAAUAUAGUACAAACUACAAAGGUUAUAAUUACAUGUUACCACCAAAACAUAGUUUGGAAACUUUUAUGAUAAUCAAAUUACAGAUUUACAAACUUGCAAAUGCUACAACCUACAACCUACAAUUAACACACUAAAACUAAAAUAAAAAAGUUCAACAAGAUUAAAACUAAAACUAAAAUCAAAUACUCAAGUUGUGAACCCCUCACUUUAAUCUUUAUGUUUUUAGUAAAUAGUAAAAACCAGUAAAAUGACCUAGUCUGAAGUUAGUAGAGUACUAAUAAUUUUUGAUAUAGUUUUAGUGUCUAAUUAUAUAUUAAUUUAUUUAUAUUUAAUAAUUAGAAAAGGUAAAAUAAUAAAUUAUCACCGUCUUAUUGAGUUCUCGGUUUACCCAAUAACCCAAUAGUAAAAUCUGAUACCGAACCAACAACCCAAUAAUUUUUUUUAUAAACCCAUUAAAAACUCAAUAAUUUUUUAAAAAAGAAUUCAAUAACCCAAUAAUAUUUUUUUCGGUUCGGUUUAUCCGUCGAUUUGAUUUUUGCACAUCCCUAGUACUGGUGACAGUAGAUUACUUGUCCUAAUAUUUUAAAGAGCAACUUUCAAAUAUAGCAAACACAAAAUUCAUAUUUGUAUGUUUUAGCAAAGUUUACAUAAUUGCGCUCCAUAGCAAAUAUCGCUAUACAUAUUUAAAAAAAACAGUUGUAUAAUUCGCUAUAUAUAUAUAAAGAAAAUAAUUGUAUAAUUCACUAUACAGAUGCAAAAGAAAGCAGUUGUAUACAAAUCAAUUGUAGAAUUUGUGUAUGUAUAAAACGAGAAAGAGAGAAAGACAAAAGAAAACUGAGCAGGUAAAUAUUUGUAUUGUAUAAUUAUAAGCGAAUAUGACAAAUAUAUAUGUAUUUGCAUGUGUAUAUAUCAUUUUCUCUCACUUUAUACAAACAAAAAUGCAAUUUGUACAUUUCGUUUCUGUUUGUUUAAGCCAUAGAGAUGAGGGUGACGAGCGAGAUCUGGUAGAGUGGUGAGGAGGGGAGAAAGGGGAACGAAAAUAUAUGUAAUAUAUAUAAUUUUUUCUCGCUUUAUACAAACACAAACACAUUUUAUACAUUUGAGUUUGUAUAAAAGCAGAGGGAGCGAGCGAGAGAGAGUUUGAGGGAGAGAGGAGAUUGACAAACAGUUUGCUACAGCGCACAAUUAAAUCAAAGUAUGAUUAUAACACUUAAUUUAUUAAUUUGCCAUAAUAUACAAUAUUUCCUAUUUUAAAUUACUCAUUGUAUUUAUCAUGUGUUGUAUCCUUUACUUGGCAAUAUUACCUACUCAUUGAAAAGUGAAUAAUGUAUAAUUGUAGAUUAAGUUAAUUAGCAGUGUCAUUAACGUGAAGUCGAUAUGUCCGAGUGGUUAAGGAGACAGACUUGAAAUCUGUUGGGCUCCGCCCGCGCAGGUUCGAACCCUGCUGUCGACGCUUUUGCAAGUUUUUUUUUUCUUUUUUUCGCUUUUGCAAAUUCUUAUUAAUUUCUUCUCGCUGUUAAUAUACUCUAUCUGUUCUCAUAGCUACGAAAAACUGCAUCCUUUGUCUUCCUAACAUUGAAUUAAAGGUCAAUUCAUCUGUCAUGAUCUGAAUUGGUUAAAGGCACGUGAAAAAAUGGGAAAACAAAAGGCAGUGAAGUUCUUACAUACAACUCUCAGUCUCAUCUUCUUCUCUGUCUCUAUCAUAUCCUACACUCACUUUCAUAUUCUUCUUCUGAAGUCUGUAUUGAGUAGCAAUAUCAAGUCACGGUGACAGCCGUGAUUCAAUUUCUUAUAGUUUCAUACUUCAUUUUCAUCGACAAUUAUUGUGAUUUUUGCUUUGAGUUGAAAUAAAUGGAAUACUCUUUAGCUUAUAAAAUUUUCCUCAAGCUUAAGGAUAGCAAUAGUUGUGCAGUUGUACAAAUGACGUAAAGGGACGUUGUCUACCAUCCCUUGCAAAGAAUAGAAUUAGAACACAUAGUUGGUGCAUUACAUGUGUUUUACGUAACAAAUACAGUAUAUCACAGUCCCGUAUGAAAUAUAAACUCCUGACAACUCUUGGCACUAAAAUUUGCGUGGCGUUGCCAGUUCAUUCUUGAACAACGCAAGAGAUUUAUUUGGUGCAAUUUACAUCACUCAAAAUGAAAACCUGCAAAUCUGGAUUGCAGACGAGGAAAAGGUAAAAUGAUCCCAAAACAGCGCAAGUGUCCAAUUCUAUAACACCAACAUUCAGUCAAAUAUAAUUGGUUCAUCGAGCUCAUAUGAAUCAAUAUGCUACUCCAAUUCCUGGUUUAUCAAGAGUGAACUUCUUUCAAGUAAUUAGUUACCAGAUCUCCUUAAGAAUGCUAACACGCCUAAGCCUGCAACUAAUGCAGCACCAGCUGCUACAGUGCUGUAGGCUGAGGCCCAUGCAGAUUCAGGAUGAGCAUAAUCCAAACUACCGCCCGUUGUUCCUGAAUAGUCCAAGUGCAAUUUUAGUCCCUGUUCAGGUUGAUUUUUGUCAUCAGUCCUUAUUUCGUAAUCAAGAAAAGAGAGACAAAAUUUAAAUCAUAAGUCAAUCUUCCUUCCUGUUACGAGGGUUUAUGUUCAUUCACAUUAAGUAAGGUCAAAGGAAAGUCAAUCAUACCUUCCAACCUGAAGAUCUUGCAUGGUCAAUAGCUGCUGUAAGAUCACCAUCUGAUGCCAGUACAACCUUGUCAUGAUCUUCAUCUUCAUACUGCAAUAGAGUAAUUGUUAUGAAUAUAAUAAUCAACUUGCUCAAACAGGGAAAACCAAGAGGACGAGAAUCAUUCAAAUGUACGAGGAAAAAUUAAUGCAUUUAACCAGAAUCUGAGGAAGAUUGGUGCGGUCAAUGUCAUCCCCCACUCUUUGAAUUAUGGCAGCUAUUAGAUCAGUCAUGUUCUGAAUAUCUGAAAUAUCAUAAAAAUAAUAGGGUCAUCGACUCAUUGUGGGACUCAAGAUUGUCAUGGUUGUAAAAUUAUGAAAGACAACAAAGCACAAAUAUCAUAUCAAUUUCCUAGAGUCAGUUUCAACAGACAAUAAAAACAAACAAGUACAAAUUUUUCUCUCUAAUAAUAAUAAAAAAGAGCAAGCAACAGACACUGCUGGAUAUAUAAUGCCUGAUAGUGAUAUUCAAGAGCACCAACAUAAAGAACAAUCGAGAAACACAAAUGAUACGGAAACAGUUGAAAGGACAGAACUUCCAUAAAUUUGAUAGGAGUCAAGAGCUCUGGGAAAAUUACGACAGUUUAGAAGGCAGGUCUCAAGAUGCCUUAAAGAGAGAAAAUAGAGGUGCACAUCUAUUGGUUUGUUACACAUGUCAACAGUACUGCAUGAUUUGGCAUCAUGAAUGCAUAUAUAAACAAAUGGGCCAAUGGCAACAAGAAUUUCCAGGUACAAGAUACACAAGGUCGUAUCUGAUUUUGAAAUCAAGCAACAAGAUUUGAUAAACCAAGAGCAUAAAACACCAGCAUAUAAGAAGUAUACCAAAAAGUAGAAAAUCUUACAAAGAUAUGAUUUUCUAUGAACGACACCCACAGCGAAACCUCAUGGGUGCACCAAAAGAAAAUAUAGGGGAUAACGGCUAUUUAUUAGGUGUACAUAAAAAGAUACACAAGUCAUCUGAUAACAUCAUAACAUUGACAAGUGCCUAAUUUUUUUGGUUAACUAAAAGCAUAUUAUUUAAACAUACCACAGUUGAACCUGUGCAUCCUCCCUUUUUUGUCUUUAAUCUUGAAUGAAAAACUAGUUGGCUGGCUAGAUGAAGGAUAGGGAAUAGAUCUUCCUGUUUCUGUCCCUUCAGAAGCCAAUUUCAAGGAAUUCUCACUGAAAUGUCAAAUAGAAAAUGUGAGAGAUAAUACAAACGGAAAAGAAAAUGAGUUCACAGAUAGAGGCCUAAACCUCCGUGUCUCAUCAUCAUCAUCAGGAGUCAAUGCCAUAGCUGAAUCCCAAAAUCUUUGCAUCAUAGAGUUUGCAGCUUCAUUAUUUACUCCAGCAGCAUUUCCCACCUGAUUAGUAUCAGUUCUUGAAAUAAGAAUCUUUGGGAAAAAAGAGAACUAAACAAAUAAAAUAUAGAACCUAAGAUUAAAUAAAAAAGUUUCAACGUUCCACAAGAUUUUUUGCUACAAUUAACUUAAUGACAUCCUAGAUUACCUUGAUUUUGAGUUGAUAUUAAUAGUUGAAAAUGUGCCUCAGAAAAUUUAACCCUAACGUUAAGUUUUUAAUCAAAUAAUGAAACAAGAAGAGUUUUAAAAAAUCAUACAUGUAAAUAAAUUGAGCAUGACAACUUGACCAAUUAAACACAUUUGUACAGAAAGCACAAACGACAGCCACAAUGGUUAAAGGAUUGGUUGAAAUAAUCACUGAUCCAAAAUAAAGGAAAAAAUUAAAUAUUAAUACUAGCAGUAGAGGUCAUACAUUCAACAAAGUUGGAAUUUCUUUUACAUAGGUAAACUGACAACCUAGUUUACUUUCCAUAAAAGUCCGUCUUGACAAAGUGGUCAGCAGGAUUUAAACUUGAGAGUUAAUGUCUUUGAAUAUGCAUGGAUACAUGGCAAACUCAUCAAAGUAGUCAAGACUUGAAUGAGGUAAUUACAUACAAGGCCGUAUUCAGAAAGUGAAUUAACCACCAACAUGAUAAUUCAAAUGAUAACAAUUGCUAAUGACAAGUUGAGAAGGGAAAACUUAAUAUGUUCAUGUGUACUGCCUUACCGUGGCUACAGCUGCAUGAGUGAUAUGAAGCACAUCAAGAACAGAAACAACAGUUCCCUCUGCCACAAAAAAGAAGUACAAAUUUAUUUAAAGACAUUUGAAAAAAAAAGAUAUUCUAACUCAAAGUGUAACGGGAGGCGAAUAAUACCUUUAUCAACAACAGGAAGGUGUAAAAAUUUCCCGUCAUGCAUUGUAUGUAAAGCAUCAACAAUAGGCAUAUCUAUUGAAGCACAUUCUGGAUUGGGGGUCAUUACCUGGAUGUUAGAUGCAAAACAAAAUGGAAGUUAUUAGUACUUAUCUCUCAAAUCUCAAGAAACGAAGGAAAACAAAAAAGAAUGAAAAAAUCUAAGUUCCAAUAAUUCAAAGAACUAGUAUUGUUUAAACCUGUUACUUCGAUAUGACCAAGCUAUCCCUAAAAAAGAUACCCCCUCAAUUAUCGAGAGAGAGAGAGAGAGAGAUUACCCUUUCAACAAGAGUGGAUUCAGGGGGAAGAUCUUGUGCUAUGACUCGCAUCAACAAGUCCUUUGAACUGCAGAGUAUAUGAGGCAAAUCUUCUCAUGAGAUGAUUAUUAUAUGCCAUUACACUACAGCUCAGAAUCGAUAAAUGUAAACGAGUGGAUACAAGGGGAACACUACUAACGUUAAAAUCCCUCGUGGUUUGUUGUCAACUGUUAUGAUAGCAGAGCUUAUUCGACAUUCGAGCAUCUUUUUGGCUGUGGCUAGAACAGUUUCAUUUGGUUCAACUGUAACAAUCCUAGAAACACCACAAAUCAACAACAGAUAGUGACUCACCUGUGGAUUACUUAAAAGGUUAAACUAUUCUAAAAAUGAAGGUUACAUACUUUGAAUUUUCAGAAAUGAUGGUAGACAGUGAAGGCCUGAACAUUCUCUCCCGAAGUGCUUCUAUAAAUGUAUUGGAACUUGCUAAAAACAAAAAAUAUGGAAGGUCAAUAAAUGCAUUUCAAGACCAAUCAAAAAUAUCAUUCAAUCACAUGAACUUAACAGACACAGUCAGUAGAUAGAACACUCCUACACUAUGCCAAUGAAGAAUAGUAACAACACAAAACUAAACUAACCACAGCCAGUUGCCCCCCAGUGUUUUUCAACUCCCUCAACGGCAGCUGCAAUGGCCUUUCCUUUCUCAGCUGCCCUUUCAAGGCGAGCAAUCGCAUCAUAAAGGCACUUUGCAAUAUCAAGCAAAGCAACGACCUCUCCAUUAUCUACAACUGGCAAAUGUCUAAAUUUUCCUGUUGUCAGAACAAACAUAAGAUGUUGGAAAGGUGUUGAAAAAAGUUAACAGCUUGAGUUAUUUCAAAUACACCAACCUAGCACCAUUUUCUGCAAAGCCUCCACAGCAAGUGUGUCAGAAAGCACAAAAACCGGAUUUUUCGUCAUUAUCUUUGAAACUGGUGUUUCCUGUAUAUUAACUUCUGGAGCAAUAACCCUCGUUGCUAUAUCCUUCAAUUUGCCCAAAGGAAAUAAAAGAAAAGAUGCGUGAAGAAUUAGUUAAAGAUAUCACCACAAUGGGUAAAGGAAAAGCAUCAGCAAUAUAAGCAGCUCUACAGAGGUCUAUUUACUUAAAUUUUACAGCCUUUUAGCAUGAUCAAAGUCAAACCUUAUCUGUCAGGAUACCACAUAGUAAUGCAUUUGAAUCAGUCAACAACAAAGCAUCAACUCUGCGAGCAGCCAUCUUGCGGCAAGCUUCAUAAAUACUUGUAGUAUCAGGUAUUGUAAGGGCUUUUGACAGCCUCAAUCUCUUAACUGUGCGCUCUCCAGUCAGUCCCCUGUUCCAAAUUUGUGAAACAAAUAUCAAAAUUCAAAUAAGCACACAAAAUGAUUAUUACAAAUCAAACUGACUAUUACUGAUCCCAACUUGAAAGCAAAACAAGUUUUUUUAAAUAUUAGUAUUCCGCACUAGCAAAAGAAUCUCAUAGCUAUUGCUUUGUUCCUUAAUAAAAUUUCACUACAUGUGGCAAGAACAUAACAAAGGACUGUAUACUUAAAUUACUAAGCGAUCUCCAAAAGUUGCAUUAGAGAAAAAAAAAUCAACCACCUAAAAAAGGACUGAAAAAACUAAAAACCUGAUCAAACAAGAACCUCAAGGAAGCCUGCAUAGUAUAGCCAAUUGAACCACUCAAAAUGAAUGAUGGGAGCAUCUGAGUAUUGGACAUGGGUGUAAAGCGAACAAGUCAUCCAUAGACGAUUACAGCAUACAAUUAAGCACUUCCAUCAUGCAGUUUUUCAACAUCAGAUAAGACUUUGCUGUGAUAAUAACAAUCACUGAGCUGAGGUUCCAACUAUAAAAUAUUUUUUCCUUACUUCCAAACAUUCUAAGUAUAGAGUAUUAACUCUUUUCUUUUCCCUCAUAUAGCUAUAAGUAAGCAGCAAAUAAAUCAUUUAUAUCCCUGACUAAGAGCUCAUAUCCAUCUCCAAUGUUCAAGUUGGGGGGAGAAGCUCAGUGGAAGAAUCAAGUAAAGCUUAAUUUUACAUGACAAACAUUUCAAGCGGGUGGCAAAACUAAAUCCAACACUGUUAAUAAUAUAUGAUGGCCACAACGGUAUGGCACCACCAACUUCCCCAAAUUUACUAGCACAAAGUCCAACGAUGUACCUAAAUGAGAAAACAUCCAUAUCUCUGCGAACGUUUUGGAAUUAAUAUAUUUCAAAACUAAAAAGAUUAUUUUGAGUUCAAUACAUCCGGACAUUAUAGAAACAUUUGCUUUAGAGUUUCCGGAAACUUGUGCAAUAUCCGUUACUUCAAUAAAGGAAUUAAACAUACAUAGAACGAGAUACAGAAAUCGACUUCCGGUGAGCAGAAUCCGGUUGUACUCCUUCAUUUUCCGCUGCUGCUUUCUUCUUAGCAAGUGAAGAAGAGUUCGUCAACGAUAUGCUUCUCCUCGAUGAUGAUCCUCCUCCUUGACUCGUCGGCAUCUGAACUCUACAGCAAUCAAAUUAUUCAAUAAAAAAACUUGUACUUGAGAUUUCAACGGAACCACGAGAUGGAUAAAAUUGUCAACGGUCGAAUACAGGAAAAGACGGCCCUCAGCCGAAAAAAUAGGAGAAAAAUAUGAACAAUAUUGAUAACGCUGUGGAUUCAAGUGUCAACUGCCGGAAGAAGAUUUUCCGGCGAGGAGUGGAAGGAGAGAUGGAGGGGAACCCUACGGAUGGAAGAGGAAAGGUGAGGAUUAACGUUUGAGCUGAGAAUUGAAUUGAAUUGAAUAGAAUAAUCUGUGGGAAAACGCCGUUAUCUUGUGGGGCCCUAACCAAUAAGAUUCUUCCACGUCAACCAAUGACGAGGAUUCCAAUUUCACUGGAGCAUAUGAGGAAUUGAAUUAAGACGGUGAAAUUCAAUUUUGAAUUUUACUUACACUCCUUCGAGUCCUCAACUUUCUUUCUUUUUCUUUUUCUUUUUCGUUCAUAUUUAAUUUAAUUCAUAUCCUCCCAAUUUCAUUUUGUGAGAACAAUUAUUAUUCUUAUAGAGCCAAAUCAUUUUUUCAUUAAUUCCAAUUACUUAUUUUUAAUAAUGAAAGUAUACUAAUUCAGUGCCCUUUAUGUGCUUUUUAAUACCAAGUUAAAUAUAUUUUUAAAAUGAGGCGAAAAUUAAAAGAUUGGGUGUGAGCACCCUAAACUCUUCAUUCGUCUAAUAAAAUCUUCACACCCUAAACCCUUCAUUCUUUUCAAACAAAAGAAAUAAUUCUUCCGUUUAAAAAAGGAUAAUUUAGUUUGAUUUAGAACGGAAUUUAAUAAAAGAAAAAAAAAUCUUAAUCUUGUGGUUCAAAAUUAAAGUUAUGUCAAAUGUACCAAAAUGUAUUUUAAUCUUGUGGUUUUAAACAUGUCACGUGGAAAAUUAAAAUUAAAAUAUUACAAAAAAAAUGAACAUUUUUUUAAACAAACUAAAAAAAUAGGAAUAUUUUCUUUUAAACGAAGGGGAUACAUGUCUAAUAAAAUCUUCAUUAUUUUGAAUUAAUCACGCAAAUAACUUAAAUUUACAUAAAUGACUUUUCGGAAAAAUAGAGAGCACUGAAGUAAGAGUGAUACAUUACUAGUAAGAAGCUAUUGUAGUUUAGAAUCAAUUCCUUCUCCCACAUCCAUCAAUGGUAAUUAGCCCCUUUCAACUUAUUCUUCUUAUGGAGGACAAUUUUUUUUCCUUCUGAGAUAAAUAUUCUUUGUUACCUCUCUAAAAUAUACUCAUCAUAAGCCAAAUUUAGUGGCCCAAACACUUAAAAAAGGAUUGUUUGAUACAAAGAUAAAUAAUGUCAAGGAUAAUUAAUGCUGAGAUUAGUGAUGCAGGAAUUAAUAGUGUACGAUUUUGUAAUGCAGGGUUUAUUUAUACCAAGUAUUUGAUUCAUUGUUUCCACCUCAUCUUAUGUUUGGAUUGAAACCUUAUAAAAAAAAAUCUUUUCAAUUAUACCCUUGAAUUAUUAUGCAAUUGAGUUAAGGUAAAUAAUUGUUAGACAAUACUAUUUUUUUAUGGUCUUCUAACUAGUUGUGAGAAGAACAAUUUUUUUUAUCAUGUUUGCCUUUUUUCACUUAAAUUAUUUGAGGAUAAAUAAUCAUCAACUUAGUAUUGAUUACUUACAAAAUGUCAAUUCUCAAUUAACAAAAAGAUAAAUUGUCAACUUCUAAAAUUGAGAAGACGGCAAACAAUAGUAAAAUUGAAUAAAUCAUCUACAUUUACGUAUAAGAAAAUGUAAGUUGUAAUUAAAAUAUGUAUGCAAUUUUAUAAACUGCUCAAAAUACAAAUAAUUAGAAAAUCACACAAAUAGCUUAUCCUAGUCGAUACAAAUAGCACAUCAACGAAUUAUACUUCAAUUAGGAUCACAAACGUCAUGUUGUGAUAUAUUUGUCCUUUUAAUUAGUUACUGUUAAAUAUUGUAUUAAUUUAUUUAGUAACAAACAACUUUAUCUAGAUAACUUGUAAGAUAAUUUAUUUAAAUAAAUUAACUAAUACAAAUACAAUACAUAAAAUCAAGAGAAUAUACAAAAUAGUUAAAAUGAUUUGAGGAAUACUUUUAUCUUUACAUAGACUUAUCCCAUAAUAUUAGUAUUAGUAAUAUAUCCUAUAAUACCAUUAAGAGGUGUAACUAAUUUAUAUAUUAGUUAAACAUAGGCCCAAAUUCCUAUCAAUAUAGUACUAAAUAAUACCAUACAUAAUAUAUGGACUAUUAUUUUAAUACGGUCUACCAAACGACCUUUUAUUUAUCUACUCAUGAAAAGAUAUCAAAGGGACUUCUUGUUUCAAACAAAUUCAAUUAAAAUAUAUUUUGAAAAAAAUUAGACUUCCAUCGCAGAGAAAUGAAUGAAAACAGUCAUAAAGUUCUCAUGGAAUCGACAUGUUAAGGUAUUGUUUAUGUACAAUAUGAACAUGGGGGUGGAAAGUGUGUUUUUUGAAGUUAGAGGAAAAACAUGUAAUUAUAAGAAGUUAGAGGGGCGCUGAAGAAAAAGAAAAAAAAAGAAGAAGAAAGAACAAAACAAACGUGACAUAAAUUCUGAAAAAAGAUUUUUUUUUUUAAAAAAAAAAUUCUUCGAUUAAUGGACAAGAGAAGAAAGCACUAAACACAAUUAGUGGGAUGAAGUAUAUUCUGGUGUUUAUACUCUUUCUACUUAAUUUUAUUCAAUGAUAUUUAAUUAAAAUAGAAAGCUAAAGAUAAUAAUUCAAAUUAACUUUCUAAAUAGUUUUAUGAGUAUCACUUCAAGUUCCCUGUUCCAGAUGAUGUAACUUUAGUAUAAGUUUCGGAUUUUAGAUUUGAAUUCUAUAGGAUCGUGAUAUUAUUAAAUUCAUUAAUCAUUUGAGUUAAUGAAUUUGAGAUUUAGCUAGCGUUUGACCAUAAAUUUUUAAAUAUUAUUAGCGAAUAUUAGUUGAGUGAAAAUUUGGUAAAAUUUCACCAUGUGUUUGGCCAUAGGAUUUGAGAAAUAUAUUUCACCUUUUAAGAAAAAUAUGAUUUAUACCCAUAAAUUUUAAAAACUAUUAAAACUAACUAUAAGUUUGUAUUACAAGUCAAUUAGAUGUUCGUUACAACAAUAACAAAUAGUUUUCAUGACACUAGAGUAAUGUGGUAAUUUGGAGCGAGUGCAACAAGUAUCAUUCCAUACAUCGUGAAGUAGACGAAACACAUGACUUUGAUUACCUUGAGUUAAGUUUUCAUCAUUUUCAUCAACAAUCAUAUCAUUAUUUAAUAUUCACUAAAUAUUUGAUCACUAUUUUGGUGUUCACGUAAAAAAUUAUGUAAUACAACACAAACAACUACACUAGAGGGUGCUUUUGUAAAAGCUAAAAGUUUGGAGUAAAAUUUUAAUUUUCAAAAGAUCCCAAAUAAUGAGAUUUGGGCUAAAUACUAACAAAAAUUAGUAGUUGAGAUAUUUACCAAAAAUAUUUAUCAAAUAAUUACAAAUUGUAUACGCAAAAUUUGCCAAGUUUUUCUUCAAAUAUUAUUUGGAAAAUCUAUGAUCAAACAGUCCCUUAAUAAAUUUCUUUUAAGACAUAUAAGAUUUGAGUCAAAGUUACUGAAUUCAGCUGGAUGUGCGAGUUCUUUUUUGCAUCCGCUCCCGGAUGGGUUACCCAAAAGAAGAUGCUUUGCCCUCCAUCAUAAGGCUUUAGCAUGUUUCUAGCUACUUCUCUUGAGGAACAAGUAUGGAAUCAAUUUUCAAGACCAUAAUAAAUUGUGGCCACAAAUGUUGAAUUGAAAAAAAACACUACUGUGCAAUUUUCAUAACAUAUUUGCCUGCAACUGAGAAAAAAAUGUUAGAUUGGGCGCCAAUUAUUAUUGGUUACCUUCUAUUCGUUCUUCUUUCGCCUGGACUCAUAUUUCAGCUGCCGGGGAAUCAGCGUCACGUCGAAUUCGGCAGCUUCAAUACUAAUGGCAAAGCCAUUCUCCUUCACACACUAAUCUUUUUCGUCUUUUUCACCAUCCUCAUUUUGGCCUUUCGCAUUCGUCUUCUCUUUGGCUAGCGGCCAAGGACGCAGAAGGUUCAUCCGAACAUCUUUUUACCAAAAAGCUGAGUAAUAUGCAUAUGAAGUUGAAUUUUUAUAUAUAUAUAUAUUAGACGUUGAAUUUUUUUAGUGAGAAAUGUUGAUUUUUUUAUAUUUUUUUUAAGAUGAAUAAAAGUUAUUCCGAUAUUUAUUGGAGUUUUACUGUUUUUGUAAUGAUAUACUUCUGUUUUUCAUCUAUUCGGGCUUUGUAAAUGCAAGGGACAUUCUAAUUAAUAUGUGAAAUUUUUAAUUAAUGGUUCUACUGAAAGAUGUACGUUUUGGGCAUCUAAGGUGGUACACUUUUUUUUUUUUUUUGAUUGGUUUGAUUUUCCAUAGAUGUGUGGAAUAAGUUGAUUUAUUGUAUUAAUGGACAAUGCAAAUCAAAUACUUUUUUUUCGCUCGUUUGAAUAUGGGAAUUUGAUAUCAGUGGUUAUGUUUCAUAACGUUAUUAAGAUAUUUUAAUAUUUUAUUUUAGAGCUCAUACAAGAAAUUUUUACUGAAAAAUAGAAGAUAAAACAUACUUACUGUAUCUUAAAUAAUGAACUGUUUAGCCAUAAAUUUUAAAAGAAUUUUUUAAAUUAGAUUUCUACUAAAUAUUUAUUUGAUCAUAAAAAUUAAUUGAUAUCGGAGGAGGCACUCGAAUCUCAAAAUCUUGUUCAAACAUGUUGUUAGGCCAAGAUGCAAGAUAUAAUGUUGGUUCGUUUAAAAUUGCCCAAACUUUUUUUUUCCUCUAUAAAGUUUAUUUUAUGUAUUACUUCAAAAAGAAUAUAUCUAAAAAGAAAAAAAAUAAUAUCUUCAUUUUUUUGUAAAGGAGAUAUUUCUGAACUAUUAUAUAACCAACAAAUAACCAUCAAUAUACUUAGUUAAAUUUUAUAAGUAAAGUCUAAAUGGGAUAGAGUAUAUGUACCUUAUAAUAACAGGUAAAUAGAUUGUUUGAAAGGAUCAUGACUCGAAAAUAACAAAUUUAAGUACAAAAAAAAAAAACAAUGCAAAAAAAAAUAACAAUUAACAUGGUGAAUCAACAAAAUAAUAUGAUAAUCGAAACACGAUAAAUAACUGACAAUGCGAGAUAUCAAAAUUAAGAACAACAAUAAUAUCAAAAGCCAAAUAAUACAUGAAUAGGUUAUUACAAUGAAUGACAUGGUGCUCUAUGUUAUAAUCCAAUCAAAUACAUAAAAAGUCUAGUUAUACAAUUCUUAACUGCAUACUAACAAUUUAGUUAUCCAGCCAAAUACAUAAAAAAUUUAGUUAUACAAAAAAUGCAUCGUAUCUUAUCUAAACACCUCAUCUCAAUACUUUUUCAAUCUUCUUCCACCUCUCCUCGACCCACUAUAUUCAACCUCACACACCUCCUCGCAGGACAUAUGUGUACAUCGAUCUUUACAUGCCCAAACUAUUUCACUCUCCAGCUCCCUCAUCUUGUCCAUCAUAGAGUUCCGUACUCCUAUUUUGUCCAAAUAUUCACAUCUAUAAUUCUAUCACUCUAAGCUAGCGUUUGGUCAUAGAUUUUCAAAUAUUCUUGGUAAAUAUUAUUUGAGUGAAAAUUUGGGUGAAAUUUCACCAUGUGUUUGGCCAUAAAAUUUGGGAAAUAUAUUUCACCUUUUUAGAAAAAUAUGAUUUACACACACAAGUUUUAAAACUAUCAAAACUAACUAAAAGUUUGUAUUACAAGUCAAUUGAAUGUUCGUUACAACAAUAACAAAUAGUGUCCAUGACACUAAAGCAACGUGGUAAUUUGGAGUGAGUGCAACAAGAAUUAUUCCAUACAUCGUGAAGUAGACAAAGCACAUGACUUUGUUACCUAGAGCCAAUUUUUAAUAAUUUUCAUCAACAAUCAUAUCAUUAUUUAAUAUUCACUAAAUAUUUCAUCACUAUUUUGGUGUUAACGUAAAAAAAUAUGUAAUACAACACAAACAACUACUAGAGAGGGUGUUUUUGUAAAAGAUAAAAGAUUGGGGUAAAAUUUUAAUUUUUAUAAUAUCCCAAAUAAUGAGAUUUGGCCUAAAUACUAGAAAAAACUAGUAUUUGAAAUAUUUGCCAAAAAUAUUUAUCAAAUAAUGACAAAUUGUAAGGACAAACAUUAUUUGUCAAAUUUUUCCCAAAUAUUAUUUAAAAAAUUUAUGGCCAAACAGGCCCUAAUAUACUUGUGCAUCCAUAUCAACAUCUUUCAUUUCUUCCACUUUCAUUUUUAUUAGAUCAAUUCUGGCCAACACUCAUUUCAUUCAAUAGAGUCUAUCUAACCACGUUCAGUAAAAUUAAUCUUUAAUUUUUAAUUGACUUGUUAAGUAACCAUUUAAAUAUAUUUGAACCAAACAAUUGACGGAACAAAUAUCUCAAAACCAAACUAUUAACUAAAAAUAUUUUUGUUCAAUUUAACAAAUUUUAAGAGCAUUUUUACCAUUUUCCGUAAAAAUAAGAUAGAGUUUCCUAAUCCCUAAUUUUGUACAAUUACGAUUCACACACCACUUCAAUUGACUGCUAAACUACUCUUAUACAGUCAGAUCUGUUCCUUUCUUUUCACUUUUAGUCCACCUUUUUUUUUUCUCUGGAUCUUUCGCUUUUAUCCCCACACUUUUCCCCAUUUCUUUACUCUGUUCAAAUCAACGAGCUAAUUUUCCGAUUAACAAUGGCGGACUGGGGCCCAGUUUUGAUAGCGGUGGUGCUGUUCGUGUUGUUAACUCCGGGUCUACUAUUCCAGCUUCCCGGCCGUGGAAAAACGGUUGAAUUCGGGAACAUGCAAACCAGCGGCGUUUCCAUUUUGGUCCAUGCAGUAAUUUACUUUGGACUCAUCACUAUCUUCCUCCUUGCCAUUGGCGUCCAUGUCUAUGUCGGCUAAAGUAGUUUUUACCUUCACUAUUUGUAAGUUUGUAACAAUCUUCUCUCAGAUCUUCAUUCUCGCUUAUAGAAUAGUAGCAAUUGAUCUCUUCCGUUUUCGAUUUCUUUAUUUGCUACUACCAGAUUGUAUCGAUUGGAUGAACUGUUAAUACUCGAAAAGCAUUAUGCACUGCUUCUCUAAUUUUACCUUCACUUGGUGCAUCAUUAUACACGAUCAUUAGAUUCUCCAACAACAACAAGAUACACAGUGAAAUCGCACAAGUGGAGUAAGAUUGUAAGCAGCACACCUUACUACUUCCUGUUGGGAGAUAAGAGAGGCUGAUUCUAAAACACCGCAGCAAAUUCAAUUACAAAUAAGAAGAAAAUGCUCUAGAAAACAUAGCAACAUUGAAAAACACAGUAAACAAUUAGCAAAUAUUUUUUUAAAACUUGAUAUGGAAUAAUGGUCUUGCUUCAAUUACUAAGAAAAAAAAUUGAGCUAGUAUCAGAGACAGAUCUAGGAUUUGAAGUUUAUGAGUUCUUAUAAUGUGCUCAAGUUAAUUUAAAGUGAUAACUGGAUUCACAAUCAAUUUUUGAUAGAUACUUUGUGAAUUUUGUAAUACAAAUAUAAGGUAUGAACUAAAGUUACUGGGUUGCCAGGAACCCAUACCUUAGGGCUAGAUCUGCCCCUCUAGUAUCCAUCCAACAAUCCGGAUUGUGGAAAAUAUUUGGUAUAAUAUCGAAUCUCAUUCAUCCACAAGUAUUUAAGAUUUGUAUGCUUUGCUGAAUAUUCUAUAGUUCCCGAGUUUGAAACAUUAGACUAUACAUGAAGGAGAAUGACUUGUGGUCAAUGUAAAGAUUUUGUUUUUAUUUUGCCACUGUUUGAUAUUACCUCGGCCUUUAUGAGAUAAGCAAAGCAUAACUAUGAUAAAUAUGCUCAACUGGAAACAAAGGAUUGGACUAGCCGGUCCAACUAAUUUGAGAUUGAAGAGUAGUUGAUUGAUUGUUAGCGCUGAAUAUUGUUUGCCUUUAACUAACACUUCAUUGUUCAAUGGUCAAGCCAUUCGAUUGGUGUAUUUCCACUUCUCUUGCUAUACACUUUUCCUUUUUUUUUCCUUGUUUGAAUCUUCAAUCAUAUCGUAUAGAUCUAGAAUUUAACUCUUGCCUAAUAGAGAAUGGGCAUGACCCUUCCAUGUUCUAUCAUCCAACGGACGGACUAUUUUGAGUUCUAUAUGUAGGUUAGGUUGUAUCAGUCACAUCUGACUCUGCUUGUAGUUUCAAGUUCACAUGUCGUACUAGAAAACAGGGGCUAGUGUUUGCAAUGGUGACAUUUCCUGAUGUUGCCUUCUUUCUUCGAGGAUGAAAUGAAGAAAAGCUGUCAGGUUGAAGAAAUGUAAUGAAACUCACAAUAGCUACCAACUCCCCUUUAACUUCCUCAUACAACAUGUUUGUCUGAAUACUAGCAGCAGGCCUCCCAUGAGUCUGUUCUCCAUGGGGAUUGCCAUAAGAUACCUCCAUGCUAACAUUCUAUAUGCCUCAGUACCUUUAACACCACUCACUAAUAUAUCAUGCCUUUUUAAGUUAAACUACUCUCACUUCGCGAGUUAAUUUUACAUAAGGUCACCAACCUCAUUAUAAUAGUUAAAUGCAAAGCUUUUUAUUUUCACAUUGAAGUAUGUGAAUUGCUCAAAAUAUCACAACUGACCAGGAGGUCAAAUAUUCAGAAUCAGGUUAUGACAAGUCACUUGCAGUAUCAUUUUUUACUACCUAUAAUUUAAACAAUAGAUAGUUGCAAUAGCAUUUCUAAUUCCGUAACCCCCCCCCUUCCCUUUCUCUAUCACACAGACAACUCUAAAAACUGAAAUGGGGAUACUCAUUCGAGUUUCUAGAAGAUCCUUAGAAUAUCUACUCUCUCUUCUCAGAUUCACCAUCAUCAUCUGAAUCUCCUCUGUGGGCUGGUGGAACAGUUGCUCAUCUGUGGACUGCUGGCAAUAAUUGCUCAAGCAAUAAGGAAAUCUAUGGAUCGAGUGAAGUAGGACUAUAGAGAGCAAAAUGGAUCACUGUUCUUGGUCAGUGGACCCCAAAGGUGGCGUCAACGUCUGUGCGGUGCCAAAUGUAGUCUUUCAUGCUAGCAAUACUAGUUUGGAGACUUUAUUAUUGUUCUUGAACACAAGCUUUACCAGCCAACUUGUUUGACCUUUGAAACUUUUUUCUCAUACUCAGUGUUCGUCGUUUCAGGCAUACUCCUGUUAGCUCUUCACGUUUUUGGCUAACACGGAAAAUCAUACCUUUCUUAUUUGGUGUUUUGACCGGCUUGAUCGGAGUAUUAGCUAUAUUUCUAUUAACCAGUAAAAAAGUAGUGUCAGAAAUGAGCUUAUUGUGCUGUGUCUACUCUGUUUCAUGUAUCUUUUCUAAUCAAAUGUUGUUCUCUUGGCUAGUUCUUUACCGCAGUAUAAUUUGGUCAUAAAUAAGUAAACAACUCAUGCCUCCUUGUUCUUGAAUGAUAAAGGAAGUCUUCAUCACCUUUUGUUGAUGCUGAUUGUGAGGUGACUAAAAUUCACUCACUUAUCAAAGAAACUCCUAAUCUUUGAUUUGUUCGAUUUCUCCUGGUGUUCAACUCGGAAUUCCAAUAAAGAUGUGUCGGGAUUAUGAAAUAGUGUCGGAGUCAAAAUUUUGACUUAGAGAUUCAAAAUAUGAAGAAGUAGGGUUCGGAUGAACCCCUUGCUUCCACCUAGCUUCUGCCCUCGUUAUGAAAUGGAAGAAGUUAAUAAUGAGGUUCCUUGUUCGCUGGUUGAUCAACUAUGUGUACAGAAUAUGUUGAAAAUGAAGUAUAGUAAAAUGAACUUUAACCUCUCGAUAUAUAAUAAAACUACUGGAUAUUCAAAUUUGUUUCUCAUAUUUUUCUCCAUUGUAAAAAAUUAUCACUACUUUAACAUUUGUUUUCCGCUACCACUAUAUAAUGCAUUGGUCCAUUAUCAUUUUAAAUUUUGUGUUUACUCAAAUAUCAUCAUAUAAAACUCAAUAGAGAAGAUUUUAAAUUGAAAACACGUACAAUUUUCGUUUGGAAGAGAAUCAUGAGAUCUCAGCCAUCAGACUCAAAUUCGAUUAGAGACGAAAUAUAUUAAAUGAUUUCAAUUCUCUUAUAUUAGGCUUAGUGGAUAUAAUUAUCUUAUACUUGUUGAUGGUAGGAGCUGAUACUUGUUGAUGGUAGGAGCUGAUAGAUACGUGAAAUUAGUUGUAAUACGUGAAAAUUGAUCUGCACACUGUGAUAAUAGUUUUUUUUUUUUUGUUUAUGAGCCUCUAUGAGGACUCUGGAAUCAUUAGCUUCUGAAUGUCCUUUUUAUAGCCCCCAAUUCGACCAAUUAAUAGGAAGGAGCGAAGGAAGAGUGUUGGUUAUGGAUUUUUAUCAAACACAGUAAUUUUAGUUUAAAUUUUAUAUUUGUUAUAAAAAAUAACUUAGAAACUAAAAUUUAAAUAUAAUAAAUUUUAAAAUUCUGAUUCUGCUUUUGUGGCCGGAUAUUCAAAAGGAAUAAUUCCAACUAGAAAAUGAAUUUCAAUAAUUGCGUCCAAAACAGGCCAUGCAAUAUACCGGUAUUAUAGGCCGCACGAGCUAAUAAUUGUGAAGUUUUACGACACUACUUAAUGGGUUGUGAUGUACAAAACGAGAGUUGGUUUUUGUAUGUCAAUUAUAUACUAUAUAUUUUUAGUUCUAUGUUUUUCAAUAAGAAAUUUUUAAUUUUUCAUAUAAGAGAUCUAAAAAAAAAUUAUUUAUAAAUGGUUAAGAUAUCUCUUCUUUUUUCUUUUUUCUUUCUUUUAGAGGGCAAUUGGAUCUCAUUUUACCCGCCAUAAGUCACAGUUGGAUAACACUUUAUUUGGGACUACAAAUAGUAAUAAUCAUAUAUUUUUAUUUUAAUCAUAAUAGUAAUAUUAAUAUAUUUAAGCAAUCCCAGGAAUAUGUCAAAAAAUGAAAAGUUUGUGAAGUAGGGUCGUACUAUUGUAUCUAAACUGUGUUUUUUUAGCAUGAUGUUUUUAUUUUGGUCUGUGCAAUAAAAACAUGGCAAGGAUUAUAAAAGAAAAACACAUUUUUUUUUUUAUAAAAAUGAAAAUUAGGUUAACAAAUGAUUGAAAAGAAAUCUUUAGAAAAUGCAAUCUGAAAGAAACAUAAAUGUAGUGAAAGGGACCUUAAUUAGCUGUUUUUGUGUUAUUUAGAUGCUUAUCAUCAACCACUACCUAUAUAUGUCGUGGAACACCAUUAGCCAAAAGCCCAAAACCUAAUUUAUAUCAAAAUGUCCUAAAUUAUUAUCUAUAAAUCCACCAACUUAACUACUUUUCUUUCAUAUAUAUAUAUAUAAUAAUAAUAAUAUUACUCCAUCUUUUUCUCCCUCCAAAACUAGGGUUUCCUCAUUAUACAACUACCAUGAUCAUGGAGCCAAUAGUAUAAUCUUGGUCUCUUUGUUUAUUUCGAAAGAGGGAUGCAACACGAGUACUUCCUCGUGAGAUCAUCCAAGUAUGUUAUUUCUUUGAAAAGUUACUAUUAAGAUAAGAAAUUCUCUGAUAAAGCUCUGCUAAUAUCAGGUGAACUCCUAUAUUUCUCGUCCAUGUUUGACUUCACAAUUAUGAGGAGUUGGUGUGAUGUUGGAAUGGCUCAAUCUAAUGAAAGUUUCCAAACAUUUUUGGUCAUUUUAAUUUGAUUGAGCCGUGCCAAUAUCAUAUCGUCUUUUGUACAAGAGUGUUGAUGUAUGCUAUUUCAAAAGUGCCCAACUUUUGAAAAAUUCUUGUAGGUUAGAGUUUGAUUGCAAAUUUACUUCAAGUGUGUGUUCAGAAAAUGCUUUUCCAAUUCCAACCUAUUUUUUUAAAUUGUCAGUGGCGUUUACAUAAAUUUUUUUAGUCGUAUAUUAAUAUUUGAAAAGGUGAACAAACGAAUAAAGUAUUAGGAGCAUAACGAUGAGCAAUUUCAUUUUUCAUAUUUAUACCCUUAUAUAUAAUUAUUUUUUUCACUAUAUUCGUCAUGACACUACUUUUUUUAGGGUCUUGAUUUAGGCCAAAUUUGCCAACUUGUUCUUCUUGGAAUAUAUAUAAAGAUGGUAUAUUUAUUUGUUUUUUUCUUCAAUGUUAUUGAUUAUAUUCCUAAUUAGGUAUCUAUCAAACUGUCAAAUAUGUCAUAUCUCUCAUGGUACCAAGUCAGUAGUUUGGUGAAUAAAUAAUUUUUUCAUGUUCUUUUAUGUAUAUUCAUAUGUAUAGAAUCGAAUAUUUUUAUUCCAGACAGAAUGGCAUGAUUAGUAAUUGGAAGAUCGAAGACUGGAAUAAGAUUUGCGAAAAAUAUUUAAGUUAUGUGAACUUUGAAAAAAUAUUUUUAUAUAUAAAAUAAACAAAAACAUUUCAGAUGUUAAUAUUCAAAUGGAUUUCCUUUUUUAAAAAUAAAUAAAUAAAACAGAUUCUGCAUAUCCUUUUAAGAGUAUAUAUAAAUAAAUAAAUAUCUAAUAUUUGCAUCAUAUCUUUGAAAUUUUUUUGAUAAAUCUAUCUCAAGAAGAAGUCGCAUUUUAAUAAAUAUAUCAAUUUUUUCCUUAUAAUUUUUUUUUGUGUGUGUGGGGACCUAGAAGCUCUUGUGAAACGUUUCGAUCCUCGAAAUAUACAUAUGAGAAUAUAUUUGUGUAUAGCAUUUUUUGCAUAUUAUUAUAAACUUUUGUAUAUGAUCGAACAUAUAAUGUAUAAUGUUUUCCUCCCAUGUAUAAUAUAGUAUAGUGUUAUAUUAGGCUACGUGACGUAAUAUUUUGUGUUGGGUGCUAUAUUUUUAAAAAUUUUCCUUUUUUUUGGUGGAGAUUUGUUCAUAGAACCAAUUACAACAGAACUAACACUCGGUUGGAUUUGCAUUUUUCUUAGUUUAGUUUUCGAUAAAAGAUUUCCAUAUCGCAUAUUUAUAUUAAAUCAAUAGAUGUAUCAGGCAUGGUAUGUGUCUGUACACCAUUUCUUUCGCUAUAAAACUAUGGUAAAUUAUUGUAUAGUUUCACCCUAUUAAAUUACUUUAUUAUGAUAAAUAAAUAUAGUUUGACACAUAUUUGAAGGGUUUUUCCAAUUUUAUUUCUCCCUUGGAAAAUCAUCUUAAGCAUUUGUUGUGUCCAAAUGGUAGAACAGAUGAAAUUAUAGGUUGAUUAUCUGUCGAUUAGUAGGUAAUCGAACAUUGUCUUAAUAUUAGCCUAUUUAGGUAGUUUACUAUAUUUAGGGGAUUUUACCUUAUUGUUAAUUUUACGAUUCCUUGCUUGUAUAUAUAUGCCCACACUGCUUUCCUAUGAGUCAUCAUGUUUUUCUUUAUCGUUGUUUUUCAUCUCUAUUACUACUUUGAUUUACUUCACUUGAAUGAAAGGUCUUUUAACCUCCAAAAAAUAAAGGAAAAGUUUGUGUACACUCUCCCCUUGGGACCCCGUUUUGUAAAAUUUAGUAAAAAAAAUAUCGUAUUUUUGUUUAGUUGAGUAUUUUCUUUAAUGCAUAGUUAUAAUCUUAGGGUUCAAAACUUGAAAUCAACUUGUGCAUCUCUCGUGGGUAACCUUGUCCAUCAAAAUUGUAGAAACAAGAAUUAAUCACCUUGUGUACUACUUUUUAGUUUAGUAAUUUAUCUACUCUUAAAGUCAACUUUUUUUAUUUAAGAGUAACAAUUAUGAAAAACUUUUCAAUGUGCAAAAGUUGAUUUGUAUUUUUAAAAUCCAAGAGUGUUGUUCUAUUCUCUAAAAGAUACUAAUCAUGAAUCAAUCAUCAACAAAAAAGGGGCAAAAUGGAGAGUGAUGGUCACAACUCAUAACUUAACUUUGCACCACUUUUUAAUAAUUUAAAAGUUACAAUCCACCAAAAGAUCUUCCCCCUCAAAAGAACAACAGCAUUAUUCAUAACUCACACAGUUUUUUAAUAAUUUAAUUUCUUUGGUUGCUAAUAGCCUGUUGUGUAAAAGUAUUUCUGAUAAAAUAUCAUGAUCAUGUUGGAAUAGGAAAUAAACCAGCAUAUGAUGUUUAACCAAAGUGCAAUCAGAUUAACACUCAAAAAGCUCAACUAAGUCAUAUCAGUGAGAUAACAUAUGGUUAGUGGAGUAAUUACAUAGUGAAAGUUCAUCCAAUAGGAGACAAAUCCACAAAUAAGGUUAGCAUUAAUAUAAAGAAUUUUUACCACAAGCCACUGAUUAUCCUGAUAUGUCCUCUAUUAUUCCUUUGCCAUCCAUGGCAUCAAACAAGAAAAAGUUUUUAAGAGGAUCACCUUUUCCAGAUAUUGCUUUUAUAACCUCCUAUAAGGAUAAAAAUAAAAGGAACACAUAAGCGAAAAAGUCGAGAGGUGCCAAUAGUAUUUUUGAACAAGACAGCAGCAUAAUCACCUGUCCAAGGACUCCUCCUAUAAUGGCACAAACUGAAGGAAAUUCAACUCUAGCUGCUAACAACCUUUGCAGGAGAGGAACCGGGAUCUGAGAUUCAUUUAUGCACUGCAAAUCAAGAGGCAGUUUCGUCAAGGACUUGCAGGUGAUGCAUUACAUUAAUAUAUUUGUGCAUUUCGAACUCUGGAAUAUACCUGUGCCUCACAAAGUUCCUUCCUCAAUUUCAGAACAUUUGGAAGGUCAUCUCCGGAAGUAUCUUGAGGAUUUUGCUUUUCAAGCACUUCAAACCUCUCUAGAACUGCAAAGAAUUACCAGUCCACAAGUCAAGGACAAGACACUUGAGUAAAUUUACUGUUGCACUUAAGGUAUGCAUCAAAAUGUAAAUUAGUGGGCUUCCUAUAACAUUGUCACCAUAAUAAUUUCAGCAAAACCAACACCAAGAUGGCUACUUAAAUUAUUUUUGGGGUCCAGGCUACCGAAAAAUGGAAUAUUACCUAGAUUGUUACCACUAACUAUAAUCACCACAGAUAAUAUAAUUUUGUAAUUUCAGAAGGCCACAUCUAUCAUAUGUGUGGAAGAACAUAAAAAUCAUAAUUCUGGAAAGCACCCCGUCAUAUUCUCAUUGGUAAUUGAUGCCUUUUGCAGCAAGCUAUUGGAAUUUGAACACCAGAAAUAGGCAGUUAUCUUGUAAUAUGAGCUUGUAGAUUAGAAGAAUGGUGGUUGCGGGAAGGGGGAGACCAGGAAAUAGUGCUGGAUCCUCUCUAAAAGUGAGCGCAUUGGUUCAUGUUCUACAUUCCUAAUAUCAAAGUCGAAGCAAAGAUCCAGAGAACUUAGACAUGUCACAUAGCGAUUGGUUUGACUGCAACCCACUGAUCUCUCCUGUUCUUGUAACUAUAUAGCUGGAAAUUCACAUCGACAUUCACACACCAGAUAGCAAAAGUGGAUUUAUAGAGCAUCUUUAAAUCUGCAUAAGAAAUUACAACAACCUGAGAAAUAGAGUACCUCUCAUGGCAAAAUAUAGCUUUGACAUUCUCUUGGGUAGAGAUCUCCACGGGACUGCAAUGGCUUCCUGCAGAAGUGUAGGUAAGGCAAUCGCCAUUUGAAAUGAAAAUCUGAUGAAAUACUCUGGAACAGAGAAACCUUAUUAACUUCAGGUUAAACCAUCACGAUUUAGUAAAUCCCGGAAAGACCAGCUAUAUGUUUGUUUUUUUCAAGCCUUCUUAUCUAAUUUUGAAUGCUAAAGGGGAUUACAAGAAUAUUUAGCAUAUGUUACACUGUUGCCUCUCCUUAUAGAAUAUUAUGCCUUUAAACGUGUACCUGUUCCAAGGAAUUCCAAACAAAAUGGUCUAUUAUUUUUUUUGGGACUGUGAAAUCCCUUAAGGUUUUAAAUCUAAAUGCAAUCAUUAUGUCUUCAGUGAUGCCUGAACUGGUGUUGCAGGACUUCAUCAUGCUGAUACUGGACAUUGUUACAUGCUAAGGUGGAUUAUUUGAUGUCUGGUGAUGGUUGUGAAGAAAAUGGAAGUGAUGAAACACAAUGCACCUAAGAACCCUACCAAGCAGGUGUUGAGGUGUUAACCAAGGGAACUAAUAAUGCAAAUUGCAAGGAUGUUGUCUCUAGGUCGAAUCAAUUCUUUCCUUGAACUACUAUAUAUAGGCAGAUCGUUAGGAGGCUCUUGUUACUUCGAAAUGAGAAGGUUACACUCACCAAAAACUUUGCCCAACUCUACAGAGUGUAGACAAUCACAUAGGCAGCUAAGUGUUGCCAUUUAAAAGCUGCCAGAUACUGGUGACAAGCUUCAAAGCUACCACAUAUAUGUUAGGAUGUUAAGCAGAUGAAUAUCAUCCAUCAGACUUUGAAUAGUGCCAAAACAAGGUACUUAAAGAAAAAAUCAAAAAGCUGUGCUGCCACAAAUUGAAUGGGAAAUUCAUGUUUGAAAACAUCACAGACGUUAGGCAAUGAUAUAAACCACCAUGCAGCUGGACUGAAGCAAAUUGAUCUGUUUAGAAACAACAUACAGAGAUCCAUACGGUUUCAGCUAUAAAAUAUGAAACAAUAAGUGACAGCUGCAAUCACCUAUUAUUCAUAAGCAUACAUAUGAUAUCCACUAAGCAGAUAUGUUGUCAUUAACUUAGGUGGAAAACCAGCCAUAGGGAUGAUGACUUCGACUUAUCUGAUAUUUGCUGAGACUGCUAUCUUAAAAAUAAAAAUACAGAUAAGAGUAUAAUCUCAUCGAUACAGUUGAGUAAAACAGCACAGCAGCUAAACAGGACCAAAUGUUCUUUUUUGAUACUUUGAUGCAGCAUACCUCAAAACUCGGAUACUGUAGUUGGCAUUCAAUUGUUUCUUCAUUCUUUUUCUGCAGAAGCAUAAGAAGGGAUUUAAGAGAUUCAUCAGAUCUAGCAAUAUGAUACACAAGAUAUAGGCCCUCAAGAUAAAAGGUACACCUAUGUGUGGAAAGGACUAGAUUGAACUGAAGAAAAGGGUCAAAAGAAGAUAACUCAAGCUGUAUAAUCAUUAAACAUGGAGACACUCUAUCUAAGGAUGAAAUCCAACUGAAAAAGAAGGGGACUAUAAAAAAUAUAAAUAUUGUUGUAACCUUGGAGUAGCUCUGCAAGUCAACAAAUAUCUCACCGCAGGAAUCUCGGCAUUCUACAGAAUAAAAUGCGACACGUCUUGGCAACUUGCGACACUUUGCAUUAACCGAUUUCUGCAUAGGGAGCAUUAUCAAAAUUAAAAUCAUAAAAAAAACUGGUAUUUUCAUUGGAAAAAUCCUCUUAUUUAUUUUCAACAAGCAAGAAGAAUGUCCAUACUUUUGUCAGCAGCGAGCAGCAACUGAUGACAACAGCAUCAAACUUCUGAAAGAAUUCAACAUCGAAGUUGGCCAGAACACCUAAAAAUAGAGCAUAUGAGACAUAAAAAUGAAAUCUUUGAUGCAUUGACACAAUCUGAUUCUGAGAAAUAGAUAUAAGGUGCUUAACAUGCACCUGACACUGCAUAUCAUCAAAACCCAAUAGAGAUAUAGCUAAGAACUCGAGUCGGAAGUGAAAUGUUAGGAACUUUCUUAAUGCACCUUUUUAUAUGAUUUGAGAGUAUAAAAAGAGUUAACUAUCUGAUAAGCAUAAUAUGCAUAACAGUUAUAUGUGUUAGGAAAAAACAAAAAUAAGUGGAAAAUUAAGCCAACUUACGAAAUCAUUACAAGAUCAAAGAACGACAAAAAGCGGAAAUGCACUGGUGUUUGAUGAGUUAAGAGGAACUAUGCAGGUUAAAGAGUUUGUAAAUAAAUUAUAGUACAAACAGAUCCAAACCUUUUUCAACAGAAACAGUAACCAUGGGGUUGAAAUCUUUCAGUGAUUCACAACAAAGCUCAGCAAGUGAUUUCCCACUGGUCACAUUUUCAUCAGAAGGAACUAAAAAAUUAGCAGACAGUAGCUCUUCUGUUACAAGUCGAUCAUCAUUUAGCGUCAAACUACCGACUCCGGCUAAGACAAUGUUCUUGCAGAACUGGGAAAGAAAAAGGAGAAAAAAGAAGUUAAUAUAAUCUGAAGUUGCUCAUUUUGAAUUUAGCAUCUGGAACUGAAAAUAUUAUAUUGAAACUUAUCCUAUCAAAGGGCCAAGAAGCAUGAUGUAUACAGUUUAUGCUUUGGACAUAAUCCAAUUCCAUCAAUAACAAACGACAGAAAAGUUCUAUUGAUAAAUAAACAUAAUAACAAAUAUGGCAAUAAACAUUUACUUCAAAAAGUGAUUAACUGGUAGUUUUGUACCUCAAUAACAGUCCCUUUCAGUCCACUGACAAAUAUAUGAGAUUUGCUCAACCUGACACAAAUAAGAAGAUAGUAGAAUCUUUUAUAAAAAUGAAAGAACUAGAUGGGUCUACUAGAUAUCUAACUAAAAUAUUGUAUAUGUCAUUCCCUUGAAGUUAGAAUACUGCUUUUAAAAGUAAAAGUAAGUCAUAGGAUGAGCACACAUUCCAUUUUCCCUUCAAGUGAACCACAGGACAUGGAUGUCCCUCUUCCUUCAUAACAAAAAAAUUACUUGCCAUAAGCACAUGAAAACCCUGGUUCCACUAUUGAUACUAAGGACACCAAGCUCAUACACAUGUAUGUAAAGUAAACAUCUAUCCUCAACAACAAUGUGUUUGUGAUGCAUUAUCAUACUGGUUGCCUGUGUAAAAUCACAAAAAUGAGUGAAGAAGAAUACCUUCGCUGAGCAUCAACACCCCAAACCCUAAUUUGGCGAUCAUAUAUGGCAGUUUCUUGCUCUGUCAAUUCCUCACCUACUUUUCCCAUUGCAACCUAUAAUUUCAGCAAAAAAAAACAUACUAAGUGAAGAAACAAACACAAUAUCCACAAACUUAUAGCUCAAUUCUCAGUUCAUCUUUGUCCAUCUUCCUCGAAGCUCCUACUGAAAUUGAACUAAGCAAACAAACUAAAUCUCUUAAAAAAAGCAAUUUUUUGGUGCAUUAAUCAAAGCAAUUUAUAAGCAAAACAAAGAGAAGAAGUGAAAGAACAGGCAAAGGAGAGAGCUUACACUGUGAGAGAAACCGAGGAAAAAAAUUGUUUAUCAGACGAGAACUAAGCAUCAAUUGUUUCCUUUUUCUUCUUUUUUGAAUUGCAAUUAGUUCGAUCAAACUUAUAUAGUUGCUUAUGAAGCAUAGUUUUUUAAAAAUAAUUUUCUAGAAACUAAGAUAAAUAGAAAGUAUAAGGAUAUUAUUUAACACUUUGUUUAAAUAGUUAAAUGUGAUAAAUUAUAUUUUAAUUUGUGCAGGACUUCUAUAGUUUCAGUAAACAAAUUUUCACAAGUGGAUGAACACAUUUUUUUUUAUUUGUACAUAUCAUAAUAUUUUUUGCAAGUUCGUUAUUAUGGAACGAAAUGUAUCGUGUUUAAAGCUUGAUAACUUCAUGUUCACAUAUGAAAGUGUGGUGUUGUGAAGAUCUAACAUUCAGAGCUUACGCCUAAUUUUUAGUAUGAUUUGUUAGUUUAAAUUUAUUUUUUAAAACUUAAAUUCAUGUGAUAAAUCGAUCAAUUGACGAGAACCAAGGGCUUCGAUUUUCCAGAAUCACAUUUGAUUAGACUAAAGAACUUCAAAUUUUCUCACACUCUUCUUUACUACCAUUUCACAUGUUUGUAAAAUAUAUAGUAACAGCCAUUGACUUUGCACGUUUAAUUAUUUGAGCAGGUUGCCCUUCAUCUGCAUAUUAAUAACAGAACGGAAUAUGAUUUGGUGUAAACAUCAGCUACGAGUAAGUAUUUUAACUAUAAGUCCUGUGAAGUAAUUUCUUCAAUCAUACUUAUGGGACUGGAUGUAGAAUAUCUGCAAAAUGAACCUUUUUUCACUGGGAAAAAAUGUGAACACUAGAGUGUGAGACAUAUUACUGUUGAUUGAUUGGGAGAAGGUGAUUAAGCAAGAGCAUAUGGUGCCAUUGUCUUAAUGCUGAUUUGGACCACUGUGCUGCAUUUUUCUCCUAGCAAUGUAACCUCGGAGCCAAGGAGUAACAUCCUCGUUGAUCUUGAUCAUGAAGAAGAAGAUUACGCGGUAGAUGAUUAUCAAGGAGAAGAUGGCACUUAGAUCCACCCAUUUUGAUCUGUUCACGUCAAUCUGGAAUAUCUGUUUUAGCGCGUAUUCACCUGUGAUCUUGGGAGGAUGAGGACUAUGGUUAUCAAAUAUCAACCCCUUCAAGUCAUUUUUGUAUUGCCCCUACAGAAACCACCAAAUUAGAGUCAAAAUAAGACUGGACAGAUCUCAACAGAUUUUCCAUCAAAGGACUACUACAUCUACAUCCUCAUAAAAGCACGGAAUUGGUCUGAACAUGCCAAGUUGGUGCCUAUAAAGCAUGUAGUUUCGUAUUUAUAACUUGUAUAUGAUAAAAUCAUUUAUGAAAUUAGUGCAUUACGUUAACUGCUAAGGCUACUACUGAUUCUACUUAUUAUGGACUGUUACGUGUAAUUAUCAUUAGGCUCGGGUGAUCUAAACAUUUCCAUUGUGAGUUACCAACAGGUAAAAUGUGCAGCAAAUUUUUACCUGUACAGCCCAGAAAUCAAAAGUCAAGUAAGACACCGGGUAACGCCAGACAGGUUUUGGUAUGUCAUAGGGGAGUCUGAAGAACCCAGAGACCAGCAUAGAUAUUCCCUAACACAGAAACAUACACAAUUUAGGUGUAGACAAUGGUAAGGAUUAUAAUUUUGCAUUCCAACAUAAGCAAAAGUUCGUAGUCUAAUAAAACGGAAACAGAUUAAGUUUACUACCAGAAUGCCAGCUCCUAUGAUGAUACCCAUGAGGAAAUUAGGUACAACACUAGCUAUGACCAUCAUCAGGCUCUCAACUGCCGUAAUGCUGGCAUAAAUGGCCAAUACAAAGAAGAAAUAGUGGGAGAAUCCUGGAUGGAAGUGGACCAUGAAGUAGCAGACAGUACCAGAAAGAAUUGCAAUCAAUAUAAGGAACGGCAUUGCAGAUAACGUGUUGCUUAUCACAAACACAAUGACACCAUAAUGCCCAUUCAUCCUUUCCCUUUGGAAAACCUGUUUUGAUUGACCAAAUCAUUAGAUUUGUGUGGCAAUGUAUCAAUUAUAUAAGAUAAGGUAGAUGUUUCUAGAGUACUGUCAUAUAAAGAACGAACUUUCAUAUCCUCCACGAAUGAAGGGAAACCUCCUAUUGACAUGAAUGUCAUAAAUCCAAAGACGAAAGAAGAACAUGCAGCUCUUGCCUGCAUAAUGUUAAUUUGAUAAGUAAAUAAAAAAAAAGCGCGUCUUCUUGUAGGAGACAUUAAUUACAAAGGAAUCAAGUUGUAAAAAUCCCAUUAGGAGAAAUAAGUUACCUGGAUGGAAUUAUACUUGGUUCCCACAUUAAAAUAGAUGGUUCCAAGACAAACGGAAACCACUAAGUAGAUCACAAUCCUCAGCCAGUAAUAGCCAAAGUCCCUAGACAUAUUAACAAACGAACGUUUGGUUAAGCUGUAGGACUGCAUAAAGAAACUAGCAUGGCUUCCGUUAGAAUCUAGCACUGUUCCUUUCUGUUACAAAAAAAAGAAAAGAAAAGAAAGAUUACAUUUGAUGAGAUAAGAAAUUAGGCAGAUGAUGAAGAAACCAAGAUCAAGGUUUGGUGCAUUAAAACUUACAACUUUGGACAUUUCUUCCACUGUUUCAUUUGCUACAUAGCAGUACUGAGAAUGACGAUAGAAGUCAACAAGACUUCGAAUUACUUCUGCUGUUGUCAUCUUGUUUAGAGGAUCAUCAUUGUACUGAUUAAACUUAUUAAAAUAAGAACAGAAUGAGUUAAAUGAAGGAACUUGAAGAUCUUAUAUCCUAAGCCAUGCUAAAUACAACGGUAAUAUAUAGAAAUUCAUGUUACUGUUGCUUAAAGAAACUACUACAGAAAGCGGAGACUUAAAUGGAGUAGUGACUAUUUUAUUGCACUUAUCAAAACAAACAACAUAUUACACAUGGUCUGAUCUAAUGCAAACUUUUGGAGCUUGAUUAGUAACAAGAUGAUCUAAAAAGACAUACUUUGAUCAACUCCCUUAAAGUGGCCUUAACUUUGUCGAAAUCAGAGUUACUGCACCGAAGGAAAUGAUCUGAUGGACUUCUAAAAGAAGGACAAGGAAAUCCUGCUUCGGCAAAGAACUGCAAACCAAAAACUAGAUUUAACUCUAACUACCACAUGAUGAAAAAGGUAUAAAAUCCAGAAACAAAUGAUGGAGAAUCUCGAUUAAGGGAGAUUUAUCUUGCCUGAUUUGCUUCAGAAGCUUGACCAAAGUAAACUGUUUUGCCUCCGGAAAGCAAGUAUAAUCUGUCAAACAGCUCAAAUACUUCAGAGCUUGGCUGGUGAAUUGAGGCUAUCACAGUCCGUCCAUCUCUGGAAAGACAAUGCAGUGCCUGUGUUACGAAGAACGCUGAGGCACUGUCACAAAAUACAGAAAAUUUAAGGUAUUGUUCAUCAAUACUGUGAAAUUAACAUUGUAAAAUAAGUGAUCUAUUAGUAAGAACAUUAUCUACCUAUCUAGUCCACUUGUUGGUUCAUCAAGGAAGAGCAAUCUAGGCCUCAUUAGAAUCGCAAGCGCAAUACUAACCCUCCUCUUUUCUCCCCCACUAAUACCGCGCAAGUGCCAAUUACCAAUAAACGUAUCAGCACAAUCUUGUAAGCCCAUUUGAGUAAUGGUGCUCUCAACUAGUGUCCUUUUUUUCGAUAAUGGCAUCCUAUCAGGGAGACGCAAUUGAGCUGAAUAGUAAAUAGUCUCCCGAACCGUUAGUGUUCCAAUCAACGUAUCAUCUUGUGUUACAUAUGCCUGUAUUGUAAAUCAAUUAAAAUAACCUCACAAAAUUCACCCAGAAUAAGAAAGAUACUGACAGGAUAACACUUGUGUCUCACAAACUAUUGCCUUAGGACUACUUACUGCAGUUCCAAAUGAGAGCUUAGCUUUGCGACCGUUGAGGAGAAUUUUUCCAGUGAGGAUAGCGUUAGAACCAAGACGUCCAGAUAGGGCGUCGAGCAGCGUAGAUUUACCAGCACCAGAAGGACCCAUUAAUGCAGUGAAUGUUCCAGGCUCUGCAUAACCAGUAAGUCCUUCUAAUACAUUUCUUGUAUCUCCAUUAUUCAGAGUGACCAUUACAUUAACAUCCUUCCAAGCCACAUGAGCAGAUACCACUAUACCAUUGGCGUUUUGUGGUUCACUUUCUUCUUCAAUCUCCAUAAUUGCAGAGGAGGACGAGAACGACGACGACGACAACGAGUUCCUCAUCAUCUAUAUACAAUUAAUUUCUCUCUUUGGUUAUUUAAUCAGUUGUCUUCUUCUUGAAAUGCAUCUUACUUGUAUUACUUCUGAUGUUUAUAAAGUUUGUUUGAAAAAAAGAACUAGUUAGCUGGUCAGCUCUAUACUGGAGUAAUAAAUCUAGCAGGUCCCAAAUAAGUGUUGUUUCAACCAAAAAAUAAAUAAAUAGUGAAAUUGUUUGCAAGAGUAGAGGUAAAUCACAUUAUAUUUGUAGUGGAAUCAGGGAUAUACAUGCCUUAAUAUAUCUUAAUUUUAGGAAUCGUAUAAAAUCAUCCAAAUUGACUGCAACUGUUGACAUAUAUAUUCCGUAGUAAAGGAAACUAAAAUUUCUAUUUUCCCUUGUUAAAACUGGUAUUAUAUGUAUGAGGUCCAGCCCCUAUCUUCACUUUUCUUUUGGCUGUGAUUUGCACAGAUUGCACUAGCACACAUUCGUUGAAAACUGGCAAUCACUCAAUUAAUACAAGGGAGAAAUAUUGGCACAUUUCAUCAUGUACACCAACACACAAAGGGAAGUAUUAGAGAACUGAGUGAGGUAUAUCAUAGACUAACUAUAAAAAUAAAAUAAAAUAGUGUGAGUGAUAUUUUUAGCGAGACGAGAAAUCAAAAGAGGUUUUCUUUUUUGAGUGUGUAGUGGUAUUUGUAGUAUUUUACUCAAAGCCUACAAAGUGUAAAAUUCUUUCUAUACAGAAUGUGUAAAUGCAACUUUAUGUGUGACUUAUUAGAAGAAGAAUAAACAAAUGAUGGCUUCUAUUUAAAUACUUUGUUUUCUAAUUUGAUUGAUUCAUUUUGAUCUUGUUAUUUGGUUCAUGAUUCUCAGAUCCUUGGAGAAGGCGAUUAAGCAAGAGCGUAUUGUGUCAUUGUCUUAUUCUGAUUUGCACCAUUCUGCUGCAUUUUUCUUCUAGCAAUGUAGCCUCGGAGCCAAGGAGUAACAUCCUCGUUGAUCUUGAUCAUGAUGAAGAAGAUUAAGCGGUAGAUGAUUAUCAUGGAGAAUAUGACACUAAGAUCCACCCAUUUUGAUCUGUUCACGUGAAUCUGGAAUGUUUCUUUUAGCGCGUAUUCACCUGUGAUCUUGGGAAGAUCAGGACUCUGGUUAUCAAAUAUCAACCCCUUCAAGUGGUUUUUGUAUUGCCCCUACAGAAACACCAAGUUAAACUCAAUGGAUUCAUAUAUCAAAAUAAUACUGGACGGAUCUUAACAGAUUUUCCAUCAAAAAAAAACUACUACUUAGAUAUCUACAUCUGUCAUCAAAGCAAGUAAUUGGUCUGAACAUGCCAAGUUGGUGCUUGAUAACGCAUUUCUCUUUCAUAUGCUUUAUUUUGAAGGCUUACGUGUAAUUAUCUUUAGGCUCCGAUGAUGUUAGCAUUUCCAUUAUGAGUUUAUAACAGGUAAACUCUGCAGCAAAUAUUUACCUGUAUAGCCCAAAAAUCGAAAGUCAAGUAAGACACCGGGUAACGCCAGACAGGUUUUGGGAUGUCAUGGGGAAGUCUGAAGAACCCAGAAACCACCAUAGAUAUUCCCUAACACAGAAAACAUACACAAUUGUUAAGUGUGGAAAAUGGUAUGCAUGCAUUAGUACUUCUGAUUCUAAGAUAAGCAGAAAAUUUCGUAGUCUAUAAAACAGAAACGGAUUAAGUUUACUACCAGAAUGCCAGCCCCUAUGACGAUACCCAUGAGGAAAUUAGGGACAACACUUGCUAUGACCAUCAUUAGGCUCUCAACCGUUGUAAUACUGGCAUAAAGGGCCAAUACAAAGAACAAAUAGUGUGAGAAUCCUGGAUGAAAUCGGACCAUGAAGUAGCAGAUGGUACCAGAAAGAGUUGCAAUCAAUAUAAGGAACGGCAUUGCAGACAAUGUGUUACUUAUGACAAAUGCAAUGAUACUAUAAUGCCCAUUCAUCCUUUCCCUUUGAAAAACCUGUUUUGAUUGUAAAAAUAGGACCAAAUUAUUAGAAAUGUCUGGCAAUGUAUCACUAUAGAGUUAAGAUAGCUUUUUCAAGAGGGUCAUGCAAAGUACGAACUUUCAUAUCCUCCACGAAUGAAGGGAAACCUCCUAUCGACAUGAAUGUCAUAAAUCCAAAGAUGAAAGCUGCACAAGCACCUCUUGCCUGCAUAAAGUCAAUUUGAUAAAUAAAACAAAAAAUGCAUAUUCUUAAAAAUCCUAUUAGGAGAAACAAAUUACCUGGAUGGAAUUAUACGUGGUUCCCACAUUAAAAUAGAUAGUUCCAACGCAGACGGAGACCACUAAGUAGAUCACAAGCCUCAGCCAGUAAUAGCCAAAGUCUCUUGUCAUAUUAACAAAUGAACGUUUGGUUAAGAUGUAGGACUGCAUAAAGAAACUAGCUUGGCUACCAUUAGAAUCUAGCACUGUUCCUUUCUGUCACAAAAAAAGUAUCACAUUUUAUCAAAGAAGAAACUCGACAGAUGAUGAAGAAAUCAAGAUCAAAGUCUGGUACAUUAAAACUUACAACUUUGGACAUUUCUUCUACUUGUUCAUUUGCUAAGUAGCAAUAUUGAGAACGGCGAUAGAAGUCAACAAGACUUCGAAUUGCUUCUACUGUUGUCAUCUUGUUUAGAGGAUCAUCAUUGUACUGAUCAAACUAAAUAAAAUAAGAACAGAAUAAGCUAAAUGAAGGAAGGUGAAGAUCUUUAUAUCCUAAGACACUCUACAUGUUAAUGUUGCUUAAAGAAAGGACUACAGAAAACGGAAACUUAUAUGGAUCAGUGACUAUUUUAUUGCACUUAUCAAAACAAAAAACACAUGUGUGUAAGGUGUAUGCUUCAAGUGUUUCCUAACUUUGAACAGAGUAGCAUUACUUAUUUAAAAAGUUAUUCCCCGAAUCUCAUGCAAACUUUUGAAGUUUGAUUAGUAACAAGAUGAUCUUAAAAAGCAUACUUUGAUUGAGUCUCUUAGAGUUGCCUUAACUUUGUCGAAAUCAGAGUUACUGCACCGGAGGAAAUGAUCUGAUGGAUUUCUAAAAGAAGGACAAGGAAAUCCAGCUUCUGCAAAGAACUGCAAACCAAAAACUAGAUUUAAUUCUAACUUCCACAUGAUGAAAAAGGUAUAGGGUCGGGAGACGAAAAUGAUCCAUAGAAUGAUGGAGAGUCUUGAGUAAGGGAGAUAUCUUGCCUGGUGUGCUUCAGAAGCUUGACCAAAGUAAACUGUUUUGCCUCCGGAAAGCAAGUAUAAUCUGUCAAACAGCUCAAAUACUUCACUGCUUGGCUGGUGAAUUGAGGCUAUCACAGUCCGUCCAUCUCUAGACAGACAACGUAGCGUCUGUGUUACGAAGAAUGCUGAGGCACUAUCACAAAUCCAAUAAGCUGAUUCCAUUAGAUGUUGUUCCUUUAUUAGGUAUUUCAAAACUUAAACACACAAUUGAGCUAUGACCUUAAGAACAUUACCUGUCUAGUCCACUCGUUGGUUCAUCGAGAAAGAGUAAUCUAGGUCUCAUAAGAAUCUCAAGAGCAAUACUAACCCUCCUCUUUUCUCCUCCACUAAUACCGCGCAAGUGCCAAUUUCCAAUAAACGUAUCAGCACAAUCUUGUAAGCCCAUAUCAGCAAUGGUGCUCUCAACCAGUGUACGUUUCUCCGAUAAUGGCAUCCUAUCAGGGAGACGUAAUUGAGCUGAAUAGUGAAUCGUCUCUCGAACCGUUAGAGUUCCAAUCAACGUAUCAUCUUGUGUUACAAAUGCCUGUAGUGUAUAUAAAUUUGUUAGUUAAUCAGGUGUUGCGCCAAAGCUAACAAAUUAAACCAAGAUGAUAGUGAGAUUAUAAAAGAGAAAUAUAUAUAACAAACAUGGUUCAAUCCAUCCACAUGCGGAAAUGAGCAAUCCACUAUAUAAAAAGAGUAAAAUAUCGAGAGAAAAUAACCUCAUAAAACUUGCCCAAAGAAAAGAGAGUUUCAUUUCUAGAAUAGUUACGGAAUUUUCAUGGAUAGGAUCAAACCUUAUUCCAUCGUAUAUACAUGAGGUUCCUCUAUAAAAAAUCUACAAUGAAGUUUAGUUGAUCCAUGAUUUAUGUUUCAUCUUUCCUUUGCUUCAAGAAAUUUAUCCAUCAAUUCUAAUUCUUUCUUUUUUUCUUGAUUCUUUUCCGAUUAAUAUGUUUAAAUAUUGUUCAUGGAUUAACGAAAAAUUGUACCUUACAUGUUCUCCCUCUAAACAAGAUUCUCGAAGCUCUUAAGAGUAUAUUGUGAAUGCUGACAAGUGAAAAAUCCAAUUAUGGUACGAAAAUAUAUGAGUAGAAUUAACUAACUACUUACUACAGUUCCAAAUGAGAGCUUAGCUUUGCGACCGUUGAGGAGAAUAUUUCCAGAGAGGAUUGCAUUAGAAGCAAGACGUCCAGAGAGGGCGUCGAGCAACGUAGAUUUACCAGAACCAGAAGGACCCAUUAAUGCAGUAAAUGUUCCAGGCUCUGCAUAACCAGUAAGUCCUUCUAGUAUAUUUCUUGUAUCUCCAUUAUUCAGAGUAACCAUUACACUUACAUCCUUCCAAGCCACAUGAGCAGAUACUACUAUACCAUUGUGGCCUUGUGGUUCACUUGCUUCAUCAAUCUCCAUAAUAACAUCGUCAUUUGACGAUGUUACUACAUAGGAGAACGAUGACGAGGAGUUCCUCGUCAUCUAUAUACAGUUAAAAUUUUUCCUUUGGUUGUUUAAUCAAAUGUCUUCUUCUACUUGAAUUCAUCUUAUACAUGUAAUACUUGUGGUGCGUAUGAAGUAUAUUUGAAGAAAAGGUAGCAGGUCAACUCUGUACUGGAGUAAUAAAGAAACAAAAGAAAAUCCUACUAAUUAACAAAGGAAGCAUGGAAAAGCUGCGAAUCUUUUAUUUAUUUAUUUAGGAGUGAACGUGAUAUACAUAACCCUGCCAGAUUGCCUCAUUUGGCUGUACAUAAUUCUUUUACUUAGUCAUGUAAAAAUUGGCUAGACUUUCAACUAUGUGUGUCUGCAUCGUUUUGGAAAAAAUAAAUAAAUAAUGUUCUUCAGAUUUCAACAAUCCAACACACCAUUCAAUAUAUCCAAGUCAACUCCAAAUAAUUUCAAAUUUGAAUCAUAAGUUAAUUUACCAUUAAAAAAAAAUCUCAAUCAUCAAUUUAUUAAAACAAUUAUAAAUCUAACAUUUUCAUUUAAUACUUUUUAAUUUUUUUUCAUAUAUGACUAAUGCAAGUAAAAAUUGCUAUAGAAUUUUAAUCAUGUAUAUAAAUAAAAUAAGUAUUGUUUUUUUCCAUAAUAGAUCUCUUUAUCUGAAAUUAAUAGAGUAAUCAAUAUUUAUGCAAAAUUAAACACAAUGCCAAUACCAAUUAAAUGGUGCCUGCCAAAAUAGGGCACCCCAUGACAUUUUUAGGUGCACUUUGCCUGUGUUAUUUUCCUGAUUUGGACCAGCAAAAAUGAUGGAAUAAUGAUAGGAUUCUAAUAGAACUAGCAUGGACCACACCAAUAAUCAAAAAGUAUAUUCCUCUUUAUAUUUUUCGUUUUCCGAUAGUCAAAUAAUUUAAAUUUGAUAAAAAAUUUAUGUGAAAUUUUUAACUUUUUUGAAAUAAAAUUUAUGUGUUUAUAAACUAUUUUAAAAAGUACUAUGAAUCAUAACAAUUGAUUAUUGUAUGAAAAAUUUCUGGUCAAAACUAUUAUUAUUUGAAUCUCGUAUCAUAUAAAAUGGAAUAGGGAGUACAAGUUAAAAAAAAUAUUACUUAUCCAUUUUAAUUUAGGAGUCAUCGUUUGACUUUGACUUGACACGAAAUUUAAAAAAAUCUUUUAAAAUUAUUUUAAAUAAAUAUUACUAAAAAUUAACAAAAAUAAUAAUAAAUUAAAAAUAUACUUAAAAAGUAAUAAUUAUUAAAUUAAAAACCAUCACUUAUAUAAUUUUUCCUUAAAAAUCCCACCCACUAAGAAGAAAAACUGUGCGACAAAAAUUGGCAGAUACGUGUGCCAUACUUCAACUUGAUUUCUUAAAGAAAUUAAAAAAAUCUACUAACGCGUUGGUCAGAAUUUGGUCAUCAGCUUUGCUUGAACCAUGCUUAUAUUAUUAGUACUUUAUCCUCCCCAGAAUUUCGUUUAACUAGUUAAGCAGUUUUUCUUAACAAGUGACCUAUUUUUCUCUCGAAUCCCUUCUUCAUCGUGUUGAAAUUGGUCAAAACAGUGAAAGAAUCGGAAGAUUUCUGUAGCCAAAAUGAUGGAUUUGUGAUAAGCGAAGCUUGUUACUGGUAAUUUUAGGAGAAAGAGAAGGAUGUUGCUGCUAUUUAUAGUGUUUGUUCUGGGAGCUGUAACGGUUAUUGCAAUUGAAGCUGUGUGCGUGGUGUAUUUGAUACGCUGGUUGAACCGUAGACUUGCUCGUGAAGUAGAUAAAGCAAAACCGGACGGGUCGCUAUCGUCUACUGAGGAUUUCGAUUUCUCGUUGUACCUGAAACAGGUAUGUCAUUUUACUUGCUUAAUGUUCAUGCUGCUCAAUUUUGACUGAUUGAUUUAUAGGACAGCUAAAUUAACUCGAUUAAGCUAUUCCUUUCGUGAAGUUAUGAUUUGGAAUCUACAUUAGAAGUAUAUUAGCAAUUUUCCCCUAUCUAAGUAAUGAAUAAGGGCAUUUGGAAGUGUGAUAUGCAAUUUAGGUUGAAAUUUCGGGAGAUGAAAAGUGCUAGACAUUUUGGAAUAAAGAGAGUAUAUGUGAUUAGUCUAUUUGGGGACAUUGGUAGAAUGUAAUUUGAACACUUGAAUGUAGAGAUUAGAUGUGUUUUGAGUCUGGUCUAUGUGGAGUCUUUUUUUUUUUAAUAUAUUAGACUAGACUUAAGGCUAUUGAUUUGCAUUCGUAACCUUCAGUGUAAACUUGUUACAUUGAAUAAAAAGUGUGUUCAGUUCAAUAAUUUCUAUGUUGUACUAGAGCAGGAAGAAGUUUUGGUUUCAAGUCUCACCACUGCCCAUUAUUAAGUUAGGUAGUUCCACGUGCUUGGCCUAACAAGAGAAUAGUGUGUUAAGACAUUGUUAAAAAAAUAGAAGUGUACCCUAUAAGAUGUGCUAGAGGGAAAUAAUAUAUGAACUCCUCCCGUUUCUAAUAGAAAAAGACAUUGAGGACCUGUUAGAAUUAGAUACCUCUUGUAGCACACCUGUUAUACUACACCCUAUUAGAAACGGGAGGAGAUUACAUCAUUAUUUCCAUUGAAAGCAACAUGAUAGGAUGUGCUAGAGGGAUUAUCAGUUUGGAUGAUUAGAUUUGCUAUUAUUUUCAAGCUGAGGGUAUAAUUUUGAAUAUAUUCUUUUUCGGACUCUUUUAUAACCGUGGUAUCUGGGAUAACUUCUUUUCAGACUUUUUAGGAUAUUAUUACCUUAGAAGAAUAUAACGUUAUAAUAAUAUCUCAUUAACACUGUUUCUUCUUCAUCGUUAAGAGAUAAGUUUUCUCAGAGAUAACUUAUAAUUGCUCACACCGAGCAGCAAAUUUGAUUUUCAAUUCAAGUUCCUUUCACAUUUUCUUAAAUGGACUUGAUCAGCUUCAACUUACUGUCUUGUUGCUUAUGUUCUGUAUCUGCUUCCAGGGGACAGUCUGGGUUCUAGAAUCUGAAAGAAUACCAAAGGCUCUUCCAGUGGAUAAAGCCGUGACGCAGCAAAAAAGCAAGAAGGAGGUCUUAGAGGUUACACCUACUCAGAAAUUUGCACAAAUCAAGGAUCAUCAUCUCGUAUUUACAGAGUCAGAUGGUUCCCAUGUAGAAAUUCCACUGAAAGGUUGCAUAAUAGCAGCUGUUUCAGCGUCAAGCUUGUCCACUAGAAAAUGGUAAGUUUGGAAGUACUAUUAUAUAUUGAAGUGAUUUUUGUUGAACCGACAAACUGUAUUAAUUUUGGUCGUGUAAGUUGGUUUGAGUCAUUGGUUUCAAAUAUAAAAUCAUUGGCAAGAUGUGGCACUCGUAGUCCUCUUCUAACAUUUUUAUGAAUAUAGUUUUGGAGGCAUCAGAUCUGGAAAGAGCUAUCUAGUUCUAGCUGCAAUUGAGUUAUAAGCUAUGUCCUUUGUCAUGUGGUGCUGGUGGUAUAAAAGCUUGGGCAGACAUAAAUAUGAGUGCAAAGCAUUCUUCUUAGUCAAGUCUGAAUUGAUCUGGUGGUUGAAUGCUAGCUGAAGCACACAUAUGUAAACCUACAUGUAUUUUUGCAGUUUCAUAGAGUGGAAAUAGGUUGAUCAUUUGCUGCUAUGUUUAGCUAAAGUAUUUUUAUUUUAUUUUUGGAUUAUUUGAAGUUCAAGUCCAAUCCCUGGUUGAGAUUUAGGGCAUCUGCAGAUUUUAUUCUAAAAUAAGCAAGCUAAAAUUCUUCAAAAGAAGUUUGCAGAAGUAGCUAAAUUGUGUGCUUUGUUCUAAAUCUGUGUGCUAGAUUGCUGGCAGCAGGAAAGCUAGAAUAGAUAUAAAGAUGAGCCAAAAUAUUCUUCUUAGUCUGACCGCGAAAUAAUCUGGUUGUUGGAAGCUGGUUUCCACAAAUUUGCCUACAUGUAUCUCUGUAGUAUCAUUGGGUGAAAGUAGGUCACUUGCUGCUCAUUUUAAAAAUAUAAAAUUUUCAUUAUAGCAAUUGUCACUACUUUGAUGUUCAAAUUCUGGUUGUGUGAUUUUGGGACAAUCGCAGAGUUUUUUAAAUAAGAAAGCUAAAAUUAAUUCUAGAAGAAGUAGACAAAAAAUAAAACCCCAAUUACCCGUUUUCUCUAUUAUCAAGAAGUUGAUGGAUAAAUUAUUGCCGCUAAGGCAAAUGUAGAACAGAUCUCUGUUGGUGCCCAUAAUAGAUUCUGCUUUUCCUACAAAAUCUUAGAUUUCACUGAAUUAGCACACAGUUAAGUAAGUGGCUUGUGUAAUUGUUUGGCAGAGAAGUAAUAAAAAUAAUUUACAACUUCUAUUGGUGUUAUCUGCUGCAAUCUUACAGGGCGAAAAGAUAUCCUAUCAAAAUAGAGUGCAGAGCAUCAACUUCAUGUGAAGGAAGUAGAAUACUGUACAUUUAUCUUGAGACAUGUUGGGAGAAAGAAGCAUGGUGCAAAUCCCUUCGUCUUGCUUCCUGCGAGGACCAAGUAAAACUUACGUGGUUUGCCAAGUUGAACAUAGAGUUUCAAAAUUACCUGACGUCAUUAAAUGCAGGUUAUCCUUCAUUUAUGAAACCGUAUUCAAGUGUUAGUCCUGAUUUAGGUGAUAAAUCAAGUAAGUUUGAUGGUUCCUCAUCAAAAGUUCGGCAAUUUCUGAAAAAGCUUGGCAAGAAAGCUUCUAAGAGUAUUCCAGAAAACAAAGGAAGCAGCAUUUCAACGUCUGAUCAUGAAGAAAGGAAGAUAAGUGAGAGAGCUCAAUCCUUACAAGACCUUUCUUUUGCUGGUGGAGGUAUCAAGUUGGCUCCAACACGAAAACCUCUUGAUUUUUCUACUAAGGACGUUGCAGUGCCUUCAUCUACAUCAACAUCUUCUGGAUUAGGAAGCCGGAGUCAAACGUCAGUUACUUCUGAUGCGGAUUCUGAUGAGAGAAUUUUUGGUGAUGAAGGAACUCUUUGUUGGAACUUGUUGAUAUCCCGUUUGUUUUUUGAUGCUAAAAGAAACGACCAGAUGAAAACCUCUUUGCAAGCCAGGAUUCAGGUUUGCAAUCUCCUUUCUCUUUCCAUUAGUAUAUGUUUCUUGAUUUAAGCUUUUUGGUUGGACGUUAUAAUUUGCUCUAACUAUUGCUUUUGAAAAUUAGCAAUAUUUAUAUAGGUACUGUUUCAUUUUGAUAUUCUAUGCAUCUUCUAUUAUUAUAUUAAACUAAAAUAGAAAUUUUCUUUGUCGAACUGACUUAUGAUUCUGUGUGUUCUUACUUGUAGAGAACGCUGUCAAAUAUACGAAUUCCUAGCUACAUAGGCGAAGUGACAUGUACUUCUGUUAAUAUUGGUAACCUUCCUCCCUACAUACGUGCAAUGAGGGUUCUUCCCUCGGACAUGAAUGAGUUUUGGGCCUUCGAAAUUGAUCUUCAGUAUUCUGGUGAUGCAAUCUUGGAGGUCGAGACGAGGGUAGCAGUUCAGGACCUUGAUUUACCUGAAGGUGAUGAACCAGAAACAGAAUCCGGUGCUAUUCAUGAUGUGAAAUAUGAUUUACUAGAAGGGGUUGAGCAGUUUGGAAAACAAAAGCAUUCUGAAGUGAACGUUGAUAAGAUGGACCAAGCCAAGGAAGGUAAUAUUUUCUAUGAUGUUCUCAAAAUUUUGGAUUUUGCAAUCAAAAUAUGUUAAUUUGCUUGGGCAUGCUUCAUGGUUAUUUGUGCAGUAACUUAAAGGGAAUAGUUAACUAUUUUUGAAAGAAAAAUUAUUUUAGAUGGUUUUCAAGGUGUAUUAAUCAUGUGAAUUUUCAGAUGGGAUGAGAAGCUCCAAUAGCACUCCAAAUGUGUUGCCUCAAGUUUCUAAGUGGAAGUCUAUCUUUAAUUCUGUUGCCAAGCAGGUCUCACAGGUUGUUUACAACUAUUUUAUUUAAUAUAAUGGGCUGUUUGGUCUGUACAGAUAGGGUGGAGGUGCUUAUUUAAUUUUUCUUUAUGUACAUGGUAGAGCAGUUUAGUAUCUCGCAAGGCUUAUAAUCUUGAUGUUAAAGGUUCAAUCCUGUCAACAUCUAGUUUAGUAUCUCGCCACAAGGGUUUUCUCUUCCCAAUUGAUUUUUCUAAAAUGAAAGAAUGCAACAAAAUGGUUAUAGUUAUGACAACCCAAGAGCCAAAAGUACACAAAAUCCCUAUAGUCCUCUAAAGAUAAUGAGCUAUAGAAGAGUUCUUGUCACAAGAUCCCUUGGAUUCAAAGAGCUUAAUUGGCCUUGGUUUUCUUUGUUCCCUCAUAGUCCUCAAGGCUUAAAAAUCAUUAUACAUGAUCCUUUGAGCUAAAUCGUGGAGAUCUUAUAAUUUCUUAGCUUGAUUCCUUGUAAAUGGUCUACUUGAGAGAUUCACUUCUCUUGGGUUAGUCAAAAUCUACAGGUUAACGGUUAACCUAUGUUUGUGCAACUUACAUCCUAGAAUACUUUUGUGUAAAAUACAGCAAAAUUUCAGUAGUUCUCCUGACGUUGACUUGAAAUGACCUCCUUAUUAGUUACAGAGAAGAACUAUAGUUGAUGUCGUUAAGUUGACCUUAGUAUCCGUUUUUAGCAAUAGAUAAUGACAGGUAAGACAAGGAUCCCCUAAGGAGAACAUGGUAUGAGUUAUGGUUGAGCAGUGGAUUCUGAAUGAUAAAGGAUUUACGCGUUAUACAAUCAUGAGAACUUCUAAUAUGGCAGCAUUCUGCUACUGCAUGUAUUUCUCAGACGAUUAGUAAUUUAAUCAUAUUGUGCCGGACGAAAACUUUUGAAUUUUUAUUGGUGCAUGUACUGAAGAAACAUAGUGUCUUAUUCUUCCUGUACUGUAACAAAUUGUGGAAGAAGCUCUUUUGCAUUCUAAUCAUUGGAUCUUUAAACUCAUCAGGUAUCACUCUCUCUGGGGAUAAGGAUCGCAUCCAUUCAAGGAACUAUGAGGCUCUACAUAAAGCCACCACCUUCAGAUCAAAUAUGGUUCGGAUUCACAUCGAUGCCCGAUAUAGAUAUCCACUUGGACUCUUCCGUUGGGGAGCAUAAGAUCUCAAGUGGGCAUCUCUCUUUGUUCCUAAUCAAUCGGUUCAAGGUCAGAUUGAUAAUUUCUGUACUACAAUUUGAUUAUGUGUCUAUACAUCUCUUCUUCUCAUUAAGCCCUUUACAUGGACUUAAUCAUGAUUUUUAAAUUUUUUACCAUUGGGCCUUUAACAGUUCUAACACUUCGCUAGCUUAAAUCCAUUUUCAGUAGGUCAAGGUUUCUAGAGAAUAAUUGUGACUGACUUACAGCAGUGGGUUAACACUUGAACAAAAAUUUCUAGAAUAUUGUCUCUUAAAUAUCAAAUAGUGGAAACAGCACUUAGAAUUGUGGAAAUCAUCGUUACAAAAAGAUAUAAUAUAGAGUGGUUUCCAUAUAAAAUCCAAUUCUUUAAAAUUACGUCUAAAUCCCCAGACAAGUUGGUGCCAAGAGUACUUUUCCUAAAAUAAUCUAACCACUUAUCUGUAUAAGUGGAUAUUUCCUACAAAAAAGGGCCAAAACUACCCCUCAAAUAUUAGAAAUGGUAUAAAAAUACCUUCUAUCCACCUAUUUGACUAAAUUUGCUUUUACCACUAUUAUUUUGGCUCUUUUCUGCCCUAAUAACUAAUACUCCAUGCCCUAUUAAAAAAAAUCUGUUGUUAUUUAAUAUGUGGUGUCACCUGAUUGGCCUAAUUUUGGGUCCCAUAGUAAAAGAAAUUUUUAAAAAGUGGUCUCUCUCUCUACACUCACCAUUGCCAUUCCUCCCCCUCUGGCCCACAUUCCUCUCUUCCACUUUAGUCUUCUUCCUAUAAGAGAACUCGUGCAUGCACCAAAGAAAAUAAAGGGAAAAGAUGGUAUUCAAGUGUACAAACUAAGUUUUUCUCAACUCAAUCAGAAAUUCUACUAUUCCUCAUACAGCCCACAUAGUGUUAAGAGGAGUAACAAGUCCCUUCAAAUGAUUGUAAAUGGCAAGAAAUGCAACGACCUGUGAGUGUCCCAUGCUCCAUGUCUUCUUUUCCUUCUUCAAAAGGCUCUGCUAAACAUUGUUUUCUAGUACCCGACAUCACCCACUCAAGUCUAAACCAUCUCAAAAUUUCUCAUAACAAAUAAGAUACUAUCCAACAAUGUAAAAGGAGGUAGUUCACAUCUUCCCCUGAGCCUUCACAUGAAACAUUAACUAAUACAAGUAAUCUUCUUCCUCAAAAUUCUCCGACAUCAAGAUCAUCCUCUUGCAGCCAGCCAAGCAAAAAAAACAUGUUUCUCAAUACCCUAGUGAUGCGUUUCAAAAUAUGGGUGCAAAAGCUGAUUAGAAGUUUUUCAUAAUUGGUUAUUGGUCACAACAGAAAUGACGCCUAUUCUGUGAAGUUAUUUGUUUGUGAAACAACUCGACCAAAUUUUGAAAUUCUUCAACCUCCCAGCCUUGCAAGUUCUUGUUUUUAGAUCAUUUCUUUUUGAUAAGCUACUAAUUUAUUUGUACUUGUUUCAUUCCCAACCACCAAUGUCUCUGCUUCCUAUGGAUUGGUUUUAUAACGAUGCUUGAAUUUAAUUCAACUUUAAAUUCGAUAGAGCAAUCUAUGCAAAGUUUCCAAUAUAUUGUUCUCUUUUUAUCAUCCGUAGGCUGAGAUUUCCUUCAGAGGCUUAAGCUGAUUCUUUAUAACUAAUGCAGGGUGCUAUUCGUGAAACACUGGUACUUCCAAACUGUGAAAGUGUAUCCAUCCCAUUUAUGUUAGCAGAGAAGGACGAUUGGGUCCCCCGACAAGUUGCCCCAUUUUUAUGGCUGAAUCGAGAAGGUGCAGGUAAUAAUGCGAACAGACAAGAAGCAUCCAGCUCCCAACCUGCGGAUGCAACACGAGUCACUGAAGUUGACAAGGGAGGUACCAAUGGUAAUUCUGAAAGCAAAACUGAAAUUCCAGGAAAAACAGGAUGGAGUACUCAACAAAGCAAGUCAUUGGAUCCACAUGCAUUAUUAUCAGUUCCUACGCAUAGUCCAGAAACAGGAAGCACCUCUAGCAAUGGCGGAAGCAAUCAAGCGAAGACGAAAAAACUUGGAUGGUCUGCCCUGCAAAGCAAAUCACUGGAUCAUGCGUCUCUAUCAGUUCCUAUAGCACAGCCUGGCACAAAUAACCAGCCUUUGGAAGAAUUGGGAGCACCAUUGUUGAAGCAUGAGGAACAGCAAGAGGGUCAUCUCGAAAGCACAGCGGAGAACAUAGAAUGCAAGUCACCUUCUCGACAACUGUUACUACUUGAAAAAAAUCAAAUUACUGGAGAAGAUGAUUCAAAGUGUACAAGAUUAGGGAGAAGGGCUAGGAUGCUUGGUUUGGGGAAGAAAAUGGGGGAGAAACUGGAAGAAAGGGCACGUCACAUAGAAGAAAAGGGGAGAAAUUUAGUUGAGAGAAUGAGGGGACAACAGUGAAAUUAAGGAACAUUGUAAAUUUUACAGUAUGGCCAGUUCAUUUAUUUUCACAACGCAAGUCCCUGUGUAUCUUGUUACUGGCAUUUCUUUUGUGCUUCACUGUCUUCAGUCUUCACUAACGAAAUUAUCCAAUGGUUCACAUGUUUCAGUAUCACAGAUGCAGUAAACUGACGACCUUGUGAAGGAAAAAAAAAUCAAAUCAACAGUGCUAUGCUUGGCUUCCGUGGUCGGAUGAUUCAUCUUUAGCUGCCAUGAAGAAGAUUGUUCUCAACUCAUACACAAGCUUUAUCGUUCUUAAUUGGUUGUCCAUAAAGAAAGAGUUGGAAGUAAAAAAUAUCUUGCGUCGAUUGUAUGAGGUGAUUAUUAUCGUCAUUUUAUCAUGUUAUGCUGUUGAAUUAAUAUAUGUUACUCAUUCGAGCUAAACACUUAAGUAGACCAAAGGUCCCGUGUAGGUACGAGAAUGGAAGAUAAAAGUUUACUUUUGCAUAACAUAAUCAACAACUAUACAAAACUUAAAACACUUUAACCUUCUUGUCCUAUUAUAGUCGUGGUCAAUUAAAGAAAAGCGUAUAUGUACUACAACACUAAGAACCCUGAUAUUAAAAAUUGCUGGAGAGCUAGGCUUGUUUCAAGCCUUGAGAAAACUUAACCCAUUUAGAGAGAUGAAAUUGCAAACUUGACAAUUCUGUGAAACCCUUUAGUGCAAUAUAUUUUCAGGUUAACAAACAUCUCUAAGAAACAUCAGUGGAAAGCUCAAUAUAAAGAAAAUCUAGGGUUCUAACAUUCAUAAGAAACUAUCAUGCGAUAAAGUCAAGUUAGCACUACUCUUAUGAUUGAUUUAAGUAAAACCAUCCAAACAAGAACAUGGUAAUACAAUUAUGGAAUGAAUGCAGAAAUAUGAAGAAAAUAGAUAGGACAACAACAAAAAUUUGCUUUUCCACUCUUUCAAAACAAAAGCACUUCCAGAUUCUCCAAAGAAACACUGCACUAGCAAUGAUUAAAUAAUUCAGUACAUCCACGAAGUCAAAAUCCUUUUUAACUGUGCCAUUAAAAAACCAUCUAUUGUAGAACUCGAAAUAUCUAAUCUUUAUCCAAAAAAGGAUGAAGAGCUUGAAGGAAAAAGGCUCAUUCCCAGCCUGUAGCACCAGAGGUAGGGGCAACAUCUGGUACUGGUAGAGGAACUGGUGCAGGGGCUGCUGCUGCAUCCCAUCCGCCAUCAGCUGCUGAAAUUCGUCCCGGAAACAAAAGGCAAGGUUAUUAGUGCCAACAAAUUUAGGAAUAAGAAUAACUUAAAAUCACCAAAUGCUUACUUACAGAAGAGGCUCACAAUCAUAGGACAGGGAAAAAAAAGAGAAGCAAAAGACUAUCAGCUAAAAUGAGCUCAAGAGCAACAAAGUGCCAGUUGGGGAUUGAAAUUUUUUAGCAGACAAUAUUAGGAACCAACUUCACAAAAUAACAAACUAACCUCCAUCUCCAGCCCAACCACCACCUACUGCAGGUGCUGCAGCAUCUGCAGUCCAUUGCGCCUCAGGGAUUUGGCUACUAGUCCAGUCACCACCAAGGGCAGCACUCGCAGAGUAGUCUGCAUAAUCUGCAAUUGCUGGCACUUCCUCUUCUUGCUCCUUUGCCUCUUCAGGCUCUCUGUAAAAGAAGAGAUCAACCUGCAAAAAUAGAAAUAAACAGAUGCAAAUGAAAAACCUAUAUUCAAGUGACUGCAAAAGCAGGCAUUAAAUCAUCUACUAAAUUUCAGAAGAGCACACAACCACCACCAGCAGAAUGUAACAAUGAAGUUAGAGCUAUACAAAAUAAAAUGAAUAAAGAUGGUCUUUACCAUAACAUCCCAUUUAGGUCCUUGAUUAAUGGCCCCACGCAUCUGGAGUACCAUCCUUGCUAAGAUCCAGAAAAGAACACCAAUGCUGUGCUUUCCUUUGUUAUUGGCAGGGAUACCAAUGUCAACAUAACGCAUUGGAGAAUCAGUGUCACAGAAAGCAAUAGUUGGGAUGUUUCCAAGUGCAGCUUCCUUGAUUGGCUGCGAAGUUUUCAAACAGGUUAGUUAUAAUUGGCAGGUUUACAAGAGAAUAUUAGUAGCAGGAUAGCGAGUAAAACCUGAUGGUCAGUUCUUGGAUCAGUCAGAAUCAAGAGUCGUGGCUCACUGUAUGAGGUCUGAAGCUGAUUGGUAAAAGUUCCAGGGGUGUGACGUCCAGCAAUAGCAUGUGCACCAGUAUAUUGAGCAAAUUUCAAGACAGCUCUCUGUCCAUAAGGCCUGGCAGAUUGAACAAUGAUGUCCUGAGGAUUCUCAAUAGCAACAAUCACCCUGGCAGCCAUUUGAAGCUUUUCCCAUGUCUUUCCAAGGUUGAUGAUGUAGAUACCUACAAAUAUAAAUACUUAGGGUCAAGUAAACAGAGAAACCAAACCACUAAUGAAGAUUUUGUUAUGACACCAGGAAUUUGAAUUUGUAUCUCUAGUUGUCCCACAUAGAGUACUAGUAAAAUGCACAUCUAAUAUCAACUUAAUGGAAGUAAACAAUAGAGAGAGCAAAUGAAAUGUUGCAGAUAAAGAAUUCCUACAUGAGAUAAAACACUUAAUGAAUCCGAAUGCAUAUCAUAUAUAUGCAGGUCAAACAAUGGAAAGAUUAUCUAAAAGAGAAACUAGCAAUUACAAACAACACAAUCUGACCGAUACAGGCGCCCAGCCUCAGCAAACUGAAAAUACAUCAAAAACACUUAUUUGCAUUAUAUGCAUAUUGUAAAGGUAUUGGCUUCACUUGCCACAAGGUUUUACAAUUCAAAUCUAUCCACAUGAGUAGUGAAUUAAUCUAUAUGCUUUCAAAUAGUUGCAGUACAUACACUAUAAAUGUCAUUACUGUUGUUCGAAUCAAGCUCCCUGUUAAGUGCCUAUAUCUAAUUAAUAUGAACCUAUUAGCUUGAUAAAAUGCACCUAGAAGACAGCAAGACAGCUACCCAUGCAUCGGCUUAAUCGUAAGAACGAGCAAAUCCUACCAGUAGGUAAGAGCUGAAUACAAUUAUCACAGAGAAGUAAUGGCGAAUAAAAAAAGUUAAAUCCUUCCAACUGUUACUAAACAUUUUUUUCCAAAAAAAGUUCGUGGAUAACCAAAUCAAUACACCUAAUGCCAACAUAACAAUAAGCAUCUACAAACUACUAUGCAUCAAUCGGUGCAAUUUACAGCUAAUAGACAUAAGAUAUGAUCUUAACAUAACGAAAAACACAUAGAAUCAAGGAAUGAGAUAGAAAAUUAAGUUAAACACUUUCAUACCAUCGUUACGGCGCUUGAAAGCGUAUCGCUCCAUUUGGAAGUCACAAUUCUUAGUACCGAGGUGAACUUCAGCAGCCAACAUCAUCUGAAUGUCAGCUUCUUUAGUCGAAAGAGUCCUUACAUCUUGCGUCGCCAUGGUUGUGCUCUGCUUCUUCCCUUUCUGCUGCUAGGGUUUUUUUCGGCUUGCGGCAGAUCGAGAUUCUCUCUUCACGAACGUAUCUAUAAAACCCUUUUGGUAUAGAGGAACUUAAAUAUAAAACCUUGCUCGUAUUGGGCUGGGCUGUUGUAUAUUUAUGGGCUGGGCUGAUUAAAUUUCUCUUCUAAAAAUCGUAAAACUUUGAUAGUUAAGCCACAUUUUCAACUGGUAUUUAAAAGUUAACCUUUGUUUUGAUAGGAAACUAACUACACCAAGCCGCGUGUUAUGGGCGAAGCACUUGUGUAUGUAAUGCAAGUGAACGUCUAUGAAAAACUGUUGUAAAGUUUCGUUCUUCGUUCUAUUGUCGAUUCUAUUUAUGUUUCGUUCUUCAUUCUAUUGUCGACUCUAUUUAUGUUUCGUUGUUUUGAUAGGAAACUAACUAUACCGUGAGAUCGACCUUUACACUAUAUUUGGGUCAUUGUUAUUCAUUGUAUUGUAUUGUAUCGUUAAUAUAUCUAUAAUAUUUAUUUUGAUUGUUACUUAAAAUGUAUUGUACUAUAUUGUUAAAUUUUAUUGUUACGUAACAAUGAAAAUCUUUUUUUAUGGAACAACUAAUUUGGUGUGUUCCUACUGUUACUUAAUUUCUUUUUUCAAUUAUAUAUUUACAUAAUAUUUUAAAAUAUUAUUUUACCCUUUAAUUUAAUUAUUUAAAUCUAGUCAAAUCUCCUACCCUAGAAUAAUUAAGAUAUUUUAGUAAAUUUAUAAAUUACAAUACAGUAUGAUGCGAUUAAACGUAACAAUUAAAAUGUUAUUAAACAACAACAAACAAUUCAGUCUAGCCGAACAUUAUAUAUACCAUACAAUACAUUAUAAAACAAUGGAUAACAAUGAUCCAAACAAAGUGUUAAUGGUCAAAAGUCAAAAUUUGUUGGUUCUAAAAGAUUUUUUUUCAUUAAACAAGUAGGGCGAAAGUUUUCAUGGUCAACAAAUUCAAGGAGAUUUUUGUAAAUCACUUCUUGUUUGGUACGUGAUUAAGUAAUUGUUAUUUUUUAAUGUUGAGUGAAAUCUAAAUAAAAAUAUUCUUAAUUAAAUUACGAAAAAACAACUACCAUAACGUUGAAGUUACAAAUGAAUCUCUGAUAUAUUUUACUAAAGUUCUUAAACUUCAUUUAUAUGAAAUAUGUGUGCUUUAGUAUAUAGGACAUAAUUCUUGGAUGAUCAGUAAAAAAAAGUUCACAAAUCUCUUUGUUUGAGUUCUUUUGUACUGUUGUAGAAUCAAAUUGUAUAAUCGAAGUUAAAAUUUUAUAGUAUAUGAUCAUCUUAAUUAAAAUUUACAUUAUUAGAAAACAACUUUUUUUUUUUAUGAUUUAGAGUAAUUAUAUUCCUAAUAUGUUUUUUAUAUAUAUAUUUAACAAAAUUUAGCUUUCGUCUGCAAAGUAAUAAGAUUCUUCUAAUUAUAGUGUGUUAAAUUCAGACACUGGGAUUUAGGUAUAUAACAUUUGAAUUAUUUGUUACUCUGGUUAGAAAAAGGAAACAACUUAAAACACAACUCUAUUAACCAAAAUGUACAAAAUAAAUAUACAUUAGUUAUUGUAAUUAAUAGUGAAAAAAGCAAGACCAAAAAUGCAACCUACGAAGUAAAAUGUACUGUAAUAUACGUUAUAAUGUAAUAUAAUAUGAAUGUUUAAAAUCGAACCCUAAUUGAUAAUUUUAAAUGAAAAAUAGUUAUUGGAUUAUCAAUUUAAUAUUUUCAGUAAUAAUUUUAAAUUUUUUAAUUAUUAGACAGAUCAGGGAUUCUUUAUGGUUUUAAUUUUUUCCUUAAUAGAUUAACCAAUACCUCCAAUUAAAGUAAAUUAAAUAGUUAUAUUUUUUUAUUACUUAGUAUCAAACUCUAUCGUCCAAAGUGAUAAGGUUCGUCUGAUUUCUAUUUCUAUUUAUAUAACAGUAUCAAACUUUAUCGUCCAAAGUGAUAAUGUUCGAUUUUAAACAUAAUGCGAUCAUUCGUCUAAUUUCUAUUUCUAUUUAUAUAACUUAGUAUCACACUCAAAGUGACAAUAUUCGAUUUUAAAUGUAAUGCGAUCAUUAUCACUUUGUUUGUAAGUGAUUUUGAGUGACUCUUUGAAGUGUCAAAUCUUAACUAUAACGAUUUAAUGAAUAAUUAGACUAUCAAUAACCGACCGCCCUGGAUAGACAACCACAUAGAGGGCCUCUAUCAGUCUAUAUAUUCUUUGAUUUUGUUCCCCUCUAUGAGGUCUGCAAGUUUCACAUCUAAGUAAUACCCGUCUUAAUGAUUCAUAACAUAUCUACUAAUAUCUAGAAACCAAUAACCAAAACCGAACAUACACAAAACAUAGCUUUUUUGUUUAUGUUAUUUAAAAGCUUACACAAGUCAAAAUUAAACAAGUCGCAAAUACAUUUGAAGGGGGCUAAGGCCUCUUAAGAAAGCAAACAAAAAGACCCAAACAUACAAACUUCACAAACAAAACAAGUCCUCCUAUUUUAGUAAUCUUCUGGAGCCAAAGGCUGAUGAUGAGUAUGAACUGGAGCUUCAUCAUGAGCCUGUAUGAGUCCAAAUUCAUAGAUAAUUCCAGCUAUGGCUGCACCAAUGAAUGGGCCUACCCAAUAGAUCCAAUGAUUCCUCCACCUCCAGCCCACUAAAGCAGGCCCAAAAGCCCUUGCUGGGUUCAUGGAUGCUCCUUCAAAAGGCCCACCAACAAGGACAUUAGCUCCAACAAUGAAAGCAAUAGCAAGAGGUGCAAUAAUCCCCAAACUACCCCUCUUUGGAUCAAUAGCUGUUGCAUAAACAGUGUACACCAAACCAAAUGUCAUCACUAUUUCCAUCACAAGUGCAUUUCCAUUGCCAACUCCUGAUGCUACCGCAAAUCCCACUGGCCUCUGUAUCCACACAGAAAAUGGUUGUUCGUUGUAGUAAAUAAUUAAUCGAGUAAAACCAUAGUGUAGGUACUCGCUUUGUACCAUAAAGAAUGACAUCCGAUCGUUUUUUUUUCUUUUUCGUCUGUUUUUUUUUUAAAAAAAAAAAAUCCUUUCUUCCUUUUCUUCAUGGUCAGUUUCAAAAAGAACUAUUUUUCCUUUUUCUGAUAAAAUUUUAAUUUCAACUAUUCACAUAACAUAUUUGAGAUCACAAAUUUAAAUAACAAUUUUGUAUAUUUUACAUAAUUUUAAAAAUCUUUUUUAAUUUCAUGUCAAAGUCAAACUAAAUCAUUUUAAGAAAGAGAGUAAUAUAUAAAAAAGAAAAAAAAAGGACAAAUAUAUCCUAAACUAUGAUAAGUUUAUGAUAAAUGAUAUAAAGAUGCCUCUAUCUUACUUUUGAAUCAUAGUAAGAUACCAUUAAAACUAAGAGACACACAAGUAUCAUGAUCUUAUCCACCAGCCCGAAGAUUGAAGGAUAUAUACUCACUAAUUGUUGUCUUUGGACGACGAGUCCCAAAAAUAUGACUGAAGAUAUUUAUUCACCACUUAAAAUAGUUCGGUAUAUAUUUAUCUUUUUUUCCAAUAAAAAAAGCUUAUGAGAAUUUAAGACUGAAGUAUUCCCCUUUUUAAUUUUUGUAAAAAAUAUUCCCUCUGUCCCAAAGUUCUGAGAAAAAAAAAAUGAAACUCGUAGUCUAAAACAAGUCUCCAGGGAUUUUCCGAACUAAAAAUCAUUUCAUCAAGAGUAAAAGUAAAACAGAAAAAUUGAAGUUAAAUUAUUUCUAUUAAGCUUCUGUUUUCCGAUGGAGUGUCUUACCAAUCCAUCCGUAGCAAGCCUCAACAAGGCAGAGGCAACAACAGCACCUAGCAACUGACCAAUCCAGUAGUACAUAGCACGAAGGACGCUAACUCGCCCGCCCACAAGAGCACCAAACGUAACAGCCGGGUUGAUAUGACCACCGGAGACGUUCAUACUGGACGCUACCGCAGCAAACAGCGAAAACGCAUGCGCGAGUGCAAUCGCCGUCAAUCUCGACGCUCCUAAAGCUCUAUCAGGGUACAACUUAUCUACACAUACAAUCCGCACGAAUAACAAUCAGUAAACAAUAAUACAGAAUGUUUUGUGCAUCGAAUUGUCACGGAUAGAAUUAAUUAGGAGUUAGGAGUUACCAAGGGCAAGAACAGAUCCUUCUCCAGCAAAGACGAAAAUGAAAGUAGAGAGAAACUCAGAUAAGGUAGCACGCACAGAAUCAGGGUGUGUAGCUUCAUCCGCCCUGCCAAACUCAUAUCUCCGUGGCUGCAUAAUUGUGAGUAUAUUUUUUUUUUCCACACAAAACACACCGCUUAAAGAUAAUAACAAUAAUAAUAAUAAUAAUAAAAAAUAUAAGACGAGGCUAAUAGAGAACGAUAUGAUCGAGGGGGGGUGUUUAUAUAUAGAACAGAUGGGUUACAGUAAGAUAAUAAAAGUGGACACCUGGGAGUAGCACUGCAUGAAUAGUGACACGUAUACUACAUGCAUUACGUUGUCUCUUUCGAUCCAAUCAACAACCUCUUUAUCUGACUUCACUUGCUAAAACUCAAACGUUACACUAAAACUAAACGACAAUAUAUAAUAAAACCAUUGCUUUUAAGCAUAAUAACCUAUCGUCUUGAUUUUAACUGAUAUUUAUGUUUUUAAAGCAUAUAUAAAUAAAUAUUAGUUAAAUUUGUUUUUGAAAUUUAGUAUACAUAUGUUCUAUGUAAUAUUUUAUAUGAUAAUUUGUGUUAGAUUCGCUCAAACUGAUUAAUACGUGCACAUCAAAUGUGUAUACAAAUAUCUAUUCAAAUUUGAUAUAAGUUAAAUGAUCACUUAUGUUCAUUCAAAGUAUAAAUUCAUAAAAAUCAAAUUGUAAGACACGUGUAUAUAGUAUGCCUACUUAAUAAUGUUUUUCAAUUGAAAUUAUUUCCAAUUACGUCUUCAUUCACACUAGCAUAAAAAUACUCGAUAAAAGUUAUUUUUUGAAGAUGGUGGUUUGAAUCUUUAAUUGUAAUAUUAGAUGCAUGUUACAGUACCUUAUGAUUUUCUAUUAGCACAAUAUUUAAAAUCGAGAAACGUGCACGACAAAUGAUAUUAAUAGCAAAAUAUAGAGCUCUAGAGAGAAUUGGCUGCACUGAAUUUGUCAUAAAUCGACGUUUUUAGAUCAAUUGAUUCAUUAUAGCUGUCAGCUGUGAUCAAUGAAAUUGAACCUAAAAAUCUGUUGCGUGAAAUUAAACAUAUGUGAAUGAGACUUGUGAGGUGGGUGAUAGUGAGAUGCAAAUUUUAUGCAAAACGAUUAUACCUCACAUCUCAACUAUGUAAAAUUACAACAUACAAUUUAUCGAUAUUCACUUGUCAGCUAAUUUACGGUAACAACAUUUAGGCCUCUGCGAUGGAUCCUCGAUCAAAAUGGCCACAUUACAAAUGCUAAGGAUAUUUGAUGAUUUAAACACUAUGAUCUAAGAAUCAUUCAUCAAUCAAAUCCAUACAGAAUCAAUCUUCAUCAUCUGAACUCUCAUAUGCUGCUAUCGAGAUUUUUAUCGGAUUAUCUACCUUUGUUUCUUUUUCAGUAUCAUUUGGUUUAGCCGGCAAGACAUCUUUCUGCUUCUCCUGAUUGGAAUCAUAAUUAAUACUAAGAAUAACUUGUGUACUUGAGAUGGAAUUACUCCCAUCAAACCUUCUAGAAACUUUCGGCUUCUUAGGCUUGACUCCUAAAACACUUUUUAGUAAAUCUUGCUGCCUGUAGACCAGUAUAUAUCUUAUUAGUUUGAAUAUUUGAAUACAAAAAAUUAUCAAUAUGUAAAGAUGGCUCGCCCUGCGAUUACUGGGGCACAAAAACUAGGAGAAAGAAAGACGAGGGAGAAGACAUGAAAGAAAAAGUGUCUAAAGUAAAAAUGUAAAAUUAAUCAAUUGUACAUGAUCCCACUUUUUGGCUUGGGCUCAACAGGAAGUGGCAGGGGAAUAGAUGCAGGUGAAGAAUCAACAAUAUCUUUGUUUAAACUAGUUAAGCAACACAUAGAAAAUGUAAACGGUUAUACAACUUGAUAACUGAAGAUAUCUUUCAUUUUUUGGGGGAUAAGUUAUAUGUGUCCCAACUUUCGUAAGCCACAACGCAUCCUCUCUGCUGGCAAAGCUAAAGUCUGACGGGGUAAAUCAUCAAAUUAACUUUUUAAUAACUUUAUGUGUAAAUGAAUUCAAUUUACAUCAAUUAGCACUCGCCGUCACCAUUCAAUAUUAUUAUCCAGAGGUAUCAAAGAAGGAACAAACAAAAAAGGAUAUCUUGAAUGCUUGAAAUGCACAUUUUUCCGUACCUUGCAGAAGGCGUUCACAUCUUCGUCAACUUCCAUCUGUUCCUUAAGGUAAAGUAAGUCAUCGUUGUCUAGGGAUGCAAAAUAUAACUUAAACAAGGUUCAAGAAACUAUUUCACAUUUUCAUUAUAUGGACAAACUAAUGUACCAAAAGGAGGAAGCAAUUAUUGUGAGCAAGAAUCUAUACCGCCUCUUCCAUGAAGGUAACCUCCAUGUUUCACAGCAACCUCUUGCAUCUAAACAUGUCAAGCACCCAGUAGGAAAAGCCAGGAUCCCUGUCAGGGCAUGUUAUCAGAACUUGAGGCAUGUUAUGAUGAAAAUUUUAUAAUAUAACCUGACCUUGAAAUAACUUUAGAUUACAAAUUUAUCUGACAUAUCUGAACUUCUGAACUUACAAUGAUUCAAGACCAACAUUUUUUUUCAGUAGUAGUAAAUAGUGUUAUAACAUAUCCCCAAAGACUUUCUGUAUCCAAAUAUACUGCAAAACGUCUUAUCUAAAUGCUAAUAGGUGGCCAUAAUAUUUUCCUUAUUUCAAUCCAUAACUCUUCUAAGUGGUUUACUUGGAAUAAUCAAGCAUUCCCCUUGCUAAAAAAAACAAAUUAAAUCUAGUUGCUUAUAUAAUUAACACAAAAUAAAUCUGUAGCUUGGCGUUCAGUAGCAGAAAGAGGAAGGAGAGUGGAGUAAAUACAAAGAGCAGUAAAUGCAAAAUGUUCUGAUUGCAGAUGCAGUCAGUUUCUCAAUUCUUCCAGAAUUUGAAAAUGAAAACUUCUUCAUUUUUUUCCUUUUGAUAGCUAGAAUAAGAGGAGAAAUACAAUUGUAUGAAAUCGAGGUUGUUGAUUUUACUGCAGAAGGUGGAGGCAAGGUGGUUGGGAGAUGGAGAAGGAGGAGGUUGGAAAAGAUGGUAACAGAGGAGAUAGAGGAGGAGUUAGUGGCGGAGGGGGAUGAUGGUAAUUGGGGUAAGGCAGAGUGUAAGUAAGAAAACUUGGAUGCUAAUUAAAUUAACAUCAUUAAUUCUUAUCUCAAAAGAGUUACUCCUAACCAAUAUAAAACCUGAGUCACCUUUUCUCAAAUAAAAGAUACAAACUUCACAUCAUCCAACAUAGAACAUGGUGAUCAUUCUAACAUACUCCUACUUUUAUCGUAAAUCGUGCCAUCUUUUCUGGAGUCCUUCAAUUCGUUGUUAACAUCUUCCUUACAUAUCAUUUAUUUCACUAUGCCGAUGAAAAAUCAUAUAUAACAAAUGAUCAAGUUUAUGAAAAACUAAGCAGCAUAUGCUAUGCAAAAAACUGAAACAUAUGCUAUGCUCGAAUUAUAAAUUGUUGCGGAGUUAAAAUAAACAAAUAACUAAACAGUCUCCUCCAUGUCAACUUAAAUUUCUAAAUUAAGGUGUGGUUCAAUAAGAUUAAUAGCUAAAGCUGCUAAACACAAUUCAACAUCAACUUUCAAGAGUUGCUAUGGAUUUAAUUUUGCUAAAAGCAGACAGAAUUCAAAUCAGAAAGCAAACCUCACUCACUUCUAAUAAAUUUAACAACCAUAAAAAGUUGAAGAAACGAGAUUCGCUAACCUUGGAAACAAUGCGUUGGAAAGUGACCUCCUCGCCAUCUAUCUUGUCCUUCCCUUUACCAAAUUUCUUAUCUGUCAAAUAUUUGUUUGCAUUUACAAUUUAAACCUAAAAUAGCAAAUCAAUUAGCAAAAAAUUAGCUGACAGUUACAUAUUUGUUAUGCAAAAAUACCUUUAGGAUCGGUUAGAUUGGUGUAUUCUCAAAAUUCUUUUCCUGCCAUGGCUUCAAUUGAGGGUUUAUUAUAAAUUGCAGAGAUUAUUAGCUCAACAUUGUGUGCUUUGAUUUAGGGCUUUUUUCGAAAUUGAGUAUUUUUCUUCUUUCUCUCUCUGUGAAUUUAUCCUCUUUCUAAAUGCGGAUCAACAGUCGGGUUAAGAAACUUUAUAAUAUGUUUCACACCACCAAUGUUAAUUGUAUGAGACCUCUUAAAUUUUGACAAAUGGAAAGUGGAUUUAAAAUUUACUUUUAAUAUAUAUAUAUACUAAGAAAAAUAUGAUUUUACAUAUUCUUUAGUGUUUAGUGUUUGAUAAAUAGUAAAUAUAACAAUAUCUUAAAAGUAUUUACAUAUAAUAUAAUAAAAUAUUAUGACAAAGGAAUAAGGUGGGGGGAUUUGAAGGUGAUAGAGACAAUGAACUAACAACAAUAAAAGAGUACAACAACUAAACAUAAUAAACAAAUGAUAAAUGUCAAAAGCAAAGAAACUACAAGAAUAAAGUUAAUAUUACAGACAUACACCGCAAAGUCUAAAUCUAUCAGAAAGCAAAACAUGUUUCAUUACCUACUAACCUUCUAUAUUAAUUUACAACCUCUAUAAUCUUAUUUAAUGUCGUAUAUUCAAUAAACAAAUAUUACAUCAUAUCAUGUUUAAUCACAUCUCCUUAUAAUUUUUUUGAUUUCCUCCUAUUCAUCGUAUAAAACCUCUCAAAACUCCUCGCCAAGACCCCUUCCUACCUCCCCUUCAUUAAUUCCAUAUCAAUAUGAUGUGUGACACCAUAAUUGAAAAUUUAUCAUGGUAAUUGAUAAUAAAAAUUAAUAAUCUAUAUAUAUAUAUAUAUAUAUAUAUAUAUAUAUAUAUAUAUAUAUGAAUCUUGAUCCGCUAAUGUGGCGCACUCCAAUGGUCAGCAUUUGUCAAUAUCUAUUUUUAUCUUUUUCUGAUUUAUUUUUUAUUUUUAUUUCAAAACAAAUAUAUAAAUGAGUAAAAUAUCACACUAAAUACUAUGACUAAUUACUUGCUCAGUUAUAGCCCAAAAAAUGCAGUCCAACCCAUUUAAAACUCAGCCCAAAUACAUCACAUUAAUUACCCAAAUUAAAUAGAUUUUAAAUCAAUUUUUUUAAAAAAUUACUCACUCCUCAAAUUUGAAAUUGUUAUAAAGAAUUAUUUGUUGAAUUGCUAUCUUUAGACUUUAUGGCAACAUUUAUUGUUAUUUCAAUUUAAAAACACAUUAUGAUUUUGUUAAAAUAUUUAUUACUUAUUCAAUCCAUAAAAGUUAUAGUUAUAUAUAAUAUAAAAUUAUUUCUUUCAUCUCCUUUAUUCGUUUUUAUAUUUAUUCUUUUCCUCUUUUAUUUAUUUUUACAAUUUCAUAUUUAUAACUUAUACCUAUUAAAUUUCUACUUUUAAUACUAUCAUUAACUCUUUUAAUAUUAAAUUUUCAUAUUCAUAACCCCCAAGUAUUUAAUUACAAUAUUUAAGACACUUUAUGAUAUAUUCUCAAAUUUUACCUUUAUAAAUUCAUAAUAUUUUGUACCGUGGAUCCCAACUCAAAAUUAUUCAUUUUAUUUCAAUGUUAAUCUUUAUAUUAUUAUGGGAAUGGGGAAUCCCAUCUUAUUAUUAUAGGAUCAUAUAUUCAUAUUCAACAUAUGUUGAUGAAGAAGACUCUUUGAUAAGAGUUUCAAAAAUAUGCACUAAUUCUGUAUUUCUAUUUUGAUGUAUUCUCUUGUGAUUAAUGUGUGUUCUCUCCAUGUAAAUUAAGAUUUUCUUAACUUUCAUUGUUAAUCUUUAUAUUAUUAUCGGAUCGAAUUUAUCUUGUGGCAUAACUUGAUAAAAAAGGUUUUUGAAUGUUAAUUAGUUUGUCAAAAGGGAUGUUGGAUAAGAGUAACAAAAAUUGUGCAUUGAUUAUGCAUUAUUACUUUCAUAUGUUUUCUUAUGAUUAAGGUCCUAAGGAAAAUGUGUGUUGUUUGUUCUCUCCAUGUAAAUCAAGAUUUUUUCUUAUUUCAUUGUUAAUCUUUAUAUUAUUGUAGGAUCGAAUUUAUUUUGUGGCAUAACUCAACGAAGAAGACUCUUGGAUGUUAGUUUGCCAAAAGGAAUGUCGGAUAAGAGUAACAAAAAUUGUGCAUUGAUUAUACAUUAUUAUUUUUAUGUAUUUUCUUAUGAUUAAGGUCAUAAAAAACUAAGAAAGAUAGAUGUGUUGUGUGUUCUCUCCAUGUAACUCAAGAUUAUUUUUUUUAUUUCAUUGUUAAUAUUUAUAAAUAUUAUUAUUAUUAUAGGAUCACAUUCAUCUUUUAGCAUAACUCGAUGAAGAAGACUUUUAAAUGUUGAUUAGUCUGUUAAAAAGGAUGUUGGACAAAAGUUCAAAAAAACUGUGCAUCGAUCUAUAUUUCUAUUUUUCAUUUAUUUUCUUGUGAUUAAGGUUAAGGAAGAUGUGUGUUCUUUUCAUUUAAUUUCUUUGGAUUGAGUUUUCAUUAUUUCUACUCAUGACCAUUCUUUUCACUUCAUAUUUGAAGUAGUGUUUUGCUAUUAUUAUUAUUAUUAUUAUUAUUAUUAUUAUUAUCAAAUUCUUAUGCUUGACUCGGUGAAGAAGACUCUUGAUUGUUGAUUAGUUUGUCGAAAAUAGUGUCGAUAAGAGUUUUAAAUUUCUACAUUAAUUUAUAUUAUUCUUUUCACUAUGUUCUUAUGAUUAAAGUCAUAAAAAUAUGUGUGUAUUAUGUUUUUUUUCAUGAAUUUUAUUAUGUUUGAAGUUUUAUGAAUUUUUUAUUGUCACAAGUAUGUACCUUUGUUAGAUACAAAUUAGUUAUUGUAAUUUUGUCUAUAAUAUGAUAAAAACUCACCUAUGUUCAAACAAUAUUUUGAUAAUUUUAAUAAUAUAUAUUAAAUGUUGAAAUAUAUCUCUUUUUAUGGUAUUUCUUAUGGCAAUAAGUAGUAUCAUUUAUGUUUUCUUCAAAUUUGUUCAAAAAAUUAUUGGUCCAUUUGAAGUACUUGCGAGUAGAGGAGGUGGCUUAUGAGUUAGCCUUGCCUCCAGGGCUGUCCGGAGUGCAUCCGGUAUUCCAUGUGUCUAUGUUGAAAAGAUACCAUGGGGAUGGAAACUACAUUAUCCGUUGGGAUUCAGUUUUACUUGAUGAGAAUUUGUCUUAUGAGGAGGAGUCUGUUGCCAUUCUAGAUAGAGAAAUUCGCAAGUUGAGAUCAAGGGAGAUUGCAUCCAUCAAAGUUCAAUGGAAGAAUCAACCCGUUGAAGAAGCCACUUGGGAGAAGGAGGCAGAUAUGCGAGAAAGAUACCCACAUCUGUUUACAGAUUCAGGUACUCCUUUUCGCCCUUGUUUUCCUUCUUGUGAUCGUUCGGGGACGAACGAUCGGUAAAUUGGUAUCUAUUGUAACGACCUGUUUAGUCGUUUUUAGCAGCAGAUUUUAUUUCUGAAAAAACAGGCUGAGGUGACGGACCCCACGACGGACCGUCAUGGGCACGACGGACCGUCGCAGGGUCUCGUUUCAAAACACUUAGAAAAUCUGAAAUUGGGUACUGAAAAUCGACUCUCUGAACUUCGUAACGGAAUAGCAGGACGGACCGUCACGAACCGACACGUAGAUUUAGGGAAUCGGGUGUCACGAACCGACACGUAGAUUUAGGGGAUCGGGUGUCACGAACCGACACGUAGAUUUAGGGGAUCGGGUGUCACGAACCGACACGUAGAUUUAGGGGAUCGGGUGUCACGAACCGACACGUAGAUUUAGGGGAUCGGAGUGUCACGUUCCGACACAUAGUAGUAGGGGAUCAGAGUGUCACGUACCGACAUAAGAGGAUUAAUGAAUAUGAGGGAGCGGAGUGUCACGUACCGACACAAGAGAAAUAAAGAUAAUGAAUCUUGAAAGAUGUUAAUAUACUCAAUCUAAUGAACAUAAUUCCCAAAUGAGUAUGAUAUUGAGGCUUGAGUUCUCAUGUGUGAACUUGACGGUAAUUGUUAAUGAUAUAGUACUUGUUGUUGCUACAUGUUGAGUAUCAUAGUUGAUUUUAUGAUAUUACUUAGUAUAUAUUGUUAUCUAUUUUGAAUUGGCCGAUGAUAUUUACUCAGUACCCGUGUUUUGUACUGACCCCUACUUUUAUUGUUUUCUUCUUGUUUAAUUGUGGAGUGCAGCAAACGUGCCGUCAUCUUCGACUCAACAGUAACUCUAGCCAGUCUUCGUCACAUUGGAUCUUCAGGGUGAGCUAAUGUUUCUAGCUUGGACUGGAUCUUCUUCCUCAUGUCUUGAUGCCUUGAAGUUCCGGCAUGGACUAGCUUUUAUGUAUUUUUAGCUUAUUAGAAUACUCUUAGUUUAGUAAUUUGAUCAUAGAUGUUCUUGUGGUGAUGACUUCCAGAUUUUGGGGAUAAUAAUAGUUAUUGAAUUGAUUUUAUUAAUGAGUUUAAGUCUUCCGCAUUACUUUCUGUUGAUAUUAUAUUGAAAUGUUAAGGUUUAGAUUGGUUGGUUCGCUCACAUAGGAGGGUAAGUGUGGGUGCCAGUCGCGGCCCGGUUUUGGGUCGUGACAUUUAAUAUACUAAGUAAUGAAUAUAUAUCUUAGGGUGUUCAUGUAUUAAUUUUAUAUAGAAAGAGGUGCAAUCAUUGAUCUGAGAAUGCAAGAAAUAUAUUUGAAAUGAAACAUAUUAUCAGAGUAUUCAAUUUAAUUAACUUUUGAAUUUUAUUAUUCUAUACACAUAAUAUGUGAAGAUGUUUAUUAUCUAUCAAAUAUUUUUAUGUAGUUUAUAUGAAUCUUUUAUCUUUAUAUUUAAUAUAAAAGAUAUAGAUUAAAAUAAGUAAACGAGUUAAUAAUUUUUUUGAAAAAACAUAUUCUCAUUCGAGGUUGAUUAUAUUGAAAUUUAAUAAUAGCGUAACAUUUUGGAUAACAUCCUUAAAAAACAAAUUUGACAAAUGAUAACAAUUAUCUUUGAUAUAGGUGCAGCUAAAGAAUCUAAAAUACCAAUAGAUGUGAUUCAUGCAAAAAUCAUACAAAUUUAAAUAGUAUAUUUGAAAAAGGAACAAAAACGAUUGAAAAAUGAAAUAUUCAAAUGAGUUUUAUCAUAUCAAUAUGAAAAAGGAUAACAAGACGUGUAGAUGUAUUUUAUUAGUAUUUUUUCAGUUAUUUAUAAUAUAAUUCUUAUGUACUCAAGAAAAAAAUUACAUCGGAGUAUAUGUUGUAAUAUAAAGAUUCAAACUCAUUGAUAUUCUAAUAAAAUGUAGAAAGUGACAUAUUAACUACAUGUCCAAACAAAAAAAUUACUAAGAAAAUAUAUAUUGACAUUUGACAUAUUGAUUAAUAAUGUACUAUCCCUCAUUUAAUAGAUUAUAGAUGUUAAAUUUGUUAAGUUUCAUUUCAAUCGUCAUCUCAAAACGAUAUUCAUAAUUAAUAUAUAAGUAAAAAAAAUAAAGUGAUAAUAUUACGUUUGAAAAUAAAGAGAGCUAUAGAAUUAAUUAAAAAAAGUAAUCCUUUAAUAUUUAUUUUAAAGACUGCGCGAAGCGCAGCCAAAUUCCCUAGUGUCUAAUAUUUGUAAAGGAUAAUUAAAUAGCUAAUAGUAAUGAUUAACUAUUAGUACUAUAUUUUAUGGUUGUUAUAGUAAUAUAAGGUUAAUAUAGAUGAUUAUAAAUGAUUGUUCGGUAAUGGUGGUUAGUGACUACUAAUUUACCAUAAUUAAUACUUAAAAAAGUAUAAUUUAUAAAGAAAAUUGAUAGUGCUAAAUUCAUUGAGAUUUAAAUUCUAGUAAUAUAAUGUAAUAAAAAGUAUAUGUUUUUAUUACCCCACUCAAGGUUGCAGUGAGAUGAUGACAAUCCCUUUUUAAUUAGAUUUUCAGUUUUAAAAUAUUAGAUUGAAAAGCAGGUUCGAAACUAACUUUGAUAAGUAUAAUAUAUGUCAAAAACGUUGAUUAACUAUAUUUUUAUUUAUCUUUUUAUAUAAUAUAUACAAAUUAUCUCGACUCCUAUCUUUAAUAACAUAUAUUUCAAAAUUAAUAAAUAAAAUUAUGAUUUGAAUCCUAUCUUUAAUAACAUACAUUUUAAAAUUAAUAGAUAAAUAAAAUUAUGAUUCAAAAUAUAUGAAUUAAAAACAAAAAAGUCUUAAUACACCAACUUUAAUAACUAUAUGAAAUACUUUACCCUAAAAUGAAACUUUUCAAAUGCAUAUCUUCUACAUUAAUAGUUACCCCAAAGAGGAAAAUAAUAGUCUCUUUAUAUUUUGGCCACAAGUAAAAAACAACUAAUCGCACUCGUGGGGGUUGCCAAAAAUGUGAGCUAGGGAUGAAAGGGUAAAAUAGUCCAAUCAAUUUCUGGCCAAAAUACCACUGUACGUAAAGUCUCACUUGGCCAGGGUUUCAAAAUUCACUCCAUCCGAAGGGAUCGGAAACUCUGUUUUCUCCGAUUGGGGUUUUGGGCAGUAUCCGAUCGAGCGACUUUCCGGCAUCAAUUCAUCGGAAACGGCAGCUGAAUCAAUCGGCUCUUCUACAUUACCCUUCAGAUAAAUCCGUACAUUUCUAUACAACUGGUAGGUUUAAUUGCAACGAAGAAGGAACACUAGAUUUAGAAGAAGGGCGAUGGAUUUGGACCAGUGGAUAACGAAGGUUAAAGAGGGACAGCAUCUGGCGGAGGACGAGCUUCAGCUCCUCUGUGAAUACGUAUGUUUAAUACUUUUAUCCUUUUUUUUUCUCACAUCUACAAGUAUUUUCCAGUUUUGUAAUGAAAUUUGUCGGAAUAGUGAAGAAAUAGAUGUAGAAGAUUCCUGUCGCUGAGCUUAAAUAGGUAAGGUUUGAAAGGUUGAUUGUGUUAUUUGUUGACACAUGUCUAUCAAGCUGUUUACUAAAACAAAAUAAUCAUAAAUUCUAGUAAUAGUAAAGGUUAUAUUGAUUUUUCUAUUUGGCUCAUUACUUUUGGGAAAGCUGUUUCUUUUGGGAGGAGAGCGGGGGGGGGGGAGUUAGCUUGUAGAUAUUGUUGAUUUUGUUUUUCGUUUAUAGGCUUGUGUGGAAGGGAGGAAUGUCAAUGGGGAAUAUUUAUGCACAUUCAGCAGAUUAGUCUCAUUUUCACUUGAGGAAGUUAAUGAUUUUCUUACGUGUACUGCAAGUGUUUUCUUUUGGAGCUUGAUUUAGAGACUGUUUUUUGUGAUCCGGAAAAUUUCUCUUAGAAAUCUAACCAUAAUAAUAUGUACCAACUGCUCUUGUUUUUCUCAUAUCUCCAUCUAGUGGACUUAUUUUAUAGGGAUCGGAUUUGCAUGUUAACAAGAUAUGUUCCCCAUUAAUUUCAAAAGAACAAAACUCAUUUAACCUCAUAGGAAUCGGUAGGUUUACCCAGUAAAAACUUCAUGUUGGUUUGUCAAUUGCCCUUUCCUUUGCAUACUUCAUGGCAUUUGAUCAAAUUUCAAGGUUGAUAAACAUGACGGUGGGUGGGUGGGGCAGUAAUAGUGGCAAAGUGGUAUUCAGAAGGAAAAAGUUUCAUAGGCACUAAUUGGAAGUACAAAAUAAGCGAUGAAUAGGCUAUAAAGCAUAAUUAGUUUGUAACAAGAACCCAUUGUGACCUACAUAGUAUUGCUGCAGGACCGCCCUUCCUUUCAAGUAGUUGCUUCUAACAAAGAUUAUUGCAACCUGAGAUCUUUGAUUAUUCAAGCUAUUAGUAAACUCAAGCCUUUAUUCAUGCUUCCAUGCCAUCCAUUAGCCUACAAAUUUAGAUAAUGUGACAAUAUUUGGUCACGCUUAACACAUACAAUUCAGCUAUAUGACUAUUGGGUUUAUUCCCUGGCCUUGCCAAGACAAAGCCUGUUAUGAAGGUUUACAGAUCAAUAGAAUGCUUUUGAGAUGGGAGGAAAUGGAAAUAUAGGGGAGGCAUUUGCUUAUAUUUGUUGGGUGGAUGUAUAUUAGAGUUCCUCAGUUAUAGUUUUUGUCUUAUUUAUUUUGAUUAGGUGGUUAUAUUUGUGAGGUAAGUUCCUUCUCGUAUAAUUCCAUGAUUGUUUCGUGUAUCAUUUCACUUCCUGUGGUACUAUUAAUCAAUCCAGCAUAACAAGAGCUUGUCUUCUUUUGACAUGCAUGAUUGAGAGUCAAGAAUAACAAGAAUGACUACCUGAAGUAUGAGUCAUUACGCAAAUAAGUGGAGGUCUAAAUUGCUUCUUCUAUAGACAUCACUCAGAGAGAAGUGUUUGAUUGCUUGUGGCACAUGAUACUGAUGGUGCAUUAGAUUGGUAUCUUCUUCCUGCACACCAAUCACAUUAACAAUAGUCAUUGGGGUUAUGGGUUGUAGUAGGCAGAUAGUUCUUUUUGCAUUUGUUCAAUUAUGUUUACAGCCUUGCACUUCAGUAUCACAUCUAAUUUUACUUGAGAGCAUGCAUUGUAUUUCAUUUGUGUCUAUAACAUGUGACACUUUUUCACAGGUUAAGGAGAUUUUAAUUGAGGAGUCAAAUGUGCAACCAGUUAAUAGUCCAGUUACUGUUUGUGGGGAUAUACACGGCCAAUUUCAUGAUCUAAUGAAACUUUUCCACACUGGUGGUCAUGUGCCAGAGACAAAUUACAUCUUUAUGGUAAAAUUCAUAUGGUUUAUUCCUCGUCCAUAGAUGGACGGUUACGGAUUAUCUUUUGAAAAAAUUUAUGCCAGGAUUCUAGUUCACCCAUCUCUCAUAUUUGGACAGGGAGAUUUUGUUGAUCGUGGAUACAAUAGUCUCGAAGUUUUCACAAUUUUAUUGCUCCUUAAAGCAAGGUAUGGUAAGAAAUAUUUAUAUAGAAUUUGCAUCACCUGUCUACUUUAGGAAAAUGGUUUUAUUGCUUAUUCCUUACUGUCUCAUGAGGAAUCAUUAGGUUGAUAAAAUUGUUAAUUGCACUGUGAACUUUGUGCUGUGGACACAUAUAUUUUGAUAAACGUUCUAUUAUCUUUUAAAUAAAAUUACCGUAGGUACUGUUUUCUUUUUCAAAUCAAUUUGAUGAUCAUGGGAAGCAUUGAGCUUUUAUAAUAUUCAUGUUUUUGCCUAUAUUUUAUGAUGGUUCCCCUUCUCUUGUUCUCUGUCUUCCACUUUACCCAGUAUUUUCAUCUUCAACGAUUGACUCAUAUUAUCUUCUUUGCCUCAGUUGAGCAAAUUUGAAUUUUGUAUGGCACUGGCCGCUGUUGAUUUUCCUGCUAGUCUAUUGAAAGGUGAUAGGGCAUUGGUUCUUAUUUAUCUACCUUUUGUUUUUAAUUUGCUACCAGAUAUCCAGCAAACAUUACACUUUUACGCGGGAACCAUGAAAGCAGGCAGCUAACUCAGGUAUUAGAUGUUAUGCUUAGAUAUAGCUAUUUAAGAAGUGUGUGUUUGACGUAAGUACCAUAGAUGCGCUUGGGAUUCUUUAUUAUAACAAUUUUUUUGAAGCCAUUCUUGACCCCUCCCCAAAUUUAAAAAAUACUUGUUCCUUUUUCUUCUUAAAGAAGCAAUUGUUCUGUUGCUGUCAUUGGGUUGUCUGACUAAAUCUGCAGACAGCAGAUCUAAAAUUGGCAGUAUGGCUCCCAAGGCCAUUGGGAGUUUGACUUGUUAUUGGGAAAAAACAAGAUUCUUCUGUUUUGAAGUACAAUUUUAUACCUAAUUUGCGUUUCUGGCUUAAGAGCGUUUUGCUAGAGUGUCCAGCUCAACUUUUGGAAUUCUUGGAUUCUCUAAUGAUGUAAUACAGAAAGUAGACUGCGACCCGACUUCCUUAAUUUAUGCUAGUACCAGCUUGGUACCAUUAUAUCAAUAAUCUACCUUACCUUACCCCAAAAAAAAGAAAGAAGUCCCCAAGGCCUUUGAUCUGUAUUAGUGAUAAGGGUAUAAGGGGAUGUGUUGGUAGGGUGAGUUUGAACCCUGCUGCUGCUGAUGGAAGUUUGGUAUUUAAGUGGAGGCAAAAUAAAGGGGUGGGACCAUACACACCUGAUAAAUAAAAGAAGAAGAGGGUGGGGCCAUACUCUGCUGAGUUUCAAACUUGUGGGUCGAUAGGAGUUGGGCCAUCUAAUACAUUGUACUUCUCAGUUAUAAAAAAAUGAUAGAGAGAAAAUUGAGCUGGCCGUUACUCUCUGUGAGGGUUUCUUUUUUUUGAACUCACGCUUGGACAAUGUUUAAUACUCUCUUGUAUUCUUAAUGAUUACUGUUGUUGCAUUCUAUGCUCAUUGUAUUUAUGGGUUCUAGCCUUGAAAUAUCAGUAAGGCGACUCAUGAUGACUGUGUUGCAAAGGCCUAACUGGAGUAGCCUUUGAGCUUGGUGCAGCUAAUGUUGAUGCAUUCUGGAGGAAGCUUACUUUGUAACUUGAGUUUUAUUCAGUAUUUGCUUAUUACUUUUAUUGUUGUUGCUGCUGCUCUUAUUUUAAGUUGAUACCUUUGAUUUUGUUCUGUCCACACUUAGAGUUCUUUGAAGAUUUGCUUCUAUGGGAUGGAUUUAUGCAUGGCAUGCAAAAGAUCACACCUCCUAGACAUGUUAUUUCUGAUAUUUACUUUCUACCUGUUUUUAAUAGGUCUAUGGAUUCUAUGAUGAAUGCCAAAGGAAGUAUGGAAAUGCAAAUGCUUGGCGGUAUUGCACUGACGUAUUUGACUAUCUGACUCUCUCGGCAAUUAUAGAUGGAACAGUAUGUUCUGGUACUCUUGAUAAGAUAAUAAUUGUUUGGCCAUAUCUUUCAUAUAUUAAUCCGCCUGUGUUCCAAUUCAGGUACUAUGUGUCCAUGGUGGCCUUUCUCCGGAUGUUAGGACUAUUGAUCAGGUAGCUGACUUGAAUGUUGACGUGUUUUGUUUUUUUACUGUAACAAGUUUCAGAUUGUUCAAGUGUAUUGAUGUGAUAUAUCUUGACUUAGGCGAUGGAAUUAAUAUGCGGGAUCAUAAAGAACUAAUAUUGAUUCUUGGUUAUCCACUGAGUUUUGAAUCUAGAAACAACAGAUUUAUCGGUUAACCAAAAAACAAACAAUCAAGGAACUGAUAUAGCUUCUUUUUGUUUAUGACAUGCAGAUCAGGGUCAUUGAUCGUAAUUGUGAAAUUCCGCAUGAAGGGCCUUUUUGUGAUCUUAUGUGGAGUGAUCCUGAAGAGAUUGAAACAUGGGCAGUAAGUCCUCGAGGAGCAGGUUGGCUGUUUGGAUCCAGGGUUACCACUGAGGUAAGUGGGUUAAAGAUGUUAGAUAUUGCUAUAUUUCCUUUUCUAACAAUGUUCUCAUGCCAUGCUUGCAGUUUAAUCACAUCAAUAAGUUGGAUCUAGUUUGUCGGGCUCAUCAACUUGUCCAGGAAGGUCUGAAGUACAUGUUCCAGGACAAAGGACUCGUUACUGUGAGUACUGAGUAAUAAAUUGUUUAUGGCAUGUUGAACAUACAUUCUUUUUAACAUGUAGUAAGUAUAAUUAAUGUGACCCGUUUCCUUUGAAUGCGAAGGUUUGGUCUGCUCCCAACUACUGUUAUCGCUGUGGAAAUGUUGCUUCAAUAUUGAGCUUCAAUGAGAAUAUGGUACUUUUGCUCUUUUCAAUGCUUAUUCAACUUCUAGUUAGCCUUUCUAAAAUUAAGGGAUUACAUAGUAAUGCCCUUUCUGUUUGAUUGUGUAUUCUGACGAUCGUUGUACUUCAAAGUGAUGAGUACCUAUUUUUUUAAAAUUGAUCUUGCAUUUCAUGAUUCAACAUGGUAUGUGUUACGUUAGGUUAAAUUGAAGUUUGCCUAUUGUAGUUGGAUCAUAGAAGGGUGUUCAUCCUAGGACUUCAUUACUAACCUUGUUUCUUAUCAGAAAAUUAUUGAUGGAAAUGUGUCAAAGGAGUGCUGAAAUACUUAUAUCAAAAUUUCUUAAUGAUCUAGGAAGUAUCACGUUCCAGUAUAAAGGGUUGGAAAUGUGAUGCGAGAUUCUGAUGCCGACCUUUCCUUUGAUAAAGUUCCUUGUGGAGCUGCUUUAGUGCUCUCUCUUGGUGACUAGUAUUAGUAUUAGAAGAUUUUGAUAAGAUUUGUUUACAACUAUACACUAGAAACAUGGAGUGUAAUUGCAUAGGUUGUACUGGCUUAGCUAUGUGGUAAGGAAGAUGGAGAGAACAUGGAACGUUUUAGGUAGUUUCUCUUUAGAGCAUUCUCCACUGGCAGUUGUUCUAUGAUCUGAACUCCAGCUUUUGGAACGUCUAGUGUUAGCGUUGCAUAUCUUUAUAUCUAUCUGUUUAUUUAUGUUUUCCUGACAACUUUUUUUAUAAUGGAAUUUUUGCUGUGUUUGAUAGAAUCUUUCUUAUUCUUAUUUUUGUUCUGUUUUAUCAGGAGAGAGAGGUGAAGUUCUUCACUGAAACUGAAGAAAACAACCAGAUGCGAGGACCCAGGACAGGAGUACCUUAUUUCUUAUGAGUGCGUACUUGCCUUUUGUUGAUUGAUAUUAUUUCUGCACUCUGUGCUGUCCCUUGUUAGAGGGAAAUUGAAGCGGAAACUAUCUACUUGGCGGGAACCAGAUUGCUGUGUGGCUUGCUUCUCUCUCAUAAGAUGGCGAUACAUACCUAGCUUGUUGGGCUGAUCCUGCUUUCGAAUAGUUUGUGCUAUGUAUUCACAAUGGCCUUUUCAUGUUUGUUCCCAUCUGUUCCAUAAUUAUUCUUACCUGUGUCAUAGUUUGAACUCUACCUCAAAUCAGAUUACGAGAUGUUAGAUUUCUUCUUGCAAUGCUAGAGUACACUUUCCUUGAAAAAUGGGUCCAUUUACUUUCAAAAGCGCAGUAUUAGAAGUUGGUGGUACACUCACGAAAUUGGCAUUUGUUUUGCCCUCCCAGAAGGGGACUUUAGUUUUUUCCACAAAUUAGUUCACACCUUUCAGCUUCACUGUACCAAAAUCCCAUUAAUUGUUGUUUGUGCAGCAACAUUUCACGAUUAUUUAUCAUCGUAAUUACUGUUGAUCUUCACUCUUCAGUUCCCGUAUGCUCCUUUCCACCAUUCAUGGAAGCAAGGAGUACGUAAGGAACUUCUCGUCUCAUUAAUUGAAUCACCAUUUGUUAACUACAACUUCCAGCAGGUUGGCUUUGAAAUUGUUUACUCUGGUGGGAUGAUUGGUAAACAUGUGAGUUAUGCACAUAUAUAAUACAUGAAUGAGUUGCUUAAAUGUACUGAUUAUAAUAUAUGAAUUACUACUUCAUAACAAAAAGACAAUGAAGAAAUUGAGCAAGUUGCAGAAAUAACGAUUGUUUCAGCUCUAAUUAUCAAUCCUAGACAACGUUAAUUUUAAAAAAAUUGCAAUACAAUGCAUCCAUAGAUAAUUUCUCUUAUCUUUUUUCCAAAAAAAAAAAAAAAAUCGUCCAAAACAGGUACACGCAGCACCUUUAGGAAAAAAAGAGCAGGAUUUUGAUUUUAAUUUUACAUUUACCUUCACAGCUUGGAUAAUUGUCAUCCUUUCCGCUUCUAAUUUGGCAAAUUGGGUAAAAGUUAGUGAUUGCCUUGUUGUGCCAUAGUCGUAGUCUCUCCAGCGGCAGUAAAGACGGCCAACUGACACCAUUCUCUCCGGCGAACUCGAGUUGAAGGUACAUUUUUUUGAAUUCAUUACCAAUUAUUAAGUGAAAUUAAUAGCAAAAUCCUGCAGUACCCUAUUUCAAGUUGCUUUGUUUGCGUACACACUCUUUCAUUUUGAUUGAUAAUUUCUAGCUAUUAACUUGUGGAAGUAAGAAAACUAGUUGGUACAUCUGGAGAAACCUCUUUUUUGAUGAUUUUUUUUCUCUCUCAAUUUUCUGGUGGAGGUGAGGGGUGGUUAAAGCCAUUUGUGGCCUUUGCACUGGCUUAUCUCUUGGCUUUUGUAGAGAUUCAAUUGAAGAUCUUCCUAAUUUUUUCUUUGAUUGAUCAGCUGGUGUGUCCUUCUGACUUGUGAUAUAUUUUUAUGCUUUCAUUCUUGUUCUUUUUUCAAUAAAUGUGGUGUUUGAGUCAAUUUGUAUGCAUCUCGACUAGUUUCACGGGUAUUUACUAUCUGCUAUUUCCUACCAACAUAGAUAACGUGUAACUCUGUUCAUCAGUGCUUGUACAGAUAGGUAAAAAUCACCUAAUGUUUUUGUUUCACUGUGAUUAAACUUGUAUCCUCGUAGUUAUCAAUAUAUGGUAUGAUUUUCGUCUUACUUGAUUUUGAUUUUUGAAGGAUGGAACUAAUUCGAACGAUAAAAGACAUUUUUCUUAUCUUUAUCAAAUUCCUUUUUGUGCUACAGAGUCAGAAGAUGCAUGAAUGAUCUGCAUGCAAGAAUUUAUUAGAUUGGGGUAGAUGAUAUAGUUCUUCAUUGUAAUAUUUUGCAACUCAUUUUUAGGUACAUUGACCUUUGCUUUCAGUUUAACUUGGAGGACUGUUGUAAAAAGCCAUUUGCAUAUAAGUUUCUAGUCAAAUAAAUUUCUUACCCCCAUUUUUUGGUUCACUUUCACUUAAUUAUUAUGUUUAGCUUUUGGAGAGUCAAAUUGUAUUGACUUUCAUCAACACUUUACGGUAAUUUUAUUUGUUAUAUUAAUAUGAGAAUCUCGAGAAAGAUUAUAACUUAUAGUAUUUUUCUUUUAGUUUUUAAACAUUUAAAUUUAAAAUUUUGAAUUAAUCUAAUUUAGUUUAACUUUAAAAAUUAGUUAAAUUGUAAUGCCUAUCAACAAUUAUUAGGAUUUACGUCCCUUAAAUCAUUUUUGUUUAUCCAAUAUACAAAAAAAUAAAUAUUUUAUUUUAUUUAUUCAAUUAAAAAAUACUUAAAAAACCUAUUUUACUCUCAUUACGAAAUACUAUUUAUUUUUAAUGCAUUUUUAUAACAUUAAAUUUAUUAUAUUUAAAAAAUUUAUAGCAAAUUUAUUAUUUUAAUAUUUUUCUUUUAAGAAAUGUGUCUAAGUCAAAACAUUGACUAAUAAAAAUGGUGGGAGGAAGUAAAUGAUAAUUGAGUCAACUACUAUUAUAACAAUUACUAUUAGUGUUGUUAAAUGAUUUUUCCAAUCAUGAUGCUAAAACAUUAGGAGAUACUUAAGAUGAGUCUGAGUAUGUAUUAUUAAUGUUAGUAACUAUUUUUUCUUUUAGUUGUCCAAUUUGAAUUAUGAACACUUCUUAAAAAAAAUUAUUUGAGAUGUAUAUUGUAUCAUAAUAUUCAUAUUAAUUAAGUAGUAUUUAGUCAUAAAUUGCAAAUAAAUUAUUAAAUAUUAAGAAUAAACUAUUAAAAAAUAAUAUAUUAUUCCAAAAGUGAUUGGGAGCAAUAUAAUAAAAGAAUAAAAGUGAUUGGAGGGAGUAUUGUAUUAAAAUAUGAAGGUUUGACUUUUUUUUACUAAUAUUUUCCUUCUUGCCCCCUCUAACUAAUUUAUUUAUACAUAUUGCCCCAUAAACUAUGACUUUUUCCGUAAGACCCCCUCAUCUUUUGUUUUGUCUCAUUACCCAUUCACUCUCUUAUUUUAGGCGUAAUUCAAAAACUACCCCAAAUUCUAGGGUUUCUUUCACUUCUCAGUCCCGUCUUCCUUCCUUCUCAAUUUCCGUCUUCUUUCUCCUAAAUUACAGGUUCUGCAGUAAAUUUGCAAUUUUUUUUGUUUUUGUUUUGCUGUCUUACAUUGUCUGAAGAUUCUGCUUGAAGGUAACCAACUUGCUGGGCGGUGAAUUCUGCGUUUGAAUUGUUUGCUUUAUGUAUUUGCAUGGAUGAAGUUUUUGUCUUUUCCUGUUUUUAUACGAACUAGGCAUGCUAGGAGUAGUAUUUUGUAUCAGCUGAAUGAUGAUUACAGUGUUCAUCAUUUUUCAAUCUUCCAACUACUUAAAAGGAAAAUGAAAAAGAAUAAAAUUACACUGCUUUUGAGUCGGACACAGUCUCUCUAUCCCCACAAAGGUAGAGACAAGGUUUGUGUACCCUCCCUAGACAUGACUUGUAGGAUUACACGAGGUAUGUUGUUGCUUUUCCUUUUAAGUUUGCAACAAGUGAUAUUUUAGGAGUUUAGAUUCUCUAUUUACAUAUACAACAAAAAAAGAAAAGAGAGUAUAUAUUCUAUGAUGUUGUUUACUCACGAUAAUUUUGUAAGCUUGCCUUUUUUUCGAAACUUAUAUAGUCCCUCUAAAGGAGCUAAAAUAUUUAAAGCAUACAUACCUUUCCACUAUUCAUUAGUCAUGCUUAUGUUGGUGAACAAGAUUUAAACUUUGUUAAUUAGGUGACCCCUACACGCUUCUAUGUAGUUAUGUGAGAAGCAUAUUUCUCUAGAUGCGGAGUAAAGGAGAUACCGGAAGAAUGUAAAAUUAUGAUUUCGUGGAACUGUUUUUAUUAGAAUGACAUUAGAAUUAUGCUUGAUACUAACAUCCAGAUAUACAUGUAAUUUUUUUAAUAUCUACUCUAUACAAGGAGUGCAUGCAUGCCAAUUUCUGGCUAUCUAUAGGGCACCAAUAAAAUCGCAUGGGCUCAUCAUCUGGUGCAUGACUGAUGCGAGAGGAAGAAUCAGGAUUGAUAGCUUUGAAGAACCAGUGGAAAUGAAAGUAGUCAAUCUACCAAUGAACCUUAUCACCACGGGGGGAGGGGGGGGGAUAGUAUUCAAAAAAAGAAAUUGAGAAUCAUCAUAGCACACUAGAUAAAAUUAAUCUGAAUAUCCUAGAAUACCUCAUAUCGCUGAUUGUGACCUCAAGGUUACCAAAAUUUAUUUGGCAGUUCAGUACUUAUUAGGACCUGUUUGACCAUAAAAAUUAGUAACUUUUUCCUGGGAUAAUUCACUUUAUUUGAACUUCAGAAUCAUAGUCGAUGAUAACAUCACUAUGCCCAUCACUAUUACAAAAUCGUAUGUGAGAUUUUCACCUCAUAUGCUCUUUAGAGGUCACAAAUAAAUCUAUGGGUUCUUUCUUAUCUGGAUAUGUUAGUCCGAAAGUGUCAAAAUCUAUCUUAAGGUCCCAAAUUAGACCAAUGGAGUUCUGUCUGCUAUAUUUUAAACUAAUAAAUAAGUGCUUAUGAGUGAUAUCAUCUUUUAAGAAUUUUGAUUUUGCUUUGUUGAUUAAUAACUUUAUCAUUAAAUAAAAUCAAUAAAAUGCACUUUAUAGCGAUAUCACAUAUACAUUUCAACCUCGACUUUUCAAUUACUAAAAAAGAUUGGAGAGUCCAUUAGCUCAUGAAUCAUGAUAAUUUAUUUUAUAUCUCUAAAUAGAAAUCAAUUUUUUACUCUGAUGUUUGCAUUAAUCAAUCCGGCAUUCUCUUUUCUGCUUCAUCCACCACCACUCGUGUGGAGGCUUCUCUCUAAGUUGGGAUGCUCUCAUACUGAUGUAUUUUACAUCCCACGGUUUUGGCAGAUCGCUUAGCCUCGUCCAUCUUCGGCACAAGAGCGCUCAAAGGCCAUUGAAAAUCCCAAAAUGAAGUUGUAUAUCAAAUUCGAAAAACAUCUUCUCACCUGUUUCCAACUCACUUUUCGCUUUUGAAGUUGUAUUUAAGUACAUUCAAGUAUGAACACUUUUUCAAAUAUUCUUUUUUUGCAAAAAGUAUAACCAAACACAACUAUAUCGUCACUCCAGUUUCAUGAAUUCCAAACAAAGUGAAAAAUAUUUGGAAGCUAUGACCAAAUGCCUACCAAGAGUUUCUUUUGGCUUUUGAGUGGUCAGUAAGUAGGUGAUUGAAGGCUGUCUAGUUCCCUUAUUAGUAUGGUUAUUAUUACUUUCCUACUAUCAUAUAUUUUUUCUUAGUUUUAGUAUUACAUGUUAUUUCCUUUGCUUGGUUUUCAUAUUAUUUGUUGCUUCCGUUUGCUCUCUUUUAAAUAUUUUCAGUAUGACUUCUUCGCUAUUGCAUUUGCUUUACAUACUUGUUUUUUGAUACUUGAGCUGAGGGUCUAUGGAAAACAACCUCUCUAUCUUCACAAGGUAGGGGUAGGUUGUGCAUACACCAUCCUCCCCUCCCUAGACCUCACUUGUGAUUACACUAGGUAUGUUGUUGUCAGUUGGAUAAAGAGAUGAUUAGCAAUAUGUCUGCACACUUAAUUAAGUUGGAUGCAUGCAAAUUCAAAUGAGUUGAGUUCCUCAUAUGAGUGCUGAUGCAUCAUAAUCUCUAGAAUCAUCCUUCUUACAUGGCAUCUCACACGAUGAACGAAAUAAGAUAACUGUAUUGGAGGAACAUUGACACUGGUCAUUUUUAAGUUUUUCUUUUCCUGACUUUUUUCCUGUUUGGCCUUUGAAGAUUUAUGCCAUGGUGAAGGGAAAGCUUAUUUUAAUUUGUCAGUCUGGUGGUGAAUUUGUGAAUGAUGUCGAUGGAAACUUGUCAUAUAAAGGAGGAGAGGCAAAUGCUGUCAAUAUAAACCAAGAUACUCCAUAUGAUGAUCUCAAGAUAAAAUUGGCAGAGCUGUGUAAUCUGGAGCUUACGACAGUGUCAAUUAAGUAUUUUCUUCCAAAAAAUAGGAAAACUCUUAUUAAUUUAAGGAGUGAAAAGGACUUCAAGAGAAUGGUUGAAUUUCAUGCUAAUUCUGUUACAGCUGAGAUUUUUGUCAGCGGAAAAGAAGGUUUUGAUCACGAUGCAUUGAACACGUACAAUGAGAGGUAUUAACACUAUCAUGUUUUAAUUAUGCAUAUACAUUAGUUUUGCUUAUUGAUAAAUGUGAUUUGGUAACACGGGCCUGUUGCCAGCAACUCUAUAUUACUGCUAAAGCAAAUUGUUAAGUUAAUGGCACAUCACUGGUAGUGUAGUAUAUAUGUAAUUGACAUCCCGUUUGGUAUCUCAAUCAACUGCACUUGCAGGACAAUUGCCUUAAAACUGGCUGAGAACGUAAAUCAUCAUGGCACACCUGCAGGUGCUGCUGAUUCUGGCGGUCUGAGUACAACACCUUCUAAGGCUAGCCUGCUAAGGACUGUUCGAACAGCUGCUGUCUCUCCUAUAGCUAUUCAAAACGAUUGUCUGGUCGAUGUACAUAUCAGCUGCCAGGAACCUGCUAUUAAUAUGGCAGCUGAAAGCCUCAGUCAAACCACUACUUCGUCAAACCCUUCUUCUGGCCAUGUUGCUGAGGAGGAUUCUGACUAUGCUCCACGUUCACGUGCUGCUGUUAGUAGUACUGCCCAGAGCCCAAUUAGCUUUGACUACGAUGCUACCCCUGCUGAUACCGUGAAGAAGCGCAGGCGCACUGCUUCCUGGAAAAUUGGUGCCAAUGGUCCAACCAUUGUUGUGACUGAUAAUGAUUCUAAGGAGAAAUCGCGAAAGAAGAAGAGUCGAAGUUCAACUGGCGUAAUGGUGGGAAAUGACAUGGAGGAUGAAGAUGGUGUUGAAUUACCUGAUAAUUUUGACAGUUCCUCUCCAAUUACUUUGCGGGAUGAAGAUCUGCCAGAGAAGCUAGUUGCCACUUGGAAAGAGGGUAUUACUGGUGUUGAUCAGGAUUUUAAGAGUGUGAAAGAGUUCCGGGCUGCACUGCAAAAGUAUGCUGUUGCUCAUCGCUUUGUCUACAAGUUGAAGAAAAAUGAUGCUACCCGUGUAAGUGGCAGAUGUGUGGUAGAGGGUUGUUCUUGGAAAAUUCAUGCAUCUAGGGUCCCUGAUGCUCAAACAUUUAGGAUCAGAAAGUAUAAUGAUUUGCAUACAUGUGAAGGCAAAUCCUGGAAGUCUUCUCAUCGUACAAGGAAUUGGUUGGUAAGUAUCAUCAAGGAAAGGUUACGAGAUUCUCCAAAUGACAAACCCAGGGAAAUCGCUAAAAGCAUUUUGCGUGACUUUGGGAUUAAAUUGAGAUACUCACAAGUAUGGCGAGGAAUGGAAGAUGCCAAGGAGCAGCUUCAAGGUUCAUACUCAAAGUCAUAUAACAGGCUGUCUUGGUUCUGCGAAAAGGUAGUAAAUACUAAUCCUGGAACUGUUGUUAAGCUUGUGCUAGACGAUGAAAAAAGACUUCAGCGCUUCUUUUUUUCACUUCAUGCCUCCAUUCAUGGUUUCAAGCACGGUUGCCGACCCCUUAUUUUCCUUGAAGCCACAUCUCUAAGAUCAAAGUACAAGGAGACUUUAAUAACAGCAACUGCGGUUGAUGCAGAUGAUUGUUUCUUUCCUGUUGCUUUUGCAGUAAUAGAUAUUGAAAAUGAUGAUAGUUGGCGUUGGUUUUUGGAGCAACUAAAAUCUGCAUUGUCAACUUCUCAUUCUAUAACUUUUAUUUCAGAUCGAGAGAAGAAUUUAAAGAACUCUGUGUUUGAGGUGUUUGAGAAUUCUUCUCAUGGCUAUUCCAUUUUUCAUCUUCUGGAAAGCUUCAAAAGAAAUAUGAAGGGUCCAUUCCAUGGUGAUGGGAGAGCUGUUCUACCUGAAAUUUUCCUUGCUGCAGCUCAUGCAGUUCGACUUAAUGGUUUUAAAAGUUUGACUGAGCAAAUUAAACAGAUUUGUUCACACGCAUAUGAUUGGUUGAACCAGAUUGAGCCCGAGUGUUGGACGAGUUUGUCAUUUAAAGGUCAGCACUAUAACUAUAUCACAGAGAAUGUUGCAGAACCAUACUCCAAGUUGAUUGAGGAUUCUCGAGGAUCAACAAUAAUGCAAAAGAUAGAAGCCCUAAUAUGUAUGCUCAGUGAUCUAAUAGAUCAUCGUAAAUUGGAGUCAAGUACUUGGUCCACCAAACUUACUCCAUCAAAAGAGAAAAAGAUGCAGAAAGAAGCUGCUAAAGCCCACGGUCUAAAAGUUCUAAUCUCUUCUGAUGUCUUAUUUGAAGUUCAUGAUGAGAUGACUCACGUUGUGAAUAUUGAAAACCGUGAGUGCACGUGCUUUGAGUGGAAACAAAGUGGUCUGCCUUGCUGCCACGCUGUGGCUGUGUUCAACUCUAUUGGUAAAUCUGUGUAUGAUUACUGCUCGAGUUACUUCACGGUUGAAAGUUACCAUUUUACAUACUCUGCAUCUGUAAACCCGAUACCUGGGAUUGGAACAGCAGAUGAAGAAGAUGGCGAGUCAGAUACUGCAGAUGUGCUACCCCUUGCCCUCCAGAAUUGCCGAUAGAGGAAAAACCAGAGCAGACCAAAACUAUGGACCCAGAUAAGAGGACAGUAACUUGCAGCAAGUGCAAGGAACCAGGACAUAAUAAAGCUUCAUGCAAGGCCACUUUAUAGAUCCUUUGCUCCCCCCAUUGUUUGCAUCUUGUACAGCUCUUAUAGUUACAUGGUAGUGACUUGUGAUGUAUUGCUCAUCGUCGCGCUCUGAAUUUCUACAGUACCAUUAUCGAUUUAUUUUCAUUUGAAAAAACAUAAUUUCUGGGUUAUUGAACUCAGAAAGCAAGGUGUAAGAUAAGACGAUGGUAGUACUAUUUUUGGUCUCAAAAGGGUAUGAAAGCUCUUCUCAUAGCUUGCAAAAAUGAAUUUUAUAUUCAGACGAUGAGUUUGCGAAUUGUUGUGUUACACGGCAUGUAAUAAAUUCUCAUUUUUUUUUACUAGAAGUGGGAAUUGUUUUGCUCCAUUCACAACGAGGCUCAAGCAUCUCAUUCUUUUAGUUAAUUUCAUCCUUUAUUUAAUCAAUUGAUAUCUGUGAUUUACCUAGUUAGGAAUUUUUUACCAAGAUUUGAACUCGAAUUAGAUGGUCAGAAAAUCUUAUAUAUGUUUUUACCUAUAUUUUUAAAAGUUUGAAUUCAGUGGGAGACAUUGUUGUACUUCUUAUCUUUUUCUUGAAAAUCUUUGUAAAGUAAUUUUUUCUGACUUGUUCAAAUAAACAAAAGAUGAAGUGAUGAAAAUGUUAACAUCGUUUGAAACCAAAACUGAAAAGAAAACUCCACUCAAUUUAUGAUAAUAUAUGUGAAUUUUCUAUGACGUAGGUUUUCCUAUUUAUUUUUAAAAUUUUUCAUAAUUAUUCAAUUUUUAUCCAAACUAUUCGAGACUCAAAUCAAAUUGUGUAUUUAGGAUUUGUUACCAACCAACCCAGAGUACCUAACAACACAGCCUUCACCUACCCGCCACCCACCCACCCAUGAACUUAUACCUCUGCUCUUCUCCUUCAAGUGUUUCAACACAAAAACUAAGUCCAAAUUUGAGUCACCAAAAUCCUUCAUUUGAUUUGAGUACAAUUUGGGAGAUUUAAAGAAAAUGUCCCUUACUGAUUCAGUGCAGAACAAGCAGCUUGGUGUCAUCACCUGUAAAGGUUGCAUCUUUGAAUACCGUUUAUUUUUUUUAUUUUUUUUUCACUUUCUUCUUCUCUCUUGAUCAAGAAUCUGAUUUUGAAUGAACCCCAUUUUGAGUUACAUGUGUGUAUCCAUUCCAUUCAGCUGCUGUGGCAUGGGGACCGGGAGAACCAAUGGUGAUAGAGGAGGUGGAAUUGAGUCCACCUCAGUCAAUGGAGAUUCGUGUUAAGGUUGUCUGUACUUCUCUCUGUCGUAGCGAUGUCACUGCUUGGUUGUCACAGGUUUGAUCUUUACUUGAUCUCAAAUUUUUUCCCAGUAGGUCAACUGUCUGUUGCCAAUUUUAGGAUUGCAUAUACUAGGUGUUACUUAAAUGUCAAUAGAAAAAUGCUGGACUGGGACUGUUGUAACCUGUCGUUUCAUGAGCAUAGAAGGAAAUUUUAUGCUAUUGAAGUUUUAAAAUUUGUUGAUCAUGAUAAAGAGGAACUAUUUCUGCAAAUAUAAUAUUGGGUGCUCAAUAUGGGGAACUUGGACUUCAUUUUUUUUGAUGACCAUGGUGUCCGGCCAGCUUGCUUGCACCUCGACUAUUCUUCGGGAUGCCUUCCACCUCGUACUAGCAACAUGUACUAGAUAACUCUGUCCACGAAGGCCAGGACAAGUGUGAAGAAUCACCUACUGGAGACGAUCUGCUUUCUUAGAGAUAUAGUGAGGGUCUUAGCUUAGAAAACUAGCAAACUUAUCAAGAUAGCAGUUUCAUCUGAAUCUCAAUUGGGUUUGUGGAGAAAAUAGUUUGAUUCAAUCUCAUUGUGGGUUUUCCAAAGUAAAAUCCUGAAGUUUUAGGGGGUGGAGGGUAGAUGAGGGCAUGUAAAACAGUAAAGGCUCAAUCUUGGCCACUAUUUUCACUUUAUCUACUCUUUUUUCUCAUUUUGGCAAGUUUUGUACUUCUUUUCUGAGGAGCCCACCAGAAUUACUUUCUUAUUAUUCACGCCCGUUAGUGAAAUUUGUUGUCGUUUUCCAGGCUCAGGCUUCUAUAUAUCCUCGGAUAUUUGGUCAUGAAGCAUCAGGGUCAGUUUUCUAUACCUGCUCCUUCUAUUUGAAUGAUAAUGCUUCUUGUGUGUAAUUUAAGUAUGUAUCCUGCUUCUGAUAGAAGUUAUUAAAUGCAUACUGAAAAUUUUUAGAGAUAAUUCAGAGUUUUGGUACAUGUCUUGAGGUGGUGAUGCUUCUCCCCAAGGGACUAACGAUUACGUUGUGAGAAAGUAUAAAUGUAACUUUGUGUUGGAGUUGUCAGUUUGUCAAACAUGUAAUGCUUUCAUCUCGCGGUUUCAUCACCCUAAGUGUCUUCAUUGACCGACUCAUCAGAUGCUCUGUCCAUAAGAAAAGCAUUCUAUCAUAGACUGUGGCAUCACUUAGUGUACUCCAUAGAGUAAAAUGAACAUACUGCAAACUUCUGUGGCCACCUUGGAGUGCAACAGACGUGGUUGAUGGAUUUAAUAUUUUGUCAUUUCUGAACAGAGAAUCAAGCUUCAUUCUUGUUACUCAUUUUGCAGGAUUGUUGAGAGUGUUGGGGAAGGAGUGACUGAAUUUGUAGAAGGGGACCACGUGCUUACCUUAUUUACUGGGGAAUGCAGGAGUUGCAGACACUGUACCUCAGGCAAAAGCAACAUUUGCCAAAUUCUUGGAUUGAAACGAGAUGGUGUUAUGCAUGGUGAUCAAAAGACGCGGUUCUCUAUAAAAGGAAAGCCAGUUUAUCAUUAUUGUGCUGUUUCAAGUUUUAGUGAAUACACAAUUGUACACUCCGGUUGUGCGGUCAAGGUUAGCCCGAUUGCGCCUUUGGAUAAAAUCUGCCUUCUUAGUUGUGGAGCGGCAGCAGGUAAUUUGUGGAAUGCUGUUCAAUUCAAUCACAGCUGAUCUUUUUAUACUACUUUAUUACUCUUAAGAUUAUUUUGCUGUUAAAAACUCUUGACCCAAUGAUGGAAUUUGGCUACCCUUUCUGAUGGAAAUUGUUUUCUUCAAUUCCUCAUCAUACAUGUAUGGUUUUACUGAACUAUACUAAACUCAUUCACAUCAAAGAGGAUCUUUUUGAGAUGAACAACUAGUAUUCAACUUACUUUUGUUUGAUCAAGAGUAUUCUUACUUGAUGGCAUCAUAGACAGUCUUAACGUUUAAAAUGUUUCUGUCAAAAGGUUAAAUCCUUCCUUAGCUCUUAGAUGUUACAUUCAUUCUUAACAUAUUUAUACUUGUAUAACUUGGCAAUCCAUAAUGUUAACUUGUUGUUCAGAACAUUCCAAAUGUAAGGACCUCAUAAUUGAAAUGCAAUUAUCAGGUCUGGGUGCUGCUUGGAAGGUUGCAAACGUCUCUGAAGGAUCAAAGGUGGUCAUUUUUGGUCUUGGGACUGUAGGACUUUCUGUAAGUACAUUGAUCCAAGCUGAAGAAUUAGCAUAAUAUGGGAAAACUGUUUACCUGGAAAAACUUGACAAUGAUAAAUAAUAAAUGCUUAGAUAUCGUGUAAAUAGGUUGCACAAGGUGCUAAGAUGCGGGGAGCAUCUCAGAUUAUUGGUGUGGAUAUGAGGCAAGAGAAAUGCGAAAAAGGUAUCACAUGACAGACCUUUUACAGCAGUUGGAAAGUUGAAAAGUUUCCCGAGAUUAUUGAUGUUCUUCCCUUCCUGUGCAGCAAAGUCUUUUGGAGUGACGGACUUUUUGAACCCAAAUGAUUCUGACGAACCCAUUCCACAGGUGUUUUACUUUUCAUGAAAUAUACAACAAAAGCUUGUAAAUUAGUUUCUUUCUCCCAGCUAAUUAGUCACAAGUCUUACCAAUCAUGUUAGCUGUCUUGAACAACAUGGGAGCAUUACAACAACAGUUUCUACAUCUCAGUAUCACGCUAGUUAGGCCGACAAUAUGAAUUUUCAUAACCCAAUUUUCUGUGUUUGGAUAUGUUUCGUUGAAAUACACAAUGAUUUCUGGAUUAUCUAAUGCUAGAAGUUUUCUGCAUUUUCUAAUUUCUAUAUGGUGCAAUCUCCAAACAGAUUAAAAAGACUUGUAGCAAAUAGUAGACCUAAUAUAAGUUUUACCAAUAUGAUUAAUCUCUAAUCCAACUAGUUGGUAUCGCCUAUAUGGGUCUUUUGCUUCCUUAAAGACUACAUUUGAGUGGCCGUUGGUCUAUAAAGACAAUUUCCUUCUAGGUGGUCUUAGGUCUGCUUGAUGAGAAGAGAGAAAUUAGUUCCAUUAUCAAGUGCAAGACGCCUCUCUCUAACCCAAAUCGACCUAGACUAAUACUCUCCCUUUUUAACUCCUGGUACCAUACUUACAGAUUGGUACACUGGAGAUCAACAUAGUACACGAUCAGAUCAUCCUCUGCGUGUGCUACUUGCACAUUCACUGGAUGUGAUAAUUGUUUUCAAUCUUAUAUGAACACAUUUCCAUAUAAACAUCUGCUUUGUACAGCACUCAUUUUAUGGAGGGUUGGCCAUUAGAGACCCAGCAUUCACUCUUCUUUAAAUUGCUGGUCUUACUGAUGUUCUGUUAAACUUUGUCUCUCAUUUUGAGAAGUAUGUUCGCAUUGCAUAACACUUCUGUAGUACUCCUCAAUUUCAACAUCAUAUUUUAAUCUAAUGUUUUAUAUCUUCGUCUAUUGCACCAUUCACUUAAACCAUUGAGCUUAUAUUUGAAUUGUCUCAAUUUAUGUACUGCAAUCCCGUCUAACCUCACCUCAAUCUCGUCCUUCUUGUAAGGGAUAAAUCUGUAGAGUACUUUUUAAAUAGCAUACAAAAUGGACUAGUUCUAUUCAUGUUCAGGUUGUGUGUUUCCUUCUAUAAACUCCGGAUACAUUUUUCACUCCAGGUUAUAAAUCGCCUAACUGGUGGAGGUGCAGACUAUGCAUUUGAAUGUAUUGGAGAUACAGGAAUGGUUACCACUGCUUUACAGUCGUGUUGUGAUGUAAGUAUGAAGACUUCAUUUCAUGUACUCUUCGGUAUUCUCAGACAUACAUUUCUCUCUUUUUACCAUCAACUUUGUGUCGUCUCCUGUUUGUGUUAGGGAUGGGGCUUGACUGUCACACUUGGAGUACCCAAGCAGAAGCCGGAGGUAACAGCUCAUUUUGGACUUCUUCUUAACGGUAGAACAUUGACAGGAUCUCUAUUUGGAGGAUGGAAACCGAAGUCUGAAAUUCCUUCAUUAGUUGAAAUGUACCUAAAGAAGGUAGAUUGUUGCACUGGUUUUCACAACUUGAUGAAAAACCUUAAAACAACGCAUUCAUUUACUCCAAACGACUCUUCAACAUUUGAAUACUAAGCCAUUGUGAGGUUUUGCUUGCAGGAAAUCGAGUUAGAUGACUUGAUCACACACAAUCUGCCCUUCGAGGACAUAAACACAGCUUUCGAUCUGAUGAAAAAUGGGACUUGUUUGCGUUGCGUUAUACACAUGCCUGAAAUAGAAGGUUUUCCAAUGGCUGGCAACUAGUUGAAGUUAUUUCAUGCUUUCUGUUACCCCAAACUAUAAAUAGCCAACCACAAUGAACUACCAGAAAAUUUUGAUGUUGUACUAUAGUGUAUCACCGAGCGUCUUUCGAAAACAAGCUCUCUACCUCCACGAGGUAAUGAUAAGGUCUUGCGUACACUCUACUCUCUCUGUACCCCACCUAGUGGGAUUUUACGGGGCAUUUGUUGUUAUAGUAUAGUAUAAGAAAUCAUUUUCCUACCUUCUGUUAUUUUUUGAGAGGACAAUUUAUAAUAUCAAAAUGCAUUGACUGGUGAGAAUUGAAAUGCAAUUAUAUGAUCUCGACCAUAUAAUAUACCAAGUACACUUUUUUUGGUUCAUAAUAAAAGUGGAUUUUUCUAUCGAUAAUUUAUUUCAUUAUAAAAAACUUUGGAUGAACAACUUUAGAGUGAUUGAUGUGUCCACAAGAAUUACCAAACACACGAAAUAAGUCUGCAAAGUGCAAUUCUCAAGGAUACAAAAAGAAGUAUGAAGUUUGUGAGAUUGUAGCAAAUCUUUAGGGUGUUUCAACUUUUGGUUAAGAAUAAAUCUAAAUCAACCGUAUCAAUUAAAUAAAUUGAUUUUGUUUUAAUUUGAUUUUAAACUUUAAAAAAUUGAUAACAUUCUCUUUUAUUUCAUAAAAAAUAAACUCAAUAAAAAAUUAAAAAUCAAACCAAACUAAUAAAUAUAUAUAUAUAUAUAAUUUAUUAGCAAAUACAUAUAAAUCCAACUAGCUUCAACUUUUCUCUCUUUGAUACUCUCUGCAGAAGCUGCGAGCAUUUUCCAUAGUGAUUUUGAGUUCGAAUUGGAGAAAUAGUUUUAAAAUAUAUCGUCAAUGUCGACGGAGGAGGAAAACGCCAUUGAGGCGGCGGCAGCGGCGCGAAGGGAGAGGCUGAGAGCCCUCAGAGAAGCUCAAGAACUUCUUCAAACCCCUGACGAUGAUGGUAACAAGACUAAAGAAGAGGAAGACGAAAAGUAAGCACUACCCGUUUGUUUAUCCCUUUAUUCUUAGUUAAUUUGAUGUUAAUUGAAAAGUUGAUGUUACCGUCGAUUCUGUGUUCUGCAAAGAUACCUUGCAUUCUAGCUUUUUAGUCUGUAAGAGACAAAUCCUCUCGUAUUGGACCCGAAUAGGGGUUUGAAGCCCUAGCUCACUUGUUGAGCUCUAGGUCUCCGCAGUUGUGGUGGAAGCCUCCCCACCCCUCCGCUGAAGUAAUUUUAGAAACAAUAGACCUGAAUAGAGCAGAAUGGAGAGGUUUCAAGUCCCUCCUUUUGCUUCUGGCUUUGUAUUUAGUGAUAACAAUUCCAGUGCAUAAGCUACUUUAUAGAUAGGGUGAACAGCAAGGAGCCCACUUACAGGAAACUAAAUCUGUCUGACUAAUAUGUGGAAAGGGCAAGCGAAAACUGACUUCUGAACCAAGGGUAUAUCGGAAACGGACUUCUGCUCCACAGAGGUAGGGGUAAGGUCUAUGUACAGUCUUACACCCAUCCUCCACAGAUCCCAUUUGUGAGAUCUCAUUGAGUAUAUUGUUGUAGUGUACUUAUGAAUAGAGCAGGCGAAUUGAGUUUACCAAAAAUUGACUCAGGACUAGUUUUGGCAUAAUAUUGAUUGGUUGAUAUAUAUUACAGUGAUGUCCAAAUGAAGUUCCGCAAUUACCUGCCACAUGACAAGCAGCUUCAAGAAGGCAAAGUCACUCCGCCAGUACUUCCAAAGUUCGAAGAUCCUAUUGCGACUCUACCUCCUCCCGAAGAGAAGAAAGAGGUGCUUCAGUGAUUGCACUAUUUAUUUCCUUCUGUUUUCUUCCUCAUUCAUAUUAGUUGUGUUUACUGUCAUGACUUUUCUUUGGUUGAAUUUUAUCAGGAUCCAUUUCUAAAUAUUGUCCCCAAGAAGCCAAAUUGGGACCUGCGACGGGAUGUGCAAAAGAAACUUGACAAGCUUGAGAAACGUACCAUGAAGGCACUCACUCAACUUAUGGGUACGUCUUUUCUGCUCAUUUUGUGUUAUUUGACUCUCAAGUAUGUAAUGGCCAUGUUCCAUAGCAUUUAAUUUUUUUUGGUUAAGUCUUGUCCCAUAGAAUUUGUUAAAAGUAAUUUAAAUUGAAAAAGGAAAAUCAUGUGAUUACAUUUUCAUCUCUUGAAGAAGUCUUAGCUGAGAUUGUUCCUUGAGUUUGUUCCUUGUACUUCUGUUGUUUGUAAGAGUAAGAACAUCUGACUGGACAUGACACAAAUAACUAUUUCAAUAUAUAUCUUCCUUCAUAAAAAACUCUCAUGAUGGCCCAUUUGUACUCCCAGUAGGUUUACUUGCAGCGGUUGGGACUUUGCUUUGGCAAGCUAUUAAAUGCACCACUUGGAUGCUCCUUUGUGAAUUGAGAGAACUCCAGUAGCACUGAUCUGUGAAGUUGUUCUGACAGUAGACUCUUAAUAAACAUUACAUACAGAAAUAAAUAUGGAAUAGGAGUGACAUGCUCUUAUAGCUAUACGUAUGUCAUGACAUAUUUACGUGCACAAGUUUUAAGGAUACCUGUGCUAUGUUAUGUAUAUUCAACUUAUGUGUCAAAAGUCUAUUUUUUCUUAAACUCCAUUCUCAAUUAAACACUUGAGGAGUAUGUCUUUUCAAUUUUUAUUUUUUUUUAGAAAUUUGGUGUCUUUUCAAUUUUUAUUUUUUUUUAGAAAUUUGGUAUAGCUAUAAAUUUAUCCGGAAAUCUAACAAUGGUUCAAGUAAGUUCGGUUCAAUAGGCUUGGCCAGUUUCUAAAGUUUUUUUAACGUUCCUAGGUAGUGCUGCAUAUGGUUACUCCGUAUUUUUUAGUCUUUUGGCUCCUUCAAUGUUGGUCAUUAUGGUUCCCUCUAUAUUGAUGACACUUUCUGUGUUGAUCCACUUUUGAUUCACCUCCGUUGUGCUCGGCUAUUUUCAAUCAGUGUCUAUAAUGCAGCCUUUUGGUGCUCUGAAUCUUGAAAAUGGGCUACGCCUUUGGUCCCACAUAUUUUUCUAGGGUUAUAGCUCAUUAGGUAACUGUGGAUCAUUUAGUAAGAUCUUCUUCUAAUCAAAUUGGGUUUCCUUGGAGCCUUUCUCUUCUAAGCCUGGUUGUGAGUUGUGACCCCCCUAAUUGUUUCCAAGUUAUAUAGCUUAUUUUUUUAUGAAUAAAAGUAAUUUAUUACUAAUAUCUUAGUACCAAGGUGGUACUAAGCGAGUACAAAAAGAAAGCUGGAUAGAAUCCUUAGUAGCCGCAAGGAUUCCCAGAAAAUCAGCUUCAGUGCAAGAAAAUGUAACUAUUAACACAAACAAUAAUCUUUUAAACAAAAGAAUAGAGAAAGCUAUAGUUAAGUUGUACUCAUCAAAUCAUGUCAAUCAAGCUAGAAAAAUAUUUUAAGGAAUGUUGAUCUAUAUUUUAAAGUAUUUUUUUGCUAGUCCUAAUCUCUGAUGUUUAGUCAUAACGAUUUCUUAACCAUUAAUGUAUCACUUUGUUUUAUAUUACUACAUAGUUAUGAGCUCUUAAUGACAUAGCCCAUCAGUGAAGGGCCAAAGAAAUGCAUUCUUUGCUCAACCUAGACUUAGUGAGAUUUAUGGCGUAAACAUGCUUUAAGCGGGCCUUUCAGCAAUAUUGUCUGCAAGUGAUCCCGAUGAUAGCAAAAAGAUAGCAAAAAGAAUAAUUGUGGCAUUAAUUUUGCACUCCACGUUCUGCCAAUACAUCUUAUUCUUUAGCACCUGUGGAGGGUUGAAUACCUAUCACUACGUUUUUAGGCAAGUCAGCUUUCUACUUAAAGUCUAGCAAACAUUUGGCCUAGAUUGAAGUGCUGUAGUUGUAUCAGACAAGAGUGCAUGUCCAGUUGGAGCCACUAUUGACUUUAGAGAUGCCAUAUGAAACCAAUACAGAAUUAACAUUGUCUAAUCCAAAUAAUUCUGGAAUACUCUCCCUUGCUUUACUUAAUUCCUUUGUAUAUUAAAAGUUAAAGGGGAAUCUUAGUAUUCUAGUUGAGUGGGUCGUAGGGGUCGAUCCCUACUUUGUAAUCCCAUCCCAGAUUUCCCCAUUCCCCUGUGCAAUUUUCUUAAAAACAAAAGUGUGAUCAAGAAAAUGCAUUUGGCAGCCCCCAAGGCCUAGCUCGAGUGGCAAAAGUGGAGGAUUUGUGGCUUAGGUAGCAGGUUCAAGCCCCACAAAAUGCAAAGUGAAGUCCGGUAUUUAAGUGGAGAAGGGUAGAGCGGUGGGUUCAUUAUCCACCGAGUUUAGAAGGCUGUGAUUGAUCCAAAGGACGGGUGAUAGACGGAUUUCUCGGUUAUAAAAAAAAUGCAUCUUUGGCAGAUUAUGGAAUAGUUCUCUUGAGAAUCCAACCUGGAAUGCUUUUAAUCUUAUCUUGAUCUUUUACCUAGGUUUGAAGGUCUAUUUAUUCUUUUUCUUUUUUAAAUGAAUAAGAUUGAAGCAUAUUAUUUUAUUGAUUUUGAGGCAAUUGUUUCAUGUGUUAGUUUUGUCCCAGCUACCCAACUUCGAAUUUUUCUUGACUUGUCUACAUUGAUAUUUUGUAGAGGAAGAAGAAAAGAAGAGGAAAAUAGCUGAAGAAGAGGAUACUGAAAAUGGUGGAGAUUAGAUAGAUCUUCACCAAUAAUACAAUACAUUGUGGUUUUGGACAAGUGCUGUAUGAGUAUUAUAUUUAUUACAUCUAGUCUUUUUGACUGUGAGACGUUGUAGCGAGUGUUGUUAAAAAUAUGAAUACAGGUUAAAUGUCCAGAAUAUAUUCGUAAACUUUUGCCAAAUACGAGAAUCAUCUGAUCUUUUUUAUAUACUGAUUAUACUAAGAGAAAAUAAACUAGCCUCUCAACAUUUGUAGAUGCUGAGAAUUGUAUGCUUCGCCCCCGUUGGGACACUUAUUAUGUCCUUUUGGUUCCCCUCGAAGAAAUAGCUUAUGUACAUACUAGGUAAAUACUUACUGACCUUGACCAACAUGGUAGUAUCAUUCACGACUUAUUUUAGUUAAGACUAAAGUUUGAACAACUCUUUUAUUAUUCAAAUUGACGAUAUCCAUAGGCUCUUGAUUAGCCAAACUAAUCAUAAACUUCCUAAAUAGGCAGAUGAAGAGAAGUGGAAACCAUUUUUGGCUUCCGUUCAAAGGAAAACAAAAAGAAUGGGGGAGUUUGUCAGACAGCCAUGAGACCAUCUUAGGCUUGAGAUCAGGUCUAAGAACGAUCAUCUACUGCAACCAACCACAACUUGAGGAGCCAUGGAUGACUGUUAAUCACGCUCUGGUCACAUGGCAGAUGAAGAGAAGUGGAAACCAUUUUUGGCUUCCGUUCAAAUGGAAAACAAAAAGACAGCCAUGAGACCAUCUUAGGCUCGAGAUCAGGUGUAAGAACGAUCAUCUACUGCAACCACAGCUCAAGGAGCCAUGAAUGACUGUUAAUCACGCUCUGAUCACAUGGCAGAUGAAGAGAAGUGGGCUUCCGUUCAAAAGGAAAACAAAAAAAAUGAGAGAGUCUGUCAGACAGCCAUGAGACCAUCUUAGGUCUGAAAUUAGGGUCUAAGAACGAUCAUCUACUGUAACCACAGCUCGAGAAACCAUGGAUAGCUGUUAAUCACGCUCUGGUCACAUGGCAGAUGAAGAGAAGUGGGCUUCCGUUCAAAAGGAAAACAACAGCUCGAGAAACCAUGGAUAGCUGUUAAUCACGCUCUGGUCACAUGGCAGAUGAAGAGAAGUGGGCUUCCGUUCAAAAGGAAAACAAAAAAAAUGAGAGAGUCUGUCAGACAGCCAUGAGACCAUCUUAGGCCUGAGAUUAAGGGUCUAAGAACGAUCAUCUACUGUAACCACAGCUCGAGAAACCAUGGAUAGCUGUUAAUCACGCUCUGGUCACAUGGCCAUGCUUCAUCAACCAGACUUGGAUUCCUGUCUCCUUAGAAUUCAAGGAUACAAUGGUACGAGCCUAUAGAACAGAUCCUGUUCAAGUAAGGUCGUGACCGUUGAUAGUGGAU
rnacentral:lncRNA from 1 species